rnacentral:lncRNA from 1 species
CUCAAAGCACUAUUCACUUCAGUUUGUAGCUCAGGUACAGAUAUUUUUCGCCUGCCCUUCUGAAUGUCCGUUUGAGCUCAAAUUUGGCAGUCAUGCUCGGUUUUACUUAACUUAACGAAAGAAAUUUUAAUGUUUCAAUUUUGACCCCGUUUGGUCACCGAAAGCUCUACCGAACUGUAAUCUCUAGCAGAUAGCAGUUCGAUUUUAUUCUCCACCUUUUGGGUAUCAGAAUGAUAUGAAACUUUAAAUUUAGCCUCAUAAAAAUUAAUUCUGACAUAUACUCCAGUUUUCAUAAUUUUCUGACACUGUGCAUUUUUUGCUAAUUUAUCUGCCCCGUUUCCAACAAAAAAUUUUAAAUCUUCUGUUUUCAUUCCGAUUUCAGCACAAGUCACUUCUGACUUAUGUUUUACUUUUCUAAAUCCGAUAAAAAUAGUAUCUCACACUAUUUUUAUUUAUUUUUUGUCACGCCCCGGAUUACACUUUCCCCGGGCGCGCCGACAGAUCCGCCGUAUACAAAGGAAUUUUUCCCUGUAUACGAAGCGAUUGCUAUACCUGUAAAUCAAACACUACUACGAACAGUAGUAGAGAGCUGCUAGAGAAAACAGAAGCUAAACAAACUGAGUUUCAUAUACAUAGUCCAAAUCCAAAAUACAAAGCUACUCGCACUGGCGAGUUAAGUCCACUAUGUACAUAAACUCGAAACAAAACAUCUACCCGCAGUAGGGUGCCUCAAACUCUGUCAGUCGGGUAGGGCUCUAACUCACGACGCCCUUGCCUCGAUCCUGAUCCGCGGAAGGCGCAGCAACCGAAAUCUGUGGCUCUGCAAAACAGGGGUAACAACUGGGCGUGAGAACUACUGUAAAAACAAGUAGUCCUCAGUGGGUACCGCCCAAAACAACAUCGGUCCACCCACUAAGUCUACAGGAGGGAGCAAGAAUAGUAGGAAAAGCAGGAAACAAACUCAACCGCUACAAAUCACUAUACUAUCAUGCUCUACACUAACCAACUGUAGGAAAUGUCAAAUCUGACCCAAUCCAAUCGGGACUGUAGACAUACCCGUCCCUGGGACUGUGAACACACCCGUCCCUGCCCCGUUGCGACUAUCGGGCUCUAUCCACACUAACUGGUCCGUGGAGAGCAAGUCCAACUGGCAUGAGCGACACCAACGCAAAAGCACAAGCCUGACUCCGGAGUGGCACUCGUGGGCGCUACCCAACCGAGUAUGCAGCGUAUCUCUGUCGAGCUCAAUCAGGCUCCAACUAGCCAAAGUCAAGUAAUCGACUUAAACUGGUCUAACAACCAACAGGUAACGUGCCCUCGGCACAAUCUGACGCCAAAAAGGCGAUACGGUCCACCGUCAACUCUGACGGCACCCAACAGUCCGAAACGGCCUGAACGACCCUGCAAAAAUUCACUCGGCGAACCAGCACGAGUGUAAAUACAUUCUAAACUACCCAAGGUAUCCAUUGCACUGACUCGGCAACGAUACAAUCGAACACGGCUCCUAGAGCUAAAUCUGGUAGUUUAAGCAUAUGACGGGUCAAAACGCAGGUUUUCUCCUAAGUCAAAUUUCAAGUCCAACAUGUAUAAUUUAAAUAUUCAUUUCAGCAUGCUUCUACAUUCAUAUUACAUUCAAAAUGCUAAUCGAUGAAUUAAAGCAUGAUUUACAACACUCGAACUAUACACGUUGACUAACAUGCACUUAGGAGCGAAACCGAUGAAACACCCACCUCUAAUGCAAUUCCUGGCAGCAAUAGGGUCUCGGAUCCUCAAGCAACACUGCUGGAAACCUCUUCAAACCAGCAACAAAGCCCCUUAAGAUCUGGAUUUACAAUGCACCCAAAAAUCCAAUAAAAAUCAUCAAAAUCCACAAUUCAGUCCAAGUACACAGCAGCAGAGAAGAGAAGGGUUUCGACCAAGCUAACCUUCACCAAAAUCCACAAGUAAGGACUUCGUGGAUUCUUCUCGCAGUCCCGAAACCAACGAAUCAAGUCUCGACGAAAUCCGAUGCUCCUACGUCGAGUACGAGCUGAAAUACUAACAGUCGACGAUGAAUUUCAGCAAAACAGCAUUUAAGCUUAAAUAUCUCAAUUCCAAUGUCAAAACUCACCAAACGAACUCCAAAUCAGGUGGAGAGGGUCCCAAUUCCAGUACUGGGUGAUAGGGAAAAUAACUCAACUCCACAAAGCCCCUGCUUCCCAAGUUCACCCCAAGAAAACAUCAAAAAUUGGCAAAUUCUGUCCAAAGCAACAACAGCAGAGGAAAACCUGAGUUCGACUGAGCUAACCUUCACCAAAUUCUGCAAAUUAGGGCUUCGUGGAUUCCUCUGGAAGUCAAGAAUCCAGCAAACCAAGUUUCGUUGAAAUCCGACCUUCCUACGUCACGCACGAGCCAAAACACUGGAGGUCGUCGCUGAAGAACUGCAAAAUCAGCACCUUGCAAUUCUUGGAGAGGUGGAUCUUGAUGCAAAUUGGAAAGAUUUGAGGGAUUUGGGAGUAAAAUCUAAGUCCUCUGUGAAGAACAGGUAAAAGAGCUCAAAGGGGGCGCUUCUCAGCUAUUUAUAGGCUGCUGGAUAGAUCAGAUAAGCCCCAGGAAAAAUAGCCGCAAUCCAGUGCCCCUGCAGAAACGGGCGUUUCUGGGCGCCCGGAACCAUGUUCUGGGCGACCAGAACAUCCGGCCUGCACAAAAUGGGCCCCUCGGACUCUCCGCCCGCGGUGUGCUGCGCCCGUAAACGGCACCGGCGGAACUCACCUACCGCCCUGCCACGCGUCGAAGCAAGCGAUAUUCACGAGGUGAAAUUUCCGGACCCACUUCUGGGCGCCCGGAACAUGGGAUCCGAAUUGGCUUCCAGUUUCAGUUAAAAUCAACACUCGUUUCUGGGCGACCCUAACAAUGUUCUGGGCGCCCGAAUCUGGCAAAACUCCAGUUUUGCUUAUUUGAGUGCGCCGAGUCCAAUUCUGCAUCCAAUUCGUGCAGAAUUGACUCCGACUCAGUCCGACACUCUCCAGAGAUGUCGACCAGUCUAUAAUACUGAAGCCAAUCCUAUCCAAAGCUCAGGAACACUACAUCCUCCCCCACUACAAAAAGUUUCGUCCGCGAAACUGUACACAUACCUCAAUCCAGGGCCUCAAACAGGUAGGGGUAGGACUCCUUCAUCACCGCCUCCGGCUCCCAAGUCGCCUCCCGCUCCUCGUGAUUACUCCACUGCACCUUUACAAAGGGUAUGACCCGGUUGCGCAAUUCCCUCGACUCACGAGCCAGAAUCCGCACCGGUCGCUCCUCGUAGCUCAGGUCCUCGCCAAUCUCAAGCGGAGUGAAGUCGAUCACGUGGGAGGGGUCGAACACAUAUUUCCUCAAAGCCGAGACGUGGAACACAUCAUGAAUGCCGGCUAGCCGUGGUGGUAGAGCAAUCCUGUAAGCAACUGGCCCGACUCGCUCCAAUACCUCGAAAGGGCCUACAAAACGUGGACUGAGCUUUCCACGUACACCAAAUCGGCGAAUCCCUCUGGACGGCGAGACUUUAAGAAAAACAUGAUCUCCCACCUGGAACUCCAAGUCUCGUCUCCGGGUAUCAGCAUAGCUCCUCUGUCGACUCUGGGCUGCUAAUAUGUGCCGUCGCGCCUCUUUUACCUUUUCCUCAGCCUCAAUCAGAAUCUCAGGCCCAAGCGUCCUCCUCUCACCCACAUCACUCCAAAACAAAGGGGAUCGACAUCUGCGUCCAUACAACGCCUCAAACGGAGCCAUCCGGAUGCUCGCUUGAUAGCUGUUGUUGUACGCAAACUCAACCAGUCUCAAAUGCCGAUACCACCCUCCUCCAAAGUCCAAGACACAUGCCCUCAGCAUGUCCUCUAGAGUCUGAAUGGUCCGCUCUGACUGACCAUCUGUCUGUGGGUGAAAUGCUGUGCUGAACUGCAACUGAGUGCCCAAGGCCGUCUGAAGACUCCUCCAGAAGUGCGAUACGAACCUCGGGUCCCGGUCGGAUACUAUCGAAGUGGGCACGCCAUGCAACCUCACUAUCUCAUCCAAGUACAACUGAGCGAGUCUCUCUCUGGACCAAGUGGUCUGCACUGGUAAGAAGUGAGCAGACUUGGUCAGUCUGUCCACUAUCACCCAAAUCGCAUCAAAACCACCCUGUGCUCUCGGCAAUCCGACGACAAAGUCCAUCGUGAUCUGCUCCCAUUUCCACUCGGGCACUGGUAGACUCUGAAGCUUGCCAGCAGGUACCUGAUGCUCGGCCUUUACCUGUUGACAAGUCAGACACUGAGCCACAAAUCUACCAAUGUCCCUCUUCAUUCCAUUCCACCAAAACUGAGCCUUUAAAUCCUUAUACAUUUUGGUUCCACCGGGGUGAACCGUAUAAGGUGAACAGUGAGCCUCUCUCAAGAUGUCCUCUCGGAUCUCUGAAUCCAUAGGUACACACAGUCGGUCCCUGUACCGCAGUACUCCCGAACUGUCCACAACAAAGCCCUCGGCCUGUCCCCUCUCAAGCUGCUCUCGAAUCCUCGACAAGUGUGGAUCCCCACUCUGUUUCUCUCGAAUCCUAUCUAACAGAGUGGGCUGCAAGAUCAUAGACAUCAAUCUCGCAGUAAAUCCAGGGGACACUACCUCGAGUCCCAGCCGUCUCAGCUCCUCGAGUAACGGUCUCUGCCGAGUGAUCAACAUACUCAAGCUCUGCACUGCCUUCCUGCUCAACGCAUCUGCCACCACAUUCGCCUUGCCGGGAUGAUACUGGAUACUGAUGUCAUAAUCCUUCAGCAACUCCAACCACCGGCGCUGUCUCAAAUUCAACUCCUUUUGGGUGAACAGAUACUUGAGACUUUUAUGAUCAGUAAAAAUCUCGCAGUGCUCGCCGUACAAGUAAUGCCGCCAGAGCUUCAAAGCAAAAACCACCGCGGCAAGCUCCAAGUCAUGCGUAGGGUAAUUCUUCUCAUAAUCCUUUAACUGCCGUGAAGCAUAAGCAAUCACCCUACCAUGCUGCAUCAGCACGCAACCAAGUCCACUGUGCGAUGCAUCACUGUAGAUCACAAAUCCUUCGCCCAUAACAGGAAGGGCAAGGAUAGGAGCCGACAUCAACCUCAAUCUCAACUCGUCAAAGCUCCUCUGACAGUCGUCGCUCCAGACAAAACGAAUCCCCUUCCGCGUCAAGCGCGUGAGGGGUGUGGAAAGCUUCGCAAAGCCUUCCACAAACCGACGGUAAUAUCCUGCCAGUCCCAGGAAGCUCCGUACCUCAGUAACCGUCGUCGGUCUAGGCCAAUCUCGAAUCGCCUCAAUCUUCUUCGGGUCCACUGCUACGCCCUCAGCUGAAAUCACGUGGCCCAAGAAAGCAACCUCCCGUAGCCAGAACUCGCACUUCUUUAACUUGGCAUACAACUUCUUCUCGCGCAGAAGCUGUAGCACAAUCCUCAAGUGCUCCUCAUGCUCAGCAUCACUCCGGGAGUAAAUCAGGAUAUCGUCGAUGAAGACUACCACAAACCUAUCCAAGAACGGCUUGAACACUCUGUUCAUCAAAUCCAUGAAUGCGGCAGGGGCAUUCGUCAAUCCAAAAGGCAUCACCGUGAACUCAUAAUGCCCGUACCGAGUCCGAAAAGCCGUCUUGGGAACAUCCUCGGCCCUCACCCUCAGCUGGUGGUAACCUGACUGGAGAUCAAUCUUCGAAAAGACACAAGAUCCUUGCAGCUGAUCGAAUAGAUCAUCAAUGCGCGGCAGAGGAUACUUGUUCUUGAUGGUCACUUUAUUCAGCUCCCGGUAAUCCACACAUAACCUGAGCGAACCAUCCUUCUUCUUUACAAAUAACACCGGCGCUCCCCAAGGCGACACACUGGGUCUCACAAACCCUCUAUCCAUCAGAUCCUGAAGUUGCGCCUUUAGCUCUCUCAGCUCUGCCGGUGCCAUCCUGUAAGGUACCUUUGAGAUUGGUGCAGUUCCAGGAACUACAUCAAUCACAAACUCAAUCUCCCUCUCCGGCGGCAAUGUCGUCAACUCAGGGGGAAACACAUCCGAAAACUCGCGGACUACUGGGAUGUCCUCGAGUCUCGGCGCCGCCGUAGGUACCUCCACAACUGUCGCUAGGAAAGCGAUACACCCACUGCUCAGCAUCUGUCGAGCCCUCGCCGAAGAUAUCCAGGUGGCAAACAGCGUGCUCCUGCAGCCUCUGAAAGUAAACUCCUCCUGGCCUGGCUCGCGGAACGUCACCGUCCUCGCUCCACAGUCGAUCGUAGCAUAGUACCGCGCCAGCCAAUCCAUACCGAGCACUACGUCGAAGUCCUGCAGCUGCCCUAACACCAACAGGUCUGCGGGCAUGAUCCAAGAGUCUAACUGCACCGGACAGGACCAACAACACUCUGUAACCUGCAAGACAUGGUCGGGGAUCUGCACCUCUCGUGCCUGAGACAACGCUCCUAACUCUAGACCAUGCAACAAUGCAAAUGCUCGGCUAACAAAGGAAUGCGAUGCACCGGUAUCAAAAAGAGUGCGAACUCUAAUGCCAGAAAUCAAAGUGAUACCUGCCACCACUCGGUCGGCUGCUGAAGAGUCCUCCACCUGAGCUGCAUAGACCCUGCCACUCGGAGCCUGCUGUCGCCGCUCACUCGACCGCGGCACAGACGAUCUGUCCUCCUGGCGGUAGCUCGGUGCUGCUCCGUAAGACUGCUGUGGUGCUGGUGGUGCCGAAGCUGAUGACGGUGCUGGAGAUGCUGCUCGGGGACAAGCUGCCCUCAUGUGUCCCGGCUGACCACAUCCGUAGCACCUGCCCUCUCUCUGCUCGCACUGCCGAGGCCAGUGUGGUCCCCCGCAGAUCACACACUGUGGCGUCCUCUGAGUCUGCCCCUGCUGACGGGAUCCCCUGGAACGCUGACGCCCCGAAGACCCACGACCCUGAGAACGUGAUCGUGGAGGUCUCGGCGGACGUCUGCUGCUCGACUGCCCUCCGUCAUCUGGAAAGGGGCGCUUCCUGUCCUGACCCUGCCCCACGGCCUGAGUCCUCUCCUGCAGCGACACCUCACCUCUCUCCACCCAUAGGGCCUGCUCUAUGGACGCAUCCAGGGUCCUCGACCUCUGCGCCCGCACUAACCUGAAGAUGUCCGGUCUCAGCCCCUGCUCGAACAUGUAUACUCUGUGCGCCUCGUCUCUGGCCGCAAAUGGUACACAGUUCAGGAGUCGAGUAAACUCCCGAACGUACUCCUGCACUGGGCGAUCUCCCUGCUGAAGCCUCCUCAAAUCCUCCUCGAGCUUCUGCUUCACACUGUUGGGAAAGAACAUCCCAAACAGCAUUCCACAGAACUCGUCCCAACUCAGCUGCGCCGCCACUAGCCCCUGGUCUCGCCUCGUCCUCCGCCACCAGUCAUGAGCAUCACCUGCUAGACAGUGUACUCCCAGGGGUACCUGCUCCCCCUCUGGAACGAACAGAUCCUCGAAUAACUUCUCCAUCGCACUGACCCAUCCCUCAACAAUCCAGGCCUCAGUGCCUCUGCCAUCGAAGAUCGGUGGAUCAAAUCGGCGAAAACGAGCUAACCUCUCCGUCCACCGCUCCUGCUCGGCCUCAGUCAACGGUACUGGCCCCCUAGCAGGCGCAACUGGCGCUACUGGAACUGCUGCCGAUGGAGGAACUGCUGCAGCUGGUGCUGUCACUGGAGUAGUCGGGGGUGGAACUGGCGACUCUGGUGCCCUCGGUACAGAACUCGGUGGCUGAGCUAUCCUCUCACACAACCUCUGCAAUAGCUCCCCCUGCUGUCUCGUCACCUCGGUCAGGGCAGCUAACUGUGCACUCAGAUCAGGGGGUGCGCUAGUCUCUGGUCGCGCACUCGGCUCCACAACAGGGGGUACACUCGCCCCCAGUCUGUCACCCUGCUCCUGCCGAGUACUCUGCUCCAUCUGCUCAGAUCUCUCAGAAGGUCCAGCAUGAUCCCGCGCCAACUGGGCACGCUCCCGCAACGACGGUCGACCUCGGCGACGAUACAUAGCUGAAAGGAACAAAUCGGGGUCAGAUACAACAAAACACUCUCGACCCAAUCAAACGAAAGUCUAGAAGGCGGUCCCUGUUUCCCUCCAAAAUUAUGUCGUCUGCAGCCAACAUAAUUUCUCAGGCCGAAACAGAAACUCCUUCAGUCACUCACUCUGCUCUAAGAGGAGUUAGAACAAAUAAUCAUUGACUUUCGCAAUAAAAUUACGCCUCUCACGUCUUGCUUCCCUAAGGUUUGCCAAACUUAGGUUUCCUAGGUCCCCACGACCUACAGCAAAGCUCUGAUACCAACUUAAUCUGUCACGCCCCGGAUUACACUUUCCCCGGGCACGCCGACAAAUCCGCCGUAUACAAAGGAAUUUUCCCUGUAUACGAAGCGAUAGCUGUACCUGUAAAUCAAACACUACUACGAACAGUAGUAGAGAGCUGCUAGAGAAAACAGAAGCUAAACAAACUGAGUUUCAUAUACAUAGUCCAAAUCCAAAAUACAAAGCUACUCGCACUGGCGAGUUAAGUCCACUAUGUACAUAAACUCGAAACAAAACAUCUACCUGCAGUAGGGGCACCUCUAGCUCAGCACGUCGGGUAGGGCUCUAACUCGCGACGCCCUUACCUCGAUCCUGAUCCGCGGAAGGCGCAGCAGCCGAAACCUGUGGCUCUGCAAAACGGGGGUAACAACUGGGCGUGAGAACUACUAUAAAAACAAGUAGUCCUCAGUGGGUACCGCCCAAAACAACAUCGGUCCACCCACUAAGUCUACAGGAGGGAGCAAGAAUAGUAGGAAAAGCAGGAAACAAACUCAACCGCUACAAAUCACUAUACUAUCAUGCUCUACACUAACCAACUGUAGGAAAUGUCAAAUCUGACCCAAUCCAAUCGGGACUGUAGACAUACCCGUCCCUGGGACUGUGAACACACCCGUCCCUGCCCCGUUGCGACUAUCGGGCUCUAUCCACACUAACUGGUCCGUGGAGAGCAAGUCCAACUGGCAUGAGCGACACCAACGCAAAAGCACAAGCCUGACUCCGGAGUGGCACUCGUGGGCGCUACCCAACCGAGUAUGCAGCGUAUCUCUGUCGAGCUCAAUCAGGCUCCAACUAGCCAAAGUCAAGUAAUCGACUUAAACUGGUCUAACAACCAACAGGUAACGUGCCCUCGGCACAAUCUGACGCCAAAAAGGCGAUACGGUCCACCGUCAACUCUGACGGCACCCAACAGUCCGAAACGGCCUGAACGACCCUGCAAAAAUUCACUCGGCGAACCAGCACGAGUGUAAAUACAUUCUAAACUACCCAAGGUAUCCAUUGCACUGACUCGGCAACGAUACAAUCGAACACGGCUCCUAGAGCUAAAUCUGGUAGUUUAAGCAUAUGACGGGUCAAAACGCAGGUUUUCUCCUAAGUCAAAUUUCAAGUCCAACAUGUAUAAUUUAAAUAUUCAUUUCAGCAUGCUUCUACAUUCAUAUUACAUUCAAAAUGCUAAUCGAUGAAUUAAAGCAUGAUUUACAACACUCGAACUAUACACGUUGACUAACAUGCACUUAGGAGCGAAACCGAUGAAACACCCACCUCUAAUGCAAUUCCUGGCAGCAAUAGGGUCUCGGAUCCUCAAGCAACACUGCUGGAAACCUCUUCAAACCAGCAACAAAGCCCCUUAAGAUCUGGAUUUACAAUGCACCCAAAAAUCCAAUAAAAAUCAUCAAAAUCCACAAUUCAGUCCAAGUACACAGCAGCAGAGAAGAGAAGGGUUUCGACCAAGCUAACCUUCACCAAAAUCCACAAGUAAGGACUUCGUGGAUUCUUCUCGCAGUCCCGAAACCAACGAAUCAAGUCUCGACGAAAUCCGAUGCUCCUACGUCGAGUACGAGCUGAAAUACUAACAGUCGACGAUGAAUUUCAGCAAAACAGCAUUUAAGCUUAAAUAUCUCAAUUCCAAUGUCAAAACUCACCAAACGAACUCCAAAUCAGGUGGAGAGGGUCCCAAUUCCAGUACUGGGUGAUAGGGAAAAUAACUCAACUCCACAAAGCCCCUGCUUCCCAAGUUCACCCCAAGAAAACAUCAAAAAUUGGCAAAUUCUGUCCAAAGCAACAACAGCAGAGGAAAACCUGAGUUCGACUGAGCUAACCUUCACCAAAUUCUGCAAAUUAGGGCUUCGUGGAUUCCUCUGGAAGUCAAGAAUCCAGCAAACCAAGUUUCGUUGAAAUCCGACCUUCCUACGUCACGCACGAGCCAAAACACUGGAGGUCGUCGCUGAAGAACUGCAAAAUCAGCACCUUGCAAUUCUUGGAGAGGUGGAUCUUGAUGCAAAUUGGAAAGAUUUGAGGGAUUUGGGAGUAAAAUCUAAGUCCUCUGUGAAGAACAGGUAAAAGAGCUCAAAGGGGGCGCUUCUCAGCUAUUUAUAGGCUGCUGGAUAGAUCAGAUAAGCCCCAGGAAAAAUAGCCGCAAUCCAGUGCCCCUGCAGAAACGGGCGUUUCUGGGCGCCCGGAACCAUGUUCUGGGCGACCAGAACAUCCGGCCUGCACAAAAUGGGCCCCUCGGACUCUCCGCCCGCGGUGUGCUGCGCCCGUAAACGGCUCCGGCGGAACUCACCUACCGCCCUGCCACGCGUCGAAGCAAGCGAUAUUCACGAUGUCGAAUUUCCGGACCCACAUCUGGGCGCCCGGAACAUGGGAUCCGAAUUGGCUUCCAGUUUCAGUUAAAUUCAACACUCGUUUCUGGGCGACCCUAACAAUGUUCUGGGCGCCCGAAUCUGGCAAAACUCCAAUUUUGCUUAUUUGAGUACGCCGAGUCCAAUUCUACAUCCAAUUCGUGCAGAAUUGACUCCGACUCAGUCCGACACUCUCCAGAGAUGUCGACCAGUCUAUAAUACUGAAGCCAAUCCUAUCCAAAGCUCAGGAACACUACAUUUUUAUUUUUAUACCAAAAUCUGGUAUGUUAAAACUAUACUACCACUAUCCAAAUCAUGCUCUUUGUAGACAUAGAAAUGCAUCACUAGCUACAAAUCAACCACACUGACCUAAUCUCAACAGACCGCCAACUGGCCAGUCCAGCCUGUGCCCAAACUAUACUACACACUACCCACGGGGGUGGCCGGUCCAAGAAAACUACCCAAACAGGACUGCUGCGACGUCAACGCAAGAAAAGCCUCACUCCGGAGCGGCACUCGUGGAAGCGACCCAACCGAAUAUGCAAACGUGUCUCUGUCGAGCUCAAUCAGGCUAACUGUCACAUCCCGCAACCGCCACUUUGGUCGGUUCGGGCGUGUCGACAGACGCCGAACGGACAGAGUUUUUCCUGGCUACCCAAGGCUAAACAACAACAAUCAUGUACAUCUAGUUGCCCGGGUAAACAUAAACAAUGUACAUGAACAAUACGAGUAUAAUACAAGCGAGAGUAAGAGAGAAACUAGCUAUUACAUUAACAUUCAACCAUUUUUACAUGUUUCCACCAACAUACAUACAUUGGUUUAUAAUUCUUCUUAUAAUAUAUGUACAUCCAUAACAACCUCACCCAAAAGUACAUCAAGUCUCUCAACCAAUAUACAACAUCUCUCAAAAUGGUACAUGACUCUAAUGCAUAGGAGGUUACUACCUAGGGCGCUAUGCCCUUAUCGCGGUCCUCGAUCGGUCCCCUCUUGCUCGGCCCUGCAACAAAGUGGGAUGAGAACUAAUAAUAGUUCCCAGUGGGUUCGGCUACCGACGCCGCCAAUUUUUUCACUAGGUCUAAGCAGGCAAAAGUAGAAAGGGUUAGCAAUAUACAAAUAUCUAGCAUGCUACUAUGCCUCAGCAAUAUGAAACAAUAAAUAGAUAUGGUAAAUAGUAAACCGGUAAUAGCAACUACUAUGCUCAUGAUGCAUGCCAUUUUUAUUUCAUAACCUAAUCAUUCCAGCUAACCCGAAGGUUGAGCCCCGACUCACAGCCGAAUCCCGCAACGUGAGGAGACGUCCGCUAUACUCACCCGGGACUGUCUGCGGGAUAGCUACGUUAACCCCUACCGUGAAGUACUCCGGAGACCACUGCUUGGCUGGAGCGACCACCGCCAAGCAAAACAGAUGUAUGUGAACAUGAUCCAAUCCUCUAACCCGAAGAUACCCUACCAACUAGUGGUAACCAAGUCCGAAAAAAUACCAAUCCCAAUCCUCAUAUCCUGAGUGAUCACGAUUCUCUAACCAAUGCCACAAUGUCACAAUGUCUCUACCUAAUGCCACAAUGUCUCUGGCUAAUGCUACAAUGUCACAAUGUCUCUACCUAAUGCCACAAUGUCACAAUGUCUCAUUGUCUUGUCGAAUGCCACUUUUGAUGCCACAUGUUCCAAGUUCUCAUUUUCAUGCCGCUAUAGAGUUCUUUGUUCACACCCAAUCCUCAUGCACAUAACACUAUGUUCCUUCUCAUAUUUCCACAAAUACCAUGAGAGCAUGCAAGGAAUGGAACAACCAACAAGCUACUCUACAAUGCAUGAAUGCUAAACAUGAACAUAUAUGGCCAAUGAAGUAACAUAGACAUAAAAGAAAAUCCGGAUGUUCCGGAUAGCACCCCCCACCUCUAAACACUGCCGAGGUGCGAGAAUCCUAAGCUCAUAAUUUUUAGACGUCGCUUCAGUUCGACACAACGGAAACGAAGCGAAAACGGUACUUUCUCUCGAGAACUUGCCACACACCCGUAGGAACUCCGGUUUGAGUUGCUCACCGUGUCGGUUUAACCUUCAAUUAGGUUUCCAUAAGAUUAAUUUACAUCUAACCCAAGCUCAUGGCAAAACCCCAUUUUGAAACCCUAAAAUCCACUAUAGCUAGAAUACACUAAACAAACUCAUGAUUCAAGCAAUAGACAAUUUAGCAUCAUCUAAGGUUUCCAUUUACAUCAAUUCUAAGGGAUUUAAACCAAACCUUAGCUAUCUACCAUUAGAGGUCAAGAAGCUUACCUAAAAUAAGCUUCCCUCUCAAGCUAAGGAAGAAGAAGAGGAAGAAGCUUCACCUCCAAGCACCACUCCACCAACUUCUCCUCUUGGUCUAACCCUAGGAGAGAGAGAGAGAGACUUCUUAGAGAGAGAGAGAGAGAGAAACCUUUUCUCUUAGGUUUUGGUCAAGUGAGGGGGAAAUGAGAGAGAUGAAAGAAGCCCCACUUAUAUACACCCUAUAUAUAUACAAUUGCACCCAACACCUCACACUUUACAAGCUGCCCUCACUGGGCAGUUUUCGGCUAUGGGGUGCGGACCCUGCACAGGGUCCAGACCCCAUAAGCACCCCAAAUGCGAAAAUUUUAGAAAAUUUUCCCAAGUGCUCACCAAGGCCCCUUACACCCUCAUGAGCCAUUGCAAGCCUUCGGAAUGCACAACGAACUUUUCUGAAGCCUUCCGAAGUGUUCAACACCGUACUUUGGUCAAUUUCGACCAAAGUUUGGUUUCGUACGUCGAGGAUCCAUUACCUUUCACUAACAAAGGCUAUAGUCAAUAUAAUAGGUCAAACUGGUCUAACAACCAAGGCUCACAUGCCCUUGGCAUAAUCUGGUACAAGAUGUAAGAAUCUGGGUCCACCAUCAGCCCCGACGGCACCCGACAGUACAAAACAAUCUAACACUGCUGUAAAAACGAGCUUAGCCCCUAAGCACGAGGGUAAUCUCAACCUACACUAGUCUAAGUGUCCACGACGUACUAACAGCGGUGAUACAAAAGGUAAAUCAGCUCCUAAAGCUAAAUAUGUUAACUUUUCGAAAAGUGCCAGGUAUAGGUUUAAUAAGUUUUCUCCUAAAUCAAAUUCCAGUUCAGUAGAUAAUAAUCAUUAUAAAUUAACUAAGAAUGCUCCAAAAUUUAGAUUUCAUUUAUAACAUGCAAAUCUACAGUUUGAGCUAUUAAACCGGAUGAUUAUACGCAAAACUAUACAUGCUGGAGUUUCACAAACUUAUGAGGAAUUCCGAAGGCUUCGGAUAACAUUAACCCACCUUAAACGCGACUCCAACAAAGGCAAGAAGUCGCUAGAGAAGACCCUGGAAAAGAUCUACCUCAAAACAGGCUAAAUCAGGUUGCUGUCAAGUUCUGGACCCUCCUGUGCCAACUUCUGGGCGCCCAGAACAGCAAGUUGGCAGCUACAACCUACACAAGUUCAACACGGAAUUAAAUCCAAUUCUGAAGUCCAAAAGCAGUGAAACUUCACCCAACUCACCUCUAAAUGCUCAAGAAUAAUCCUCCAGGUUCCUCACCAAAUUCAAGCUCAAAAAGGUCACCAAAAAGCCUUCACACCAAUUCGGACUAAUUUCUGGAUGCUCAGAAUCUGCAUCCAGAAUUUCAGCACUUAAGCAAUUUUGCAACUCAACUCAAAUCUGAGGAUUAAUUCUAGCUUAUAAAACCAAUGGAGUUGGGUCACAAACCUCCCAAAUGAAAUAGAGAAUCAAUCCAAAUCCAUCCAUAAGCCUUCCAUAAAAAUCUGGAUUUAAAAUUACAAGAUUUUACAUUAAAACCUCAAAAUCAGCAUAUAUAAGCUCAUUUAUCCAAAUCUGAGCUAAAACUCACCUCUCACAUCUCGAAUUCAGGUGGGGAAAGCUUCAAAACCAGUAGAGGAUGAUGGAAAACCAAUUUCCGCAUCAAAAAUCCAGCUCUCAAAGCAUUCGGAUCCAAAAACAUCAAGAAAACCUCAAUUUCAGCUCAAGAACACUAAAAUCUCAAGAAAACAGCAAUUUGAUCAUACUAACCUCAAUUACAUGCUGUUAAAUUGGUUCCACACACUCUCCCACAUGUCCACAAUCCUCCAAAUCAAGUUUCACAGGAUUUGGAUGCUUCUACGCCGCACAUGAGCCAAAUAUCUAAAGGUUGCUGCUGGAAUCCUGCUGAAUUUUCAAGUCCUCAAUGCCAAAAGUGAAAUUUUGAAGAUGUGGAGGGGCUAGAAUGCAAAAUUACAUGCUCCCUGUGAAGAAGAGGUGAAAAGGGUUCACUGAGGUCAUCCACAGCUUUUUAUAGAAGUAGGAGUUAAGUGUAAUAGGUCUCAAGAACAAACACUGCUAACCUGUCUCUCUACAGGAAAACCAAGUUUUGGGUGCCCUAAACCCAGUUCUGGGCACCCAGAACUUCUAGCCUGCACAAUUCUGUCCUCGAGUUCUUCGUCCAGCGAUCUGGUGUGUCCUAAAAUGGUCCGGCAGAUCUCACCUACCACACCCACGUGUCAACACAAUCAAUAUUUACGAAGUGAACUUUCGGAUCUAGUUUCCGGGUGCCCUAAACAUGGUCCGAAAUGACUCCAAAAUCUAAUACAAAACAGCACUCAAGAGUAUGAAUGGCUCGUCGAUUCGGAAGCUAUGUAAUGGAGUGGGUCGUCGAUUCGAAAGCUCCAUCAUUGAAAACAACUCAUGAGUAUGAAGGGCUCUAUACUCAUAAGAGUAUAGUAGCCCUACUAUAUAUAUGUAUAUAUACAGUGUAGAGCUAUGCUAACGGAAGUAUAAAGGACUUAGUAUUUUCGACUUUUUGGCCCUUGGAUCAAGGAUUGAAUGGUUAGGACAAUUCGGUCCUCCCAGGGUUGAGUGGUCCCCUUAAGGUUGAGUGGUCUCCACAAGGUAAUAAUAUUAAUCCAAAUGUUAGAACUGAUCAAAAAGGUUGAUCUAAGGGCCAAAAAGUCGGAAGCAUAAGAUCCUCUAUACUUCCGAUAGCAUAAUAGCUCUACUAUAUAUAUAUAUAUAUAUAUAUAUAUAUAUAGAAAGAUAGAGAGAGAGAGAGAGAGCUAGGCUAGUAUACCAUCGGUAGCACGAAGCCCUCCGUACUACCAAUUAAGUUGUUUUCAAUUAUACGGCUUCCAAAUCGACGAUCGAUUUCGUUAGACUUGAUAUACACUAUUAAAAGUGUUUAGAAACUAAAUUUUAUAAUUUUUCGACAUCAUUUUGCUAGUGAUCAUAAGGUCUCAAAAUUGACAAUUUUAAGGAUUGAUGUGAUGCAUUUGUAAAUUUAACGAUGUAAAACAAUUCAAAUUUGAUAAAAUUUUUAUAGAAUUCUUUUUUACUAUUUAGAGUAAGAUUAGUACCUUUGAUCGUAAAUUCAAGUUUUUUAUCAUUAUUAUUUAUAAAAUUUUUAUUUUCAGCCAUUCAUUUUUAGACUACUCGUUUGAUUGGUAAAUGAUGUCCAAAAAUUAUGAAAUUUAGUUUUCAAAUACUUUUAAUUGUGUAGAUGUGACACCCCAGUAGUCCCACAUCGGAUGGGAAAGGGGUUGUCAUUGGGUUGAUAAGAGACUUAGACACUAGUAAUAAUAACUGGGCUUAAGCAUUUUGGGCUGUGGUUGGGCCCAACGAGUUAUUAUUGCUAGUGGGCUGGAUCGUUAUAUUUGGUAUCAGAGCCGGUUCACCAGCUGGACAUGUGUGGCGAGUCUCGGCUGAGUCAGGGUCUGAAUGACGGGCUAGCGAGACGAGUCUCACAUCGCCUGGUGAUCUUGGGCUGUGUGUGUGUUUGGACUGACGAGGACGUCAGGGCCUUAACGGGGGGAGUCUGUGACACCCCAGUAGUCCCACAUCGGAUCGGAAAGGGAUUGUCAUUGGGUUGAUAAGAGACUUAGACACUAGUAAUAAUAACUAGGCUUAAGCAUUUUGGGCUGUGGUUGGGCCCAACGAGUUAUUAUUGCUAGUGGGCUGGAUCGUUAUAGUAGAUAAAGUCUAAUGGCGGACCAAUCUUGAUUUCAAAACUAAAUCAGUUGAAAAACAAUCUUGUAUGCACGAAUGCUCGGUAUGCUGAUAUAUACCAGUCUAGUCUCUUUCUCUCGCUCUCUCUCUCUUCUCUGUCUCUUAUAUAUAUUAACAUAAUGAUAUAUAUAAUAAUAUAUAUAUCAAUGUAGUAAUAUAUAUAUAUAAUAUCUAUUGACUAAUAUAUAUAUAGGGCUUCUUUUGCAUUUGGUCUCCUCGAAAAAUUUAUUUUAAAAAUAGCCCAGCAAAUUUAUAUUUGCAAAAAUGACCAUAAUCCUAUCACGUAGGCGCCACGUGAGCAGAGCUGGGCCUGGUUUGUUAAGUUGAACAUGGUGAACCAUUCACCUUGUUUAAACACGGUGAAUAGUUCACUGUGUGUAAACACGGUGAAUGGUUCACCGUGUUUGGAAAAAAUACAAAUAUACAUAUUGCGAAAAAAUAUAAGAAAAAUAUAAGUACGGAACACGAUGAAUCAUUCACCAUAUUUGAAUACGGUGAAUGGUUCACCGUGUCUAGAAAAACUAUAUGUAUUGCGAAAAAAUAUAAAUAUUGAAAAUAGGGAAGAAGGGGAAUAUAAGUAUAGAACACGAUGAACCAUUCACCGUAUUUGAACACGGUGAAUGAUUCACCGUGUUCAACUUAACACCCCUCUAGCUUGCAUGGCGCUGAUGUGGCGCCUGGUUGGCGGGGAUAUGACCAAAUUUGCAAUUAUAAAUUUGAUGGGACUAUUUGUAAAAAAAAAAUUUUGAGGGGCCAAAUGCAAAAAAACCCAUAUAUAUAUAUAUAUAUAGAGAGAGAGAGAGAGAGAGAGAGAGAGAGAGAGAGAGAGAGAGAGAACUAGGCUGGAAUGUUAUUAAUAGCACCAAACUAUUGGUGCUAUUAGAUUUCGGCCUUUGGAUGAAAAAAUGUACAGUUAGGAUGAUAUGGNNNNNNNNNNNNNNNNNNNNNNNNNNNNNNNNNNNNNNNNNNNNNNNNNNNNNNNNNNNNNNNNNNNNNNNNNNNNNNNNNNNNNNNNNNNNNNNNNNNNNNNNNNNNNNNNNNNNNNNNNNNNNNNNNNNNNNNNNNNNNNNNNNNNNNNNNNNNNNNNNNNNNNNNNNNNNNNNNNNNNNNNNNNNNNNNNNNNNNNNNNNNNNNNNNNNNNNNNNNNNNNNNNNNNNNNNNNNNNNNNNNNNNNNNNNNNNNNNNNNNNNNNNNNNNNNNNNNNNNNNNNNNNNNNNNNNNNNNNNNNNNNNNNNNNNNNNNNNNNNNNNNNNNNNNNNNNNNNNNNNNNNNNNNNNNNNNNNNNNNNNNNNNNNNNNNNNNNNNNNNNNNNNNNNNNNNNNNNNNNNNNNNNNNNNNNNNNNNNNNNNNNNNNNNNNNNNNNNNNNNNNNNNNNNNNNNNNNNNNNNNNNNNNNNNNNNNNNNNNNNNNNNNNNNNNNNNNNNNNNNNNNNNNNNNNNNNNNNNNNNNNNNNNNNNNNAUCCACUGUAAUAAAAAAAUUAAUUGUUAAUUUAAAUUUGAUAUCAAAAAUUAAAUUAAAUUCAUGAUUUAAACUCAAAUUUAAAUUUUAAUGUAAAAUAGAUGGAUAGAAAUGCUAUUUUUUAACAGAUUGAUUAUAACUGUUCAUUUUUAUUUGAAAUAUUUUUAACGAAUUGAUCAUAACUGUUCGUGGAAUUAGAUUUAUAGAUGGAUAUAAAUGUUAUUUUUUAACAGAUUGAUUAUAACUGUUUGUUCAUUCUUAUUUGAGAUAUUUUUUAAUAAACUGUCUGUCAUUGUAGGAAUUUCUAUACGUUUUUAUAUGUAGUAUAGAUAUAGAUAUAUUAAUAUUUUAAUAACAUAUAAUUAUAAAAUACUGAUUUCUAGAUCAAAUUAAGUAUAUAUGAAUUUUCAAAUUUUAUUUUUUAUAAAACUAAUCUGUGCUAAUAGAAAAUAAAAUAAGAUCAGUUGAUUUUAAGCCGUCAGAUUUUAAUAUAAAUUGAUAACAAAAUCCGAUCGCUUUGAAAACCGGACUGAUUCACUAGUUUAAUGGUUGAACUGCCGAUUCCAACCGAUCAAAGCGAUUUUUUAGCUUUUGUGAUCCAAAUUAUUAAACCGGACUAUUUUACAAACUAGAUUAUGAUCAGAUCGGUUGAACUAGCUGCUUCGAGCCGAUUUAUAAAUCACUGUAAAAAUCUAUAUGAGGGUUGAUUCAGUAGGACUCUAAUAAAGUAAGAGGGCGGAUCCAAGUCGACUUCUCUAAAAUAUCUCCUCAUAUAUUUUUUUUGUUUUGAUCCAAAGUCGAAUUGUUGGUUGAUUUGUAAUUUUGUUGUUCUCAUUUUCGUAUCUUUUAGCUUUUUGUGAUGUAUAAAAAAAAAAAAAAAAAAAAAAAAAAAAAAAAAAAAAAAAUUGUUGCUAAGGAAAGUUAUUAUACAAGUUGACUCUACCUACUAAAUUAUGUACUGCACUUUUGGGUUUUUUCCAUUCGCCUUUUGGGUGUAUUCGUGGAUGUUUAGUAUGCAAGAAUUUUAUUCUGAUUUCAAAUUUCAGAUAUAUAAUGUGUUUUCCAAUCAUCUAUUUUUCUAAUCCGGUCAAAAAAGUCGAAUUUAAAACUAAACUUGAACGGCAUAAAAGCUUAUUUUGAAAAUAUCAUAAUUAUAAGAACUAGAUUACUAUACUAUCAAUAGCACCAAAUUAUUAGUGCUAUUAAAUUUUCGAUCCUCGGAUAAAGGGAUGUACUGUUAGGAUGAUAAUGAUCUCUUAGGAUUGAGCGGGUGAUUAGUUGAAUAAUAUAAUCUAAUGAAUGAAAAUGAUCGCAAAGGUAGAUCUAACGACGGAAAGUUUGAUAACAUGAAGCACUUGGUAUUAUUAAUAGCAUAAUAUCCGUACUCCUAAUUAUAAUUUAUAUAUUUGAUUUGAAAUUAAAUUUAGCUAUUAAACUUUAAUUUUUAAUUAAAGUUGAAAGUCUAAUUUAUAAUUGAUUUUUAAUUUAAAUUUUUUAUUUGAACAAUCAAGCAUUUUGAAUUUGAGUUAUUUAAACUUAAAAAUUUAUUUUAUAAUUUGAAUUUUUAUUUGAACAAUCAAGCAUUUGGAAUUUGAGCUAUUAAAUUAAAAUUUUUAAUUCAAAUUUUAUGUUAAAAAUUUAAAAAUUUUGAUUUUUUAAAAAUAUAUUUAAAUAGACUUAUCGUUUUAAAAUAGUGAUGCUAACAUUUAAUAUUUAAGUUUUAAUUUUAAGUAUAAAUUGUAGAUUUAACUCUAUGCUUAGAGUUGCGAACUCAAUUUUUUAUUUAGUUUUAGGGUUAAUAACAUAGAAAUUUUCUGUAAACAUAGCGAAUUGUAAAUAUAUCCCUAUAAAGUUCAACUUUCUUAUUUUAUCCCUACAAAAGGCCUAAAGUUUUCAAAUAUUUCUCUGCCGUUAGGAUUCGAUAGAAAAAUUUAGUUAUCUAUAGGUUAAAUACUUAACCCUAGUUAGUUAAUAAGGUAACUUGAUAUUUUUAUACCUCUUAUAUAUACCUUCUUCUCUCAACCAAAACCCUAGCGAUGGGAUUUUUUUCUCUUCCUUUAUACUAGUUUUGAAUCCAUAACUAGAAUUUCUCCAUCUCCAUUCAACCAUGACGCGUGUUGUUUCGCCUAUAUAAAUCGCGUAUUACUUUUUCAUUCAAUUUUUUCUACGACUUCUUUUUUAUUUUGCUCAAAAGAAAAGGUUAAGGAAAAAAGGAGCGAGAAAAGAGGUUGCACGAUUAUAACUGUUGGGUCUUUUGGAGGAAUAUAUUUGUGAUGACAAAAUUGACAUUUCACUAUUAAAAAAUAAAUAAUUCUUUAACGGUAAUAAAUCAGAGAGACAAAUAUAAAUAUCACUGAAUUUUUACAGGAAUAACAUGAAAAAAUAAACUUUGUAAGGAUAUAUUUGCAAUUCGCUAUAUUUACAGAAAGCUGUAUGCAAUUAACCCUUAAUUUUGUAUUAACAUUUAAUUAUUUUUUUUAUAGUCAAUAUUUUUUCAUUCCAACCGAACAGUGAAGAUAGGAAUCAAUUAUUCCGAUUCCAAUUAUUAUUCUAAACAAAACAUAGAAAUAUUUUACAAUUCUAUUUCUGAUUCCAAUCCAUUCCGAUUUUGAAUUCUAUUUUGAAUCAAACGUUAGGCCAGAUGAAAAUACUCCGAACCAAACGGGUCCACAACACUUUCACUUAAAAGCACUAUAAAAUCCGCGCUAGGGCUAAACACUAUCUUUCUUAUUCCAUCUUACCUAACCAAACGCUAUUUUUUUUAUUCUCAGGAAUAAUCCAAUUUUCAUCCAAACGCAAAAUUGAUUUAAUCCCCGCUCAUACCUCAAUUUAUACCUAUCCCUUGAAUAGCUACUUUUUUCUUAUCCUCGAACCAAAAAAUACCUAUAUGGUUAAAACCGCAUCACCGGACCACAUUGAUCUAAUUCGAUCAAUAAGAUUCAAUUUAAUCAAUUUUUGUUUACUAAAAAGUUGAAUUAUGUGUUAUCUUUUAAAAUAUUCUGAAAAAUAAAAUAAAAUAAAAUAUUCUACUUGAUCUAACAAAAUAUUUGUUAUUAUUUCCUCUCAACUCUUUUAAUAUAAAUUAAUUUUAAAUAUAAAUAUUUUUCGAACAAAUCUAAAUGGUUGCCUAUAUUAUAAUCCUAAAGGCUAAAGGCCCAACUUAAAAAGACCCAAAUUGAUCAAACCGACCGAAUCGAAUGGGUCAGUUCGGUUUAGAAAACGAUAAAAUCAAAAAAAUUCAAUUAGAUCCAACAUUCUGAAGGAUCAAAUGGGCUCGGCUCGAACCACUUUAAAUUCAGCUACAACCUGAAAUUGCUAAGUAACAAAUUAAAUUCAAAAUUUAUUCGUUAUAAUUAAAAUUUAUUAUUGGAUAAAAUCUAACCCAUUCCAUCCAAACCGAUCGAACCGACCGAAUGCUCUCCCCUAACAACACCGGAAAUUUGUACCAACCAAGUUAUAGGUAAAAAAAAAAAAACAAAAACAAAAAGCGAAAAGUGAAAAAUAUAUAUAAGAAUGAGCAAAGCAAUUGCAAGAAAAGCUUUUGUACACCCUUAUUAUUGCUCUCCCCCAAACCAUCUGAAAUUUGUCCAAAUGCACAUGUUCUCACAAGGUAAAGAUUAAAAACUGUACAUAUGUUCAUUUUUUAUGACCUAAGAGGCCCUAAGAACCUUAAACUGAUCAGACUCAACCCGAACUCGACCUGACUACACUCUUCAGACAAAAUCGGUUCAAUGCGACCGGCGCGACGAGCCCCGGCCCAGCCAAACAGAGACCCUUCCAAAGGGUUGCUUACCCUUGAAAAUAUUGGUGUUAUUGCUACUGUGAGAUGAUAUCAUCUCCGAUUGCUGCAGUAUUUCCCACAUUACCUGCACAUCCUGAUACUCGCAAGUUUGAACGUCGUUGUGAAGCUUUAGAAUCCCACUACCUGCGACAAUUACAUGACAAAUGAGAAAGAUGGUUAGUUUCCAUGCAAAAAAAGUAAUUAAAAUUCUAUUGAGUCAACUUUUUUUUUUUUUUUUUUUUUUUUUUUUUUUUUUUUUUUUUGUAACUCCAAACGUUGAAUCGAAUCGUUGUUACUUCACUGCUUUAAGAUGAAAAUGAAAUCAAUUGAGUUGUAAUUUGAACACCGAUGGUUGUUGGGACCUGGAUCAGUUAUUAGGGAUCUAAAUAGUUGCAUUGUUUUGUUUCAAAUUUAGAAUUAAAAUUCAAAGUAGGAUCUAAAUGGUUAUGCUGAUCGUUUGAUUAUGGAUUCUGACUUGGGUCUACUAAUAUCGAAAAUGAUAAAAAAAAAAAAAAGAAAAGAAAAGAAAAUGGAGAUGAAUAUGGUGGGAAUGUAACAUUCAAAGAUGACACAUGUUUGGGACUUUUGGUAGCUGCCACUUGGAGCCCAAAUCGUCACUCUCUGCAUUAUAACAUUUUUAACUUUUUAGUAAACAUUAUCUUUAUCAGAACUUACAAAUAUAUAUAUAUAUAUAUAUAUAUAUAUAUAUAUAUAUAGAGAGAGAGAGAGAGAGAACAUUUUGCUAGACUAUUAUCGAUAGUAAAUAUCUUAAUUUACUAUCAAUUUAUUUUCAAUAGUAGAGUUUUUAAAUCAACGAUAGAUAUUAUUGAAUAUGAUCUAGAUCCUUUAAACUAUCUAAAAAUCAAAUUCCAUGCUUUCCGAUAUUAUUCUUUUGUCCAUCAUGUGGACAUAAAAUAAAUGGUUGAAAAUAAACGUACACUCCUUAAAAAAGUAAUGAUACAAUUUUCAUAUUCAAAAUCUAGAGUCAACAUCUUAUUUUAAAUACUUUAAAAAUUAUUUUAAUAAAACUUCAGCUAAUUUAGACUUUUAUAUAUCGUUAAAUGAGCAAAUGCACCUUAUCGAUUAUUAAAAUUAUUAAAUUUUGUACCCUUUAAUCGUUCGGUUAGUGAUGUUGAAAAAGUAUAAAAUUUCAUUUCUACAAAAUUUAAAUGGUCUAAAGCAUGUUCAAAUAUGCCAAUUAUCAAUUUGAAACUUUAUCAUAAAAAAUAAAUGCUUAGUAAAUUAAGUUGUUCUCUCUCUCUCUCUCUCUCUCUCUCUAUAUAUAUAUAUAUUAUAUUUAUUAAAUGUAAAGAGAUAUAUAAUCAAGGCACCGUAGAAAUUAAGUGGAGGAGGGUUUAUAAUACAACUCAUCUGAACCUUAAUGCGAUAUGCGAAAACGAUAUAAAAUGCUUUGUAUCUCCACAAACUUCGCCUACGUAUUGAUGCAAUAUUGGUUUUAUUCCAGAGCAUCUUAAAUUAUUUUGCAUGGACUAAUUAGAAUUCCCCGCAUCAUAUGUACAAACACACCGACCAUAGCAGCAUAGAAUUAUUGUCCGGACCCACCACUCAAUGAUAAAAAGUAAAAUCAUAAAAAAACAAACCAGAAAAGGUUAAAAAAAGAAAAAAAGAAAAAAAACUUCUUUAUUAGAAAUUUCUUAAUCAAAGAUUAUUGUCCUUAGUUGUUAAAACCAAGUUUAAUUAAAAUUCCCUUUUAAUUACUUGCUAACAUUUCCAAACAAAUCUCCAGUACCAGGUCAGAGAAUUCUAAAGGAAAGAGAAUGUGCAUGCGGAACGCGUGCGUAGAAAAAUUCUAUUACUUAGCCGACUUAUGAAAUUGUCGGUAUCAGUUGAGAUCGAUCAUGCUUUUCUGAAGAGAAGCACGAUAAAAUUACGUUUUCUACGUGAGCAGAAAUUUCUUACACACUAUGAAUUCAGAAGAAAUGAAGUAAAGAGAGAGAGGCGGUAAUCUCACCGUCUUUUCUGCUCCUGACCCUCGCGGCGACGGCGACCAGCGCCCGCUUCACCGGCAGCACCAGCACCUUCCUCCACCACUCCAUCCCCUCCUUCCCCUCCCUCCCUUAAUUAAUGCCCCCCUCCACUUCAACGCAUGGAUAUAUUAAUAAGGCAGAGAUGUAUAUAUGUAUGUGUAUGUUAUCAAUGCGAAGGUAAUAAUUAAUACUUGGAGAGAGAGAGAGAGAGAGAGAGAGAGAGAGAGAGAGAGAGAGAGAGAGAGAGAGGAGGCGAGAGAAGAGAAAACGAGGAGUGGGGGUGUUAAAAAUACUCGGGGAUGCCACCUACCCACCCCGAGAACUGUCCACGUUGCCUCGUCCCUCGCGCCAGGCGCCUCUUCCUCCUCGCUCCUCUCCUUCUCUCUCUCUCUCCUCUACCCUUUUGCUCCCUCUAAAAAAGAUCUUUGUCUUGUACUAAGGCAAAGUUGCAUAAAGAUCACUCAACUAUAAGCUAUUCUGAAACAUCCCCUCAACUACAUUUUAUUUUGGAUAAGCGCUACCUGUACACGUCAAAAAAAUAGUGUAUAUCUUACAUUACAUCCUCUCUAGGAAUGCAAACGGAGCGGAUCUGGGGUAAAAGUGUUUCCCUACCUUCUGCUCCAUUUCUUGUCAGGUCGGAAAGGAUUCAGAACAAGUUUAUUUUUUAUUUCAAGGCGGAUUACGGUGAAAGCGGAUUUUUGGCACAUUUUCAUAGAUCGGAAUGGAUUGAAGGAAAAAAAGGGUCUCCCGCCUCCUGCUCCAUUUACUUGGCGGAUCGGGUCGAAUUUGAGACGGAUUAUAUUUUUUCUGUACUCUUUUGUUCUCACUUACCAUUCCAUUCGGAACGGAUCAGGAUGGGAGCUCCACCAACCAGGAUCCAAACGCAUCCCUAAUUGUCUCAUUUGAGGUUUAGAUUUUUUUUUAUAUUUAAAUAUUUUUUCUAGUUACACGUUUAGAUACUGGAAUAAGUUGCGCGGUAAUUAUUUUUUUUUUACAUAAACUUUUUGUAUUAUAAUUUAAAGCUAUAUUGUAUGGAUGUUUUAGGAUGUAUGUCACCUUCAAAUUAUUAUUUUAGAAUAAAAUAAAUUAUCCCGCAAGUUAAAUAUAUUAUUUUAUUUGUCAAACUCAACCUCCUACUUUAUUCAAGAAAAUCUUAAUUCUUAAUAUAUUAUAGUCAAAUAAUUUAUUUCAGCAACUAAACAAGGCCUUAAUUUUUUAAAUUCAACUCAAUCGGAAAAAAAAAAAAGCAGUUUAUUUCAGAAAGUCAAACAGAGGAGGGGUCUCCUCGCAUUUUUGCCGAGUAUUUUUUUUUAAACACCUACAAGAAAGGAAGAGGGAUUAUUAAUUAUUAUACAUUGAGAAGUCACUUUCCUUAUAAUUUUUCAGUUACCGGCUUAUCCGGUUACUCCAAGGCAUGACUCGCGUGCACCGCCACCGCCACGUGCAGCUCACCUGCCGGUGUUCACGUGCAGAACUUCGUUUCCCGGUCACGGUGCACCACGGGCCAUGCAUGGACCGUCCUCUGCCAAUAAUCCAUGUAUCCCGUUUGGUUCAGGGAUAAGAAGCGGAAUAAUCCCUUAUCCCUUUUAUACCCAAAUACUACUUUUUUUUUUUUUAUCCAAAAAUAAUAGUUCUCGAGUAUUUAAAAUAAGUUGAGAUAAUUCGGUAUAAAUCUGGAAUAGUUGUUCCACCUUUAUCCUUAGAACAACCGGGAACAAAAUUAUUUAAACUUUAAAUAAUAAUUUUAAGUUAUUAAUUAAUCUAAUUAAUAUAUUUUAAUUAUUAAUUAAUUUAAUUAAUAUUAAAUUAUUAUUCUUGGAUAAUUUGCUAAGGGUGGGAAGAGCUGUUGGGAUGUUCCCACCCUAUUUUUAUUUUUAAAAUUUAAAAUUUAAAAUUUUAAUAUUUAAAAUUUAAAAUUUAAAAUUGUUAAUUUUUAAAAUUUAAUAUUUGAUAUUAUUCAAAGUUAAAUUUAAUCUUUAAUUUAAAGUUUGAAAUUUAAAAUUUAAAAUUUUAAAAUUUAAAAUUUGAUAUUUUAAAUUUUAAUUUUUAAUUUAAAUUUUUAAAAAUUUAAUUUUAAAUUUAAAAAUAUAAAUAUAAAAUUUAAAAAAUUAAAAAAUUAAAUGCAAAUAUAAUGAGAGGGGUAGCAUUAUUAUUUUUUAUUUAUAACUAUCUAUUAUUCUUCUUAUUCCAUCUUAUCUGUUCAAACGCUAUUUUUUUAUUUUCGAAAACAAUCUAAUUUUCACCCAAACGCAAAAUUAUUCUACUUCUUGCUUAUACCCAUUAGUUAGUUAAUUCGCGAAUUAUUCAUGAAUUUUUGAAGAAAUGAAUUAAGCAGCCGUAUUCGUAUUUUUCCAAAAAAUUCGAAAAAAAUGCAUUUUUUUGGUAAAAAAUACUUAUUCUUGAAUAAUUCGCAGGCGCUGAAUUAUUCGCCCAAAAAGACGCGCGGUCGCUGUCGCGCUCGAGCUCGCGCUCGCGCUUGCGCGCUGGUCGCGGGCCUCGCGGCUCGCCCAAAACAGAAAAAAAAACCCUGUUCGCCUCGCCCAAAACUGAAACCCAGCAAAUCUCUUCUUAUUUGCUUAAUUAUUUAUUUAUUUUGAGACAUAAUAUAGUUUGCUAUUUUUUUUUACUUAAUUAGCUUAAUUUUGUAGCUCUUUAUUGUUAUAUUCUUAAGAAAUAUAAAUAUUUAUAAUAAUAGCAUAAAUUUUGAGAGAAAAAAAACUUAGUUUAAUAGCCGAAUUUUUUAUCCCAAAUUUUUAAUUGGUGAACGUAUAAUAUCCAUGUAAAUCACCUAUUCGAAUAAUUGAUAAAUCCAUUUUUUGGCCGUAUUUUUCAACAAAUCUAAAAAUUAGAAGACGAAUUUCAUCCGAAUUAUAUCCGUACCGAUUUUUCGUCGAAUCUGAAUUAACUAACUAUAUUUAUACCUAAACUUAUAUCUAUCAUUGGAAUAGACAAUUCUUGCUUAUACCCGAACCAAACGAUACCUUAGGACGUGUUUGCUUCCACUUUCUUUAAUUCUAAAAUCAGAAUCGAAAUAAAUAAAUCUCGUUGUAGUGUUUGGUACACGCGAGUUCCAUUUCCAUUUCAAUUUUCAGGUGGAAGGGGAAUACCCCAAUUCCCCCAUUUUCCAAUCCAGCUACCUCGGUUGAAUUGGAACUUGAAUCAAGGAGAAAAUAAUGCACCUUAGAAAAAUAUCUCAAUUAUAUUUUAUAUUUUUAUUUAAAAUUAAAUUAAAUUUUUUGAUUUAAUUUUUAAUUAAAAUAUAAAUUUAAAUUUAGAAAUUAAAUUUAUAAUUCUAGUUUUUGAUUUAGAAAUUAAAUUAAAAUAUAAAGCAUUUUGAAUUUGAUCUAUAAAUAUAAAUUUAAUUGUAAGUUUGAUUUUGAAUAAAAUAAAAAAUUAGUUUAUAUUUUGAAUUGUCCAUUCAAUUUAAAAUUUAAAAUUUUUAAAAAUUAUAUUUAAAAUUUUAGCUUAUCAUUUUAAUAUUUUGAUGUAAAUUUUUAGUAUUUAAAAUUUAUUUUGAAUUGAAAUUAUAAAUUUAAUUUUAUGUUUUGAGGUACAAACUAAAUUUUUAUUUUAUUCAAAAUCGUAUUUUAAUUUAAUUUUAAUUAUUUUCUUGGUAAUAUUGAAAUAUGAAUUAAUCAUACCGAUUUUCGAUUGUUAUUCUGAACUAAACAUAUUCGGAGGUUUUUUCAUUCCGUUUCUGAUUCCUAUCCAUUCCGAUUUCAUUUCUCAUUUUGAACCAAACACACUCUCCGAGCUGUUGAAUUAAAGAUUUAUUUUGGUUUGGUACAUUUUGUUACUUUAUUUUAGACUUAUGUAUGCAGAGUCGAUUCUAUCCUAGAAACUGAUGCAUCGGCCUUUGGGUGUUGUAGUUGAAAAUUAAAGCAAAGAUUUAAUUGCGGUAGAUGAAAUUAUACCUAAAUUGGCUAUAGUUUUUACCGUGUCCAGUAGAGAAAGAGUAAAUUUAAAAUAAGAGGUAAGUUUAUCUAUCCAACUUUCUUUCAAUCAAAACAAAAAACAAAACAUCUUCUAUAUUUGAAGUAAACUCACCACCUUCACACAUCAAAGUGAUAAAAUUUAUAAAUACAAUUUCCAAUUGCAUACAGGUAAAUAAAUUAUUUGUAGUUAGAAUACUUUUUACUACAUUCAACAAGUUAUGUCCAACUACAAUUAUUGCAUUUUUAUAUGCACGCAUCUCUUACUACUGCAUUUACAAGUAUAUCCUCAGAUAGCCCACCAAUUUAUCCUCUGUUGUAAAUUAAAGUUUUCUUAUGUCUUUCUUGUCGGAUCGUUGGCGCUAACCAUUAAUCCCAAAAGCUCGAGUUUUUAGAAAUAUGCAACAAAUUCACUUAAAGCGUACAAAAACAGCGCCCACGAAUCUCGAUUGUGACUCGGCCCACUUAGCUUUACGCUACUUCGAACAUGACUCGGCCCAACCCAGCCUUACGCUAUUUAGAACAUGACUCGGCCCACAUGGCCUCUCACCACAGGGCAGGAUGCUAGCCUAUUUAAGUCAAUAAUCCUCCCUCCAGCACCUGCACAUAUUUGCAGCAUGCGGGAAUCGAACCCAUCGAACCCGUGAUCUCUGGCUCUGAUACCACUUGUAGGAUCGUUGGCGCUAACCAUUAAUCCCAAAAGCUCGAGCUGUUAGAAAUACGCAGCCAAUUCACUUAAAGCGUACAGAAACAGCGCCCACGAAUCUCGAUUGUGACUCUCACCUGGCCUCACGCCACUUCGAACAUAAUUCGGUCCAACCCAACCUCAUGCCAUUUUGAAUAUGACUCAGCUCACAUAGCCUCCCGCCACAGGGCAGGAUGCUGACUCAUUUAAGCCAACAUUUCUAAGUCUUACUAAAAUAGAAAAUAAAUUUGUUUUAUAUGGAAAUGAGAAAUGGUUAUGACUUAUGACCUACAUGUUACUUCAGAAAACAAUAUAUCAAAAUAAAAUAUCUUUUGUAAUAUAAUUUAACACUAAACUACAAUAUUACAAAAUAAUCAAACUUUUCAUUAUCUCAAAUAGUCCAAUAGGGUUAGUUAAUUUGGUAAAUCACUUGCCGUAUAAGCAUAUAACUUCCCUAUGCUGUGGAUUUCCCAAAAAAUAUACAUGAGAAAUCGUAACAAUACUUUUAUUAAAAACUAAUUUCCCUACAAUUCAGCUAGAGGGAAAAAAAUACUUAAAUUUCAAUAGUUUUUACUUAGAUUGAUUUGACAUUUUUCUUAUACUUUUUUUUUUUCUACUUUCGUCUAGGUUUAUUUGUUCUCCGGCCAUUAUAAUAUCAUUUUAUUUAUGAGUUGUAAUACUUUGUUCAUAAUUUAAGCAAAGUAGCAUACUAGUAAAAAGUUGUGGAACUUUUUGUUCCAUUUUUGCACAAAUUGCUAACUAAUUGGAUCUCAACCGUGCAUCAGUAUGGUGACAAGAAAUCAAUUUAAAUACUCAAUAAUGAUACAUGUACUAAAUUUUUAAGAUGUUGAUGGUUGUGUCCCGAAUGCAUCCAUGCAAAAAUGUGGUGAAAGUAAAUGCAACAUACGGAUACCUCUGGUAUUGCCAAUACAAAUCGACCAAUUGCAUAAACACCGCCAUCACCAUAUCGCCAACCUCCAACCAUUGUGUAUUAUUCCAAAAUAACUCGUCAUAACGUACCUGACCAUUCAUGCGAACGUUAUUCAUCCUCAUUGAUAUUAACUGAAUUGUAUUUCUUUGGUCCCGUGUGUCUUUGGCCAUCCUAGUUUACAUCAUCCUAACUAAUUUGAAUGGAAUGUACGGUAACCCUUGGCACCUUUUCUAUAUCCUGCCAUCCAGGCGUACGGACGUUCAGAUCAUAUCUAAUCUUGUCCUAUUUGUAGCAUUAGGCCACGUCAAGGCCUACUAAACUCGGCGUAUAUUGAUUCAUGCGCACUUUCUCUAAAUCUUCACUUUACUGAUCAUGCAAAUAGUGCUAUCAUUGAUAUACACUUGAUUGAUUCUCAUGCAUAUAGCCGUAUAGCUCUCUUUUUUGAGUCAUUGACUCAGUCAUCGAUAUAUAUGCCUCCGUCAUCGAUGCCUUGGGCCUCUGUCUGGCACAUAAAAUCUCGGGUCACUACCUAGAGCCACAAUACCAUGGGUUAUUGCCCAAUCCACAUGUACAUUCUCUGUAUCCAAGGGAAAGUCCGAUCUUUGCAAUAGCAAAUGUAGUACCAUCCCACCCAAACUGAGAGGAAACUCAAUUCAUGCGAACAAACCAUUGGUAUCCCAACUAGACCAUGCAUAUCAAACAAAUUAUACAACAUAUGCAUGUUCAACAUGAUCCAAAUACCAAAUUUCGAACAACCAAUUAAUUCAUGAUGCUCAACUUGAAGUCCCACAUAUAAGAACAUACAUAGGUACUAAAGCGACAAGUCCGACUGCCCCAAAUGUAAUAUGCCAACAAUGUUUCUAUGUAGAUGCUAUAUGGUCAUAAAUACAUGAAUAAAACGACAUUCUUGAUGUGGAUUCCAACAAUCGGCAAAAAAUGUUGUGGUGUAUUGGACCCAAAUUCGUAAGAAUCUAGUAUAAAAUAUCUUCAAUACCGUUUGAUAGAUCUUGGGGAAAUUACAUUUAGUUAGUUUGAGUUUGAAGCAAAACGGACACGAAAAUAGAGUCCGAAAACUCAUUCUAUUGAAACUUCAAUUUCGGUGAAGUAUCGAACGUCUAGAACCACUUGUGUGGGCCUAGAAUCUGUACAUAACUCGGAACCGACUUAGUUGGACCCGAAUCUAUCGGAUCCUGGACCGGAAGCCUAGAACCCAUUUUAGACGCUCAACUAAAGAGCUCGGGUUAUAUUUCAAUUAAUUAUUCAGGCACUCAGAACCACUUUUGGGUGCCCAAAAUUGAGAAGAUGGUGUUUUGGGCGUUCGGAACCCUUGGUUUGAGAGCUCAGAAAUGGCUUUUGGGCGCUCGAAAUAUAUUCCGAGUGCCAAAAACGUGUCCCGGACUGAGAAUGGGUUAUAUUGCAAAUUUUUUAUUUUUAGGGGUUGAAAUGAAAUUGUUGCCACUUUAUAAAUACACUCACCCUAGCAGGCCUAUCGUAUCUCUGUUACUCUAAGAAGCCCUAAGGUCACCCUCUCUUCUAUUCUUUCUUCUUCUUUCUUUCUCUCACUUUUAAUUUCUAUGUUAUUCUAACCUCUAUUUCGUUUCAAACCUUUUGAAGUUGGAGUUCGAGUUGACAAAGAUAUAGUUUGAGAUAUUGAUCAACAUGUUUUAGGAAUGUUGGGUCAAGUUAGAACCACUAUGGUAUAAAAUUGAUGCAAAAACAGGCUUGGAAAUCAGAUUCCGGAGGAUACUGAGUUUCUAGUGAUUUUUCGGACAUUUGAAACAGGGUGUCUGGGCACCCAGAGGUGCUGUAGUUGGGCUGAUUCAAUUUUGGAUCUCACUUGGGGACAUUCAAAUCUACUGAAGGAGCAUCUAAAUAGGUUUUGGGCUAUGAAUCCAGACGCCCGGUAUUAUUCUAGUAGUCUGAAAAUUGGUCGGUGAUUAAGUCAGUGAGUUGAUGACUCAUUGUGCUGACUAAUCAAGAUAACUCAUUUAGUUUUCGGACACAUGAAUCGAGUGCCUAAAAAAUAAUUCGGGUGCUCUUGAAAUGGGUUCUGGACAACUAGGAGCAUGAGGAGGCAUCCUAGUUAGCUCGAGCAUAAGGUUUCGAACGCCCGAAUCACAAACAUCCGAAAUGUCCGAUUUUGGUUAAAAGUGGAAAUUUUGUAAUUUGGGGACUUAAAUACAAUUGUUAUAUUCUUUAUUGGCUAAAUUAUAGACAACCUUUCUGUCAAAAUUCAUUUUUUUCACUUCGCCCCUUACAUUAAGAAAAGUACACUUUUUCCCCUCCUAGUUACAAAAUUAUCCACAGAGGGGCUACACUAUUAACGAAAAGGGCGAUAUGACGAUAAUGCCCUUACUUUUUAUUGGACAGAGUGAGCGCGGAAGUGUUGUGUCAUUUGUUUUCUUGUUGAAGAGGAGAUCUAGCGUUUGAUCCGGGGAGGAGGACAAGCCAGUUCGAAGCACAGGACAAAGGCAAGCGCCUUCAAACAAAGGAGUAGGGCGAGAGAGUUGACCUAGGGAGGAAGAUGAUCGAGCUUGAAUGAGGGAGCCUCUUACUCUUUUGAGGUGUAUUUAGAUUUAAGAGUUGAAGUGUUAAUUUAGUUCAUGUAGUCCUUUUUGUUCUUGUGGUUUGAGCAAUUCUUUCGGGAUCUAUGGUUUUGUGUUAUUUUGUUUCAUUUUUAGUUAUUUUGAAGUUUGGUUUAAUACUUUCUAAGAUGAAAUGCUUGUAGUCCCCAAAUAUUUUAGUGAUUUGUAUGUGAUGCAUUUAAAUUUUUGUUUUAAGUGUACUAUUUGAGAUCAUAGUUUGCUAAAUACAUGGCGUCCUACUGUUUUCUAAUUAAUUCUUCUUCUUCUUUCCAUUUUCUAUACGCAUUUAAUUAGUUGAUGACAAUAUAUUUUAAUUUUUCUUUGCAUUUGUAUACUGUUUUUUCUAAUUUAUUACAUCAUAUAGAUGGAAUUGAGGACUCUUGAAUUCACUUUGGUGGAUUUUUUGAAGGAAAUCUUAUAACAGAAUACUGUAGAGGAAAAAUAUCAUAUGACAAUAAUGUGGACCAAGACUUGAUGUCGAUUAUUGAAAUAUGGGCUAUGCUUGAGAGCCAUGAGUUGAGAGCCAUAGUUUAAUAAAAGAAUCAAUUAUAUACUACACUAUGCCUAUUGGAGAUAUAACUAAUAGUCUGAAGCUUGUGGAUGGUGAUAAAGCGGUUCUAGAGAUGCUUAAGUGCCAUGAUGAAUUUGGCGUCAUUAUGCUCUAUGAGUUUCCCCUGAAUGGUAGAUGAGGAGGGUAUAAAUGAUCCCACUAAAGAUAUGGCUAUAUAAGUGGAGCAAUUGAAGAAAAAUAUCAACAAUGUUGAGACUGAGCUCUAGAAAGAUGUAUCUGAACAUGGGAAGGAAGUGAAUGCAACAAGAGAGCCUAGUAAUGACUCCAUGGAUAAAAAGGUUGACGAUGAUGGAAUGAGUAAGGCUAUUGAUUGAAAUGUAACUGAAGGGGUCGAAGAUAACAAUGAAGAGGCUGAAGGUGAAUCGGAAAGUGACAGUGAGCAUGAAUGAAGAAAAUUUGGUGAUAAUGAUGAGAAUAGUAUUAAUAAUAGUGAUUUCUGUAUUAAUACAAACAAUGUAGAGGGGGAGAAUGGUAUUGAUGGGACAGGUGAGGGGGUGCCACUACUUCUGAACCAAAAUAUGCUGAGGAUAAUGAGCAAGGAGCAAAUAGACUAUCAGCCUAUUGAUGAUCUUGGUAGUAUGUCCUCAUUAGAUGAAGAUGGUCCUUCAUGGACAAAGUAUUCUAUGUUCAAACAAAAAGAUUUGGAGAGAACAGAGCUAAAACUAGGCAUGAACUUUGCAUUAGUUGCAGAGUUUAGAACAUUGCUGAGGAAUCAUGCAAUAUUAAUUGGAUAUGACUUUAGUUUUGUCAAGAAUGAUGGUGAUAGAGUUACGUGAAGUGUAAAAAGAUACUACUGACUAGGAAAAAAAAUAUGGAUGCCUCAUACAUGCAUUUUGGAAUGCAUUUAAGAUAUGUUUUCAAAUAAAGUCUUUAUAAUUUAAGCAUAAGUAUGGUAGGCAAUUCAAAAAAUAUUAAGCUACUUCAUCACGAAUUGCAAAUAAAUACUUGGAACAAUUGAGAGAUGAUCCUAUAUUGGGAACAUCAGCAAUGAGAAAGACAAUGAGAAGAGAGUUGUGCAUUGAUGUCUCUAAGAGCCAAAUUAAUAUAUAAAGCUAAGAGAAAAGGAAAGAAGGUUAUAAUAGGAUUACAUAGAGAUUAGUUCAUGAAAUUUUGGGAAUGGCAAUAUCAUCGAAGUGAGGAAUCUAGGAAGCCUUGCUUUUUUAUACGUGGAAAAGCCUCAUCUUGAGUUAGCCCUAGUGUUUCAGAGAAUCUUUAUACAAUAAGAUGCUCAAAUCAAUGGAUUAAAGGAAGGAUAAAGACCUAUCAUUACUAUAGAUGGUUGUUUUCUAAUGGGAUCAUUAGGCGGACAUGUUAUUAGUGCUAUUAGUAGAGAAGAGAAUAAUAAAAAUAUUUCCAAUUGCGGUUGCUAUUGUAGAAGUAGAACUAGAAGUAGAACUGAAGGAUUCUAAAAUUGGUUGUUAAUAAUUUUUUUACAAGCUAUUGGACCAGCAAAGGCUCAUAAGUGGACUUUUAUAUCUGAUAGACAAAAGGUAAAAAGUUUUAUUUAAUACAAUGAUAGAACUUUUAACAAGAUGAAUUAAUUGUAGUCUACUAACUUUUAUUUACUUUUGUUAUUAAAUGUCUUAGGGUCUGGUAGAGAUUUUUGAUGGCCUACUUCUAAGAGUGGACCAUAGAUUUUGUGUGCAACAUAUGUACAAUAACUUUAAAAAAUAAUUUAAAGGCAACGUAUUAAAAAAUUUGCUUCGAUCAGAAGUAGUUACAUCUUAUACUUUGCACAAUUAAAAAAGGAGCAUGCAAAAAAUUAAGGAUACAAAUGUAGCUGCUUAUGAUUGGCUCAUGAAAGUGCCACCAAAUUGUGGACAAGAUUUUAUUUCAGACCUGACAUUAAAUCUGAUCUUCUACACAAUGACAUGUGUAAGGCAUGGAGUCGAGCAAUACUGGAUGUAAAGGAGAUACUAAUUAUUGAUAUAAUGGAGAAGAUUAGAAGGCAAGUGAUGGCAAAGUUUCAAAAGAAGAGACAAUAAGACAAGAUGGUAUACCAUACCCUGAAGUUCAAACAAAGUUGAAAGAAAUAAAGGAAAAAGUUAGACAUUGUGAGCCAAUAUAAGUUGGAGAAACCAUUUAUGAUGUUCAUUGCACUGGAAAGCAAUACACUGUUAACUUAGCAGCAUCAUCUUGUGAAUGUUGUCUCUGCGAUAUACAAGCAAAAGAUGGAUCUCGAGGAAUUUGUUCACAAUUUUUUAAAAAAGACAUAUAAGAACAUAUAGCCACAUGAUCAUGCCGAUACGUGAUUCUUCAAUGUGACCUAAGGUUGGGAUUGAGCCUAUAACUCCACCUCCAUAUAGAAAACCUAAAAAAAGUAAGGAAGAAGGCAGUUGAUGAGCUCAAAAAGGUAAAAUUAGCAGAGAAGGUAAGAAGUUUAGAUGUACAAAGUGUAAACAGUUUGGACACAACACUUGUCAUUGUACUAAUUAAUAUUGCAUCUAGAGAGGAAAUAUGUGGUAAGGGAACAAGUAAAAGCGAUGAGGGAGAACACAAGUGGAUCGAGGAGGAAGACCACUAGAAUCAAGAAGAGAGACCACCUGUGUGAGUUAAAAAUUUACAAGCGUUUGCGUUAGACGAGAGUAUUAUAUAUUAAAAAACAGAGAUUAAUUAAAGGUUCUAUGCUCCUUAGGAAUCAUAAAGAUUUCUAAUUAAUUACGCCUAUUCAUAUUUAGACAACCCCCGAUUAAGCUGGUUAAUUAUGAUAAUUAGCAAAACAGAAUGCAUUUCUUUUAUUACUCUUGUAUAUCGUGUACAAAAUUAAUACAACUGAAAAAGAGGAAAAGCAACAAUUAUCAUCUCUCUACUUUUCUCCUCUUCAAGGUAUUUUUCCAAAAUAAUGUCGGCCAUGCAUCAUGCAUAAGCUUUCUUUGGUAUUUCAUUGAGCAUUUGACAUGCACACAAGUAAUGUGCAAAUUGCCUUUGGCAUUUCAUCGAACACUUGGCAUGCGUACAUGAACAAUGCAGCAUGCUCAAGUUUCUUUUGACAUUCCGUGAUAUGCACACCAUUUUUGGCAUUUCAUCGAACGCUUAGCAUGCGUACAUGAACAACGCGCUAUGCACAAAUUCUUUUUUGCACUUUGUCUAAUACUUGGCGUGUGCACAUAAAUUAUCCAUCACGCACAGUUUAUUUUUGACAAAAGCCAAUUCAAAAUAGCGGCAAUCAAUAAUUUGAUUGGAGCUUUCCGUCGACGGCUAAGCAUCGAACUGAUAGUCGUCGUCGUUGUCGUCGUCUACCGCUGACAGCUAAGCGUCAAGCGGAUGAUCAUCGUCGUCGUUGUCGUCGCCACCUUUACCGCUGACGGCGAAGCGUCAAGCAGAUCAUCGUCGUCGUUGUUGUUGCCCAUCGCCGACGGCUAAGUGUCAAGCGGAUCGUCGUCGUCGUGGUUGUCGCCUACCGCCGACGGCUAAGCGUCGAGCGGAUCGUCGUCGUCAUUGUUGUCGCCUACCGCCGAUGGCUAAGCACCAAGCGGAUGAUCAUCGUCGUCGUUGUUGUCGCCACCUUUACCAUCGACGGCGAAGCGUCAAGCGGAUCGUCGUCGUCGUUGUUGUCGCCCACCGCCGACGGCUAAGUGUCAAGUGGAUCAUCGUCGUCAUGGUUGUCGCCUACCGCCGACGGCUAAGCGUCGAGCGGAUCGUCGUCGUCAUUGUUAUCGUCUACUGCCGACGGCUAAGCGUCGAGCGGAUGAUCAUCGUCGUCGUUGUCGUCGCCACCUUUACCGCCGACGACGAAGCGUCAAGCGGAUCGUCGUCGUCGUUGUUGCCGCCUACCGCCGACGGCUAAGUGUCAAGCGGAUCGUCGUCGUCGUCGUCGUGGUUGUCGCCUACCGCCGACGGCUAAACGUCGAGCGGAUCGUCGUCGUCGUGGUUGUCGCCUACCGCCGACGGCUAAGCGUCAAGCGGAUGAUCAUCGUCGUCGUCAUUGUUGUCGCCUACCGCCGACGGCUAAGCGUCAAUUGGAUGAUCAUCGUUGUUGUCGGCGCAGUAACAGCAGGCGGAUGGCCACCUCCUUGGUCGAUGAUGACGCCACACUAGCAAAAGGGAACGUGCACCAAUUCGGGAUCAACAACGACAGGGCAAUGCCUGUCAGCAAAGGUGUCGGAAUGGCGACGAGCAGUCGUCUUUUCUUGGUUGACGAUGACCCGACGUAGUAGAGGUUGAUAACGGCAUGUAUAGCCCGGUGUGCAUAGAAAACUCGAUGUAUGGAGUGCCUUGACUAGGAGAGAAGAGAAAAAAAAACAAAUGAAAGUGAGAGGAUCUAAACCCACCUUUCUAUUGGCUCUCUUUUUUUUUAAUUCAAGUUUCUUUUCUCUUUUUUUUUUUUGUGAGUAGAAUCCUCCCUUUUUUUCUUCACUUCUCUUUAUAUAGAGAGAGGGUGAAUGGAGGAGUGGAGGGAAUGGUGGAGUGAUGGAGAAGUGAGAGAAAAUGGUAGAGAAGUGGAGUGGUGUAGGGAAUGGUGGAGAAGUGUGGAGAAAUAGAGAAAAUGGUGGAGAAGUGGAGUGGUGGAGGGAAUGGUGGAGAAGUGUGGAGAAGUAAAGAAAAUAGUGGAGAAGUGGAGUGAGUGAUGGAGAAGUGGUGGGAAUGGUGAGAAAGUGGAGGGAAUGAUGGAGAGAGUGGUAGAAAUGGAGGGAAUGGUGGGAGAUAGUGGAGGAGUGAAUUUAGGGAAGUGAUCUUUUCUUUUUUUUUUCUUUUUUUUUUGUGUUAACACCACCACUAAGUCGAGAAGGAAGAUCACCCCUUGGGAGAGGUAGAAAAGCACUGAUAAGUAGAGAGAAAAUCAAUAUUACUGUCAGGGAAGAAAAGAUACCAAUUGAAAGAAGAGAAGGAUUAAUUGGUAGACUUGGAAGAGUAUUAACUAGGAGAGGUAGAGGUCCAUGCAAGAUUUUUUCACUAAUCAGCAUAUACCAUUCUCCAAUAUAUUUGUUGCUGCUAUAAGAAAUAUAUCUACUCGAGCCAGCGGAGCAACAGGAGAAACAUCGAAAAGCCCUUAUAGGCCAAUAUGUUUCUAACCAUACUAUUUAUUAGUAGCUGAUUAUCAAGCUAAUUCUUAUAUACUUAUAUAUGGAGUUGAGCUAUGAUACUUUUACAAGUAUCACCAUCAUGGUGCUAUUAGGUUUUAAGCCAUUGGAUCUACUUUUUGAUUAUUAAUAGCCCUUGGAUUAAACACUAUUCCACCUACCACCACCUACCACCAUCAUCUCAACCUCACAUCUCUCCAUCCAAGGGCUAAAAACUCACAAGUAUCACCCCCAUGAUACUUUUACAAGUAUUCUAGCCCUACUCCUUAUAUAUGUAUAUUUAAUUUUUUUUCUUAUAUGGAUUUUAUCAAAAGAGGGAUAGGAGAGCAACUUAGGUCAGUGACAACUCAAGAAUCUACUAGUAAGCUAGUCAACUUAGGCCAGAGGCAACUCACAAGUGAUUUUUUUGGUCUAUCGAUCAUUCUGUAUUUUGGUUCCGUUUGUUUAGAGAGUUGUAAGUUACUUAUAUAACUAUAUCUUAUAACUCAAGUUUGAUACUUUUGUAUUCGGUUCUAGCUAUAACAAUAUCUUAUAACUCAAGGUAGAUCUUUUUGUAUAUGGUUCUAGUUUUUGGAAACGAGUGCUUAACUGGAAGAUUGAAGAGGUUAGAUCAUUUAAUUUUGAUUUUGGUUCAAGUUAUUCGAAAGCAGUGCUUAAUUGGGAGUUUUAAGAAAUCAGUGAUAAACUUUAAAAGUGGUUAAAUUGAAAUUCGAGUUUUGGUUUAUUUCUCUUGAAUCUAAAGUUAACUUGUUAAAUUCUCUUGUUAGUUCUCUUGUUAAUGUUAUAUAGUAGUUAGUUUUCUUAUUAAUAUUAAAUGCUCUUGUUAUUCUCUUGUUAGUUCUCUACUAAAUUUAAAGUCAACUUGUUAGUUUUCUUGUUAAUAUAUAGCUUAUGUUGAACGUUAGUUAUCUUGUUGAACAUGUUAGUUCUAGUUUUACGUAGCAAUGAACCUAUUACUAACAUGUGGUUGUUACUGAAUAAAUGUCAGUUUUCUAGGUUUAUGUAUUGUGAUUAGUUAUCAGGAAUGGUGCAUUGGACUAGUGGUUUAGUACAUGUAGUUGUUGCAUAGCUGCAAACUACGUAAUGUGUAGUUGCAAUGCACAUUAUUAAGUAUAUCUCACAUAUAGUUAAUUGCAGGGCACAUAAAAGACACUAUAAAGAUCUAUGUAAUGACUAAAUAACUUAAAUGGUUUGCAUGAUAUAUUGCAAAUCAUUAUAUUACAUAAUAGGUCACUCACUUGGAAACAAAAUAAGGUGGCAUGCAUAAUAAUAGCUAGCCCAGAAUACCAAAUAUAUAUAAUAUGAGUCCGUUCAUAUUAUUAGAUACCAUAAUAAAAUAAUUAGGACAAUAAAUAUUAGAAGAAGAUAGUAUUUGUGAAUCUUCUAAUUGCCUUUCUCCUUUAGCUUAUCUGGACCAUCGCCAUUUUGGCUAUUAACCUAUCCAUUUCCUCUCAAAGUGCCUUUUCUCGAAUUUUCAAUGCUGUCAGCUUUUUCCUAAGAGCAUAAUUAUCUUCAGUAAUAAUUGAAACUUUAUUUCCAAUGCUAUUACUUUCUUUUUCCAUGGCCAAUUUGUUUUAGGAGUUUGAUGAUGUAUUCCUUUCCUCGUUCACAUAUCUCUUGAUCAUGCCAACAAAAACUCCAUAACCAUUUCUCUUGUAGUUUAUGUAGCCAUAAAAUCAUCUUUCGGGAUUAUCAAUUAUUAAUGAUGUUCAGAGGAGCCUUUAGUCUACAGAAGCAAAGAGGAUAGUCCAUAUUGAAUAGACCAUUGGUGCAACUACUAGAUAAUGAGGCAGACAUUUUGUUGCAACCAAAGAUGAAGAAAAAAUAAAAUAAAAUGACGAUAAGGCUUAAUAUAAUAAGAGAAGCAAUUUUUCAUUCUCACAUAGUAUAUUUCAAAAAAAAAAUUUAUUUAUUCUUGAGAGAGGAACUAUAUGUAUACACAUGUGAGAUCAAGGAAGAAAAAGCAUGUGUUGUUGAUGUAUUUGGAAACUAUAGGAGCAUGCAUGUCCUAGCUCCAAUAACUAUGGUGAUGUUUGUUAUGUUGUUUGAUACCUUCCUUAUGCAAUCAUUGUACGAAUACUGUUCCUGUUUGGAACCUCUUGUAUUGUACUGUUUGUUGAGCCUUGAACGUACAGGGGAGACUCUGUCCGCGGUACAGGGGAAACCCUGUCCGUUCGGCGCUGUCGGCGGUCCGAACCCGGCCAAAUAGGCGUGGGGCUUGGGGCGUGACAAUGUUGCUGCUGGGAGGAGAAGGAGAUGGAUUAAUGGUUGAAAGGGUGAAAAAGUGGAAAAAAAAGUGGGGAGCAACAUUCUAGAAGGAAAAUAAUGGAUUUUUAAUGGAUUCCCGUUAUUUUGAAGAGUAUUUUUGGUAUAUCUACUAAUACAUUUUGAGAAGUGGACAUAUCACUUACGAAACCAUGAUGGCAGGGGGGUAAAUGGAUAAUUCCAUAAUCAGGAGAGGGCAAAGUAUAGAAAUUUAAAUGCCAGUGGGAAGUAAAAAGGUGAGUUUUGAAAGGAAAAUUUUCUAUAAUUUAGCCUUAUUUAUUUGGUUGGGAGGUUCCUUUUACCUGUAAAUUGUGAAGAGAGAGGGAGAGAGAACAUAAAGGAGAUAGAGAAAGAGAGAAAGAGAGAGAAGGAGCUCGAGGUGAGUUUGUGAUCGAUGAGGUGGAUUUUGGAGCAUGAUUUUGAAGAUAGGUAAAUAUAUAUUAUUUUGAUUAGUAUUUCCAGGAUUAUAAUAUGUCAGUAAAUAAAUAUAGUAAAUUAUGUUUUAGAAGGUGAUUUUGCUGAAGUUUAAAAUGGGAUUCUGGUGCUGAACUUCUUUCGUUCAAUUUCUGUUGGUAGCAACAUUUUAGGUGGGUUCUAGAUGACCGAACGCAGUGAACUAACCUCUACAUCUAUUGUUCUAUCUGUUACAGUUUGAAGACACUUGCUAGUAUUACAGUAGUUGUUCCCUUCCUUGCAUAUCCAUGUAUCCGUAUAUGAGAUUACUUAUUAUUGAUGCCAUGAACAUUUAUGCUGAUUACAAUUUUUUAUUUUUGUUGCACAUUAUUCUUAUUGAGAUCCUGUGUUACAAGCAAACAUGUCAAUAUGCUAAAACAAUUACAGACAUAUAACUUAUGUUAUCUAUUUGAUUAUUAAUCAUGACCAUAACCUUUAUUGGGCCAGACUGAGCUCGAUUGUAAGUGGUACGACAUUAUGAUUCUGAAUGGGGUCGCGCCCUAUGAAUGCCCCUCUCGGGCUAUGGUAGCUGACUAGAUGUGCUAAGUGUAUGCAUGUGGGUCAGGCCACCAGGUUAGUGUGGUUACCGGGCAUGUGGCGGCACAGGCAAAGCCAAACCUAUGAGACGGCCGGUGUAAGUUGAUGCAUAUGAUAUUUGCUUUCUAUUCUCUGUGACUUUACAGUAGGAACCCGAUUAUUAUUUGUUUGUUUCCACAGCCACAGAUAGAGGUAUGGUAGUUAUUUAUUUUUCUAUUCAUAUUAUACUCAGUUAUUCGUUUAUUUACUGUUCUUUUACUAUUUUUGUAUUUGAUAAAUCUAGUGGUGUAGGUCUAUCAGAUCGAUUUUGAACCCACUGUAAACUAUUGAUUAUAGUUCUCAAGCGCUCCUUUAUUGUUUCUUUUUCAUAGCAUUCAGCACCAGUUAUAGCAGCAAAUCGAUGUAAGGAGAUCGUAAGUUAGAAAGCAUCUCCUACCAAGUUGUGCGAUAGCUAGAGGAUGACCUUAUAGAUCCAGUUCCUAUACAGCAGCUUGUAUAUGAUAUACCGAUGAGACCAUUAAGAGAUGUAUAUCUUGCAUGUUGUGAGAUAUUGGGGUUGUCAUAUACGUACAAUUCAUUUAUGAUAUUAUAAGACAAUGUGAUUGUUUUUAUAUAUAUGCUGCUAUAAUUGUUGUAUUAUUUAUUUAUUUUGAUAUCUACUUAGUUGUCAACUCUUAGAAAUUGUUGUAUACUAGUUGUAGACUCCUAGGAUUAUUGAUAGAUUGUGGUUGUUCGCUUCAGGUGUACGAGGUGUACUUUAUACAUCUGGCGGAUCUAUCGAUACCCUUGGGGGCUUUUGCUGUGAAUCCUAGACGUGACCAAAAAGGUGGAGAGCACCAAGAGGAAGGUCUAAGAGGAAAGAGAAGGCUCUUCUCUUGCAUGUUUGGUUUAUACAGGAUAACCCAAACCAAACACGCCGUACGGAAAAAUGGUAAAACAUGUGCAACCAUCCGAAAGUGUCAAUGAAAGGGAGGAGCCCGAGAGAUAUCAACUCCCUAUCUACUACUUGGGGGAGUCUGAGAGCAAUCGACCCAACUUACCUGCCGAAUAUCGGAGAGGAGUCUGAGAGAAAUCGAUUCUCCAUGAGGUGCAAGGAAGCAAGUGAAAUUAAACUAAUAAGUUGGUUAAAGUUAUGAGAGGAGUUGUGGUGCAUAAUGAAACCAAUCAAAUAGAUGGUUAAGAUAUAUAGGAAAAUGAAUAAACAUAUUUACAUUGAUCUAGUGGCAUCUUGUAUACAUCGAGGCAUUGUCACGCCCGGGUACCAGCGGAAGCAUAUCCGGUCGCGUGCACAGACCCGCCGUGUACACCACCACUCAAGUAUACACAAGGCGUCUACAAACCAUAUAGUAAAAGCAUAUAAUUCUAACCAGGUAAUCAGAGCACGACUUUUAAACUUAUACAAUCCAAACCUUAAUACAUGAAAGAAAAAUAAAGUACAAUUUACAAAAAAAACUUAAUAUACAUCUCUGUACUAAACUACAUAAACUGGUGGAGGUCGUCUAGUACACGUCCAAAAAGGCUCUAGCUAGCCGCAGACCCCUCGCCAAGAACCCUAGCCUUUUCCGGGGUGGAAGGUUCUGUAAAAACAACAACAAAGAGGGCGUGAGAACUAUUAAACAAUAGUUCCCAGUGGGUAAGCCGCCGAGAGUGGCGAAGUACACCACUAGGUCAACUGUGGCAUGAGUAGAUAGCAAUAAAUAAGCGAGUAAAUGCAGAUAAUACAAUAAGCAAUUAUAUGCAACAGAUAUGGAAGUAAACUACUCAUGCUAUUUGCUCAACCAUAAAUAAAUAACAAUAGAUUGCAGGUAUCAGUUAUCAUGAUAGAUUCUAUCAAUCAUAUUACUUGACAAUUUAACCAAACAUAUAUCAGAAUGUAUGCAAGAUAAUUCACUUUACUGAAAUUACAGAUGAUAUCAUGUAAUUACCUUGUUCCAUAGCAAGAAAGAGACAUAAUGUCAUUCAUUAUGUUGCUAACCAAUCAUGAUGUCAACUUCUAGGUUGUUCAUCACUAAGCUCACUUUAGAUGUCAACUUUCUAGUCUGUUCAUCAAUAAGUUCACUUAACCCAAGACAUAUAGUAACUUUACUACUCUGUCCAGCUAAGGUUAAAGUACUUGACAUAACCCAAUUUCCAACGGACUUACACAAGGUAAGUUCAAGCCGCGCCGUGCCUAAUGGCCCCGUGGUAGUCAACAUCCCCACUCUAGGAAUGAGCCUCCCCCACGGCAUUCCAUUUCGGCGCUCACUUCGUACAUUUGCGAGCAUCUGUCGCUAAGCUGUUCGGGAGUGCUGGCUUGGGGGGGAGCGACCCCGCAAGCGUGUGCAAACGCGCACAAUGGCAUGCAAGCCGUAGUCCACAGUACCAGUCUCACAACAACAUCAUGUCCCUGACAUGGAAUCUCAACUCAAGCCACUCCGGAACGCGGGGCUUGGGGGGCGCGACCCCCGCAAGCAUGUACGAAAGAGCAUAAUGGCAUGCUAGCUAUAGUCCAGGGUACAAAUAUCUCAACAGCAUCAUGUCUCUGACAUGGAAUCUCAACUCGACCCAAGGUCGGCACUGUAGUACCCAAUCAUAAGUCACUAUCAACAACUUGUUGACAAGAUUCUACCAGUCGUUAAUAUAACUUGACAAGUUAAAGCUUUACAUCACACUAGUGAUUCUAUCAGGCUAUACCUGGUCAGUCACUCACAAUCUCUCACUACUCCUUACACAUAAGGAAAGUGGUUUACUAAGGUUCUGUUCAUAGACUCAUGGCACAUAACCUGAAGUUCAAUAUAAACUUCUAUUACUUGAAGCAAACAAAUAUGAAACAAUCACCUCUACUUGACUAUACAAGUAUGUCAUCAUAUUUAAAUCUAGUUAUCUACUAGAUUAUAUUCAGUUGUAUAUCAUUCAAUUAUGCCAUCAUAUAAACUUCUAGUUACUUACUAGAAUAUAUACCACAAUAUGAAUCUAUCAUGUGAAUGUAGAAACUAACAGAGUAAUACAAGCAAGGAAUAUAAACGAUAAAAUACUUUUCACAUGAUCUCCAUGCCAUUCAUUCUACAAUUAGGAAUGCAUAUGCAAACACAAGCCUUUACCUGAUCUUUCAGAGUUUAGCCAUUAUACUUGUUAUAUAACAUUGCAUAGCUCAAUCCUAAGUACAUCAGUCUCUUUGUUGUUCAACAGAACUAAUUGGUCCAUUCACGAAUUUACCAUUCUAUCCUCGUGGAUAACAUCAAGCCAAAUUGCAUAUGCAAGCUACUAGUAUCAUGAAUCCAUAGUACUUAACAGGUAACCAUGUAGAAUGGACAAGUCAUGAAUCUUUCAUUACCAUUUAAAGAUGCUAUCAUUUCCGAUAUGAUCUACAUAUCAGUGCAUGUCUCAAUGCCUUAAACUAUACAUAUAUUCACAUGAAUAUGAAAUAACUUCAACUCAGAUGUCAAAGGAGACAUAGAGGGAAUUCACCCAUUUCGGGAAGGUCCGACCCACCUAUCACCAAGCUCAAUCCAGCCAAAAGGAGUCCCGAACCCUGCUCAACGGAGCCUCGACGCUGCUGAAAACGAAACACGAAAAGCGCAUCAAAACUACGGCCGAAAUGUCCAAUUUCGGUACAAUUUGCACUUAGUACAAAGUAAUAACUUGAAUCCCUGUUUUGGGUUCAGUUAAUACCUCAAAUUAAGCUUCUAAAAGCCUUUACACAUCAGCCGGAGAUACUCCGAAAGUCCGUUGCAAGCCCGCUGCGAACAAUUUCCAAAACGGCAUCAUAGUCGUCAAAUAUCAAUAGAUAUAGUCGGAAUCUUGAAAAUUCAGUUUCCUCACAGCAAUUUCAGCUUACCUUUAGUUGGAACACCUUCUAAACCAGCCUCCCAGGUCACCAAAAGAGCUUAAUGUGAUUCGCAAACCUGCUGGGAAGAGAAAAGCUCAAACUGCAUCAAUUCGCUCGAUUGAUCCGCGUAUAGGCCGAAAUAACUUCAUAAAUAGCGGAACAUCUCCAAUAAGCUUCAAAGUAGCUUAUCCCAGGUCUAAGGAGGUUCAAUCACAGCUAAUUAACUCAUAUUUAAUAGCUGAAUUCUCAGUUUAAGUCAGUUGGAAGCAAAAACUCAAAAUCACUAAUCAAAUCGACGAAUAGAACGCCGAUAACGGAAAAAUCGAGUCGUUUACCUUCUCAAGCUUCCAACCAGCAACUCACUGGUUUGGUGCUGCGAAAAACCUUCCAAAAUACCCUCUCACACGUCCACAAAGGCUCAGUGACACUCGCAAGCAGCGAAGAACAAGCGAGGCGACGAAAUCGAGCUAAAUCAUUGAUUUCUAUGUAGAGAGAGAAAACUUCUAGAGAGAGAGAGUAAGAGAGGUGCAAGGCUGCUUCUCAGAGCUCUAGCAUCAUCCACAAGGGUCCAGGGGUCGUGCUGGGGUAAUAUGGAUAGAGACAAGAUGUGAAAUUACUUAAAUAACCUUGCUGCCACGUUUCUGCUAGUCUGUACCGGUACAAGGUGAUGGCUGUACCGGUACAGCAAGCAGAAAAACACUGAUUUCGCCAGAUCAAUGCACUUUCUUACUUUUAACCCUCCAAUCACUCUCUAACUUGUCCAAAAACUUGUCCAAACCCUUUAGAAUGUGUAGGGCAGUUUCAUUUACCUUUUCCCACGUUCGAACUUCGUAAUUGACCAAAUUCGAAGCAUUGCAAUUGAUAAUGCAUUUGCGAUGCACUUUUCCAUUUCUAGUUACUUACUUACUCUAGUAACUUAUCAAAAACCUUUCAAUAGUCUUGCAAAAGUCGUAGACCAGUUCCAAAAGCCGAUCCAACCCUCGAACUUACCAAGAGGCUCAAGAUUCAGUAUAUUACAGGCAUUGUAGUUGUAAUUGAAGUUAUUGCAUUUAUUUAGUAGAAAUAUCUGUUGUUAUCAUAAAUUAUCUACUAAUACUUUGUUUGGACCAAGUGAGUAUAGAGUGCUACUUUUGGCAGCUGCACUCACUAGGAACUAACUGUAAUUCUUACGCUUUUAUUGUUUAUCCUUUUCUGGAGCUUACAUUGUCGGUGAGGUGCGUGACCAAGGCAAGGGUGUUGCGGAAUAGUGGAUCUAGAGAGAAGUUUAGAUAUACCAUUUAUUUUGGACAAUCAAACAUUAUAAUAUUUUGGGAUCAAAACAUGUAAACUUUAAUAUAGUUUAAUAUUUGUGAAAUGGUUUCAAUAGUUAUAGAAGCCAACUGCCUCUUGUGCAAGUGACAAAGGGCUUAGUGAUUGGUACCCGAAGUCCCAUGUUCGAAGCCUAAUCACAUUUUUCGCUAAGUUUAUUUCUAAAAGAAAUAAAUAAAGCGGGAGCAUACUACGUACGUACCUUUCUCCAAAAAAAAAAAAAACUUGUAGAAUUUAAAAUUGUUUAAAGUUGAAUCUUUUAAAUUAGUAGUUGUAUACUUUGAUAUUGCAUAUAGCAUAUCAUAUAUGAUUGUAUGGGUUGGUAUGUGAUUUCGCUUCGUGCGGAUAGGAAAAGUCUUGCCCAUUCGGCCGUUCUGUUGCAAAUGACUGAGCGGGCCUAAUUGGUGGUCUCGUGGUGUGACACACACAACCAAGAUGAUUAGAAUACUAUCUCAAAAAGUUAAAUAUUAAUUAAUUAACUAAAGUAGUUAAGUGAUACUAUAUAACUAUAUUAAUUACUUUUCAUAUGCUGAUAAAUAAAUUUAAAUCCAAAUAUAACUAUUCAAGGAGAGCAAAAGGAGUUCACAACUGGUGGGUACCACUAAUACUGCAAACGACAACCACCAAACCAUAACUCCGUCUAAGCGCAUACCUCCGUCUCCAAAUACUAUCACUCCAGAAUAGCUCGUCAUAAUAUAUCUGACUAUUCAGGAAUACGCUAUUCAUUUUUACUAAUAUUAUCUGGAUGCAUCUCUUUGAUCUCGACUGUAUCUGGCCAUCAUAGUAUACAUCGAUUAUACCAACUAGUUUAUUCAAAUGUCACCUAGUACAUCGAUCCUCACACGAUGUAUGCUGCUACCUCAAUACGUUACCCCUAUUCGAUUGUCAUGGUCUAUGAAUCUCAAGGUUAGAUUUUAACCCUAUCUUCUUGGCAGUUUUAGAUCAUAUUUCGGCUAAGUAAACCCGAUGAACAUUGACUCACACAUAUCCUACUCUAAAUCUCCACUUCAAGACUGCAAUAACUACAUGAUUGCAAAUAAUCAGUCAAUUGAUUUUCCUUGUCCAUAUGAUCACAUAGAGCUCAUAACUAUGCCCGAAGAUCAAAAACAACACUAUAGUACCGGAACUCCGGUACUAUAGAUAGUAUAGUAGCCUAACUCUAUAUAUAUAUAUAUAUAUAUAGCAAGUAGAUCAUACUAGCAUAAUUAAUUAAUUGCAAAUAUCCUCAUAUUUUCUCAUGCAAUUAAAUUUGAACAUAAGAAACAGACAAUGUAGAAAUUUAGCAAAGAUGAUAAAUUUUAUUUAAAUGGCGUAGCUCGUAGAGACAACCCAUACUAAACACUCGUCGAGAUUACAGUGGUGUUAGUAGCCUAAAAUAAAAUCAUUAUGGAGGCCCCAUAUAAGGUUGUCCCCAAGGGCCACUAAACCUAACUUUAAUGAUAUAAUAAUAAUAAUAAAUCAUAAAUAUGGACACUUUGUGUGCUAUAUCUAAGAUUUGAUGGUCAAUAUGAUAAAAUUAAUGUCACGCCCCGGAUUACACUUUCCCCGGGCACGCCGACAAAUCCGCCGUAUACAAAGGAAUUUCCCCUGUAUACGAAGCGUUAGCUGUACCUGUAAAUCAAACACUACUACGAACAGUAGUAGAGAGCUGCUAGAGAAAACAGAAGCUAAACAAACUGAGUUUCAUAUACAUAGUCCAAAUCCAAAAUACAAAGCUACUCGCACUGGCGAGUUAAGUCCACUAUGUACAUAAACUCGAAACAAAACAUCUACCUGCAGUAGGGGCACCUCUAGCUCAGCACGUCGGGUAGGGCUCUAACUCGCGACGCCCUUACCUCGAUCCUGAUCCGCGGAAGGCGCAGCAGCCGAAACCUGUGGCUCNCUCGUUUCUGGGCGACCCUAACAAUGUUCUGGGCGCCCGAAUCUGGCAAAACUUCAGUUUUGCUUAUUUGAGUGCGCCGAGUCCAAUUCUGCAUCCAAUUCGUGCAGAAUUGACUCCGACUCAGUCCGACACUCUCCAGAGAUGUCGACCAGUCUAUAAUACUGAAGCCAAUCCUAUCCAAAGCUCAGGAACACUACAAUUAAAUCGACUGUCACUAACGCAAGUGGCAAAUGAUCUGGCGGUUAGUACUCGAUCGAGGUCUCAAGUUCGAAUUCUAGUUGAUUCAUAUUUCGAGCUCAAUUUAUUUUUUAAAAAAAUAAAUGAAAUGGGUAGCAUGCUACCUUUCUUUUUAAAAAAAAAUCACUAAAAGGUUAGGGACCACAUUUGAGAAAGGAACUCAGUGUAAACAAAUCUAGUGCCCAAAGAGGUGAGUUUUUUUUUUUUUUUUUAAGAAAAGUAGUAUUCUAUCUGUUUCGUUUAUUUUUUUAAAAAAAAUUAAUUAAAAAUAUGAAGUAAUUAAGAUUCAAAUCUAGAAUUUCAGAUACCAAUCAGCAAAUCUUUUGCUAUUUACGCUAGAGACGGUCAAUUCAAAGAGGUGAGUUGUGCCUCCAACUUGGAGCAUUGCAGUUCAUGCAAUGUCUUUUUUUAACUGCCGCAAAAUGUUGGGCGUUGAUUGGCAUGUGACAAAUAUUUUAGUUUAUAUAUAAUUCAAAUAUUUUAGUUUAUAAUUAAAAUAAAAUUUACUAUAAAGUGAUGAGCUUUUAAAUUGUGUUCCUACCUUAACUUUUGGUUGCAUAAAAUUAAUUUAUUUAUGCAAAUUUAGUUUGAACAUUUUAAGAAUUUAAAUUUUAUCAGGCUAAGUUCAAUCCAGUCUACUUAUUUAAAUUUAGUUUCGAGUUACUUUUUAGAAUACAAGUUUCCAAAUUAGUUAUUAUUUAAAAGCAACAAGUCACAUAAUAUUGAGACAAAUUCAGAUUUUUUGUGUUAAUAAUUCCCUAGUUAUUAUAUAAAAUUAGUCAAGUCAUCUAAGUUAAGAUCAAUUCAAAUAUUAGUGUCUCAUACCAUAGAAUUUUUCCUGUUGUUGAAUUUUUAUAAAAUUUUUAAAAUAAUCAACUUGCCGCUACUGUAAAGAUUGUCAUUUGUUUUAGAAAAAGAGGUGACACGGUGUCAAGAACUACUUCCAAAGUCUCUAAUAAGUUUAUAUAUAUAUUUGUAACGACCCAGCCCACUAGCGACAAUAACUCGCUGGGCCCAACCAUAGCCCAAAAUGCUUAAGCCUAGUUAUUAUUAUUAGUGUCUAAGUCUCUUAUAAAGACAAUGACAAUCUCAUUCCCAUCCGAUAUGAGACUAUUAGGGUGUCACAGACUCCUCCCGUUAAGGUCCUGACGUCCUCGUAAGUCCAAUCACACAUACAGCCCAAGAUCACCAGGCGAUGUGAGACUCGUCUCGCUAGCCCGUCAUCCAGACCAUGGCUCAGCCGAGACUCACCACACAUGUCCAGCUGGUGAACCGGCUCUGAUACCAAAUGUAAUGACCCAGCCCACUAGCAACAAUAACUCGUUGGGCCCAACAACCGGCCCAAAAUGCUUAAGCUCAGUUAUUAUUAUUAGUGUCUAAGUCUAUUAUAAACACAAUGACAACCCCAUUCCCAUCCGAUGUGGGAUUAUUGGGGUGUCACAGACUUCCUCCGUUAAGGCCCUGAUGUCCUCGUCAGUCCAAUCACACACACAGCCCAAGAUCACCAGGCGAUGUGAAACUCGUCUCGCUAGCCCGUCAUCCAGACCCUGGCUCAGCCGAGACUCGCCACACAUGUCAAGCUGGUGAACCGGCUCUGAUACCUAAUGUAACGACCCAGCCCACUAGCAACAAUAACUCGUUGGGCCCAACCAUAGCCCAAAAUUGUUAAGCCCAGUUAUUAUUACUAGUGUCUAAGUCUCUUAUAAAUACAAUGACAAUCACAUUUCCAUCCGAUGUAGGACUAUUAGGGUGUCACAGACUCCCCCCGUUAAGGUCCUGACGUCCUCGUCAGUCCAAUCACACACACAGCCCAAGAUCACCAGGCGAUGUGAGACUCGUCUCGCUAGCCCGUCAUCCAGACCCUCGCUCAGCCGAGACUCGCCACACAUGUCCAGCUGGUGAACCGGCUUUGAUACCACUUUAAUCUGUCACGCCCCGGGGUCCCUUUUUAGUUUAAAGUAUAGCGGAAAAGCGUCUGAAAUUUUUUUUUGAAAACCUAACCCCAGAGUAUGCCAGAUCCGCCACAAAUACAGGAGAUCCACUGUUCACACAGACAGAGUCUCCCCUGUAUUUGCACGGCGUCAUACAAGUACAGAGUUCAAACAUGAUACAACCAUAACCAGAUGAGCAUACAAAUAACCAACAGUUAUACAUUCCUACACCAUUCACCACAGUUUCACAUUUAUACAUUCAAUAUUUAAAAAUAAAUCCACAUCUAUCAGUUAAAAUGUUUCCAACCACAGAAAUAGGUUUUGAAAUACUAAGAUACAGAAUCCACAGAAAACUUUUUGAAAACUGUUCCCUAUACAGGAACUUUUAUCUUUUAAAAACGUUACCACGAGGGGUAGAAAUCCAUUCAACAUUUGAAAUCCACAAAUUCCCUUUUUUUUUUUUAUUACAUCAUAAAGCCAAUGAAAAUAUAAUGUUCAACUGAAAUAUCAAAAACUGAACCAUAACUAGAUCUAAGUUAUUUAUUUGGAGAACCGACCAACCGGGUCACAUAUGUAAAUACAAGAACAGACUAACCAGGUCGCAGAUGUCAUAACCAGAUAAAGUCUACUCUACUCCUACACAAUGAUACUACAUAUGGAAACAACUGAGUAGAGUAAAUAUGAAAAUAGCAUGGGUGCAAGGCUCAACGUGUAUAAGGUAAGCAGUAUAAACAACAAGGGUAAAGGAAACGUCACCGAACGUGCACUACUGUACCGACGUCGGAUCGAAGUACCCACUUGUACGUGUCUGACGAAAAUCUCUCGACUAUGAAGACGGUGCAACCGAACCUACGAAAGGUCCACCGGGUUAGAACCUAACCCACUACUAAGAAACCCUCAAAGCAUAACCCCACAAAUAAACCCACGGGAAUCGGUUUCCCAAAAUCGAUUACCGAACACACCGGAAGUCCCGAACCACGCACCGAAAAUCAACGAUUGGUUUCCGGAAAGGCUUGGGGCCUUGGACGAUCAGUCCAGAGGUUAUCCUCAGCCUACACUUGCUGCCAACAACAGCCACAUCGAAGCAAAAAGCAUAAAAGCCCUUACCGCUACAUAGAAUCACAUCAUUUUAUGUGAUUUCUAGGCUUUUCUGGACCGUGCACGCAAACCAGAGAUCGAUUAAUCAGACCGUCGCACUCGUUGAUAGGUUUCAGUGUGCCGGAGGCCGUGCUCACCUCCGACAGAACUCGUUGGGCCCAACAACCGGCCCAAAAUGCUUAACCCCAGUUAUUAUUACUAGUGUCUAAGUCUCUUAUAAACUCCAUUCCCAUCCGAUGUGGGACUAUUUUGGGACUAUUGGGGUGUCACAGACUCCCCCCAUUAAGGCCCUGACGUUCUCGUCAGUCCAAUCACACACACAGCCCAAGAUCACCACCAGGCGAUGUGAGACUCGUCUCGCUAGCCCGUCAUCCAUACCCUGGCUCAGCCGAGACUCGCCACACAUGUCCAGCUGGUGAACCGGCUCUGAUACCAAAUGUAACGACCCAGCCCACUAGCAACAAUAACUCGUUGGGCCCAAACCACCAGCCCAAAAUACUUAAGCCUAGUUAUUAUUACUAGUGUCUAAAUCUCUUAUAAACCCCAUUCCCAUCCGAUGUGGGACUAUUGUGGGACUAUUGGAGAGUUAUUGUUGGUAGUGGGCUGGGUCGUUACAAUAUUAUUAUACGCUAAAAUACAAAAAUUUUGUUAUAAAUAUUUAUUUUUUUAUUUCUCUUUCUCGAUUUUCAAAAUUCUAUAUUUUUCUCUCUUAAAAUGUUAGAAAUAUUUCCAGGAAUACGAUGUUAUUGGAGAAGGCAAAAUGACCAAAUUAUUAUUAUUUCUUCGAUAAAAAAAAAAUAAUUUUUAAAUAUAUUUUUAUCGUUCUGAAUACUAUUUUCGGUAUAAAUUAUAAAAAGUGGAUGGAAUAGUAAUGAAAUCUUGACAGAAGGGGUCUAAAUGCAAUAACUUAAAAUGUUGAGAGAAUAAAAUAUAAAUUUUUAAAAGUUAGAAAAAAAAAUUAAAAAAAUUGUAUAUUUAUAAAAAAAAACUUUUGUAAUUUAGUCUAUAUUAUAUUUAGAUAUGGAGCCUAAUGUUUGUAUUACAUAUUUCUACACCAUCGAUUGUCACUGUAAUUUUAUAGUUUUGUUGGAGUAAAAACAAAAAAUCGAAAUAUUUUCGGAUUUUCAAGACCUUUCAAAAACGCGAAAGUGGAUGGUUCUGGAAAGGCGCGCCCAAACUAGGGCUCAAACGCUCGGUGCAGGGAACAAAUUUCGGAUGCGCUCACGGUAGGUGUGGACACGAGUCGGUCGCCGCGACGCCGACGCCGACGCCGACGCUGGUUCGACGACACGUGGUGGAAUUCGAAGGGCUGCGGAUCCGGGAGAAUUGGGGCAUCGUCGACCGACACGUGUCGGUUUCGCUCCGGGAAUAAUAAGUGGGACCCGUGUUGACCGGUCAGGACGCGUGCGUGUCGGAGCGGCGCCUCUUUUUUUUCCUAAUUGAAAUUCUGCGGAUGUUUUAAAUGCGGUGUCGGCCGACACCUACGCGCCGUUUCCGAACUUUGGCAGUUGACUCUGCCGCUCCCCCCGACCUUUACCAAUUAAUGCUGAUCAUCAUCAUCAUCAUGAAUCACCGUAAUAAAAAUAUAAAAUUAAUUUCACACAUAUCCCUACAAAUAUAAUAAAUUAUAAAUAUAUUUUUAUAAAUUUUAAUUUUUAUUUACUGUCCCUACAAAAGUACUAAUAUUUUCAAAUAUAUCUCUGCCGUAAGAGUUCGUUAGAAAACUUUAAUUAACCAUAGAUUAAAUAGUUAAUUGUGAUUAGUUUAUUAGAUAACUUGACAUUUUUGUUCCUGUUGUGUCUUUUAGAGAGGCAUACUUGUGAUGGCAAAAUUGACAUUUUAUUUAAAAUAUAAACAGUUUUAUAACUGUAACAAAACAGAGGAAUAUAUUUAAAAAUAUUAAACUUUUGCAAGAAUAAUAUAUAAAAAUUAAUCUUUAUAAGAAUAUAUUUGUAAUUUACUAUAUUUGUCGCGACGUGUAUGCAUUUAACCCUAAAAAGUAAUUUGCCAAUAUUUGUUUACUUAUAUAUUUAUGGACAAAAUGUAAGGAUACCGUCCAUAUUAUUGGUCAGCGAACUUUUGACGAUAUUUUAUUUUGAACCCCCUUUUAUUAUUAUUAUUAUUAUUUUUGUAAAUGAGCCAGUUUUAAAUGUAAUCCCCAAAAGUUACAAAAUACUUAAGAUAUCUUCAACAUAGAUAGUCAAUAUUAUUUUUAUCAAUCCACAACAAAAGAACCCAUCAACCGCACAUUGAAAUGUUCAGUGCUUUCGUAUUCUUAUUAGGGUAAGUUGGAAUUUUGGAGUGACCAGUCCAAGUCACCACACUCAUCUUAAUUUGAAGCACGUACUUUGUCGACACACACCAACUCCGUGCGAAAGUGAUUUCCACCGAAGCACGAAAUUGGUGCAUCUAUAGCUGGUUGAUAUAUAAUUUGCUUCUAAUAAAGUGGGUGUGCUACUUAGUUAAACAAGUGGCAAAGGGCUUCGUAGUUGGUAUCCGAGAUCCAAAUUCGAAUCCUAGUUGAUUCACAUUUUCAGCUAAGUUUAUUUCUAAAUGAAAUAAACGAAGCAGGUAGCGCACAUGCUACCUAUCUCUCUCUCAAAAAAAAAAAAAAAAAAAAAAAAAAAAAAAAAAAAAAAAAAAAAAACUUGCUGGCCUCAUUUUCCACAAAAAAUAGUACUGCGGAAAGAGACAUCAAGUAGCUAGGCCUUUAGUCUGAGGGGGUACUGAAGCCUUCAGCUUCAUUCACUUAUUAAAAACUAUAGCUUUAAUUAUGUUGGCCUUUUUCUAAUUUUCCUUUCAAGUUGGGGCCAUCUGAUGUUCCCUUUCUCAGCACUUUUUAGUCAAAUUCUUAUACAAAGUCCUAAUCAAUGGAGGGCUGAGGGAUCCAAACACCCUCAUUAUAUAGAAAUUGAAAAUCCCAAAAGAAGUAAAGAGUUUUGCUUGGUUGGUAUUAACUAUUAAGAGGGCGUGACUUCACGGCAGACAAUUUGUGAGAGGAGUGGAUUUCGGGUUCAACAAUUGAUGGAUCCUCCCUCUAUGGAAGUGAACUGAAAACGAUUGGUCAUUUAUUUGCUGGAUAUAUGUAUACUUGUUUUUUAUUCUGUAAGUACUAGAGCGAGUUUUUUACUCAAAUGUGCUAUCGCAUAUGGCUCGUGAACUUGGAAAGAGGUUAAGGGAACUUAAGAAGAACCUAACUACUCUAUUGGCUACGUGGUGGGCUCUCUGGCUCGAAAGAAGAAAAAAAGAACACCACGUAUUAGGGAGAGGAGCCGAAAACCGAUACAAGGUGAUUGGAGGGUAUUCGGAUUCGGAAGCAGCUAAGACAUUGGGAUGCAGCUUGACCUUGAUUGAUUUUGGAGUAGUAGGUCUCUCCUGUGCUUGCUUAUUUGGCCGAUUUUACUUGGUGCUUGAUUGACCAAUUUUACUUUGUACUUGUUUGACCCCUUCCUCCCUCCUCUACCUCCCCACUCUAAUUAGCAGUGGUGCUCUAUUCUUGUUUUGUUUUUCAAUCUUUGUUUAUUUUCCUUUUCCUCCUUUUUCUUUUAUUACUAUUAUGUUAGGCUUUCAGAGGCCAGAUUGUCUCAUCUUUUUUAAUUAAAUUUUUUUGCUUAAUGAAUGAAGUGGACAGUUUGUUACCCUUUUUAAAAAAUUAUUGUUUUAUUAUGCAAAUGGUCAGUGUUUACUAUCAGUGACUACAAGUAUAAAAUAGUUUUAUUCUUCUCUAAUCUUAAUUUUUAAAAGAGACUCCAAAACUUGAUUCUCUCUCACCACCCGUACGGACCACCUCAAUGCUCCUUAAUUAAUUAGAGCUCCAACUCGGCUCGGGUCACGACACGCAAGAAUGCACGAUCGAAUACAAGAAACACUCCUUAAUUAAUUAGCAUGGUAAUAAGAAUCCGGCUUCUUGACUGUACGGAACACCAUGCUUGAGGGAUCUUGCUCCAAGAGGCUUCAAUUAAUUAGCGCACGAAGAAUAGUCUCAGCCGCACCAACCUUUUAAUUUAAUUUGCAUGGCUCUUAAUUGUGUCGCAACUUCUUUAAUUUGGCCGUAGCAUGUAUAUAUAAUACAUGUCUCCUAAUUAGAGUCUAAUUCUAAUUCAAUUAGAAUUAUACUCCUAAUUAUAAUCCAUAUAUGCCAAAUUAAAUCUAAAUAAUAUCUAAUCCCAAUUAGAUUAGGAUUUAUCCUUAAUUUAGAUAACUACAAAUCUAAACCAAAUAUAACAAUUUACUAUCAGUGACUACAAGUACAAAAUAGUUUUAUUCUUCUCUAAUCUUAGUUUUUAAAAUUUUACUCUUUACAAGCAAACUGAACCAAUCCAAUCUCUUUAAUUCAAUGCAAAGAUACUGCAUUGAUCCUCCUUAUUAACGGGCUACGUAGCAUUUCUCAACCUAAAAUAAUUGUUUGCUCUAUCUUUCCUAUACUUAUAAAAUCUGAUUUAUCUUAAAUAAUAAGAUUGUAAGAACGCUGAUUUCAUUAUGAGUAGGGCCAGUUUUGAUAAAUUUUUCCCUUUUUUUCUCUAAUAACCAAUUCAAGCAUUUCAAAAUCACCUCUCAGUAGGUCAAAAUUUAUUUAUUUCAAAAUCUUUUUUAUUUUCAGUCGUUUCAUAUGUUUCGCUAUGCUCAAUUCAAAUCAGAAUAUUGGGUUUACUUUUUUAAUUUUCUUCAUUAUUCAUUUUAGAACUGUAAGUAUUUUGAAACUUUUAGAAGAAGGAAAUUUUUUUUUUCAAUUUUCUAACUCUUCUUUAGAGUUCUUUAUAAAUGGGUUUAAAAAAAAGGUGGCCCUUUUCAGGGAUUGUAUAAUGAUAUAAAUAACUAAGCUUCCACAGAUUUUAUAAUUCUAAUGAUGUAAAGCUCUUUGACUCACAACUAAGUUAUCUCAAGAAAAUAAAGAGUUACCGACCGUCCCUAGAGCAAGUAAUAAAGGGUUUGAUGGUUGGUACCCGAGACGCAAGUUCGAAUCCUAAUUGAUUCACAUUUUUAGCUAAGUUUAUUUCUAAAUAAAAUAAAAAAAACAGCUAGCGUGCUACCUAUCUCUCAAAAAAAAAAAAAGAAGAAAAAAACAAAGAAAAUAAAGAGUUACAAAUUAGGACAUAAAUUGAAGAAUAAAAAAAAAAAAAAAAAAAAAAGGCAAAAUUUGUAAUUCAACCCAUCAAUAAAACCGGUACGUCAAAUAUUCCGAAGCAUCUCAAAGAAAUAUUUACAUCCAUAUUAGAGGAAAUCUCCAUACCUUAAAAUAUUUGUUAAUAAAUUUACUUACAAGCGAACACAAAAUCACGUUUUUACGCGCAUUUAAAAGUUAACAAAUAUAUAACAAAGAUCCCCCACAUAUUUUUCCUCCCACCAACAUUCACCAUAGUUAAUUUAAAUGACGUGAUUAUCAAAUGAAGAGGAGCAUCAGAAAAGAAAAAGAAAAAAAGAAAAAAAGAAGAAAUCAUCACACGCAUCUGAUUGAAAAGCAUGCAUGCGUCCCUUGAUAUCAGUAGCAUCAAUUAUCAUCAAUUACGUGCUUUAAGAUUCGAGCCAGUGCUAUCCAAUAAUCGAUAGAGGGAGUGCGUCUCAUUAAUAAGGGUCAAACCUUUUUCUUUUGUUUUUGUUUUUGUUUUUGUUUUUGUUUUUUUUUAAAAAAUUUUAAUUAUAUGAGUAUACGCAUCUCAUUCCACAACCCAACCAAAUCCACCCAGCUACGUUGACUGCGUUGACUCGCCCUCCCCUUCCGUUCCCUGAGUUUGACCAGUUUGACUCUCGUUUUCUUUGAAGGUCAUAACGGUCUCAAAUGCGCCGACGAGGGCCUUCACCUUGCUCUUCCUCACCCCCAGGAGCUUACUCCUCGCUUUCUCUAUCACGUCGUUGCUCUUCGGCGCCUCCUCCUUCCUACUCGCCGCUCUCGCGGCAGUUUCCGCCGCCGUCGCCUUCUUCUCCUCUUCUCGCUUCUCCGUCGCUGCCUCGGCCAUUGUUGUCGUACUUGGCUCCACCAAUAUUGUGGACUUCUCUGUUUCAGCUUCCACCACCAAUGUGGGCUUCUCUGUUUCGGCUUCCACCAAUAUGGGCUUCUUCUCUGUUUCAGCUUCUGCUUCCGGCUUCAGCUCCACCCCUUCCCCUGCUUCUGCUUCUGCUUCUGCUUCUGCUUUCGGCUUUUCAAUGUCUUCUACUGCCGCAGCGGCAUUCUCUUCGAACCCUUUAGAGCAUUCCUCCUCCGCUUCUUCUUCAUGCUUCUUCUCGUCACCAUGACCGACCUCAACAUCCACACUCACUUCAUAUGGGUCCUCUGUUUCAGGAGGAGAAGCAUCGGAGGCCGCCGCCGCUUCCGAACUACUCUUCGGCUCGACAGGGUCAGGGAGCUCUUCGACCAAGUGGUCUUCUAUAGAAGCAAUGCUCAUGUUCUCACUCUCCUCAAUCUCACUCUUCAUUUCUAUCUCCUCUUCACUCUCUAUAACCACCGCAUAAUUAUUAUUAUUAUUAUUAGUAGUAGUAGUAGUAGCAGUAGCAGUAGUACUUGUUUUCAAAAGAGAGCCAUGGUUGGCCUCUGUUUUCCUCGUGCCCGUCCCGGGGCUCCUCACCCGCGACACCGCACUCAGUCUCGCACCCUUCGGAGCAGUAACCGACGUUUUAUCCGAACCAGGCCGAUGAGAAAUUGUAGUUUUAUGCGAAGAGGAAGAAGCUUUAGGGGUUUUCUCCUUACUGUCCUUGAGGGUUGUUAAUGGCGCCUUGGUGGUGCUCUGUUUCUUACGAGUGGAGGCAGAAGAAAAAGUAGUAGUAGUAUGUUGGUGGCGGCUCGAGCUUACGGUGGGACGGAGAAAGGAGGCGGCUGCGGUGGAUUGCGACGGGGGAGGGGGGCUGCGGCCGGGGGAGUUUGGGAGAGAGGAUUGCUUCGGCGGUCGGCGACCGGAGUGGGGUGUGGGUGUGGUGGUGGUGGUGGUGGUGGUGGUGGUGGUGAUGCUCUUAUUUCUUUGGUGUGUUGGUGCUCCUCCUCCUCCUCCUCCUCCUCCUCUUCCUCCUACUCCUUCCUUUAUUGGCUUUGAUGUAGCCAUGAGCUAGGUGAUUUUCAACUAUGUUACACACACAAUUUUUCUUUUAGAAAAAAAAUAGUACACUACUACGUGCUUCGUUUAUUUAUCAAACAAAUUUAGCCAUAUAGAGAAGUUGAUUAAAUAAAAGUUAGGGUUCUUACAGAACAAACAAUAAAUCAUGAUACAAGGUAGGAAUACUCAUAGGAAUCUCGUCGUCUGCAUCAUUAAUACAAAAGAUUUAAAAAAAAAAAAAAAAAUUUGUGAACAUGUAUAAGACCCAUGAUCACCAUUUAAUUUUCAUAUAAUCAAGCUAAUAGAAAUGUGUGAACAUAUAUCGUGUGGUUCUUUGUGUCUAAUCUCUCCAAGUUAUGAAUUCUCUGCACAUGUUUCUUACGUUUGCAUCUAAUCACUUGAUUAAAGGUGGUUGGAUUUUGAUUAAUUUAUUUAUGUGACUUAGAUGAUUGAAUUUAGUGCAUAAUUUCAUCUAACCUAAUCUGUUUAGUGGAACAUACCAAUGAUCAUUGAACAAUUAUUGUUGCUUUUAUUUUUUUUAAUUCAAAAGAGGAUACAACCAAGAAUCACUAAACAUAAAUUGAAAAUUUAAAUAAUCUUACAUUUAAAAAAGAAAACAAAAGGAUCAAUGGCUUUUGGUGUACCUUGGAUUGGAGUGCUCAACUCAUGAUUAUCUUCUCCAUUUGUUUAAGGAAACCUGAGGUUGAAGAAAUGGGAGAAGGUGGAGGGAGGAAGUUUUGUCCCAUUACUAUUAUAAUAUAUAUUCUCAAAUGGGUUUUCUUUGCUUGAGAGAGAGAGAGAGAGAGAGAGAGAGAGAGAGAGAGAGAGAGAUGUGGAGCCCCAUAUUUAAAAUUGGUUAUGAAGAGACCAAGUCAAAUUAAUUAGAAGCAGUUGUAAGCUAUUGGAAGCGGUUUGCAUUGCUAAUUCUAGAGAUUUGGCUCAAUAAAUAAUAAAUAAUAAUAAUAAUAAUAAUUGUUCAUGUUGCAAUGUUGGUUACUUGAUAUAUUACUAAAUUUGAUGGACAUUUUCAUGCUUGGUUGAGUUAAUUAUAUCACAUCUUUACAAUUUGAAUAAUUGUCCAUUUGUGGUUAUGCCACAUAUCAAGCAUUUUUCAAGUUUUUUUUUUAGGACAAAAUUUAAACCAAAAAGGUGAUUGUUAUGCUGGUUACCUGUUAUCUUUUGCUUGCAUUCUAUAGGUUUUCGAUUUAAAUUAUGCUUAUAAUUUGAAUAGAGUGCAUAUUUAGUGUCUUCUACCUCUGUAAAAUUUGAGUGAUUGUGCAAUUGAGAUUUAAGGAUUUGUAUAGGCAAUAGUCUUUUUUUUUUUUGAGAGAUAGGUAGCACGCUAUUCGCUUUGUUUAUUUCAUUUAGAAAUAAACUUAGCUGGAAAUGUAAAUCAACAAGGAUUCGAACUUGGGUCUCGGGUACUAACCACCAAACCCUUUGCUACUUACUCUAGAGACGGUCGGUUGUAUAGGCGAUAGUCACCUAAUGAGUACAUUAGGAAAAUACGUGUAAGAAUAGGGAUGUUUUCGAAUUUCAAUGAGCUUUUACUUUUGAUUGCAUUGGGAAAUAAAGGAGGAAUAAUUUAGGAGAAUUAAAAAUACGUUAUGUUGGCUUAAAUGGACUAGCAUCCUGUCCUGUAGCGGAAGAUUAUAUUGGGCCGAGUCAUGUUUGAAAUGGCGUGAGGCUGAAUGAGUCGAGUCAUAUUCGAAGUGGUGUGAGGCUGGUUAGGCCAAGUCAUAAUCGAGACUCAUGGGCGUUGUAUCUGUACACUUUAAUUGAAUUGGUUACGUAUUUCUAACAGCUCGAGCUAUUAGGAUUAAUGGUUAGCACAAACGAUCCGAUAAGUAGUAUCAGAGCCAGAGGUCACAGGUUUGAUUUUCGCAUACUGAAAAUAUGUGUAAGUACUGGAGAGGGGAUUGUUGGCUUAAAUAGGUUAGCAUCCUGCCCUGUGGCGGGAGGCCAUGUUGGGACGAGUCAUGUUCAUGUUUGAAGUGGCGUAAGGCUGGUUGGCGUGAAGCUGGUUCGGCCAAGUCAUAAUCAAGACCCGUAGACGCUGUAUCUGUACGCUUUGCGUAUUUACAAUCCAACACGUUAUGCUCCCCUUUGAUCUCCAAUUUGCUAAAAGUUCGCCAAAAAUACUCUCUAAUCUCGAUCUGUGCUGAGUGGAGUGAUAACUGCUAAAAAAAACACUUUCAAACCGGGUUAUUAAUGGGAUCAAAAUAAGGUUGGCAUGAAGCUGGUUGGGCCAAGUCAUAAUCAAAACCCGUGGACGCUGUAUCUGUACGCUUUGCGUAUUUACGAUCCAACACAUUAUGCUCCCCUUUGAUCUCCAAUUUGCUAAAAGUUCGCCAAAAAUACUCUCUAAUCUCGAUAUGUGCCAAGUGGAGUGAUAACUGCCAAAAAAACACUUUCAAACCGGGUUAUUAAUGGGAUCAAAAUAAUGGGUUUAUUAACAUUCUAAGAAUUAAACUACUUAUUAGUAGGAUACUAGGAUCCAUAUUUACAGAUGUCAAUGGAUAUGGAUAUUUAAAAUUUUAUCUGUGCGUGAAUUCGAAUAGUUCAGGUUUAACCAAUAUUAAAAAGGAAUACCUUCAGUUACAGAUAUAAAAAGAAAAAUGUGACAAAUUAAAUUCAGAUAUAGUUUUUAUCUAUAUGACCAGAACUUGAACCCAAGUCAAACCUGAACCAAUUUUAUAUUAUAUAAUAUAUAGAAAUUUAAAUCAGUACAUAAAAAUUUUAAAUAUCCGUAUGAUAUGUUUUAAAAUUAAAUAAAUUAUACUUUUGGUCACCAAAAGUACAUGAUAUUUAAUUUUAAAACAUAUCAUACUUAAAUUUAAAAUUUUUAUGUACUGAUUUAAAUUUCUAUAUAUUAUAUANUCUAUAUGACCAGAACUUGAACCCAAGUCAAACCUGAACCAAUUUUAUAUUAUAUAAUAUAUAGAAAUUUAAAUCAGUACAUAAAAAUUUUAAAUUUAAGUAUGAUAUGUUUUAAAAUUAAAUAAAUUAUACUUUUGGUCCUAAAAGGUACAUGAUAUUUUAGUCCUCAAACUUUAAUUUGUUAUAAUUUUCAUCUCGAACUUUCUGAAUAAUUCCAAUCCAGUUGCACAACCCAAUUCACUAAACAUUGACAAAAAUUAUUUGAUGUAGAGGUGAUAUAAUAUUUUAAUUAUUCUCGCAUCAUUAAUCGCGAUUCUUUCACAACACUUCUACAUUAAUAAUUUAUCAAUAUUUAGCCAAUUGAAUUGGAUUGUAGGACUUGAUACAAUAAUUUAGAAAAUUCAAGUUAAAAAUUACAAUAAAGUAAAGUUUGGAACCAAAAUUUCACAGCUCUCAAAAUUUGAGCACCUAAAGUGCAGAUUUUUCUUUAAAAUUUGAUAAAGAGAAAUGAUUAUUUUCAUAUUCGGAUUUUCGGGCUUCAGUUCUUUUAUCUGGUUUGAUUCUAGUUAUGAAUUUUCAAAAGUCGAUAGGUUUGAGUUUAGAUUCAGAUUUCAAUUUCGAUAGUUGAAUUCGGAUUUGAAUUUUUAAAAAUUCGUCCCAAAUCCGAUCCUUUAACAUCCUAUUUAUAUUCGGAUUUUAAUAUAGUAAGAAACAAAAUUUUGCAAAUUUGAUUUUUGAUUCUAAAUAAAAACCAACCCAUUAACACUCCCAUACAAAACAAUUUGGAAAAAUAUAAGGUAAACAAUGCCAAACACAAGAGUACAACACAAGAAAUAGAUUUCUUUAUGUAAUAUAAAAUUGCUAACUAAAAACUCUGUGCGUGUAAUACAAGGAACAGUUAGCAAUAUUCGAUGGGAAUAUGUCAUAGAUAACAUUGUUUUUUCCACUCAAAAAAAUAAAAUAAAAUAAAAACAACAUAGAAUUCCACUGUUUUGUCUUGUAUGAGUGGGAUGUUUUAUUUAUUUACCUUAAACAUAUUUUGUGUAAAAAAGAAAGAGGUGUAUUUUGAUAAGGCUAGUAGAUAAAUUUUAACUGUUUAAAUCUAAGAUUUAUAUAUUUUUUAGAAUGUACAAGUAAUAUUGCCCUUUGAAAAAUGCUAUAUGUACAUCAUAUAUAGGGGUGUACAUAUUACAUCUUUGGAUUCAAGGGUUUAGAAAAAAAAAAAUUGGAUAGUUAUUAAAAAAACAAUUGAUAAGAUCAGUAGAUGAAUCCUAACCACACAAAAUCUCUGGUAAAAAAAAAAUAUUUAUGCCUCUUAUCGACCGUUCCUAGCGCAAGUGACAAAAGGUUUGGUGAUUGAUACCCGAUGUUCCAAAUUCGAAUUCUAGUUAAUUCACAUUUUCAGCUAAGUUUAUUUCUAAAUAAGUAGCAUACGAUCUAUCUCUAAAAUAUAUAUAUAUAUAUAUAUAUAUAUAUAUGAGCUAAGGCUACUAUAACUAUCUAUAGUACCCGAGACUUCGUACUAUGUGUUGGUUUUUGCGAAUCUAGGGCUCUAAAAUCAACGAAUCCACACCGUUAAAAAUGGAUCUAGUGUAUUUAAAGUUUUCUAGAAAUAACAGUAACAACUUAUAUAUUUUCAUUAACAUAGUUACUUAUGGAUCAAACUAUCUUCAAAAUUGUCAAUUUUCAUAAUAUUAUUAAGCGAGCUUUGGAGUUUAAACGUUAGAAAUCUAAAUUUCUUUCAAAUUUGAUAGAAAAUACUUAAACUAUAUAACAUUAAGGUUAACACUUUGAUCUUGAAUUUAAAGUCAUAUGCCAAAUUUAAAGUAUCAAUUUUCCAAAACCGCUCCAUUUGAUAUAAUUUAUUUACUAAUUAAACGAUAUCGAAAAAAGGUAAAAUUUAUUCCUAGAGAAAUCCUAUACCCUAGAUCAAUAUUAACGGUGGUGAUUCGUGAUUUGAGAUCCCUAAGAUAGAAACAAAUACUAUAUACGCGGAGACUCGUACUAUAUAUAGUAUAUAGCCUAACCUAAUAUAUAUAUAAAUAUAUAUAUAAUAUAUAUAUUAUAUAUUAUAUCUUAAUAUAUAUAUAUAUAUAUGCCCCUUUUAAGGUAUUCAAAUAGUAUUACUAUUUUGUAUUUUAAUUUUUAAAAUCAAAAUUUUUGUUUUUAGGGAGCUGUGCAUUAGCUGAUCCUUUUAUUCUGCUGUCAUCAUCAAACUAAAUGGCUAUUUUAAAGAGUUUUAAGGGCUUGUUUUUUUGUUUGUUUCUUUUUAAUUUUUUAUUGAAAGAGCUAGCUACAGAAGUUUUCAAAUAUUACAAAUACUUUUGGAGAGUCCUCUCAAAAGGUGAAAAUGGAUACAUUUCAAUUCAUCUUUCCUCCAAAUAUACUAUUAAUGUUCCAGAAGAGAUGCAUAGACCCACUUAUUAGCCUACAUAUAUUAGCUAAACUAUUAGCAAGAUCUAUUACAUUCUCUGUUUGUGUGUGCUGAAUCAAAACGAUCUGAAAUUUUGAGCCUAGCUUGGAGUAGGAAAUCGGCAACAAUAUUAUUAAUUCACCGAUCGUUCCUAACACAAGUGACAAAAGGCUUGCUGGUUGGUACCCGAGAUCCCAAAUUUGAACCCUAAUUGAUUCACAUUUCCUACUAAGUUUAUUUCUAAAAAAAAACAAUCAAAGUGUGUAGCAUGCUAUCUUUCCCUCUUUUUUUUUUAAAAAAGCUAUAUGAUAAUUGAGUAACUUGGUAACAUGCAUUGGCCCUCCUUAACAUGAUUAAGGGCCCCCUCAGCUCUUGGAUUAGUCACAUACAGAAACUUCCCAAGUAACCCUAAUAAUUUUGUCAAGAACUGUGUUAUAGCUUUGAUUCAGUCUUAUAUAGUUAUGAGGUUCCUAUAUAUAUUCUCUAACAUUAAAUUCUAUUUGGAGAUAUUUAAAACCAAAGGUACAAAUAUAAAAAGAAAAAUGAGCUCUGAGGGGACCCAAUCAGGAAGAACUUUUUGUUGGGUUUGUAUAAUAAGUGGUUAACAAAAUUUCAACCUUUGUUGACUUUUUAUAUUUGGUUGCCUACAAAUUAUUAGAUAACAAAACUAAAACUUUGUAUGCUGCUAACACAUAUUGCUUAUAUUAGAUGAUUUUUUUUUUUUUUUCUGAAAACGUGUUAUGUAUUGGUAUGUAGUGGGGCGUUAGGGUAGAUCAAAAAUAGAUCUGAAUUAGAUAGGAAGGCGGAAAAAAGUUGAUGCUGUAGGGCGCAUGAACAAAGUUUAUGCGGCAGGGCUGAGGUAAUAAAAAUAUGACGUGAGAGAGGGAGCAUGGGAUCGAAUAGUCGUGCGGGGGAGGAAAAUAAACCGGGAGAAAAAAUUAAAGAAAGUUGUGAUAACUCAUUACCCAAUUUCUUUAUAACUUUUGUCUUAUUGCACGAAAAAUUGAUCGAACGGAAUCCUAUUAUAAAAUAAGAUUCCAAUUUUUUUGAAAAAGUAAGAUAUGUGCAAAAUUUUUUAACUAAACAAUCGUAAUAAAUUUAAUUUCUAAAAGUCCCACAUUUUAUCUUUUAUUUUUUUAUCAACCAAAACAAAGCCGUGAACGAUUGGGCACAUAAGAUAAAGAGAUAAGAGAGAUAGGGUCUCCUUAUUUGAUCCUGGGGGAUUGAGAGCCAUUAAUUAGUUAUUAGUACUGUUACUAAAGUUUUAUUAUUUUAAUCGUAAAUAUUAUAUAAUUUAAUAUGCUGAUGGAUGGAUUGCUUUUUUUAUUGUUAGUUGGCUUGCAAUAUUUUCCAGCCUAAUAAGAAAUGAUAGCUUCUUCAAAGAUCGAAAAAAAUAAAAUAAAUAAAAGCUACUUCUAAGUAGUCCACCAAAAUUUAGAAAUUCUUAUCUCAUGCUUAAUUAAUUCAGGAAUAAUCAAAGGAUUGCUUAAUUAAUAUUAGUCAAAGAGAGAUCAAGAGAAGAGAUAGGAGUUCUUAUUUUUUAUUUUCUUUCAUUCUGUUUUUUUGCAUUCCAAAUGGAAAAAAUGAGACAGAUAGAUGUUUUUAGAACUUGAUUGGAAGGAGAUUAAUGCUUGAUGAAUGUUCCUAGCACAAAAUUAUUACCAUGUUGAGUAUUAUAAUUUUUGGUUUCUUCAAUAAAAAUUCAUAACUAUCGUGAAGUUAAAAAGAGUGUGGAUCUUGAAUGACUGAAGCAAAAUACUUGAUAAUCUUUACCUAGGGGCAAAAAAAAUGAAACAAAAGACAGAAAAAAAGGGAAAAAAAAUUUACCCAAUAAUCUAUGGACAGUUGUGUUUUCAUCUACCUACCUGAUAUAAUUACUUCUUCCAUCACCUCUCUAAUUAGUGUGACCAAAAGCGUCAUGAUUAUUCCUAAUCUAUAUAUAAAAAGUCUAGAAUGCAUCAGUUAUAUUGCUGAUGUGGCAUGUCCAACUAAUGAGAUUGUUUUCUUGAGUUCAUCCAUCUAUACUUCUCUCUCGAAAAGAGGAAAAACUCAAGAAUGCAAUUACUUAUAUUGCCGACAUGGUAUACCAAACCAAUCAAAAAACUUUUUUGACGUUCACCCAUUCCAUCAUAAUUUUUUAAAAAAUAAUUUUAUUAUACUUUUUUUUUUCAAAAGUAAAGAUGUGAUUGGCCGAAGAAAGAUGAUAUAGUAUAAGUGUUAUAUAGUAAACUUUCUCCGAAAAGAGAGAUGUUAUUCACUGGUUAUUGAUGAUGUGCUGUAAAUAUUACACCAUAAACAUUCUCGCCUAUAUGAUCCAAAACCAUAAGUCAAUUUUAGAUACAUAUUUUUAAGCUUCACUACCAAUGAACUUUUGUCUAAGCUUUCUAUCCUUGAACGUUUAGGUUAGAAAGAUCUCAAACUUUCAAGAUGUUUCGCUUUUAGUCCUUACUGGAGGAAAAAAAAAAAAAAAAAAUUUAUUGUUCGUGCUUCGUUCAUCUGCAUCUAUAUAUUCAUGCACGAUGAAUCCAUCCAUUUCAUAAUUUCAACCUCGUGGUUUAGCUCCAAAUAGAAAAAUGAUUGUAACUUAAUAAAUAGGACGAUUGAACAAUGGGAUGGAAUCAAGAAUUGAAACAUGCAUUGUGCACGAACAGGAAGAAGCACCAGAUGUAGGAAACACUUACUUCACCUAUCAGUAACAAAGACCUAAGUUAAAAACCCAAUAAUUUCCACCAAAAAAACAACGCUAAAUAAUUUCAACAGAUUAGAGUGUUAAAUAUCGAACUUCAAAGUUCACCGAUCAAAAUUAAACUUGACAAAAAGUUCAGGAAUUAGUAGUGUCAUUUACCCACUCUUUUUGAGUAAAAAGACAAGAAACUUACAUUACGCAUUUAGCAUGUUAGUUUAGUUACUUUGUGGAAUAAUUCACUUAUAUAUUGGGGGUAGUAGUAGUUAACCGAAAAGCUAAACAAGGACUAUAGAGAAAGCAAGAAAAGAUAACAAUACCAUAAUGCAUACUGAGAUGCUGUCACAAGUAGCAGGCAAAGUAAAAAAAUUCAUUUACAUACUACGUAAUGUUUAUAAUUUGUGACCAUCUCACCCUUCCUUUUUUUAACCAACCAUGCAAAAAGAUAGCCAAAAAAUUGAGAUAGCACACCCUUCAUAAAUUUCGCAAAAAAUUUCGCCGAGGGGUUCGCUAGUCAUCUAUAUUCUUCAUGUAUUCUUUUGAUAAUCUGGAACUAUUAAUCAACUGCUGCUCCUUGACUAGAGAAUGCCCCGAUUCAAGUAAUGCCUUCACUGUUUGCUGUCAUAAGUAAGCAAAAUCAAUCUGUUCAUAUGAAAUACUAACUCUUCUGUUGGAAGAACGUAUAAGAAAGUAACUGUUGAAUCAAAUUUUACUUGCUUUACAACACUCUUUGAUAGCCACAAUUGACAUGAUAUUGCUGUGCUAGUCCUCGAUCACUGGUUUUAUAAGCAAUUGAGAAUCCAAAAGCAUAGAUUGCUGAGUAUCUAAAUUUAGUUUGAUAAUUAUCAAAACCAUUUAAUUUAGUUGCAACUGAUGAUCAUAGAUGCCGUCGUUUUACAUGCAGUUCAAAUAAACAAUGACACAAAUCAUUUGUAAGAUAACAAAAGAAGCAAUUUCACACAAACAAUAGAUGUGGUUCUCGUUCUACUCUACUCUCAUUGUACCUCCCAAGAGGAGGACAAACAGAUUUGGGGCAGUAAAUGAGGCAUUUUUCAUAAUCCAAGAGAGAUUCAGGCCAGUAAAUGAAAAAAAAAAAAAAAAAGGAUCUAGCCCGGCUCUUCCCCAAUGCUGGUUUAUAUAUUAUCUAUUUACAAAGUGCCAACCUAGAUAUAGAAUUUGUAUAUUAAAUCCUAGUUGUUCUCUAUCUGCUCCCAGCCUAAUUACACCAACACCACCUCCUGGUACUCUAUUCCCAGUCCCUCUCCUACAAAGCCUGCUUCCAAUCCAUUCCCUCUCCCUUUUCCCUCUAACAAUCCAUGAGUCCACAAUGCUGAUGUGUCCAGCCUCUGAGAUCUCUCGACACUCCCUAUCCUAUGCUUUGCCUACAACACUAAAGCACCUCCCCUCUGCAACACCAAAGCACUUCUCCUCCACAUCUGAGACCUCUCCCACUUCCCCUAUGCUCCCUCUACCAGUUCCCAACAAUACCUCUGUUGCUUCUGACGAUUCGAGCACGUACUUACUUUCCUCUGUAGGAUCUCUUGAAGCUCGAAAGACCCAAAUGGAAGCGGACGUGACAAAUCAGACUUGUCAAUGCUAUCUAUUUCAGGUUAAAGAGAACAUCAAGUGUAAUUUUUAGAUUCAACCUUUUUGUUCUGAUUGACUACAGAUGAUAUGAACAAAUUUGUUGUUAUAAAAGAGCUACUUUUAUUGUUUCUUAACUAAUCAAGUAAAUUUUUUAGAUCCAAACUUUGUGUUCUAAUUGAUUACAGAUGAUAUGAAUGAAUUUGUUGUGGUUCUAAAAGAGCUACUUUUAUUGUUUCUUAGACAAAUAGGUAAUAUUUACAUUUUCAUGCCAUUUUUUGUUAAACAAAAAAUUAUCAAAGCCUUGGUCAUGUUAUACUUAAUAGGCCGAAGAAAAAUGUUUUCAUGAUUUGAUACUUUGGAUUGCAUUCAAAUAUAAAUUGGGAUGUGGCGUUAUUGCUUUCUUGUUAAAUGCUCACAAAUGAUCUUUAUAUAAAUGCACCAAUAACUCUAGUUGCUUUCUAAAAUCAAUGAAGAUGCAGAUGAUGAAGUGCAAAGAAUUCCUGAGGCGAGUCAAGUUGACUCAUUUCAGACAUCAUCUUCAAUUGUGGCAGAAACGUCCAUGCACAAUGCAUCCAGCACUUCAAACUUUCUCAAAAAAUUUGAUAUUCAUGCUGCCAUGAAGAGAAAAAGUAAUUUACUAGUGAGAGGCCGGGCAAUCCUCCUCCCUUGAAAUCAGCCUUGUAUCCCAGCAGCCAGAGUACAUCGACUUGUUUAUAUGUUGUGCUCCCGUUGGUUCAUUGUAUUGCUGGAAUGGUACAGGGUUCAUGCUCUUUUUUACAUAAUGUGUGUGAAGGCCCAAUAAUAGUGUUGCCAUGUGGUGUGUCCACAUUGGCGCAUUUUUUAUUUAACCCGGUCCACUUAAGAUGUGGAUUGGGAUUUAUCCUAAUAAGUUAAGGAUAAGAAUAAAUUUUAUGUUUCUUAUUAAUCCUUAUCCUAAUGUCUUUGUAAGAUUCAGGAUAUUUUAGGGAUUCCGUUAUUCUAUAAAUAUGCCCCAUUUUUCUCUCCCGUUAGGGACGAUCGAAUACGAUCUAAUUCGAAUCUUCCUUCUUCUCUCUCUUCUUCCUCUCUGGGAUUUCCACCUACGUUCCCGGGUUUUGAAGUGUGGACAUAGAAGAGGACUCUGGUAGCCCUCUUCGAUUGGCAUUCGUCGCAUCCCAUCCGUAUCCGACGCACCCGAUUCGUAAUGCGAGGCGUAGGCGUAGGAGAAGGCGAGAAACGUGGGAGAUCUAGAAGCAUCUACACCAGAACGAUCCAAGAAGGCUAGUAAAACAAGUAAUCCGAUCUAAUUUCGGUUUCUGAAUACGUUGACUAUCCAGUUUGUAAGUUUCCGCUGCCUUCUUAUUUCCAACAAAUAGAAUUAUCGGCCCUUUGGAUACAAAAGAGUUUAAGACUUGAGAAUGGCAUCUUCAUGGCUACUUGUACAAUAUAGGAUCUUCGGUCCCAAACCCUUUACUCCCAAUAUAUAUUUGGCACUGGUAAUUCAAAUCAAUGGGCUAAUCCUUUUUUCCUUUUUUUUUGUGUUGUUUGCCCUUUCUUUCGGUAUGGUUGCUAAUAGUUUCUCUAUAGAAAAUUUUCACUCAUCUUUCAGCAUAUUGUUUUCAUGGUCUAUAUCACAAAAUGUCCUUUGAAUUAGCACCUAUUCAGAGUCCGAUAUCAUAUUAUGCAUUACUUAGAGAUUAACAAAUGAAGGCUCUAAAAUCUGGAUUAAAACAACAUAUAAAAAAUCCAGACAAACUUUCUAAUCUAGUAUAAAUAUUUACGUCUCAUGCUGUAAUAUAUAAUUCUUCUUGUAAGAUAUUCCUAUACAAUACAAUUAUGUGGGGGAUUUGCUGGGUAUUUCCAAUCAUGGUUUUGGAACGAGAUGCAACCUAUGUUGGCAGUUAAUCUCCGGCAGUGAAUAACCAAAAUGUUGUCUACUACUUUAAACUUCAAAGUGUAUAAAUUGAAGCUUAAACAUACAAAACUUAUCUAAACUAUGGAUUAUUUCGAAAUGGCUACUCAACCUUGCAAAAUUUUAAUUUCGCUACCCAAUCUUUUAAUUUGUUUGAUUUGAGUCAAUCAAGGGCACUUUGACAUCAAAAUUAGAAUGCAUCGUUUAUUUUUAUAUGUUUACUUAGUAUAUGCAAUUCUCGUAAUUAUAAAUUCAUUAAAGUAAUUAGUUUAAAUUUUGAAAUUAAAGUACCGUUGACUGACCCAAAUCAAACAAAUUGAAUGGUUGUGUAAUAAAGUAUGUUUUGUACAUUUUUACCUAAUUUAAGUAAUCUUUUGUACUGAUAGGGUCUACCACAAAUAUGUAGAUCAAUAUGGGAAUUUUCGAAUAUUUUAUGUCACUUAGUAGAAAUUACAGAAAAAAUUUAUGAAGAAAAUGAUUGCGUAUAUACUAUGAAAUUGAAGUACAAAAUGUAAGUAUAUGUGUGCAGAAAAGUAAUUACCUUGGGAGGACUAAAAGUAGGAAGUUUGCCUUUCUUUCUUUUGUCGAGAAGUUUUUCACCAAGUUUUUCAAAUCCACCCAUAUCAGUUACCCACUGCAAGUUGUAAGGUCAACAAAUAUAUAUAAGUCUUCCUCAAGAAGUUUUCCAUAGUUGAAACUGAACAAGCUUAAAGAAGAGAACUCAAAAUUAGUCAUGAAGAACACUACACAUCUACAAAAUAAUUAAAGAUGGUACAGAUACAAUUUCUAAAAUAUUCUUUAUUCUUAUUACAAUAAAAACUAAUUAUUCUGACAGCUUAAAUAAAAAGGUACGGGAUGAUUAACGACUGGGAAGAAAAACUAUAAUAAUUCGAAAUUAGAGUGAAGAUUUUGAGUCUAUAGUUAGACAUUUGUCAGAAUCAACUAACAUCCUAACUAUUAGAUCCAAGCAAAAUUUGCCCAACAAGCGCAACCUGGUUUUUAAUAGCUCAGGGCAAGUCAAGCAGGCCUAACACGGUUCACAGGGCUGGGCCUGGGUUUUUAAGUUUCUUCAGUUAACCUAGCCUAGCUCGAUAUUUCUCAUUUGAUGCACAGCCCCGCUGUUAAAUUUGGAGCAAGUCCAAGGCCACAGUAGUAAUACAAAUUAUAGGCCAGCCUAGGCAAAUUUACUCCAGCCUGAAACUAGGUAUGGCUUGUUGUUUGGUCAUCUUUGUUAUUGAGUUAAAAAUUAUCUUACAAAUGAUGGAAAUGCAUAUACUAAUGACAAGUUUCAAUACUUACUAUUCUUUCAUAACUAACAUUUUAGUUGAUAUAGAUAAAAACUGGCAUCUAGAUACAUGAACUCUGGCAAUAAAUCAAACUCUUUCAAUAUGUGCCUACCUUUAAAAUUGCCUGAUCAUAUGUUUUAGACCUCAGAGCUCCAUAGAAAUCCAAAGCUGCACAAGGAAAUAAGAAGUUUAACAAAUAGAUGAAGAGAGGUUACCUUAACACUUUUACCUGAAUGGUUUGGUUUCAAUAUUACCAAAGUAUCAUAUUACAAAGUAAAAAUAUGGAUCAAAGGCAUUAUCAUAUUACACAGUGGAAAUAUGGAUCAAAGGCAUACAAGGAACAAUCUAUGUUGUACAUGUUCCUUCAUUCGAAUACAGUCAGUAGAAGACAAGCAACUGACAAACUUAGAAUGCUUAAAUUCCAGCGAUAUGCAAGCAUAAACUCAGACAUUGCUUCACAAUGAUGGAAAGUUUGAUUCUGCCAAUAGUAACCAUCAAUCUCAUCUUAUCUAAAUAGAAGGUUAAAAUACCUAAUAUAAUAAGUGGCAGAAAAAGAGUGAACCUUCUGGAUCUUCUCAUUGUGAUCAUCAUUUAGGAUUGACAUAACGUAGUUCAGUGUUAUUGACAUUAUUUAUUAGAAGAUGUUUUUUCCUAAGCCAUUAACCUAAAUGUUCCAUAGAUCCAAAAGUGUUCAAGAAUAUUUGACAGAAUUAUAAACAAAGACUGCGGUGUCUCUUCGAUUUAUCUAUUCUAAGUUUCUUUAAUAAUUUGCAUAAAGAAAUUUGUGGAUCAUAAGGGUAGAAAUUGCAAACAUUGGUUUUCCCUAUUUUUCAACUAGUAUAAUACAACUUAUUAAAUCAGUGAAAAUCUUGUGAAAAAACUUUUAUAUCUACAGAGUCUUAAGCUUAAUUCAUGAAUUUUUAGAUAUUUGAUGACAUUGAGGGUUAACUCCAGAAAAUAUUAGUAUUUCCAAACUGAUGAUCCCCAAAUUUUUUUUAAGUAUCCUAGAUUACACUAGAUUCUUUUUCAAUAAUUAUCCAAAAACUACCGUGAGUUGAAUCAGAUGAGGGUUCGAUUGAGUUAAGACUAAUAUUUUUCAAAUUUAACCCUUAAUUUUCAUCAUUCCAGAUUCUUUACAAGUAAAAAUACAAAUACUACUAUGAGUUGCAUCAAAUGAGGGUCCAAUUGAGUAAGACAGUAGUUUAAUAGGUCUUCAGCCUUUUGUCCCACUACCAUGAGCUCAAAACUUCCAAUACCCUGAGUAAAGGAGUAGUAAAAUGUUUUGGUUGCAAAAAUAUGUGACACAUACGCUGUUUGUUGGUAUGGUAUUGCCUGCAACUCAAAAUAUGCAAUUUGAUUCUUUCUUGAGAUCAAAGUUCUUAUUCAGAACAUAGAACUUUCUGACGGGCAAAGUAGAUGUAACAAUUAUUCUACCAAAUCUAACAAACGAAGCGACUUUUUCUUUGUGAGAUUAUUGCUAAAUUUCAAUCUAUUACAGCUAUUUAGCUAUUACGAGUACCAUUGACCAUCAUCGUUAUGCAUCAUCAAUGAUUUGCCUAUGUUUUCUUUAUCUAGUCUUUAAGUUUGAAGGCCGAACCAUCACAUACAAACUUGAAAAAUUAUUCAGCAAGUUAUUGUGAGCUUUCUCAGUUCCUCGUUCAAAAAAUACAUUUGAGUCCAUAUAAAAGUAUUUCUAGAAGGCAUUCGAAUACAGCAAGUAUUUCUUGUUUUCAAUGAAACCUAUAAAAUCAUGACUUCUAGGAUGCAGACUACAGCACAUAAUGAACCUUGUUACUGUCUCAAAUCAUUACCAACCAGAAAAUUAUAAAUAAGAAUAUUUACAGAGUAGGCAUUACAGCCAAGACACUAGAAUAAUGAACAAAAAUAACACUGAUAUGCAAAAACCAUUUGACAGAGUUAAUGAUUUCCAUCAAAGGUGAAAGGAACCUCUUCUACGCUUUGCCCAAGGUAAAAGCUUGUAAGAAGAGUGGCUGAUGACUACAAUAGAUGGGAGGCAUCUUACUUAUAGACAAGGAUUUAAAUGUUGUAACACAGGGUCGUGCCGAAAACUUGCCGGCACGGUACGGUACAAUGCAUGCCGGGCCGUGCCGAUGAGUGUCGAUCACAAAAAAUUUAUGUGUACCGAUACGUAAUAGCAUGAAAUAUUUAUUUUCUUUAGCAACAAAAUAUGUCAAUUAUUUAUUAUGUAUUUUUAUCAAAUCUUUUAAACUUUAUUGAGAAAAUUACUUACUAAUUUCAAUAGAGAGUUUUGAGUUGUGCCAUCAGUACGAGGGCUGUAUCGUGCCGAUAUCUUGCUGGGCACGAUAUGGCACGGUAGAUACGGUCCGUGCCGAUGGGCACUUUAAUCCUUGCUUAUAGGCCACAGGCACAAUCCUAAUUACAUGAUUAAAAUCCCUAAAAGUAUUUAAUUAAAACCCCACUCUUGAAGAAAGAAAUAAUCUUAAUUCUAAAUAUAAUCAAACCUAAUCUAAUUUGAAGUCUGAAUAUUAUAAGAAAUUCCUAGCCAUAAACAGAUCAUGGCUGUCAAUUUGUUUGCAAAUUUUUUUACAAAACAAGCAUUUAAAAGAAAUACUGUUACGGAAAAUAAAAGAGUAAAAUUACCUUGGUUGGGAAAAGUGUCCACGACUCUUAUGACUUCCUCUCUGGAUAUUUCAUCUUUAACAUACAUAUGGUUAACAAUGUUAAUAAUGUCCUCACGGUCUGGCUGCCUGAUUACACAUAGAAGUAUCAGAAAUAAAAUAAGCACAAUAGAAUUUCAUAGAACGAAUCGUGAGAAAGUCAUAGGGAGCAACAAAAAGGACUUGAAUAGAACAAUUGAGGAAGAUCUUCUAGUUACUAUCUUCUCGCUACAUAUGGAAGUAUGUAAAGAAUACUAUAACAAGUAAAUGCUAUUGGAUAUCAAGGGAUAAUUAUAAGAAAAAGUUGUAUGAAACAGGAUGUAUUUUGUUAGAUUAUUAGCAGUUGAUUGAAAUCAUGCCUAGGGUGCCUAAAGGAAGUUUUAAAAAGCAUGAUGCUGUAUAAGUAAUUUGUUUUUUUUGCGCAAGUUUCUAUAUAUAGUAGAAACUAUUCAGAGACUGACAAAUCAAGAAUAAAAAAAAUAACAAUUGAAGUAACCAAUUGCUGGUUUCCUGCCAUUUUUCAAGUUUUGACUUGGCAAAAAUUGACAGUAAGCCUGCGUUUGAAAACCAGUUAAGUUACCUGUCUUAGGCAAGUAACCUCAAUUUAUGCAACUAAAAAUAGUGAGCAGUUUCAUUAAUUGAUGAUACAUUUCAACUAAGGUGACUGUUUGAUUGUUAGGUUUCUUUACAACCUGAAUAUUGGUAACCAACAAAACAUAGUGCCCACUGUCCGUACUUGCCGAAGUAUCAUAGUCAUGGGGUUCCAUCACCAACUCAAAUCCAAUUCCAAUAACAUUACAUCCAACAAACACAAGAUAAUUGUUCACAAAGUUUUCUUUUUGUCAUGCAGUCAACAUUUUUUAAAGUAUAUCAAAUAAGUAUGUGUCUGAAGGAGUUCUGCAUCGGAUGAGUUUAACCAAAACUCUGCAAUUUUCUCACAGCAUCAUUACAAAAUAUGCUUUUACUUCCUGUUGCAUUUUCUCUAUCAUGUGUUGUGACACGUGAUUUACAUAACUGUUAAUAUCACCCCUAAGAUUCAGAUAUUACCUUCUCAUUGAAAUCUAUUGCAGAUAGCCUGUUAAUUCCACUUAAAGUUGUUUAAUCAUUCGGUCCUUACUUGAUGACAUAUAAUCUUGGGUUUCCAAUAUCACAAUCAACUUGCGGAUGUAGGAGGAUUGGGUAUGAUUAUAUUGAUUAAACUAUAAAAGAAUUGAUUAUAGGAAUGACAUGACACUCGAAUUUUCUGUUAUAAUAAUUGAACCAGAGGCAGAUGCUAGUGCAUGACAAGGCACAUACCAAUAGAAUUUCUCCAUCCGUCCAUCACGAAUCAAAGGAGCAUAAAGAGUUGAGAAAUCGUUUCCAGUUACUAUGAUGGGUACUCUAUGUGUGACAUCUGAUUCUCUCCACUUCUGCCCAAUGCUUACUCUAGUAGGAUUAUCUGACAGAUUCAUCAGGGUUCCAACAACAAUUUGGUUAUUUACUGUCAUUUGUGUGUUUCCUGGCAAACAAAAUAAAGGAGUCAAAGUGUCACAAAUUGCUUUAACAAUCCUAGUUGUAAGGUUCCAUAUAUGGCUCUUAAGACAAAAAAAAAAAGCAAUUUCAAGCCAACUCAAGUCAAAAAGGUCUAAUAGAAAAGUGGAGUUAAAAAAUAUAUUUGCUUAAAAAGGUUAAUGCUGGAGUACUUUAUUUAACAAAAUGGAAGGUGCAUCACUGUUUGCUUGUUCUUUUUAUUACUAGAUAUACGUGCAAUACUAAAAGUUAGGAAUUAUUAGAUUUAUUGCACAAAUUGCACAAAUCACUCACCAAAUCUUCCCAGCCCAGCAUCAAUAUCAUUGAUCAUCAAACAGCUCAUCUUUCCCUGGAUCAGCCAGGAGUCGUGAGAGCACACAACAAAAUUCUAUAUAACACCAUUGUAAUUCUCGAGUAGCAACGGUGAAGGCAAAUUAAUAGUAGACAUUCAAGUUUAGUGGGUAAUAACUAUAGCAUAGAGUUUAUAGCUGAAACAGCACAUGUAAAUCAAUUUGUUUUAAACUGCAUAGAAACAAUUAUUUAUCGCCCCGUUUUUUCAUUUCGUGUGUUUUUUAUUUUCGGGGUUUUUUUUCGGGGGAUGGCGAGGGACGCGCGUUGGUGCACUUAGGUAUCGUUUGGUUUGAGGAUAAGCAAAAAGUGGGUAUUCCGGGGAUAGUUAUAAAUUGAGGUAUAAGCGGGGAUUAGAUCAAUUUUGCGUUUGGAUGCAAAUUGGGUUAUUCCUGAAAAUAAAAAAAAUAGCGUUUGGUUAGGUAAGAUGGAAUAAGAAUUAAAGUGGGUAAUUAUAAAUAAAAAAUAAUAAUAUUAUUCUUUUCUUUAUAUUAGAAUUUGAAUUUUUAUAUUUUAUAUUUAUAUUUUUAAAUUUUAAAAUAUAAACUUUUAAAUUUUAAAAAUCAAAAUUAAAAUUUAAAAUUUUAAAAUCUCANUUCAACAAAUUAAAAUUUAAAAUUUUAAACUAUAAAACUUAAAAAAAUAAAUCUUAAACUAUAAAACAUAAAAAUUUAAUUUUAAAAUAGAAUUUAAAUUUCAAAUUUUAAAAUUUUAAAUUUUGUAAUUUUAAAAAUUAUAAAUUUUAAUUUUUAAACUUACGAAAUUUAAAUUUUAUAAUAAAUUAAAAAUUCUCUCACUCACUCACACUCUCACACAAACACACACACACACACACACUCUCUCUCUCUAUCUCUCUUCACGGGUGGAACAAGCUGGGUUAUCCUAGCUUAUUCCACCUUGGGGUGGGAACACUAGAGGUGGGAACGCUAGUGUUCCCACCCCUUAACGGGCUAUUCUAGAAUAGCCCGUUAAGGAGGGAAUUAGUGUUCCCACCAUUUUUUGUUUGUGUUUGGGGGAUAAGGGUGGAAUAAACCCUUUAUUCCACCCUUAUCCCCCAACCAAACAUAGCCUUAGUAACUAUUUGUUUAGCAAAUGAACCUAUAAAUAGUUAGCUUAACAUCUUUUGAAGCAAAGCCAUUAGAACAUCGUAAAUCUUAAUGCAAGUAACCAAGGAAUUCUUACUUGGUUUUGAAUCACUUGUGAGGCUGUUCUAUACCGGUCACGUAUGAGCCUUCCCGGUUCUCCUGCAAAAAUAAUGGGCAAAACUAAGACCGCGCAAGCAUAAUUAUAUGAUAUCACAGAUAUCGCAAGCAAAAUUAAAGCUUCGUUUACUCUUCAAUAAUAUUGAAUUCACUAGGCUAAGUUAACAGUCUUAUACAAUUCAUGUCAAAGAUGCAUCUCAAAUUAGUUCAAUCUCUAAAUCUUACGGAAAAUCAACUAGUCAUUAUUAGUACUUGCAUGCUUGUUAUAGUUUAAUGAACAAAUUUUCAAAGCUGGGAUAUCUUUAAAAAGUUAUGCCAUUGAAGGCAUUCUACAAUAGAAGAACUCCGAUAAUCUAUUGAUGGAAGAAAAAUUAAUAACAAUGAUGCCGCCAUUAAUCUGCAUUUAGAAAUAUAUAAAAGAAGCAUCUUAACCUGCUUUCUCAGAUUCAAGCUCCCCGGCAGACAUAAUUACUGGUUCAAUUCCCAUCACUCGAAAAAUAAGCUCAGUUUGAAAUGUUUUCCCUUGUCCUUUUCCUCCCCAUAUACCUACAUCACAUUAGUAUUCUUAAAUUUGCCAAAUAGAGAAUCCAAAUGGUACUAUAAUACACAGGAACUUUGUAAGCUCAAGAAAAACAUGACUUAGGUUUGAAAAGUCUUGAGAACUAUCGUUAUAUUAGAGAUCUUAUGACCAUCAAGUGAACAACAAAAGUAAUCAAAAACGAGUUCUUAAUUGCAGAUGAGUUAUAAGGGUUCCUCAGUAGAAAGAUAAUUGAUUCCAUCUCAAAGUUGUCAGAUGAGAGUCAAGAUGAUGAAAACACAUAUUCUCUUACCUAAUAUUAGAGGAACCUUAAUGUUGAGAAGAUGAGCAAUAUAGUUCUUCACAAUGUGGCAUGCUGCAAAAGAAUAAAAUGUUAUUACAAUAAUGAUGGCAUAUUAAUAACAGAACAGGGCACUUAACAAACGGCACACUAGAGGAAUUUAGGUUUACAGGCUUUUAUUAAACUUAAUUGAUAACUUGAGAGAAUUUGACAAGCCUAGAAUACAUGCUACCUCAGAUCUAUGUGUUUAGAGAACAUUUCAUUAGCUCCCAGAGAAAAUCCUCUAAACUCAGUAUCAACCGGAUCACACUGUUAUCUUUCCUUCCAUAAUACAAAUCAAACGAUAGCCUAUGGAUCAGGAGGGUCAAUUAGAAAGGAGUCUAAAAUAAGUUGGGAUCAAAUCAACUUGUCCACUUGCAUUAGAACCAAUUGGGCGAAAAAAAGGGACAUACCUUUAAAGAAGGGACCUACAUCAGAUAAAUUGUCAAAUGCAUGUAUCAAAUCUUACUUUCACGAUUGAAACAUAAAAAGGCCUUAUCACUAAUUCUUGUUAUUCACUAUAAUCAUGACCUUCAAUUACCAAAAAUUACAAUGCAUAUUUGAAGUUCAAGAUGCCACAAGAGUGGAGUCAUCUAAAUUUUCAUGACCAGACAUCACAUUGAGAGAUUUGGUUCCAGAUUACAGUGAUGAAAAAAAUUUGUCAAAGUUCAUCCAUUUAAAUUACAUUGGCUUGUUGAUACCUCAAAGUAUGUACUCGGCAUUGUUUGUACUCGGCAUUGUUUAAGCCAAAAAAUUCGAAGAAACAGAAAAUAAAAUUUUCUCGAUACUAGGGGUUAGUCAAGAUGGAGAAAUCAACAAAUUUUGAUAGUCGUAUCCUUUCUGGACAAUCAAAUAAGUAAAAGAGUCACAUGAAUCAGUUCCAUAUAAUUCGAAGGAUGUACGCUAAACAAUAAAGCAAAAAAAAAAUCAUUUCAACACCUAACUCUAUAAUCUUCAAAUAUGAAAAACAUCACAACAUGUAGAAGAUCAAAAGGCAAAAAAAAAACAGAGAAAAGUUCUUUCAGCUUCAUAAUACCUCACUAAAUUCAAGGCUUGCAAAAUCCAAGCCAAGUUUAAAGUGCUUACCAAUUUUAUCCUGUAGAAAAUAAGAAAUGUAUUUUGUCAAAUCUAUUAAUCAAUGUUGGGAGGCAACAAAAAUUAUCAAGAGAGAAAAAUAGUCUAUUGAAUAAAAUAAUGCAGUGAAAAGAGGUAAAACAAAGCAAAUAUAAUAAAUAAAAUUUUCUCCAAUUAGUGAAAUACAUAUUCUCCUUUUGAGGAAAUUACAACCUAAACUACACACUUUUGUAGAUAACCGCCCAUAGUUUCAACUUUCAAAAGUUAAUAUUAAAUAUUAAAGUAUUUAAAUACCGUUCUCUAUCAGCUUAAACUUUUAGAGAACAACGGUUGUUUCGUAUUAUUUAACAUGGUAUCAGAGCAGGAGGUCCUGAGUUCGAAUUACGCCAGGCUCCAAACAUUAUUAAUUCCUCCUAUUUAAUUUGUCCGUAUCAUGGCCUACAAAAAGUCUCGAGCCCAAACAUGAGGGAAAGUGUUAUAUAUAAAAAUAUUUAAAUACCGUCCUCUAUCAAUUUAAGCUUUUAAAGUACAGCGGUUGUUUUGUAUUAUUUAACAAUUAAAACAAGCCACUCGUUUCUAUCAAUCACCCAGCCCACAAUUUUGUGAGUUUUUUUAUAAUAACUAUUAGCACUUGACUGUCACAUCAUCCUUACGAGCUCAUAUUUUACCCAUAUCUUCGAAACCAGUGGAGGGGCAUUUGAGGUUUUUUGGCUUUCAUAUGAUGAAUGGCUGCAAGAAAAACUGAUGGAAAUAAGCAUAGAUGGCUGCUUGAAAUGGACACAUUGUUAGGGUGUAACUUUAUUUUUUUUUAAUGAUUUUUCGAAGCUUGGGCGGUCCAGCCCUAAGUGCUGACAAUUUUUAUAAACAACCCACCAUCAGCAGGAAUCAACUUAAUAAAAUAGAGGGCUGAAAAUGUCCUCUCCAAAAUCCCAGCAGGGCUAGAGGUUAAUUCACGCAUGAUACGAUUUCAAUAAUAGGUGCUAAAUUAUUAAUGACACAACAAGCGAGAUUAAGAAGCUAAUAUUAUGCAACGAUGCAAAAGAGAACAUAUUGUUUUGGUUGCUCAUUGCAACUAGAGAACAUUUAUAGCAAUUGCAAUAAAUUAGGUUGACACUAUCCUACAAAAGAAUUUCUUAUGAAUGCACAAGACAUCGUAGUUGAAACUUGAGGUUGAUUGGUUAAGAACCAGCAAUGAAGAAAAGAACAUGUACAAUUAGUAAGCUAUAUAGGCAAAAAGCAAAAAUUUAUGCAGCACAGUAUUCUUGAUAAAUGUCAUUUUACAUGUCAUCAUCCAAGCUGUCUCCAACAAAAUGAAGCAGCUAAAGCACAUCUCAAAGAUGAAAAGGCCCUGAAAGAAUUUGUGUAAAACCGCUAAAAAAAAGAAAAUCCACAACAAGAACUUAUCAUGAAAGCAUGAGACCAAUUGGCAAGUAGGGCUACAUGAGGUCUUGUUAUAUUCUAGUCCCAUAACUAAUGCUCAACAAAUUCUCCCAAAAAAUCUCCUUGGAAAUAUUCUAGCUGUUCGACAAAGAAUACAACUUUUGUUGAUGAAAGCAUGAGGCAUGCAGGGAUUGCUAUAAAAUUCAAAGUAAAAUGGAGGAUUUGGCAAAAAAAAUAGUGUAGAAAGUGAGAACAUCAUUAUAGUUAAGUGUGAUAUAGUGUAGUUAAUUACAAACAAACAGGUACGGGUGAUUAUUAAGAAGUAAACUUACAGAUUUUUCACAUAUGUUCACAUAUUUACGCUGCAAUAAUAUCUUAUUUGCAUUUAUACUCUUCAAAAACUGGUAACUUCAUUACAUGCCUCAUACCAAGUAUAAAAUAUGUAUUCUAUCUAAAACAGCUAAAAUUUCUCAUAUGCCAGAUUUCGGGCCUUUCUCUGCCUACAUCUUAGAAAAGAAUCAGGUAAACUAGCUUGCCCAAAUAAAAGUAAAAGUCAUUCAAACCUAUGUUUUUAGAGUAGUGCUUCUAUACUCGUUAUUUUUCGAUACCGUUCAUUCAUUUCUAUUCUACGGCUCAGAUUUAAUUUUUUUUAAGUUGUAACUUACAAUAACAUGUCACUUUAAGAAAGGUACCAAUUAUCAAGUACCCUAAAGAGGGAUAUUCUGGUCUUUUAAUACUUGGGUAAUUAUCACGUAUUAAAUAAUUUUACCUCAACUAUAUUAUCAAAACCCUUUUUCUCUCUGUUUUCUUUUUCUCUCUCUAUCUUUCCUCUCCAUUCACAGAUGUUUCGUUGUUUCAAAAUUUUCUUAAACAUAUUAAAUAUGCUAAAUUUAAAUAUUUACCAACAUUAAAAAAUUUUUAAAUAGCGAUACAAAAAUAAUGUCUAAAUUAGAAAAUUACUAAAAUGUUUUAAACAUAUUAAAUAUGUUAAAUUUAAAUAUUUACCAACUUUCAAAUUUUUUUAAAUUAACAAUACAAAAUUAAUGUCUAAACUAGAGGAAUUUAAAAAUUUCUUAAACAGAUUAAAUAUGUUGAAUUUAAACAUUUACCGACAUUAAAAUUUUUUAAAAAAAGUAAUAAAAAAUUCCUCUAAUUUAAAUUUAAUAUUUUUAAAUUUAAAUAUUUAAUAUUUAAUAUUUCAAUUCAACAUAUUUAGAAAUAAUACUAUUUCUAAAAUUCCUAAAAUUUAAAUUAAUGCCUAAAUUAUAGGAAUUCUAAAAUUCCUAAAAUUAAUGCCUAAAUUAGUGCAAAAUUAAUGCUUAAAUAUGAAAUAUCAAUCACUUUCUUAAAUUAAUACUUAAAUUAGUGCAAAAUUAAUGCCUAAAUUUAUGAUAUCAAUCAAAACUUUCUUAAAUUUUGUGAUAUUUAAUUAAAAAAAUACCCUCUACAUGAAGUAACCUUUUAACCUGCUAUAUGUUAAAAUAACACAUUACCCUUUAUUGAUCAACGGUUAAGAUCUUUUUUAUUUUUUAUAAAAUAAAGUACCAAAUCAUUUCUCAUGUUUUUAAUAUAUAAGUAUUUAAAAUCAUAAAAACUAGAAGCAUAAACCAUGACGUGCCUUAGCUUGUACAUUUUUGUGUCAAUUCCCUUUUCCUUGUGAUUUUGUUUUCUUGCUUAUGAAUGAAGCAGGUUGAGUUGCUUCAACUUGAACCCUUUCAUAAAGAGCGGAAAAAGAAAAACAAUACCAAUCAAGUACAUAGUUUGUUAGGGAAGUUCAAGCUGAGUUCAAGUCCACAUAAUCCCGACGAUGUGACAAAACCCAUUAACUCAAAAGCUUAACCCUGUCGAAUUUGGCCCAAUAUUCUGUAUUAAUUCUUUACUACUGUGCUCCUCUACUUGUUAUUCCAUAUGUAGCUAUUUUCAAAUGUGAAUUUGUAACAGAUCAAAACCAUGGCACUCCAUAUAAGGCCAGCAUCAUAAACAAGAAGAACUCAAAAUUAACAACCUUAUUUUCGAAGUAAAUGAUCCAAAAGAACAAGAACUCACAAGAAAAACGGGGGCUAUGUAGUAAUCGCCCUCGAGAUACUCGAACGACCGCGUCGCCUUCUGCCGGUAAUCAAACACGAUAUCCGCUGCACACAUAAACAACCAAACAAGAAGCAAACAACUACAUGAGAAAGCCCCAAUUCCAUCUUAGAUGAAACGUAUUAGCCCUAAAAUCCCUAAUAAAAUUAAAACAAAGAGAAUCUUACAAUCCUUCCCAAGGAACUGUCCCACAAAGAGAUCAUCAAUCACGCCUUGCCGAGCCCCUACUGCGAUGUUCAUGUUAUCCGACUCCUUUCCGAGGCGAUACAAGUAAUCGUUCCCCUCCGAGUCCUUCGAUUCCCACGAGGAUUGCUUCGAAAUCCUCGUCUCGGGAGCUUCUUCCGGAGAAGAAGAUCCAUCGGGGGCUCGAGAGGAGGAGGAGGAGGAGGAGAAGCAGAGGAGAGGGAAGGGUUUCGAUUUGCUGACCUUUGGAAAUUUAGGGUUUCGGGGAUGGUUUUGGCGCGAAGAGAAUGAGGGGGAGGGGGAGAGGAAGAGGUCGGGGUUGCAGUGGAGAACCGCCAUUGGAUGGAGGUUGAGAUGGGAUGCAGAUGAGAGAGUUUCUUUUGUGACCGUUGGGAUGAUAUCUCCAACGGCCGGAAGAAACCAGGGUUUCCUGAUGGUGAAAAUGUAAGAAGCCUCCUCAACUUUGGCGCGUUUUGCAACGUGCCCCUAAACAUUUUGCACUGUUCUUAAUCUCUUACUUAUUAGUGUUUGAUUCUCAAGUAAACCGAAAAUAGUUAAAAUUAUCUCCGCUAUUCUACUAAAUGACCCCUAAAUGUUUCGGGCAUCCGAAACCUCCUAUUCAUGCUAUUUCGGAUGGUCCCUAUUGCACCCCAUCUUUCGAAAUCCUUCACGGUCAUAUCCAAAUUACUUUCUAGUCGCCCAGUUCCUGCAUCCGAAAUCUUUAAUGAUUAAAUUUAAUAAAUCAUCAUGCUGACUCAUCAAAUCCACCGACUUAAAUACCAACUAAAUUUUGGAUUGCUACAGUAAUUCUGAGCAUCUAGAACCAAGGCCCAAAUCCUAUUCGGAUACUCCUUCGGCAAUAUCGAGCGUUCUAAAGUGAGUUUCGAAUUCAUCUCACCUUGGAACAAUGCUUCUAGGCACCCUAAUCCAAUUUUGAGCGUUCAAAAGUGGGAAAAAAAUUUGCGAGUGAGCCGAGAAAGGGUACGACCAGAUCAAUCCCGGAUCCAGCAAACGUCGACGGCCAGUGACAAGAUCAAACAAAGGCCGAUUUAAUAAGGUAAGUGAGGUCAUAAAUUCGCCAUGGUAGAAACCAACACAUGUGUUCUGCAAGUAGUAAUUGCAAUAGUUGGCAUCGAGUUCGGAUGGCAAGUUUCAAGGAUGAAUGUAAUAAAGCAAUCACCAAAAGGAUGAAGAUGGCAGGAGUAGGGUGGGAAAGUAAAGCAUACAAGAGAAUUGUACAAGAAUAAGCAGGAAAAAAGCAUUAAGCAAGACUAUUAUAAAAAUGAGGUAGAGGGCAAGAAAAGUAGGCUCCACCAUAGAAAAUGAGAGGGACCCACGAUAAAGGAAAAGAGAGAUUGUGACGAACCACUUACUUGGUGGGACGUGGAUAGUGUUUUAUAUCCAUGGGAGUUCAAAGAGUUUUUACAGAUAUCUGAAAUGCUCAUAGACACUAUUCUACAAAUUAAUUCUAAUUUAGAAAUUACUCUUGCAAGAUACCAAGCAGUGAAUGCAAGAAUAAGAAAAAAAAAAUGCUCUACCAAAUCAUGUUCUAAUCAUAAUUACAUUGAAGAUUAUCAAGGAGCUUAAUUUGUGGACUAAUGUGUAUCUCCGCACACCUUUGCAGUGUGUGUGUUCUUUUUCUUCUUUAUUUCGUCUUCUUUCUCAAGUUUCGUUAUUUUUUUUCUCUGUUAAUACAAAGUAUGAUUUUUUGCUUGGUUUACUUUAUCGAGAAAAUCAUGUUAAAAUAAUGGCAUAAGCUUAGCAUGUGAUUAAGGAUCAAAUAGAAAAAUUAGUUAAGGUUGAAGAUAUAAUAUGAUCCCUUAUGACAAAAGUUACAAAGUUAUUAAAUAUGAAGCACUGCAUAGCUGCAAAUCAGGAGGAAGUGUUGCUAGACCAUUGAUACUCAUGUAAGUGAAAUGUAGAGGCGAGUACUCUAAAAGCUUAAGUUUUUAUAAAACAGUGUUUAUAUAUUUUUAUAUUUAAUACUCUUCCCAAAAUUUUUAUAUUUAAUACUCUUCCUAAAAUUUUUUUUUGGAAGGCUCAUAAUAUGAAUUUGAAUUAAAUGAGAGAAAAUUAAUAAUACUAAGAGCUUGGGUGGCUCGAACUCAAGACCUCCUAUUCGGAUGUUAUGUGAAACAAUCAUUAUGUUCUAAAAGCUUAAGUCAUUAGCAAACGGUGUUUAUAUAAUUUUAUAUUUAACAUAUAAGCUUCGAAAAAUCGUAGAAAUGCUUCUUAGAGAUUUUUAAAAAAAAAAAAACAGUUCUGUUAAUGAAUCACUAGAAGAUGGCACAAGACUUUGAUUUGUUAAUAAAAACUAAAGUUAGAAAAUAGAAAGAUUUUUAGCUACGUUUAUUUCUAAAUGAAAUAAACCAAGCGGGUAGCAUGCUAUCUAUCUCUCAAAUAAAAAAAAAAGAAUAAGAAAAUAGGAAGAUUCUAUCACAACCUAGAGAGCUAUCCUUAUAUGGCUCUAACUCUGUUAAUUUUGCAAUAAUAGUAUCAAAUCAUUACAAGUAAAAAAGCUAAUUUUAAGCAGACUCCAAUCUGAAAACAAUCUGAGUAUAAGAGGUUAAAAGGAAAAUACUACCAAUUGAAGUGUUUUAUGUGAGUAGGAUAAGCCACGAAACAAAAAAAUGCUGCUACGUAGUGUAGAAACCUAGACGUUACGGACACUGAUAUGGAACACGAGACAUAACACGACUCGGACACCGCGACUCGACAACUUUCAAAAAAUUAGAACACUGACACGGCAUGAACACCAUUAAUAAAAUAUAAUAUUAUUAAUAUAAUAAUAUGUUGGGAAUUCGGUACUCGCCCCGGUACCGGAUCUUGUGAAUCCGCAACCCGCUCCGAUACCGACUGCUGUGAAUCUGGCACCGAUGGUUGGGAUUCCGUAACGGAAACGUCAAAUCGGAUUUUUACCAUAAACCCGUCUCCUCAGCAAAAGCUGAUACAAUCAUAAAAGAGAGAAAAAAUCAAAACAGAAAAUAUGCGGGUAAAAUAAGAUUAAUUAAAUAAGAGAAUAUUACACCUGACUCCUCUUCUGCACAGAGUAGCUACAACCUGAGCCCUCUUUCUUGAAUCUCUCCUACCAUUCUCUCGUCUUCUAUAAUUCCACAAAGAAGACAAUCAUCCACGCGCAUCCGUGCACUAGGUGCAUUCAACUCAUUAACUCUCUCUCUCUCUCUCACUUUUUCUCUCGGGUACGACACACCUCACAAGAGACUUUUUUUUUUCUCUUGACCGUACCCAUCCCAGAAAGAGAGCUACAAUGCCUAUUUAUAAUGCUCAACUUAAAAGGUACCCCAAUCCUAAUAUAUUUAGGAUUCAUACUUUAAUUAAUAUCUAAAUCUAUCUUAAUCAAUCUCUAAUAGAUUUAAAUAUUAAUCCUAAUCUAGUUAGGUUUAUCCUCUAAUUAAUAUUUAAAUCUUAAUUUAUCUCCAACAAAUUUAAAUAUUAAUUCUAAUCCAAAUAGGAUUCAAUUACAAAUCUAACCAAAAUCCUAACAAUCUCCACCUUGGUUGGAUUUGUAAUCUUCAACCGUCACGUCGAGCUCACCAUGCAAGCUCCACCUUGAGCUUGUCUCCUCCGCUCGAUGUCGCCGCAUCCGCCGCUCCGCCUCGAGCGACUGCACCUCCGCGAACUUUUGGAACCCAAACCGUCUUUGCUUCCGUUCUGACUAUGCUCCCGUUCAGAACGUGUAAGUUCCCAUACUUGUUCGCCUCGCACACGACCCGAUCUCGUUUUUGGACCCUCAUAGCUCCACCUGAAGCCGAAAUAUCGCAACCCUUCGAGUCCAAUGCGCGUAACGAGAUCAAAUUUCGUUUCAAUCCAGGAACGUAUCGCACACCUGUCAGCGUCCUCACGACCCCAUCAUGCAUUCGGAUCUUCACCGUGCCGACUCCCAAAACUUUGCACGUCGUCCCGUUCCCCAUUAGAGCUUUUCCACCUUUGAUCGCCUUAUAGGUUGCAAAAGACUCUUUCUCCGGGCAUACGUGAAAAGAACACGCCGAAUCGAGCACCCACGCGUCAUCCGAAAUUUUCGCACCUCCGGUCGCCACAUAUAGCACAUCAGAAUCGAACAUCUCCGACUCUGCCGUCUGUGCCGUCGCUGAUACCGUCUCGUCCUGGUUCACGACAGUUUUCUCCUUCUGUCGCUUUAACUCCUUCAGAUCAUCCUGAAGUUUUCUACAGUUGCGCUUUAUAUGCCCUUUCCUGUGACAGUAAAAGCACUCCACCUCAGAUAUCGGCUUCUUCUGUCGAUCUCCGGUCGCUGAUGUUGUCGCCUCCUUCUUCGCUCUCACCACCAAAGCUGUAUCCCGGCUCUGUGUGCCGGACUCCUGAGUCAUCUUCCGCAUCUCGUUCGAGAGAAGCGCCGCCGUGACCGCCUCCACGCUUAUGGUCUCCUUGCCAUAAAGCAACGUGGUCACCAGAUGCUCAUAUGUCGCCGGUAGCGAAGAUAGUAAAAUCAGCGCCUUAUCUUCGUCAUCCAGAUUGACUCCGAUGCUAGUCAACUGGGCCACCACCUUGUUGAACUCGUUCAGAUGAUCAUGUAGGCUUACCGCUUCCUGCAUCCGCAGCGUAAACAAUCGCUGCUUCAGAUAUAACCUGUUCGUCAAGGAUUUGGUCAUAUACAGAUCUUCUAGUUUCUUCCACAACUUCGCUGGUGUCGUCUCACUGGCUACGUUGUAAAGAACCUCAUCUGCUAAUAAUAGAUGAAGCGUACUCAGCGCCUUCCGCUCCAUCUUCGUCCAUGCCGCAUCCGUGACCUCCGCCGGCUUCGCCUCUUUUCCGUUCAACGUUUCAUCUAACUCUUGCUGUACGAGGAUCGCCCGUACUUUAAUUUGCCACAAUCCGAAAUUGUUCUUGCCGUCGAACUUCUCGAUUUCGAAUUUCAUGGCCAUCUUCGUCGAUCUCUCCCUCGGAUCAAUAACCUUUAGCUCUGAUACCACUUGUUGGGAAUCCGGUACUCGCCCUGAUACCGGAUCUUGUGAAUCCGCAACCCACUCCGAUACCGACUGCUGUGAAUCCGAUACCGAUGGUUGGGAUUCUGCAACGGAAACAUCAAAUCGGGUUUUUACCAUAAACCCGUCUCCUCAGCAAAAACUGAUACAAUCAUAAAAGAGAGAAAAAACCAAAACAGAAAAUAUGCGGGUAAAAUAAGAUUUAUUAAAUAAGAGAAGAUUACACCUGACUCCUCUUCUGCACAGAGUAGCUACAACCCGAGCCCUCUUUCUUGAAUCUCUCCUACCAUUCUCUUGUCUUCUAUAAUUCCACAAAGAAGACAAUCAUCCACGCGCACCCGUGCACUAGGUGCACUCAACUCAUUAACUCUCUCUCUCUCACUUUUUCUCUCGGGUACGACACACCCCACAAGAGACUCUUUUUUUUUUUCUCUUGACCGUACCCAUCCCAAAAAGAGAGCCACAAUGCCUAUUUAUAAUGCUCAACUUAAAAGGUACUCCAAUCCUAAUAUAUUUAGGAUUCAUACUUUAAUUAAUAUCUAAAUCUAUCUUAUAUCAAUCUCUAAUAUAUUUAAAUAUUAAUCCUAAUCUAGUUAGGUUUAUCCUCUAAUUAAUAUUUAAAUCUUAAUUUAUCUCCAACAGAUUUAAAUAUUAAUUCUAAUCCAAAUAGGAUUCAAUUACGAAUCUAACCAAAUCCUAACAUAAUAUAUUUUUAUUAUAUAUAAAAUAUUAAUUUUGGUAAAAUAUUAUUAUAUUUCUUCAUACGAAUGAAAGUUAGUAAAAUUUUCAUUGAUAGUUUAUAUAUUUUAAAAAAAAAAUUUCCACCAUACAUAAUUUAUUUAUAUUGUCAAAAAGAAAGCUAAAAUAUUUAUUAUCGUAUAUUACAUAUGUAUAGAAAAAGUAAAAUAAAAAUAGGUAUAUAUAUAUUUUUAGUUGUAUGCGCUAUAUAUCGGCAUUAAACGGGCGUCCAAGGAGUGUCCACAUUGAAUACGUGUCCGACACGGUCGUCCAAGGAGUGUCCACAUUAGAUACAUGUCCGACACGGAUACGCACAUGUCUGACACAGACACAUGAGAUUGUAGAAGUGUCGUGAUAUGUAAAUAGAAACUCAGUAACUAUAUUCUUUUUCCUUCACCAUCUUCUCUUCUUCAAAUUACUAAACCUCAAAAAAGGGGGAGACUGCCACAGAAAAACACAAUAAGGAACAGAACAAGUUUCUUAUGAAAGAAUUCUACUAAUAAUUAACCAUAGGUAAAAAUAUUGAUGAAUGGAUCAAGUUCAAAAAACAAUCAGUGAAAACAUCAAAUAAUUGGAAGAAAUUCAGAUAAAGCAUCCACGAGAUAAAGCAUCCACCUAUAAUAGUUAUAUAUGUUUUGGUGCUAUAUAUGUAGACAGAAAUAAAGCACGGGAGACAAGAACUACAUUUCGGUAGUUAGACAACCUACUCUGCCAAAAGUUUUACAACAGAAUAGGGCACUAAUAGCAUUUCCAGGUAGUAGUAAUACUUGUACCACACAAGCUAAACAACCUAAGAACUAGAAACUUGAACACUAGGAAAGAUGUAUGGUUUUCAAAAUAUUUAUUUUCCCCAAAGUGACGCAAUACUCGAUAGUAGGAUCCCAUUCACUUCACAUUAGCAAUAACUAUCAUCUUCGAUAGCUUUUCGAGAAGCUCCUUCAGGGCUGAGGGGCAACUGAUCCUCAAGUGCUCGAAUCCGUCGGUCUGCACGACCGCACUCAGCACGUCAGGACAAGCCAUAAAUUCGAGACAAGCCGUUUUGAGCUGACCGCAACGGUGCUGCUCGGCCAAGACCAACGUGGUGGCCGCCGUGCUUAUGUGGAUGUCUGCACACAACUCGUCCUCGCAAAUUAACUUCAGCCUCUCCAGCCCGUAUCGGUCCGCAGCAGCAAGCAAAUGCUGAAGCAUCACCGUCGAGGACCCGUUACACGCGAGCUCUUCCGAGCGAGGUAGCGCAUCCGAAUAGACGAAAUGAAGCAGAGCCUUAAACACCACGGCUUCCAUGUCCUUGAUCUCUAUGGACUGCAGGUUCUUUUCCUUCAUCUCGCCGAAUAGCUCGGCUUUAAACACGGGCGACCGCGCGGCGAGCAACCACCGGUGCGCGGAAAAAGCCUCGCCGCCGACUCGGAAGGUCACAUCCGUCCCCUCGCCGCUCUCCAGCAGGCGCUCAAGGUGCAGGUGCAAGUCCGACGGCCGCGGCUUGGUAGAGCAACUGUUGGGCACUUGUAGACGCGACUCCUUGAGCACGGUGACGGUGCAGUGGACUACGAGGCAGUCGUCUUUAAGGAAGUUGGACUCCAGCCGGCUUCUUUCGAUGAAGCGGCUGAACCCCCUCUCCACGCCGCGCUUGAAGGACUUGGGCUGCCGAUCGGUCGGGGUCGACGUCGAGGGCUUGCCGGCGUGGUCGAGGAGGGUUAGGUUGAAGACGGCCCUAACGUCGGCGGCGUCGCUUUCGAGGGCGAGGAAGAGGGAGACGCAGUCGGCGGCGUCCUGCGUGUACCCGUCGGGGAAGAACUUGACGGACCAGUCGUGGGCGCCCACGGUGAAGAUGCCGGAAGAUAUGGGCUUGCCGACGCCGAUGCCUUUGGUCAGGGAGUAGCCGGUGACGGUGAACCGGUGGGAGCCGCUCCCCGUCUCCGUCACCCAUGUCGACGACGUCUCCGAGGCGGAGGCGGAGGCGGAGGCGGCCAUCGCAGAGAUCGGAAGUUUCGGGAAGCUUCGGGAGUGGACGAGGAUUGGGGUUUAGGUUUUUAUACGGUUUACAGGCCUACGCAACUUCACUUGGUUGGGCGGCGAAACUGAAAAGUCCCACGUAAGACGAAUUUAAAUUUAAAAUAUAAAUAUAAAUUUAAUUUAAAAUUAAAUAUGACAUUUUUAAUUAAUUAUAAAUUAAAAUUUUGAUACUUUUAAUUUAAAAUAUAUAUUUAAAUUUUAAAUUCGCUAGAAUUUGAAAAUUAUAAAAAAAUAUUUAAUGUAUAUGUAUAUAAAAUAGAACCAUAUAAUUAUUAUAGGCAACAAUUGCUUUAAUUUAAAUUAAAGAUAUGAAAUACUUUUGAAUAAAAUAUAACAGAUAAAUUUACUUUUUAAAAGUUUACAUUUUUGGAUAAAUAUGAUUCUCAAAUUUAUACUGAUUUGAUAUAACUAUUGAAAUAGUUAUUAACUGACCAAUUUUUUAGCAAAAAAAAAUAUAUGUCGCAUUCCAUUUGCGGAAAUAGAAAAAAAAAAUCAUACUUGUUUAAAUUUCAGCCACCUGGAAGAUAUCUACUAUAUAAUAUUUUAAUAGACACAUCAUAAAAGAAUAUUUCAUACUCAUCAAAAAUGAAAAUCUCUAUGAAACGCACAUUAAAAAUAUUCAUAGUAUCUACUAUAUAAUAUUUUUUACAGACGCAUCAUAAAAGAAUAUUUCGUACUGAUCGAAGAAGAAAACCUCUAUGAAACACACAUUAAAAAUAUUCACAGUAUCUAUUAUCUCUCAAUAACUAUUUAUAUUUAAAUCAUGAAUUAAAAAUUAGCUUCAAAUUUUGAGUUUUAUUCAUAAAUCUAAAUCUAAAUUCAUUAAUUUAAAAUUUAGAACUAAUUUAAAUUUUUAAAAUUUUAAUACAUAUUAAAAUAAAUUUGUAUAUUAUAAAACACAUAUGAAAAGUAUUUACGGUAUGACUAAAUUGAAAAUGUAUAGAAUUUAUUUGAAAGCAAAUGAAAGUUAGAAAAAAAAAAUCAAUCGGUAGCUAGACUCGUACCAACAAUAGCUAUUUGAAUUCAAAAUAUAAAUAUAAAUUUAGUUUAAUUAAAUAUGACAUGCUUUAUACGUGCACUAUAACUAGCAUUAUUUGAAAAAAAAUAAAAGGUCUGCUUAAAGGAGUCCAACUUAUUAUUAUUAAUUUAUUAUUAUUUGCAAAAAAAUUCGUGUGCUCUAGAUUGUGACUAUAUAUAUAUAUAUAUANNNNNNNNNNNNNNNCUAUAUAUAUAUAUAUAUAUAUAUAUAUAUAUAUAUAUAGGCCAUGGCUAUUAUACUAUUAUGAGUAUUGGAGCCCUCGUACUCAUAAGUUGUUUUCAAUGAUAGAGCUUCCGAAUUGACGAUCCACUCCGUUAAAUAUGAUCUAGAGUAUUUGAAACUUCUAGAAAAUAAUUUCGUAAAUUUUCGAAAUCAUAAUAAAGUCCAUCAAGUGGGCAUAAAAUGAACGGUCUAAAUCGAACGACGUCCUAAAAAAGGAUGAUCGAAUCCUUCAAUUCAAGAUCGGAGUUAUUGACCUUUAUCUAUGUAGUGAAUAGAAUUUUCUAUCCAAAAUUCAACAAAUUCUGAUUCUUUUACACAGUUAAACUAGCAAGUAUCCCAUACCGACUGUUAAAAAUUGUCAAAUUUGUGAUCUCUUGAUCAUAAGGUAAAUGAUGUCGAAAAAUUAUAAAAUUUGAUUUCUAUAAGUUUUAAAUACUGUAAAUAACGUUUAACGGUGUGGAUCGUCGAUUCGAAAGCUCUAUCAUCGAAAAUAACUUAUGAGUACAAGAGCGAUCGUACUCAUAAUAGUAUAGUAGCCGGACCCAUUAUAUAUAUAUAUAUAUAGAGAGAGAGUUUUGCUAGAAUACUAUCAGUAGUAAACGACUCGAUUUACUACCAAUUUGUUUUCGAUGAUAGAGCUUCCAAAUUGAUGAUCGGCACCGUUAAACAUGAUCUAAACUAUUUAAACUAUCUGGAAAUCAAAUUUCACACAUUUUCGAUAUUGUUCUCUUGUCCAUCAAGUUAACAGAAAAAUGAAUGGCUGGAAAUGAAUAUCCUUCAAAAAGUGAUGAUACAAUUUUUAUAUUUGAGAUCUAUAGUCUAGAUCUUAUUUUAAAUAGUUUAAAGAAUUUUCUAACAAAAAUUUAGUUGAUUUAAACUCUUCUAUACUGUUAAACGAGCAAACGCACCAUAUCGGCCAUUAAAAUUAUAGAUUUUGUGACCCUUUGAUCGUUCAGUUAGUGAUACCAAAAAAUCAUGAAAUUUGAUUUCUAGAUAAUUUAAAUGGUUUAGAUCAUGUUCAACGGUGCCGAUCGUCGAUUUGGAAGCUCUAUCAUAAAAAACAAAUCGGUAGUAAACUGAGCAGUUUACUACCGAUAGUAAAAUGAUCUAACGGAUAAAAAUAAUCAAAAGAAUAAAUAUGACAGCAAAUUAAAUACUUACAAGCAGUAAGUAUUUAGUACUUUUAAAAGCAGCGUAGCUAGACUAUAUAUAUAUAUAUAUNUAGAUUAUGUUCAACGGUGCCGAUCGUCGAUUUGGAAGCUCUAUCAUUAAAAACAAAUCAGUAGUAAACCGAGCAGUUUAUUACCGAUAGUAGCCCAGUCAAACUCAAGAAUAUUAUAUAUAUAUAUAUAUAUAGAGAGAGAGAGAGAGAGAGAGAGAGAGAGAGAGAGAGAGAGCGCGCGCUAGGCUGGUAUACUAUCGGUAGCACGGAGGCCUCCAUGCUACUAAGUUGUUUUCAAUGAUACGGCUUUCAAAUUAACGAUCGGCUCUAUUAAACUUGAUCUAUCGGUAAUUGCUUAUACUUUCCGGCAAUUGAAGGAUUACGAAAAAAAUUACCCUACGCAUGACUUGGAGUUAGCUGCGGUGAUUUUUACUUUAAUGUUGUGGCGGUAUUAUUUAUAUGGCGAGCACUGCGAGGUUUUUACUGAUCAUAAAAGUCUCAAGUAUCUGUUCACCCAAAAGGAGUUGAACCUGAGGCAAUGCCGUUGGUUGGAGUUGUUGAAGGAUUAUGAUAUUAGUAUUCGGUAUUACCCUGGUAAGACGAAUGUGGUGGCAGAUGCGUUGAGCAUGAAGUCAGUGCAGAGCUUGAGCAUAUUGAUUACUCAGCAGAGGAAUCUACUUGAGGAGCUGCAGCGGUUGAGACUCGAGGUAGUAUCCCCUGGGUCUACUGCGAGACUGAUGUCUAUGGUCUUGUGGCCCACUCUAUUGGACAGAAUCAGGGAGAAACAGAGUGUAGACUCUCACUUGUUGAGGAUUCGAGAGCAGAUGGAGAGGGGACAGGCAGAGGGUUUUGUUGUGGACAGUUCGGGAGUACUCUGGUACAGGGACCGACUAUGUGUACCUAUAGAUUCAGAGAUCCGAGAGGAGAUUUUGAGAGAGGCUCACUACUCACCUUAUAUGGUUCACCCCGGUGAAACCAAGAUGUAUAAGGAUUUAAAGGCACAUUUCUGGUGGAAUGGAAUGAAGAAAGACAUUGGCAGAUUUGUGGCUCAGUGUCUGACUUGCCAACAAGUAAAGGCAGAGCAUUAAGCACCUGCUGGCAAGCUUCAGAGUCUGCCAGUGCCCGAGUGGAAAUGGGAGCAGAUCACGAUGGACUUUGUUGUGGGAUUACCUAGAGCAUAGGGUUGUUUUGAUACGAUUUGGGUAAUAGUGGACAGACUGAUUAAGUCUGCUCACUUCUUACCAGUACAGAUCACCUGGUCCAGGGAGAGACUCGCUCAGUUAUAUCUGGAUGAGAUUGUUAGAUUGUAUAGUGUGCCUACUUCGAUAGUAUCUGAUCGAGACCCGAGGUUUGUUUCGCACUUUUGGAGGAGUCUUCAAACAGCCUUGGGUACACAGUUGCAUUUCAGCACAGCAUUUCAUUCACAGACGGAUGGUCAGUCAGAGAGGAUCAUUCAGACUCUGGAGGAUAUGCUGAGAGCAUGUGUCCUGAAUUUUAGAGAAGGGUAGCAUCGACAUUUGAGACUGGCUGAGUUUGCGUACAACAACAGCUAUCAAGCGAGCAUCCAGAUGGCUCCGUUUGAGGCGUUGUAUGGGCGCAGGUGUCGAUCCCCUUUGCAUUGGAGUGACGUGGGUGAAAGGAAGACUCUAGGGCCUGAGAUUCUGAUAGAGGCUGAGAAAAAGGUUGAAGCUGUACGACUCCAUCUUUUGACAGCCCAGAGUCGACAGAGGAGCUACGCCGAUACUAGGAGACGAGACUUCGAGUUCCAGGUUGGAGAUCGUGUGUUUCUGAAAGUUUCGUCGUCUAGAAGGAUACGCAGAUUUGGAGUGCGUGGAAAGCUUAGUCCACACUUUGUAGGUCUUUUUGAGGUAUUGGAGCAAGUUGGACCAGUUACCUACAAGAUUGCUCUACCCCCAUGACUGGCCGGUAAUCAUGACGUUUUUCACGUCUCGGCUUUGAGGAGGUACGUGUUUGACCCCUCGCACGUGAUUGACUUCACUCCGCUGGAGCUUGGCGAGGACUUGAGAUAUGAGGAGCGACCAGUGCGAAUUCUUACUCGGGAGACGAAAGAAUUGCGCAACCGGGUCAUUCCUUAUGUAAAAGUGCGGUGGAGUCAUCACGAGGAGCGGGAGGUGACGUGGGAGCCAGAGACAGUGAUGUGGGAGUCCUACCCUUACUUGUUCAAUGCUGAGGAUUGAGGUAUGCGUUAAGUUUCGAUGACGAAACUUUUUGUAGUGGGGGAGGAUGUAAUAUCCCUGGUGGUCAGCAGCUGUGGAAUUUCUGCAUCUGAGGCUUGUCGACACAUCUGGAGAGUGUCGGAACAAGUCCGAGUCGUUUUGGCACAAAAUAGACGCAAAACAGACUCGUUCCGAGUCGAGAGCAGGUUUUUAGCAUUGAAAUCUGCAAAUUGUAGGUUUUCAGCAAUACGUACCGGUACCACACAGGGGAGUACCGGUACCCCAGUAUAGGUUUUCCGACUACUGCUCUCAGGUUGCAACUUCUGAUGUGGGGUAUCGGUACGGCGUCGGCCUGGUACCGGUACUCCAGGGUAGGUGAGGGGCUUUUUGGUAAAUUGCUACCUCGUGAAUGUCACCCUUAUCCCCUCCUUUUAUGUACGUGUAGAGAGGUUAAGAGAGGAUUUUGGCUACCCAUUUCCUCCCUCUCUCUAGGUUGAGCUGUACGCACGGAGGAGGCUUCGGGUGGAAUUCAGAUCGAUGCCGACGUCGCGCCGGGGAGCCGUUCGAGCGCGUGGACGUCGUAGUUGCAUCGUUGGGAGGCUGGGCCAGCGUGUGGUUCCUCUCCUAUCGACUUCUCGCCGUCGCGGAUUAGCGUUUUGAGGUGGGUUGAUGUUAAGUUACCGGAAUUUUCGGAUUUCCUCCUAAGUCUCAGUUGACAGCAUGUAUUAUUGGGUUUUGUAUAUCAUGUUUAAUAGCUCGAAUUUGUGGAUUUGCAUAUUCUUUGAAAUCUGAAUUUGGAGCAUAAUUAUUGGUUUAAAUAAAUCAUAUAUGUUGGACUUCGAUUUUACUUAGGAGAAAACCAUAAUUUCUAUAUUGUCAUUUUUCGAAAAACUAACAGAUUUAGCUUUAGGAGCUGUAGUUAGUUUGUAUCACCGUAGUUUGUACGCAGUGGAUAUACAGAAUAGUGUAGAAUGAGAUUACACUCGUACUGGGAUGCCGAGUUUAGUUUUACAGUAGUGUCUAGACUAUUCCGAACUGUCGGGUGCCGUUGUGGUUGACGGUGGACCGAGAUUUCAGUAUUUUGCAUCAGAUUGUGCUGAGGGCAUAUUUAUUAUGGUUGUUAGACCAGUUAGACCCUUCUGUUUUGACUAUAGCCUGUGAGAGCCUGAUUGAGCUCGGCAGAGAUACGCUUGCAUAUUCGGUUAGGUAGCGCCCACGAGUGCCACUCCAGAGUCGAGCAUUGUGUUUUUGCGUUGUUGUCGGUUUGUCCUGGUUGGACUUGCUCUCCACUGACGACCUAUCGUAGUGGUAGUUAGUAUAGCUUCGGCAGGCGGGACGGGUGUGUUCACAGUCCCUAGUGAGAUUGGGUCAGAGAUUGCAUUUUCUACAGAUAGUUAGUGUUAGAUCGUGAUAGUAUAGUGACAUAUAGCUGUAGAUUUCUUCCAGCUUCAUUUACUAUCUUUGAGCAUACUUUCUGUAGACUUAGUGAGUGAGUCGUUGAGGUCGAUGGCGGUACCCACUGAGGACUACUUCUUUGUGCAGUAGUUCUCACACCCAGUUGUUGAACCUUUUUGUAGAGCCUUCUUCUUCGACUGCUGCUGUUGCGGAUACAGAUCGUGGAAAGGGAGUCGCAAGUUAAAUCCCUUCUCGUUUUGCUGCUGAUCUAGAGAUAUACCAGCUACAGGUAGCGUUGGUUUUUGGUUCUUGUACAUACUGAUGUUAGAUCCUCGCUGGAGCGAGUGUUAUGUAUUUGGAGACUAAGUAUGUAUUCUGAACCGAUGUUAUUUAUCUAUGUUUUUUAGUUUAGCAGCUCUAUACUACUAGUUGUAGUUUUGUAUGAUUAUAGGUACAGGUACAGCUAUCGCUUCGUAUAUAGGGGAAAUUCUUUUGUAUACGGCGGAUUUGUCGGCAUGCCCGGAAAAAUAAGUAAUCCGGGGCGUGACAAAUAUAUUUCCAAAAUUGGCCCUAUAUAUGCCAUGUAAGCGUCGUACAAGUGCCAUGUUAGAAAUGAAGUUUUUUAAGUUAAAUAUGGUGAACCAUUCAUCGUGUUCAAACAUGGUGUUUGAACACGGUGUUUGAAUUGACACGGUGAAUGGUUCAUCAUAUUCAACUUAAACUCUACCUCCAAUAUGGCGAUUGCGUAAUGCUUACGUGAUAGAGAUAGAGUUAAUUUUACAAAUAUAAAUUUUAUGAGACUAUUUAUAAAAAAAAAAUUAAUUAAGGAGCUAAAUACAAAAAGUGCCCUAACAUAGUUAUACAAAAAUAUAGAAAAUAAAAUAUGGUUGUCUAUUAAAUGUAAAGUUACUAUCUAAAUCAACUAUCAGAUAUCACUUCAAGUUAACUAGGCUAAUUUGCAUAAAAAUUCAUUAGUUUUGCAAUUUUGCAAAGGUGGACUACAAUUUUGGAUUUUGCAGAUUUGAAACGAAUUUUUGAAAAACUAACGAAAUACUUUUAUUCCUUUUUUUUCUCUUCUUUUUUUUUGCGCUCUUUUUUUUUUUUUCUCUCCGACCAUCAUCACCUCCUCUAUCGCCUCCGCAGCCCAUGGCGACGAUAACGAGAGUGGCACUGCCUUCUCUUUCUCCACCUCCACCUCCGCUGGCAUCAGCACCGAUGUCGGCACCGGAGGAGAAGAACUUGGAGCCGCCUCCACCUCCGCCGGCACCAACGCUGUAGUAGGAGAACUCGAAGUGGGCUCAGAUGAGGGCGGAGUGGACGGAAGCGAUGAGAUCGUGACCGAGGAGGUGCUCGCCACCCAUGAGAAUGAUGACGAAGACCCGCCCAUCUCUUCCGUCCACUCCGCCCUCAUCCGGAGUAACCUAUUGUAACCUAUAUGAAUAUAAACUUACUUUAUAUUUAUUUAAAAAUUAUUACCUUACAUUCAACCGUAUUAUUAAUGAUCUGAUAUAGAUAAUUUACUUAUUAAAAACUGAUUAGGGUCACUAGGCCAACAACAUACACAGCCCGCGAACAAUUCAUUAUCAUUACCAUUCUUCAUUGCAUAUAUAGAACUUUUAUUAAUAAAACAUUAAAAAUUGAACGAUAUCGAUCGAGCUUAUACUAAUUAGGGUACAAGCACGAAACUAGACAAGCAUAAACUUCAAUUGUUUGAAAGAGUUUAAUUAAGACUGACACAAAAUUUCAAUCUCCUAAAAUUUGGGAGAUAUUGCUUUUGACUAAAUUACAAAACACACUUCUUUACAUAAGGCUCUGUUUCAAUUAUCUCACUGCAUUAAAAAUUACAUCAAUAAUUUUCUGCACUUUAUCAUUGUUUCACAUAGGUCCAAAAUUAUAGGAUAAUUGCUGAAUUCAGCUAUAAAACAUGAUAGAAACAAAUUGAUUGAUGAAGUUACUUAUGAUUGGUGCAGUAAAAUCAUAUAUAUGAGUAAACUUAUUAGAUGAACUAUGAUUUUUUAUAGUGUUAACAAAAUAAGCACUACAACAGAAUUAGAUUAUAGAGACACAUUUUUAGGACACUUUUGUGAAAGUAUUUUAUUUAUGCCAAAAUUUAAAAAAAAAAUCUAUUUAGGACUAAAUAUAAAAUCCAAUUCAAUCAAAAAUUAAAAGUUCCUCUACUCAACCAACCCCAUCCAGCCCACUAAGCCUAAUUACAAAUAGAAAAGGAAAAAAAAAAUUAAUCACUAUCUCUCUUUCUCCUCUUCCACUGCAGCAGCCGAUGAGGUAGGGUUCUGGUGGGCGGAGUUCGGCCGCGAGAAUCUCGCAGGGACCGUAGAAGACUACGAUCACUACGUGUCACUCCGUCACAGAUUGCUGGAGGAGUGGGUGUCAAACAUCAAGAGGUUGUUGGAGGAGUGGGUGUCAAACAUCAAGGCAGCGCACAAAUAGCGACCACACAUAUAGCAACACUUUUAAAAAUGUCACUACACAUAUAGGCAGGCCCUACAUAUAGCGACCACACAUAUAGCAAUACUUUUAAAAAGUGUCGAUAAUUUAGCAAGCAACACUUUUUUGAUCUAUACCGAUAUUUAAAAAUGUCACUACCUACCGUUUUUAUUGUAGCGAAGAGACCUCUUUUAUCUAACUAGUUUUUUUUUUUAUUUUUUAAAUUGUGUAUUAGAUAGAUGUUGAAAUAUAGAACAAUGUGAUGUAUUCUCUCAUUUUAGUGAAGUUUUUCAACCUAAUUCAUUGGUUAGCUGAACUAUUGAAUCUUUUUAAAACAGUGGCAAAGCAUAGAAAUGCAAUCCAUGCAUCUUUUUUUAGUAUAUAGUAGGGAGAUAACUAAGCCAUGGCCUGAAGUGCAAAGGAAACUUUUGUAAUUAAGCUUUGUCCUUUUUCCCACUUAAUUGAUGACCACUUCAAUGUACUAUAAUAAUAAUAUCGACCACAGACCAAUCUCCUUUCAUUCUAGUGCAGAAAUACUUUAGCUAGGGAUACAUUACUAACUCUUUUCACUCCAGUGCAGAAACACUUUAGUUGGGUGUACAUACUUAAUUAGUUUGUGCUUAGCAAGCUGCAGGCAUAGAGAGUUUCAGAAAACAAUAUAAUGGAAAUGUACACUUAAAAGCUUCGAAUCAUAAGCGAGUAUACUAUGUCAUAUUUACACCAUACUAUCAACAACUGAUAAAUCAUAUUUUUUUUUCAAAAAGAAAUAUAAUAAAAAUAUUUUUUUAAUAAUUAUAAUGGAAUGGGUGAAUAAACUAAGGAACUAAUCUGGUUGGUUAGGAAUCCCACAUGAGCAAUAUAACUUGUAUGUUCUAGACUUUUUCUUAAUUCAUAGUAGAUACUUAAUUGAGUAUUGGUAUACAAAUUAGUUCAGCAUAAAGGAGAUCAAAUUUCAAAACUUAUUCAGUGAGAGCAUCACAUGGUCUGAGGAAAUCUACAGAUAGAACUACAGUAAUUAAGAUUAAUGAGUAGUAAUUAUAUGGAAAAAUAAGAUAGAUAAUUAACCUCGUAGCAUGUUAAUUACUUUGCAAUUUAACACUGUGCCAAGCAUGAAUGCGUGGUGUGUUUCAAACAGUUAUAAUGCUUCUACUGAAGUAGAAUAUUUGAAUCUAAGGUUAUAAAUCGUACUAAAUUAAUUAAGAAUAAUUCCUAAAAUACUCAGAUCCUUCUUACUCAAAAGGUAGGAUUUUAUUUUGGCGCUUUACUUAUUUGCUCAGCUAGCAUCUCUAAGAGCUCCGUCAGAAUCGACGGGCAACUUAUCCUCAAGUGCUCGAACCCGUCCGUCUGCAUAACGGCAGUCAGUACGCCGGGAGAGGCCACAAAUUCGAGACAGGCUGCUUUGAGUUGGGCGCAGCGGUGCUGCUCGGCCAAGGCCAGCGUUGUCGCCACCAUGUUUACGCUGAGGUCCCGGCACAACUUCUCUUCGCACACUAACCUCAGCCUCUCCAUUCCAUACCGAUCCGCAGCGGCGAGUAAAUGCUGAAGCAUCAAAGUCGAAGUCCCCGGAUCUUCGAACUGAGGCAGCGAAUCCGAGUAGACGAAAUGAAGCAUAGCAUUGAAUGCCACGGGUUCCAUAUCCUCUAUUCUUAUGAACUGCACGCUCUUUUCCAUCAUGGGGCCGAAGAGCUCUGCUCUGAAGACUGGCGACCGCGCGGCGAGCAAGCACCUGUGGGCGGCGAAAGUCUCCCCGCCGACUUGGAAGGCGACGUCGGUUCCCUCUCCGCUGUCCAAGAGGCGGGCGAGGUGACGGUGCAAGUCGGAGGGCGGAGAUGCGAUGGCGGGAAGACCGUCGGGCGCUAUCACAUGCAGUUUCUUCAGCACCGUGACGGUGCAGUCGACCGCCAAGCAGUCGUCCUUCAGGUACUGCGACGCCUCCAGAUCGGUUCUUUUGACGAAGUUCUUGUAGCCCCAGGUUCUGGCGGUCGUCGUGAACUGGCACGGCUUCUCGCGCGCUGAUAUUGUGAUCGGCGGAGGCGCGGGUCCGCCGCUGCCGUCCGUGUCGUGCUCCUGCGCCGCCAAUGUGAGGUUGAACUUGGCCGUGACGCCUGCGGCCGGGCUGGCGAGCCUCACGAAGAAAGAUACGUAGUCGGUGGUGCCAUCGGUUUCGCCGUCGGGGUAGUACCUGACGACCCAGUCGUGGCCGCCGACGGCGAACGCGGCGGAUUCGAAGAACUGGCCGACGCCGAUCCCCUUGGUCAGGGAGUAGGCCGCGAUCUUGAACCGGUGGGACCCACUCGCCCACUCCGGCGCCAAAGUCGAGGACGUGCCCUUGUAUGGCACAGCAGCAGCAGCGGCAGCAGCGGAGGAAGACGUCAUCGCCGUGGACGUGGAGAAAAAGAAGAAGACGAGGGGGGCUCUGGGUUUAGGGCGUAUAUUAAUUAAUUUAUUUGCUUAUUAGUUGCCUUGUUAGGAUAGAAAUUACACACGAUUGUUUCGGGGUAGUUCAAGUAGGUCAAGAUACGCACUUCAGUAAGGGAUGCAAACCGAUCUGGGUUGGUGGAACUCUUGCCCCGAUCCGCCAGAUGGGGCAGUAAAUAGGAAAAAAUAAACGGAUUUGAGACGGAAAAACGGGUAAAUUUUACAAUUUGAGACGAAUUCGUGACAGAAAUCGGAAAAAAUUUUGACUCGCCCCGAAAAUUAUUUAUAUUUUAAAAAAAUAUUUCUAAAAGAUAAUGUAUUUAUAAAAACGUUUAAAAUAUAAAUAAGUUAAUUCUCUCAUUUCUAAUGUAUUUGAAACUUUUGAAUUUUAUUUUGAAUUGUGAUUGAUAUUUUUUAUUUUUAUAAUUGAUAUUGUUAAAUUAUAUAUAUAAUAUUAUUAAAAAUUAUUAUUUUAUAUUUUACAAAAUAUUAAUAAUAUUAUAAUCUAUAUCUAUAUCUAUAUCUAUACUACUUAUAAAUGCGUGAGUUUUGAAUUUUUUUCCUCUUUCCCAAAAUGACCAUCCCUAUUAAUAUAAUUCCAAUCAUAUACUAAUAAUAUCAUUCAUUCAACUUUAAUGGAAUAAAUUACAGUCGUACAAUUUUUAUUUUAUUUUUAAAUUAUCAUAAAAUAUAUUAAUUCAUAGUCGUUCGAUCUAAUCUGACUGACGAAUUAAGUAUCUGUCACUUUUUUUUUACCUAAAUUGCCUUUAAAUAGUAUGUAUCAAAUUUCACUUUUUACACGUGUCAUAUCUCCUAAUAACUGCCGCCAACAUAAUAUCAUAUUUUAUCACAAAUAAUAUUCGCAUUUCUUAAAUAUUUUCUUUUCAAAUAAUAUCCGCAUUUCUUAAAUAUUUUUUUUUCUCACACGUAAUAUCCGCUACCUAUAUAAUAUCCAAUCACAUAGUACCUUCCGUAUAUAAUAUUUAAUCAUAUUUUUUUAAAGAUGAAUAUAUAAAAAUUAUCUCAAUUUUACCUACUAAUAUUUAAAAUAUGAGAUAUUUUUUAAUAAAAUAUAACAUAUAAAUUUACAAUUUAAAAUUUUAAAUUUGUAGAUAAAUGUGAUUCAUAAAUUGAUAUUGAUUUGAGAUAAUUAUUAAAAUAAUUGUUGACACGGACAUACCAUUUUUUAGUCGGAAAAAUAUUGCAUUCUAUUUGUGAGAAUAUAAAGAAAUUUAUACUUAUCUAAAUUUUUGUCGAAAAAUAUUUACUGUAGAAUAUUUUUCACAAGCGCCCCAUAAAAUAAUAUUCCAUACAUGUCAAAAAAUAUAAAAAUCUCUAUGUAACAAAUAUUGAAAAUAUUUUGUAUCUACUAUCUCUCAAUUAACUAACUAAAAAAAAUUAGGUUUGAAAAAUAAAAUAAUUUAAAUAAGUUUAUAAAAUCAACUUUAAAUUUUAAAUUUGGUUCAUAAUUUCAAAUGAGAAUUAAUAUUUUAAUUCAAAUUUUGAAAUUAAUUAAAAUUUUAAUAUUUUGGGUGUGUAAACAGUAUUUCAAAUUGAAAAUAAUUAAUUAACUUAAAAAUAUAUCAAAUUUGAAAAAUAGAUGGGAUGAUAAAUAAAUUAAUAUCUUUAAUAAUUAUUUAUAUUCAAAUUAUGGAUUCAAAAUUAAUUUCAAAUUUUGAGUUUUAUUCAUAAAUAUAAAUAUGAAUUUAUUAAUUUAAAAUUUAGAAUUACUUUAAAUUUUUAAAAUUUGGAUACACAUUAAAAAAAAUUAAUUUUAGAAAAAAUUUAACUGUUAAAUAGAUUUAUACUACCAAUAAUUAUUUAAAUUUAAAAUAUAAAUAUAAAUUUAAUUUAUUUAAAUAUUACGUGCAUUGCAUGUGCACUAUAACUAGUUUUAUAAAAAAUAUUAAUUGGCGGGGCGGAUUCGCGCCGCCGGUGGGAGACGGGUUACAGGCGAGGCAGAUUAUAGGAUGUAUUUUUUAACCCGUCACGGAUUCGGGGCAGAAGGCGGGGCAAAAUUUUGCUAGUCGGGGCGGGAGGCGGGGCAGGGCUCCAGCCCCAAAUUCACCCCGUUUGCAUUCCUAAUUUCGGUUCAAUUAGUAGUUAGACCAGCUCAAUUGGUAUCGAGGUCUUGUGGGUUAUUAUUUAUUUAUGUAAUACAUGUUAAAAUAAUAAUAAAAUAAUAAGAGUCCAGCCAUGUUGCUUCCUAAAUUAUAAAGAAGUUAAUUCUUUCAAUUUUUUAACAUUUAGGUCAAUUCUUUUGACUAUUUCUAAUUUUUAGAUUAAUAUUAUUUUCUUAGAGAAUCACUAAACUCUAUAAGAAAAUCACUAAACUCUAAUGUUGCGUUAGGUUUGGGUACAAGUAAGAACUGCUUAUUAUAACGAAUAGGUACAAGUUCAGAUAUAAGCAGAAACUAAGCUGAUUUUAUGUUUUUUUUUUGAAAAUUAGAUUGUAGCUAAAUAUUAUUUGAAUGGUUAGAUUAGAAAUGAGGAAUAUGAGUUAAAAUUUUAAAUUAAAAAUAUUUUAUCUAAUUAAUAAACAUCAAAAUAUUAAUUAAAAUAAUUUAAUAACUUAAUAAAUUUAUUUGCUAUGAAUAUUGUAUAAGAUAAUAAAAAUAUAUUAAUUAAUUAAUUAAUUAAUUAUAAAAAUAAUUUAACUUUUAAUUAGUUAAUAAAUUAUUUUAAUUAGAUAACUAGUGAAAAAAAUAAUUAGAUUAAUAAAAUAUCAAUGGUUGAUCAAUAUAAAUAUUAGUUGACACAUUGAGGAUGUCUCUGGGAAAGGCACCCGCAAAGUAGCCAUGGCCAUGGAGUAGGGGCUGGCAAAUGAGCGAGCCGGCUCGCGUCGACCACAUUCAACUCGAUAUUUGACUCGCUCGAGCUCGACUCGAAAUUAAAUGAGCCGAGCUUGACAAAAAAAAAAGGCUCGAAAUUUAUUUUAAGCCGAGCUUGAGUAUUACUCGGCUCUUUCGAAUUAGGCUCGAAAAGCUCGAAAAGCUGAAUAUAUAUAUAUAUAUAUAUAUAUAUAUAUAAUAUAUAUAUUAUAUAUAUAUAUAGAAAUUAGGCUGGAAUACUAUAAUAGUAAAACGUUCUUUUUGCUAUCAAGUUUUUAACCAUUGGAUGAAAAAUUGUAGGAUCGGGAUAUAUUAGUCGUUAGAGUUGAGUGGUCCCCCUAGGGUUGAGUGGUCCCACUGGGUUAUAGUAUUUAAUCCAAUGGUUAGAAAUAAUGAAAAGAGUUGAUCCAAAGGCUAAAAAACUGGUAGCAACAAUAGGAUUUUGCUACCAAUAGUAGCCCAGUCCAACUCUAUAUAUAUAUAUAUAUAUAUAUAUAUAGAGUAGAGCUACUAUGCUAUCGAAGUAUAGAGAUUGGCGCUUUCGAUUUUUUGAUUCUUAGAUCAAUCCUUUAUUCGUUUCUUAUCUUUGGAUUAAUAUUAUUAUUAUCUUGUAGGGACCACUCAAUCCAAGAGUAUUAUUUAAUCCUAGGGAGACCGCAAUCAUCCAACCAUACAUUUUUAAUCAAAGGGUCAAAGUUCAAAAAUAUCAAAUCCUCUAUGUUUUCGAUAGCAUAGUAGUUCUACACUAUACUAUAUAUAUAUAUAAUUAUAUAUAUAAUAUAUAUAUAUAUAUAUAUAUAUAUAUAUAUAAUAUAUAAUAUAUAAAUAAAAUAUAUAAAUAUAAUAUAUUUAAUUAUAUAUAGGCUGAGUGAAUAAUCUGAGUUUAGUUAAAAUUGGGCCAAUAUUGUUUGGCCAUAAAAACAAACCUAAUAGACAAAUAAAAAGGCAAAAUUUUACUAAAUUUAUAUAUUUUUUCCUUUCUUUCUUCUUUCUUCACAGAGCUCUAAAUUUUCAAUAUGUUUCUCUCUUUCUCUUUUUCUAUCUCUCACCCUAAGUGGCCAAGCCGGAAGCCCUCUAAGUUACCAAGUAACAUCAUAUGUCUGCCUUUGCCUACUUUGCUAUUAAUUAUAUGCUUGAGAAAAAUAUACAGAAUAUUUUUAAAGUAAAAAAUUAUUAUUCAUAUAAAAUUUUAAUUUUAGUUAUAUAUGAUUGGAUAGUUUAAUCCAAUAUUUAUCUAUAUAAUUUAUUUAUUUUUGACUGCAUAAAUGAAAAUGAAUAAUAUAGAGAUUGAAGGCGGAAGAAAAAACAUGUAAGGCUGAAAAAAUUAGAUAUUCAACUCAUAAAUUAUAUUUUUUCAUAUUAUAAUACUAUAUUUCAUAUAACUAUUUUGUACUUUGAACUAUUAGACAUAUUUUUGUAUUAAAUUAUAGAUAAUGUUCUAUACAAAUUAAACUAUUGAUCGUAUAAUGUUGAGAAUUUCAAGCGGCUCGUUUAGGGCUCGAGCUCGCUUGACUGGAAAUUAGGCUCGCUCGAGCUCGGCUCGAAGUAAUUUCAAUCCAAGCUUGAGCUUAAAUUUAGGCUCGAAAUUAAUUUCAAGCCGAAUUUGAGCCGAGGUAAGCUCGCUCGAGCUCGGCUCGUUUCCAUCCCUACCAUGGAGAGUCAGACCAUCAAGCGACAUUUUUUUCAAUUUUUUUUUACAGUAAAAGCCUGUAACAACUCGAUCCGUUACUAAUAACAAUUUGUUGGAUCUAAACCGCUGAUCCAAAUAUUUAAGCCCAGUUAUUAUUAUGUUGCCAGGCCUCAUAUAUUUCUAAUUAGAAUUUUUUUUCCAUCCGAUAUAGAAUUAUUGGGCGUUACAAAUUCUCCAUGUUUAUAUCCUAACAUACUCAUCAGAUACAAAGCCAAUCACACACAUAUAAACUAAAAGUACCAUUUUCGAAAUCCAUGCUUAAAGCAAAUACUUGAAGGUCAACCCGUGCAUAAAAGAAACAAUACAAAAAUAUGAGAUUCUAUAAGUGGCUCCUAUAGGUUCAAAAGAUGACUUCCACCAAACACAUGGUGUAAUACUUUGCACCGCAUAACACUUAGCUCUCACACCUCCGGCCGGUAUUCAGCUCUAAUACCAACUGCAAUGAUCCGACCCAUUGACAAUAAUAAUUCAUUGAGCCCAAACCAGCAGUCCAAAAUACUAUAGUGGAGUUAAGAGGUUUAGUUCUAUUAUAUCUUACUAGUUAAGGAUCCCGCACGAUGCCGUGGGUAGAUGUCACGCCCCGGGGUCCCUUUUUGUUUGGAAAAACAGCGGAAACGACUGAAAAUUUUUUUUUUUUUUGAAACACCUGACCCCAGUGUAUGUCAGAUCCACCACAAAUACAGGGAAUCCACUGUUUACACGGACAGAGUUUUCCCUGUAUUUGCACGGCGUCGCACAAGUACAAUUAUACAAACAGAGUAUAACCAGAAUACAACCACAACCAUAUGAACACACAAUCACAACUACACAUGCAGACGUUCAUACAUUCACCAUUCACAACGCGACAGUAUUCCAAUUUUUAAACAAAAAUCCAGAACUAUCAUUUGAAAUGUUUCCCACACAGAAACUUUUAUCCUUUCAAAACGCUACGACGAGGGGUAGAAAAAUAUUUGAAAACUGUAUCGAAUAUGAAAACUCUUUUCUUUUAAAACGAGCGCUACCACGAGGGGUAGAAAACCAUUUUUUUUUCUUGAAAGCUCAUAGAUCUAUUUUUAUUUACGAAAACCCAGCAGAAAACUGAACAUUCAAGUACCGAAUGAAACUGAACCAAAAUUAAAGUUUACUAUUUAUUCAAGCAAGGGAAAAGAGAUAACCAAACGGGACGGAGCUCUAUCGCGCGCUAGACUCGCUCCUCACCUGCCGUCCCACUCGGACCUGCGACGUCACCUGUAAUGGGGGCGGGGGGUGAGAACAUGUAAACAUGUCUCCCCUCCCAGUGGGUACCGCAAGCCGACGAGGGCGAGGGUACGCACCAGCAAAGGAGGCUAAGCAACAGUAAAGGUAAACAACUACAGUAGCUACUAUGAUAUAAGAACAGAAAGUACAAGUAAGGAACUGAUGUACGAGUAAGGAACUACUGCUACUGUAUGUAUGCAUCAACUGGUGGAUAGUCCAAGGAUACAAUCUACAACCCUGCCUUUGUUGGUCCGGAGACCUCAGGCUCAUGUCACAAUCACUCAACCCUGCGUAUACCCAGUCUCGUAACCUCUGAGCUCACGGGUGGGCCAAACGCAACACUUUUCGCGGAAAAGAACACCCCCUGCCGGUGGAUCAGACCGCUGGUGUUCGUGAAAUGCCGAACGAGUGGUGACGAUCGAUGCUGAUAUGCUCAAUAGCCCAACCGUCGGCAACCAGCCGACACCCGACCGAUAGGUCAUCAAGUACAAAGGAACCGACCCGAGAUUGGUCAAAGUACGUAAAGUAGUGAACGACCAAAUAGGUACCGAUGCAACAGGAGAACACGACCAAUCAGGUCACAAGUAUAGUAUAUACUAAUGCCAACUACUCUCUACCCUACAUCAGAUCUACGCAUAGGACAACAGACCGACAGAGUAAACAAAAACAGUAUGGUGCAAGGCUCAAUAUGUAACGAGUAAACAAUAUGAAUAGACGAUGUAAAAGAUAGGGUAAAAGGAGGACAUCACCGAGCGUGCACCGCUGUAACCGACUUCGGAUCGAAGUACCACCUGUACUAGAAGCUGAAUGGUCUCGCUAAGUCGCAGACGAAGCGACCGAUCCUACGAAGGGUCCACCCGGGUUAGAAGUCUAACCCACGAAUAAAUAACAUGACCAAUCUCACACAAAUCCCAAAUCAUAACCCCACUGAAAUCGGUUUCUCAAACGCAACAUCCGAAUCAGCCGGAAGUCCCGAAAACCGUAUCGGAACUCCACCGUCGCUCACACCCGUCGUUUCUGAACCUUCGAGACGACAUGGGUGACCACACAAGGCUCAGCGACGCUACAUGUCAAUCACGAGGCACCGUCGUAAGAAUUCCGAUCGAACGCGCGUUCUAUCGGCGAUUUCGCCGAAAAACCUCCCGGAAAUGAACGAGUAAGAUUUUCCGCAAAAGGCUUGGGGCCUGGACGAUCAGUCCAGAGGUAUCUUAAGCUUUACCUGCUGCCAACAGCAGCGCACGACGAGCGAAACGCAAACGGAUCCCUAAUGGCCCAUGAAAUCACAUCAUUUUAUGUGAUUUCAUGGCUCUACGGUGCGUACCAGCAAACCAGGGAUCUACGGAGGUUGCCAUCAGCACUUGCUGCAAGGUUUCGGCAUGCCUGAGCCGUGCUCACGCUUUCGGAGCACUGCCGGAAGCAACCAAACGCGCGCACGAGCGACGCGACUCUCAGCGAUCAGUGGGCACCAGCGCGAAGAUCGCACACUACUCAUUAACCAGGGCACCGUUAAUCUAAAUGGAGGUGAGCAUCGUGUUCAGGCACGAGCCGACGAUCACCGUGCUCACCUCCGAGGUGCAAGGGAGUCGUCCGGAUCACCGGACAAUGACCGGAACCGCAAAACGACGUGCUGGAACUAAGGUACACUACUCACCGAGCUGUGGGAGCUAGGGAUGGCCGCCGGCGAUCGGACGGCGGCACUCCGGCGGUGAUGGAGCAGCAGGUCGGGGAGGUCCGGGAAGGUGCUGGCCGGCGCCGGCAGCAGCCGGUGGCGGCGGCGGCGGAGAUCGGGCCCACCGACUUCCUCUCGGUUUGGAGCUUGCCGGUCGGCGAGGCGGCGACCGGGGGAGUCGGGCGGGAUGAUCCGGCGCCGGGGACCGAGGAGAGGUGGUGCCCACCUCCGGGGGCAACGGCGGCGCUCGGGAGUGCGCGGCUCCCAGGGUCGGCCCUCACAAGACCCCGAGCGGCGGCGGGAGGCCUUGGCGGCAGCCGGCGAGGGCGCGGGGACGGCCGGCGACGCACGCGCCGGGUUGCUGGAGGUCCGCCGGGGUCGACAGGGAAGCUUGGCGCAGGGGGAGGUGGCGGUCCAAGGCCGAACCCCGAGCUCGGCCCGGCUCGGUUCAGGGCAGACCCGACUGGCUACAGCUCUUCCGGCGGCUUCCGGCGACGCUCAGCGGGUGGCCGGGGUCGCCGGGAAAGAGGGCACCUGAGGUGGAAGGAGGCCGGGGCUUGCCUCCACAGGCAGUGGAGACCCUCCCACAAGCCCUCGGUCUAAGAAGAUGGCCGAGAGAGGAGGUAGGCCGGUUCGCAGGCAGUUUCGGCGGCCGGGCAGCUCGGGCGGCGGCCGAUAACGUGAGCACGGGCAGGGCAGGGUGGUGCUGUGGGUGACAGGGCGCUGGGUCAGCUGGGGAGUUCUAGGGUUAGGGUUAGCUCCAAGAAACCCUAGGGUCAACAAAUAUAUAGGUAUUGCGACUUUUGCGGAAAACCCCCCUCAAGCUGAAACGGUUUAAACCGCAGCCUCCUGCCAGCGAGUGCUUUAUGCACGGCAGCCCCUCCGAGUUCAAAAACUCGCAAAUCGGCGGCAUAAAAUAUAGCGCCUUUUCGGCGAAUUAUCCGAUUAUUCAAAUCAGCCCCUUCGCGGACUUUUCGCGAUUCCCGAGAAUCCGUCCCGUCCGGAUUUCGAUCGGAUCACACCAGCUGCGAUCAGCAGCUCAGAGGCAUCGAAUCUAGCAUCUCGUUUCGUCGAAAGAUUUCCGAUUUGCGACAAAACCUUCCUUCUAGUCUCACCAAAAACCACAUAUAGACAAUUAAUAUGCAAAAAACCACUAAACCUUUUUCUCGAAAUCCGUGCCUCCAAAUUCAAUUCUGUCAGUGCAAAGGGUCCGGAUAGUCGAGGCGUUGAAAACGAGCUAUUGGAAGGCUAUCUUCGGAGUCCGAUACGCGUCGAAAAUUCACUUUACUCCGCGCCUCCUGGAAAACCGGAGUUUACUAUUCACUUAAGUCAGACUUCCGGGUCCGCUAACUUCUCCGUUUUAACAUCGUUUUCUCCUGAAAUUUGAGGUACACAUAAUAUUAUAUUACACAAAAGAAUCAUCAUCAACCAAAAGGUUUAUAUCAAAAAUCAAAAAUCUCAGUUAUUACAGUAGAUAAUUAGAUUCAAACUUUAAAUAAAAUUCAAAAUUAUAAUUUCUGAUUAUAAAAUUUUAAUUUUAAUUUUGAUUUUAAAUUUUAAAUUUAAAUUUAAAAUUUAAAAUUUUUAUUUUAGGACUAAAGUGAAAAACAUGUAAAUUUAGGAACCAAAAUUAAACAUGCAAAAUAAAAUCAAGUAGGUGCUGACAUGAGAAAUUCAUUACUUUUAACACAUCUUUUUGAACGGCUGGGACGUAAUAUAAUGAAAUCAGGUUGGAAACUUUAUGGAAAAAAAAUAUUGGGGAACAAUAAAAAAAAAAUAGUGCUAAGUUGGGACCAUAGUGCAAUAAAUCAUGUAUGUGGGCCUCACAUCUCCUCCAAUAGGUUGUCAAUUCAUGUAUUUUAUUAUUUUAUUUAUAUUUAAUUUAUAAAUUUGAAAAAAAAAAAUAUUGGCGAAAAAUAAGAAACGUUGCAAAGUUGAGAACCAACGUUGCAAUUAAUUAUGUAUGGCCCACAUCUCUCCAAAAUAAGAAGAGGACUCCUUCAGGGUUGCUAAUUCAUGUAUUUUUAAUACUAUUUUUUAUUUUAUAGAUUUGAGAAAAAAAUGUUGGAGACCAAAAUAAAAAAUAGUGGCAAAGUUGGGGACCAAUGGUGUAUUAAUCAUGUAUGUGCGGCCGCGCACAACUUUCCAAAGAGAUGUCACGCCCCGGGGCCGAUUUUAAAAGCCUUUAAAAAACAAAGUUGCGAAAAACUUGCCAUUUUUUUUUUUUUCAACCUGGCCCAUGGCCCACGCGACGUACAGACCCGCACAAAUACAAAAGUUCCUCUGUCACGAUCGAACAGAGUCUCCUUUGUUUUGCACGGCGUACUAGCCUAUACACACAAGAUCUCAACCACAACCUAAUAUUAUCCAAUCAACAACCAAAAUAUGAUAGCAUUUCCAUACAGCUAACAAUCCUUAGAAUGAUGCAUGCCUCUAAGCACUCCUAGGCGCUGGAAUAAUGCAAUGCACAAUACAACAAACAUCCUAUUUAAAAGUGCCCCCACCACGAAGCUUUUUUUUUAAACUCUAAUUUCAUUCAUUCAUAAAAACCCAUUCGGAAAACCUUUAUAAAACUGUUUCCAACACGGAAACUCUAUUUUGAAAACCGACUACUCUCGAGGGUAGAAAACCAGCGAUGCAUAACUACAAGAAAACCAAAUCUCCACAGAACCAAAACCACAGAUCAAAAACUCCAAUCUACAUGUAUAAAGAACCAACACCACAUUUCACAUACAUUCAAGCAUACAUAAGAUCAGCUAACUGAACCAUUAUUAAGAAAAACUACUAAGUGCGGAAAAGAGAUAACAAGGGUGAGCGUCACUACUGCCGUCUAGCUAAGAUCGUCCUCUCAUCGAGCCCAAAAUCCAACUCCUCGUCUCUGUCACCUGUGGGGAAAUGGUGGGGUGAGAAACCGCAACCAUGUUUUCUCAGUGGGUACGACAGGCACGAAGGCAAGUCGUAAUCACCGGAAACCAAAGGAGAUAAGAUAAACAAGUAAUAUAUCUGUAAGCUGAUAUGAAUAGAACUACAGUAGCUUAAAAACGAUAAAUAGGCAAGCAAUAAAUAAACCUGCUACUGUAUAGAAAAAUGCAAACGAAUGCCUCAAUGUACUGAACCAGAAACUGUACCAAUCUGUGGCCUGCUGUAUGGCUCCGCAGACCUCACGCUACCUGUCACUAACUGCACCGACCUGAUCCAUCCCGCCCCGCAGGACGACCCAUCCGGAUAAGUACACUCGAUCGGUGGCCAACCGAUCGGUGUCAUGAAUACCCCCAAGGCCGUGACUAACUCAUGCUGGUAGCUCAAACAAAAACAAACCCGCUAAAGCCGUGCCUAGCCGAAGCCAACAACGAGGGUGUAUAAUGCCAAUGAAACAGAAGCUAGGGCGUACAACCCCGAACUGAAAUAGAUACCAGGGCGUACAACGCCGAACCUCGAUCAACCAAGAUCGAAACACACGACAAGAGAGUCGAUGUGUUGCCUGGACCCAAGUUCCACAGAGACUACGAAAUACGAAUGCAGCCUGCUCUACAUGUCAUCCACAACUAUAACAAUGAAUCAAGGGAUGCGAAUAACAAACGAUAACAAGCAAUCAAUGUAGAGACUAAAUACACGGAAUAGAAAAACAGGAGAAGGAAGUGAAACGCUCUCACCGAUACCAGCUUAAAGCACCCACCUGUCACUCGUCGCGUCAGAACACUGGGUACGCACAAGUCGACCGACCCACGAAGAUCCCACGGUCAGUAACCAACCCACUCACCUGAAGUACACUAUCUCACAAACUCCCACACAGACCGGUAUCGUUUCCCAAAACCGAUCAUCGUAACUCACCGGAAGUCCCGAAAACCACACCGGGACCGUCGCGACCCACUAAGUGUCCGAACUCACCGACUCGUGCCACGAGUCACCCGCUGCCCCAAAGCACUCCAAUUUGAUGCCUUGCACAAACACAGAGGUAACACAACAAUAAACGANNNNNNNNNNNNNNNNNNNNNNNNNNNNNNNNNNNNNNNNNNNNNNNNNNNNNNNNNNNNNNNNNNNNNNNNNNNNNNNNNNNNNNNNNNNNNNNNNNNNNNNNNNNNNNNNNNNNNNNNNNNNNNNNNNNNNNNNNNNNNNNNNNNNNNNNNNNNNNNNNNNNNNNNNNNNNNNNNNNNNNNNNNNNNNNNNNNNNNNNNNNNNNNNNNNNNNNNNNNNNNNNNNNNNNNNNNNNNNNNNNNNNNNNNNNNNNNNNNNNNNNNNNNNNNNNNNNNNNNNNNNNNNNNNNNNNNNNNNNNNNNNNNNNNNNNNNNNNNNNNNNNNNNNNNNNNNNNNNNNNNNNNNNNNNNNNNNNNNNNNNNNNNNNNNNNNNNNNNNNNNNNNNNNNNNNNNNNNNNNNNNNNNNNNNNNNNNNNNNNNNNNNNNNNNNNNNNNNNNNNNNNNNNNNNNNNNNNNNNNNNNNNNNNNNNNNNNNNNNNNNNNNNNNNNNNNNNNNNNNNNNNNNNNNNNNNNNNNNNNNNNNNNNNNNNNNNNNNNNNNNNNNNNNNNNNNNNNNNNNNNNNNNNNNNNNNNNNNNNNNNNNNNNNNNNNNNNNNNNNNNNNNNNNNNNNNNNNNNNNNNNNNNNNNNNNNNNNNNNNNNNNNNNNNNNNNNNNNNNNNNNNNNNNNNNNNNNNNNNNNNNNNNNNNNNNNNNNNNNNNNNNNNNNNNNNNNNNNNNNNNNNNNNNNNNNNNNNNNNNNNNNNNNNNNNNNNNNNNNNNNNNNNNNNNNNNNNNNNNNNNNNNNNNNNNNNNNNNNNNNNNNNNNNNNNNNNNNNNNNNNNNNNNNNNNNNNNNNNNNNNNNNNNNNNNNNNNNNNNNNNNNNNNNNNNNNNNNNNNNNNNNNNNNNNNNNNNNNNNNNNNNNNNNNNNNNNNNNNNNNNNNNNNNNNNNNNNNNNNNNNNNNNNNNNNNNNNNNNNNNNNNNNNNNNNNNNNNNNNNNNNNNNNNNNNNNNNNNNNNNNNNNNNNNNNNNNNNNNNNNNNNNNNNNNNNNNNNNNNNNNNNNNNNNNNNNNNNNNNNNNNNNNNNNNNNNNNNNNNNNNNNNNNNNNNNNNNNNNNNNNNNNNNNNNNNNNNNNNNNNNNNNNNNNNNNNNNNNNNNNNNNNNNNNNNNNNNNNNNNNNNNNNNNNNNNNNNNNNNNNNNNNNNNNNNNNNNNNNNNNNNNNNNNNNNNNNNNNNNNNNNNNNNNNNNNNNNNNNNNNNNNNNNNNNNNNNNNNNNNNNNNNNNNNNNNNNNNNNNNNNNNNNNNNNNNNNNNNNNNNNNNNNNNNNNNNNNNNNNNNNNNNNNNNNNNNNNNNNNNNNNNNNNNNNNNNNNNNNNNNNNNNNNNNNNNNNNNNNNNNNNNNNNNNNNNNNNNNNNNNNNNNNNNNNNNNNNNNNNNNNNNNNNNNNNNNNNNNNNNNNNNNNNNNNNNNNNNNNNNNNNNNNNNNNNNNNNNNNNNNNNNNNNNNNNNNNNNNNNNNNNNNNNNNNNNNNNNNNNNNNNNNNNNNNNNNNNNNNNNNNNNNNNNNNNNNNNNNNNNNNNNNNNNNNNNNNNNNNNNNNNNNNNNNNNNNNNNNNNNNNNNNNNNNNNNNNNNNNNNNNNNNNNNNNNNNNNNNNNNNNNNNNNNNNNNNNNNNNNNNNNNNNNNNNNNNNNNNNNNNNNNNNNNNNNNNNNNNNNNNNNNNNNNNNNNNNNNNNNNNNNNNNNNNNNNNNNNNNNNNNNNNNNNNNNNNNNNNNNNNNNNNNNNNNNNNNNNNNNNNNNNNNNNNNNNNNNNNNNNNNNNNNNNNNNNNNNNNNNNNNNNNNNNNNNNNNNNNNNNNNNNNNNNNNNNNNNNNNNNNNNNNNNNNNNNNNNNNNNNNNNNNNNNNNNNNNNNNNNNNNNNNNNNNNNNNNNNNNNNNNNNNNNNNNNNNNNNNNNNNNNNNNNNNNNNNNNNNNNNNNNNNNNNNNNNNNNNNNNNNNNNNNNNNNNNNNNNNNNNNNNNNNNNNNNNNNNNNNNNNNNNNNNNNNNNNNNNNNNNNNNNNNNNNNNNNNNNNNNNNNNNNNNNNNNNNNNNNNNNNNNNNNNNNNNNNNNNNNNNNNNNNNNNNNNNNNNNNNNNNNNNNNNNNNNNNNNNNNNNNNNNNNNNNNNNNNNNNNNNNNNNNNNNNNNNNNNNNNNNNNNNNNNNNNNNNNNNNNNNNNNNNNNNNNNNNNNNNNNNNNNNNNNNNNNNNNNNNNNNNNNNNNNNNNNNNNNNNNNNNNNNNNNNNNNNNNNNNNNNNNNNNNNNNNNNNNNNNNNNNNNNNNNNNNNNNNNNNNNNNNNNNNNNNNNNNNNNNNNNNNNNNNNNNNNNNNNNNNNNNNNNNNNNNNNNNNNNNNNNNNNNNNNNNNNNNNNNNNNNNNNNNNNNNNNNNNNNNNNNNNNNNNNNNNNNNNNNNNNNNNNNNNNNNNNNNNNNNNNNNNNNNNNNNNNNNNNNNNNNNNNNNNNNNNNNNNNNNNNNNNNNNNNNNNNNNNNNNNNNNNNNNNNNNNNNNNNNNNNNNNNNNNNNNNNNNNNNNNNNNNNNNNNNNNNNNNNNNNNNNNNNNNNNNNNNNNNNNNNNNNNNNNNNNNNNNNNNNNNNNNNNNNNNNNNNNNNNNNNNNNNNNNNNNNNNNNNNNNNNNNNNNNNNNNNNNNNNNNNNNNNNNNNNNNNNNNNNNNNNNNNNNNNNNNNNNNNNNNNNNNNNNNNNNNNNNNNNNNNNNNNNNNNNNNNNNNNNNNNNNNNNNNNNNNNNNNNNNNNNNNNNNNNNNNNNNNNNNNNNNNNNNNNNNNNNNNNNNNNNNNNNNNNNNNNNNNNNNNNNNNNNNNNNNNNNNNNNNNNNNNNNNNNNNNNNNNNNNNNNNNNNNNNNNNNNNNNNNNNNNNNNNNNNNNNNNNNNNNNNNNNNNNNNNNNNNNNNNNNNNNNNNNNNNNNNNNNNNNNNNNNNNNNNNNNNNNNNNNNNNNNNNNNNNNNNNNNNNNNNNNNNNNNNNNNNNNNNNNNNNNNNNNNNNNNNNNNNNNNNNNNNNNNNNNNNNNNNNNNNNNNNNNNNNNNNNNNNNNNNNNNNNNNNNNNNNNNNNNNNNNNNNNNNNNNNNNNNNNNNNNNNNNNNNNNNNNNNNNNNNNNNNNNNNNNNNNNNNNNNNNNNNNNNNNNNNNNNNNNNNNNNNNNNNNNNNNNNNNNNNNNNNNNNNNNNNNNNNNNNNNNNNNNNNNNNNNNNNNNNNNNNNNNNNNNNNNNNNNNNNNNNNNNNNNNNNNNNNNNNNNNNNNNNNNNNNNNNNNNNNNNNNNNNNNNNNNNNNNNNNNNNNNNNNNNNNNNNNNNNNNNNNNNNNNNNNNNNNNNNNNNNNNNNNNNNNNNNNNNNNNNNNNNNNNNNNNNNNNNNNNNNNNNNNNNNNNNNNNNNNNNNNNNNNNNNNNNNNNNNNNNNNNNNNNNNNNNNNNNNNNNNNNNNNNNNNNNNNNNNNNNNNNNNNNNNNNNNNNNNNNNNNNNNNNNNNNNNNNNNNNNNNNNNNNNNNNNNNNNNNNNNNNNNNNNNNNNNNNNNNNNNNNNNNNNNNNNNNNNNNNNNNNNNNNNNNNNNNNNNNNNNNNNNNNNNNNNNNNNNNNNNNNNNNNNNNNNNNNNNNNNNNNNNNNNNNNNNNNNNNNNNNNNNNNNNNNNNNNNNNNNNNNNNNNNNNNNNNNNNNNNNNNNNNNNNNNNNNNNNNNNNNNNNNNNNNNNNNNNNNNNNNNNNNNNNNNNNNNNNNNNNNNNNNNNNNNNNNNNNNNNNNNNNNNNNNNNNNNNNNNNNNNNNNNNNNNNNNNNNNNNNNNNNNNNNNNNNNNNNNNNNNNNNNNNNNNNNNNNNNNNNNNNNNNNNNNNNNNNNNNNNNNNNNNNNNNNNNNNNNNNNNNNNNNNNNNNNNNNNNNNNNNNNNNNNNNNNNNNNNNNNNNNNNNNNNNNNNNNNNNNNNNNNNNNNNNNNNNNNNNNNNNNNNNNNNNNNNNNNNNNNNNNNNNNNNNNNNNNNNNNNNNNNNNNNNNNNNNNNNNNNNNNNNNNNNNNNNNNNNNNNNNNNNNNNNNNNNNNNNNNNNNNNNNNNNNNNNNNNNNNNNNNNNNNNNNNNNNNNNNNNNNNNNNNNNNNNNNNNNNNNNNNNNNNNNNNNNNNNNNNNNNNNNNNNNNNNNNNNNNNNNNNNNNNNNNNNNNNNNNNNNNNNNNNNNNNNNNNNNNNNNNNNNNNNNNNNNNNNNNNNNNNNNNNNNNNNNNNNNNNNNNNNNNNNNNNNNNNNNNNNNNNNNNNNNNNNNNNNNNNNNNNNNNNNNNNNNNNNNNNNNNNNNNNNNNNNNNNNNNNNNNNNNNNNNNNNNNNNNNNNNNNNNNNNNNNNNNNNNNNNNNNNNNNNNNNNNNNNNNNNNNNNNNNNNNNNNNNNNNNNNNNNNNNNNNNNNNNNNNNNNNNNNNNNNNNNNNNNNNNNNNNNNNNNNNNNNNNNNNNNNNNNNNNNNNNNNNNNNNNNNNNNNNNNNNNNNNNNNNNNNNNNNNNNNNNNNNNNNNNNNNNNNNNNNNNNNNNNNNNNNNNNNNNNNNNNNNNNNNNNNNNNNNNNNNNNNNNNNNNNNNNNNNNNNNNNNNNNNNNNNNNNNNNNNNNNNNNNNNNNNNNNNNNNNNNNNACUAACGCUCAACUCUGAUAUCGUCUCUUCUCGUAUCGGUUUCCCAAAACCGAUCAUCGUAACUCACGAGACCCGAAAUUCACACCGGACCGCGGUACCCACUAAAGUGUCCCGUAACGUCACGACUCGUGCCUAGAGUCCAGUCCGCUGCCCAAAGCAUUCAAUUUAGGAUGCCUGGCAGCAAACACAGAGGUAAACAACAAUACGAUCAUUCGCCGGAUUAAUCGUAACGAUCCAGAUUCCCGGAAGUGUCUAUUUCGACACCGGAACCGACCGUCGCUGCACCUAUUCAUCAUCGAACCCAGCACAAAAGAUGAUGUCGACCAGCCAACAAGGCUCCAGCGACAAAACACACAAGCCCAAACAUCCGUGAUGAAGAAUUCCGAACCGAACCGUCCGUUCGCGCAAUUUCGUCGAAAGAACGCACACGAAUCGACCUACCCGAUUUCCGCGAAAGCUAACUGGACCAUGACAUUCAGUCCAGCGAUCAUAACAACCCCCACAACUCACCCACAUAGCCACGCAAAACAGAAUUGACAUAAAGACAUCUCUAAUUACAUAAAUAUCAUCAUUUCUAUGUAUUUGGCGAUCUAAGUGGCUCGCUUCACUACGCAACCGAGGAACUUUCCGAAUCCGCAGGAGCACGGUAUGACAUCCGAGUACAGUGAGUCCGUGCCUCACGAUUUCCGGAGCACAGCGGCUCGGCUGUGGAGCGCGGGACACUCGAAGGUUCAGCGAAUUAGCGCGCGUCAGGGAAAUCGCGCCGUAUCAGAAUACCGGACACCUCUGUCCAUAGGAAAUGGUGACAAUUGUGAUCGGCACUGACAGCACGAACACCGUGGCCUCACUCCGGAGGCAUCAGGACAGCCUCGAUCGUGAUCAACGUGCGCAGGAAGCCAAACAGGCAGCCAAAAAGGCUGAACGGACGACAUCGCCAAAACAUGGCGAAACGGGCCUAUCCGACAGAAACCAAGGUGAGCACGAUGAUCUUCAACCUUCCACGGAUCAUCGUGCUCACUUCCGUGGAGAUCGGGGAAACUCGGGAAGCCAGAACAGUAGGCCAUCCCACAAAAGCCAUUUCGGGUGCCGAGCAAGUUGCUCCGGCCAGGUCCGCGCCGGCGCGCGGCUGGGGGGGCGGAGGCCAGGAUGGGUGCGGGGCGAGGAAGGAGUAGGUACUUCACCUCAGACAGGCGCUGACAGCGCGGCGGCGACGGCGGGCAAGAUGAGCCGCGGCACGGGCUAGGGCACGGGUUCCAGGAGUUGCUGGGCACGGGCGGACGGCAUGGGAGCUCCGGGACGGCGGAGGCGGGCUGCAGGAGGUCGGGAGGGCCGCACAGGUGGCUCAGGGUGCGGCGGCAGCGAGAAAGGAGCCGCACACAGCUCGGCUCGGCUCGGGUUGGCCGCUGUCACGCCGACCGGCGGCGGGCGGCGGCGCGCUGGGGCGGCGGCGACCGGCGGGAAGGGGCCCGAGCACAGAGGGGUGUCGCUGGGAGGAGUUUCCAGCGGUGGCGGCGGCACAGGCACUGUUCGGCAACCCAAGCUCGCUUGCAGCUCGCCUGGGCCGGCAUCCUGCCGGCUUGGUACGGAUUGUUGCGCGGCGGCAGGCGCGGUCGGCGGUCGCGCGGGAUGCUUCGCCGAGCAGCGGGGCGACACCGAGGGAGGUCGAGAAGUGCGGAAUCUCGGUCUCCUCACAAUGCAAGAGAGGUAGAGAGGGAGAAAGCAAAGAGAGGGAAGAAGAUGGGUAAGGCUCGGACGGCGCGGGCUCAGCCGGCGCGCGGCCGGGGUGGCAGCAGCGGCAGGAGAAGGGUGCAAGGUGGCUGGGGCGACUAGGAGCUGGGCCGGCUAGGGAUUAGGGGUAGGGGAUCAUAAACCCUAGAACUGAUAAAUCCAAGGUGUAACUUUGCAAAAAGGUCCACCAAACCAGAAUUUCAAUCGAGAUCCUCGACAGUAGCGACAAAACGCAUGAAGUCCCUCCACGUGCGAUCCCCUCGAAAGAUACAUAAAAUAUCGCGACAUUCGCGAAAAUACGCGUUUUGCUAACUACCGGACCUCUCCCUCGAUCAACGCGGCGAUCUCAGCGCAGAUCGCUCGUCAGAUUUGCAAACGGAUUUGAAUCCAGUGCGAUCAGCACGACGGAGACAACAAAGCUGCGGAUUUCGUUUCGUCUUGUUCGAUCCAGCCGGAUUCACAGAAAAAUCCAACCUUCUUCGAUAGAAGUAAACCACAUGUAAAUACAUAUAAAACAUGUAUUUUUGGAUUUUCUCGAAAUCCGUGCGUCAAACUCAAAAUCCGUCAGCGUCAGUAGUUCUAGAACAGCUGAACCGGUCGAAACGAGCUAUUGGACUGCUAUGAACAGAGUCCGGUACGAGCCAGAAGCCAACUUCUCACCACGGCUUCUCCGGAAAAUCGAGUUACUAUUCACCUUAAGUGAAACUUGAAAAUCGCGUAGAAUUUCCGUUUUAACUCGUUUUCGCCCGAAACUUGAUGAGUGCUUUUGUAAUUAAAUUACACACAAAAACAUCGUCAACUGAGAGUUUAACUACACUGCAAAAAUCUCAGUCCUUACAAGAGAGGCCUUCUUUAGAGUUGCCAAUUUAUGUAUUUUUAUACUUUAUUUUAUAGAUUUGAAAAAAAUGUUGAGGACCAAAACAAAAAUGGUACAAAAUUGGAGACCAAUGGUGCAAUUAAUCAUAUAUGUGGACCCACAUCUCUCCAAAAUAAGGAGAGGCCUAUUUAGGGUUGCCAAUUCAUAUAUUUUAUAGAUAGAUAGAUAGAUUAUUGAUUUAUAGAUUAUAGAUUUUUAUAUUUUAUUUUAUAGAUUUGAAAAAGAAAUGUUGGGGACCAAAAUAAAAAAGUGCAAAGUUGGAGACCAAUGGUGUAAUUAAUAAUGUAUGUGGGCCCAUAUCUUCCCAAAAUAAGGAGAUGCCUAUUUUAGGAUUGCCGUUUCAUGUAUUUUUAUUAUAGAUUAUAGAUAUAAGGCGUGUUUGGUUCGCUUAUUUCUCACCCUGGAAUCGGAAUCGGAAUGAAUAAAUCUGUUUGUGGGUGUUUGACACGCGGGAGUUCCAUUCCGAUUCCGAUUCCCGAGUGGGAUGGGAAUCCUCCAAUCACCUCUUUUUUCAAUCCGGCCUAGGAGGCCGGAUUGAAGGUUGAAUCCGGACGGAAUGGAUAUUUAUUCGGAUUAAAUUUAUUUUUUCAACUUUUUUUAAUUAAAAUAUGAGUUAAAAUUUAAAAAUUAAAUAUAUAAUUUUAAAUUUUAAUUUAAACUUAAAUUAAAAAUUAAAAUUUAAUCAAGUAUUUCGAAUCUAACUUAUGAAUUUGAAUUUAAAUUAAAUUUUAAUUUAUAUAAANAAAUUAAAAUUUAAUCAAGUAUUUCGAAUCUAACUUAUGAAUUUGAAUUUAAAUUAAAUUUUAAUUUACAUAAAAUGUUAUUCAAAUUUUCUUUCAAACUUAAAUCAAAUUUAUGGAUUUGACAUUAUUUCAAAAUUUUGAUGUAAAGUUUUAAUAUUUUAAUUUUUAAUUUGAAUUUAAAUUAAUAUAUUAUAAAGAUAAUGUUAGUAUAUUAAUUUGAUUACAUUUUUUAUAUCCACCUGAACCAAACACCGACAAUGGGAAUGAUUUAUUUCGAUUCCGAUUCAGGUGAUGAACCAAACAGAAUUAGGUAAUGAGUCAUUCCGAUUCCGAUUCCAGCUUAUUUUGAUUCCGAUUCCGAUUCCGACUUCGAACUAAACACGCCCAUAGAUUCUAGAUAUAUGACUACUCCAAAAUCCUGGGUCUCACAUUCUUUCUUUGCCGCCCCACUCCCUACCCCCCAGGCUCUAGUUCCUUUGCUAGGCUUAGGUAAACGUGGUUUGAACCCAACAAUUUAUUAUUGCUAGUGGGUCAAAUUGUUACAUUUGGUAUCAAAACACACCCUUUUAAGCCUUGACGUCCUUGUCAGGUGUAGGCACACAUGUUUUGGAUCCAACGAAUUAGUAUUGCUAGUAGGUCAGAUCAUUACAUGUAGCAUCAGAACUUAGUACCAAUAAAAAAUGUGAGAGCUAAACGCUACGCAAGACAAAAUGUUAUACCACGAGUUUGAUGGAAACCACCUCUUGAACGCACGAGCCACCUCUAAAACCUCAUAUCGUCUGAUAGUUCUAAUCUAUAUGUUUGUGGUUGGGCGUCACACCAUAAUAAUAAUAACUAGGCUCAAGUAUUUUAAACAGGUGAUUUAGAUCCAAUGAGUAAUUAUUAUUAACGAGUCGGAUCGUUACAAAGCCUACAAUUAGAAUAAUUUUUUUUUUGAAUAAUUUGUUAAUGUAUUCUUCACCUAAGCCAGAGUCUUUGUUAAAGCCGAACUCUACCAGAAAAGAUAACAUGUGUAAAAUAAGUGCAAGAAUAAGCAUCAAUAUCUGAACUGAAUUUCAAUUAGUAAAAGCAUAUACAUCAUUACCAAAGAAAAAUGAUGUUUAAAUAAGCAUAAGCAUAAAAUGGAUUUAUUCCGACAGAGUACUCUUUAUUGAUGCUUUAUUGAUGCUUCAAGUAGCUUGUACAUUUCUCAUAAAUUUCCUGGAAGAUAACAAACAUCUCAUGUUGAACCCUCCGACGAUCUUAUUACUUAAUGAGGUGAAUAAAGAACACCUCAUCUUCUGAACUAACUAGGAAGGAGCCACUUUCAAUGGCAAUGUUAUUAUAACUGCUAUACACUAGGCAUCCUUCACCAUCUCUAGAAAAAAGAAUAAAUUCAAUUGAAAAUCAGUAACCAAAAUUGAGACCUAAUUGCUUGGUUCUGCAAUCAGGAGAAAACUGAAAUAAGAAUAAAUUGAAUGUCCAAGAAGAGGAAAAGUGGGCCUUUACAACAGAAGCCCGAAUCGAUGUCCUCUUCACAAUUACAUUAUGAGACACCUGGAUAAUGAAAUCUGUGAGAUAAGAUAAGAGAAAAUAUUAGAGAAGAAUAGAAACAAGGAUAAGACAUUGCAAACGAACAAUAAACCUGUCAUCUUCCUUUGCCAAUGAUCUUCUUUAAGUAUAUGAAGUGAAAAGCAGUUGAAGUUAAAACAAAUGAACUGCCAUUUUAAGCUUGUUUUGCUUCCACUUUGGUAGCUUGUAGAAGGCUGCCUUCGGCAUAUUAAACUUCUCUUUGAACUCUUCUGAAGAUAAAUAAGCCUGAAGUGGAAAGCGAGAGUAAGAAUCUGAGAGAUCAAAAGGAUAUUACAACAAGUAGGCUACUUAUUUACCUCUCGUUUAGUUAUAUCGAUCUCUGAAACAGGAUCGGUCGAUGAGGUCUUUAGACGCUCAUAAGGAAAUAUUGGAAGGCCUUCAUCAAUGUCUGCUUCAUUUUCCUUUGCAUCUUCCUCUAUGGUGAGAUCACUAACUCCACUAUUCAUUGUGGUCUCUGGGUUUGAGAAAUAUAUAAGCAAAGAUUCGGGAUUUCCAUAAAUCCUUGUAAGUUUUAACAUAUAUGUUUCCCUGCAUAAUUAUCUAUUUACAUAUCUACUUCUGCAAAAUCUGAGGUUUUUUUCAAUGUAUGCCCUUCUAAGACUUAAUUACUUACACGUACACCUUUGUAAUCGUAAAAACAAAUCAUCCCCUCUUUUCUAGAACAAGACCAACUUGUCCCCUUGAAAUAGGGCACAUUUGUUAAGUACACUCAUAGAGAGAGAAAGUGGCCAUGCAACUAUUGAUAGGAUAUGGAUGGUAAUACCAUGGAAGCUCCUUCAUGUUAUGAUUGGAUGGUCUCAAUAUUGAGAGCAGAGAUAGUUGGUCGAAGGCUUUUGUUAGUUUAACACUGUACACUAGUCCAAAUUAGUUUAAACUCUGCUCAAUAAUUGUUUUCAGAUGUCUUGCUCAAGAACAAUAGCUGAUGAAUCCGUUACAAAAUUUAAGAACCUCUCUCAGUUUGCAUUAUUCAUUUUUGUCUGAACUCAACACAUAGUUAGACGAGCUCCAAUGAUUGUCAAACUUUUCAAAGAUCGAAAAUAGUUUAGAUCAUGUGUAACAGUAUGGAUCUUCAAUACAAAAGUCCUAUUUAAUUUUGACUUAACAUAAUAUAACCAUCCAAAUACUCACUACCUCUUCCUCUCCCUCCCUAAAUAUAUGAUUUUGCAUGGAUCAUGCAUGUAAAAGCCCUUAAAUAUUAGAAGAUUAGAGUCAAGUACCUUUGGAUGAUUUUGGUGCAACACUUUCUCUUGGAGGUUCAAAAGUAGCAGUCAGAGCUGCAAUUGCUGCUGAUCGCGAAGCAAGCUUCUCUGAGUCUGGAGCCACAACUUUCGGGUGAAGCUUGUUUACAGCUGGAGGUGGGGUUGAGAGAUUCCUGGGAUUAGGGUUCUCAAAUGUAGCGGCUAGGGCAUUAAAUGCAGGGGAUCUCCCCCUUAGACGAAGUCUGUCGGGACUGAAUGACAUGCUUCUCGAGCGCUGAGAUUUGUCGGGUAUGCUGGAUCUACUACUUCCAUGUGUAGGUAUCCGCCUCUUAGGUUUCUGAGAAAUUCAAUCUAACUUAUAGCAGUUCUCAAAAUACCAUUACGAAGCAAAAUAGAAAGAAGUAAUAAAGAAAGAAGAUGGUGCAGAAAAAAGAUAGUACAAUAAAUACUUACAAACUAUCGGUUAUUUUAUCAGAAUAUGCUUGUAACAAUCUUUCGAUGAGUCGCAUAAUUCAACUUACAAACCAAAGAAUGCUGCAGCAUAAUUCAACUUACAAGACAAAAAGUGCUGCAUACUGAUGGAGAGAGUCGUGCUGACAGACUGAGAAAGAAUAAACUUUGGAGUUCAAGAUUGAGAUGUGCACUACUUUUAAUACUUAAUGGACAUUGCUUCCUAUUUUCAAAUUCAAAUAAGUCGGUCGUUUUCUUUUUUUACAAGUGCACAUAACUCUGUCGUUUUAAUUUCAUUAAAGAUAGUAUGAGACCUGGAUAUUAAUUUUAUAAUAUUUGUGAAGCAUAUUUAUCUUCUGAAAAUUGUAGUUUAUUCGUGAAUUGUCAGUUAAUGAAAAUGGAAUGGACUUGAGGCUUGCUACUCAUCUCUAAUGAUGGCUGCUGCUUGCAUUUUGGUUCCUUAGGAAUUAGAAUGAAUGGUCCAAAUUGAAAAAGCAAUGAGCCAACCAUAAAUAUAAUUGAAAUUGAUAUAAUAAUAAAUUAGUCUCAAUGCCUCAACUUACCAUUUAAUUUGUAUUUUUAAUUGCCCAACAGUUUUGUUGCAAGCUGCAGCUAGAAGAGAAUUCCUCAAAUUGGACUUCUGCUUUUGGAGUUGGAAGUCCUCUUCAGAUUCUCACCACAGCCAAAGAUUCAAAUUUAAGAAUUUUCGAAAGCUUCAUUUGUGCUUCUCUAAAUAGAGAAGCUAGUGUCCGACAAGUACUUAGAUAUAUACAAAUGAAGCAGUGCAUCUUCUUGACAACAAGAGAAAAAAGAAACUAAUACAAUCUAACGAAGAAGAUUUAGAAUCAUCUUCAAUAUAAAGCAGUAAAAGGAAUCUCAGGACUCUCAAUAGUCCACAAGUUAAUCAACUCAAAUGGCUUAUAAUCGCAUAAAUCAAAAAAAUUCGAAUAACUCGGAGUGAUGGUCUGAAGCUAGAAAACAAAUCAGCAUGAGAUUAAACUGAUGAAUCAUGUUGCUGGAAUGUUCUUUCAUUAGAUUUUUCAAAUAUAAAUAUCGACUCACAAUGUUAUAAGUAUGCUUUUCAUUAUUUCAUAGAAGAAGAUAAUAAAUUGAAUCAGGUACUCUCUUAUAAUCUCUCUCUUUCUCUAGUUCAGUUGAGAUCCAGGAAUCUAACUUGUAAAAUGUGUUUAACUGUUGAAAAUUUAGCAGUUUUUUUUUUCUGAGUUGCAUAUCUUCAUUUCCACUUCAGGAAAAAAAAGUUGCACUUGAUAAAUUGCUGCAGUACUUAUAUGUCUUCUCCUUCAACUUCCUUAUGUUAUGAGAAGAUGUCUAAGUAGCUAACUUCCUUUGUGAGUUGGUAUGUUUAAAAAUGCAAGGCUUAGGCCUCAUGUUAGCAUCGUUGUUGUUAUUGUUUUUUAUAAAUGCUAAUAUUAUAUAAUUUAAUAUAUUGGCGAAAGGACUUUCCUCUUGUUGUCAAGAUUGAGUAACUUACAUGACACUCUAGCCAAGUGAUGGCUAACAACUUAUUUAGAAACAUUGGAGGAAAAAAGAACAAGGUGCUUCAAAUUUUUAUUUUUUGUUGUCAAAUAAAUCAUUUGGGUGUAAUGAUUGCAAGCAAUCCAUUGUCCCAUUUGGGUGUAAGAAGCAAUAUAUGCAGAAUGUGGGAAGAGAAAAGGAGAUGAAGAAAAGUCGAAGGUGCAAGAACAGAUACGAUGCUUUUUGGAUGGAGAACAAUACACAAAAGAAAGUUAAAUGCAGGGAAGAUUAAUAAUUGUUCCCAGUUAAUUGUGACUUGACACGCAACAUUCCUUGUUGUUAUAAUUGGCUAAUAUAAAAGCAUGAUAAAUUGGAACAAGAAGAGGAACAACACAAUUUGACCAAGAAUCUGCUAGCUUCAGUAAUAUGGCAAUACUUAGAACUAACCUCAACAGUUGGAGUGACUCCAUUUUUAAUAAGGGCAAGCUUCCUUUGGUAUGAAUUACCAUGCAUCUGCAUCGAAAAAUACAAAUGGGAACUUCAGAGCAAGGAAAAUAGUUAUUGCACUUUAGGUCAAACAUUUGGACUUCCAAAUAAGUUCAAAUCAGAUUCUAUUGGACAUUCGAACCAAAGAUUUAAGUGCCAGUUGGCAAAGGCGUUGUCCAUGGUGCCAUACUAUGCCGACAGGAUGGAUCAUUGUUUACUCAUUAUAAGCAUCAUGCAUGCAUUUGGAUUGAAAGUUUCAAUUAAAUUAAGAGAUAAUUUGGGGUAAUUUGGUUUCCCGUAAAUUUUAAUCCUUAAUCUUUUGUAAUCUAGUGACAGUUUGAAAAAUCCUGUUGAAUUUGGCAACUUCAUUAGUAGAGUGCAAAAGAUAAUUGAUAGAAACAUAUUUAAGAACAAAUAGGAUAUAUUGCUACAAAAAAUCAAAAUAUUCUAUGCAAAAGUUUGUUGCACAUGGAAUUGUAUGCCAUAGCCCAAACGCGUGCCAACUCGUGCCAACAAGUUCUUGUCAUGUCCCCAUUCCUGGGUACUUAGAACCUUGGCUGGAAAUUGGAACAACUGCUUUUUAUACCGAAAGCAAUUGAAUAUGCAAAGCACAUUUCAUAUUCAAGGAACAUCAAAAAGGAAUUGAAGCACACAAACUUCGCACCAAAAAUACCAUAUGAUUCUUGUGAUAACACGAAAUUAAAGAAAUGUUACUUCAUAUAACUUACAGACGAUUUUGCGGAGUCCCAAGUGAAGAAACGUGUAAAAAAUGGGGGUUCAAAUCCUUCCAUUACAAUGAAUAUUGGAGUUUCUGGAGAUAGUUUCUCGUGAAGAAAAUCAUGUUCAAUGAAUGCCUGGAAAGAACAAAAACCAAGCAAAAAAAGUCAAAUUAGAAGUGUUAGUUUAUACAAGCAAACAAGAAAGAAAAGAAGCGACUUUUGCUAUACCUCUGAUAUUUUAAGUGCUUGACGUUUUCUAUUCACGUCAACCUGCUGUCCAACCCAAACAAAAAUGGCUGAAUGACAAUCCAGAAUGAAUAUAUCUUCUGUCAUUAAGUCAUCUUGGGUGAAAUUGAAUAUCUCUUUGACCUAGAAAUUUAUGUGUUUGGAAUUAAAAUGUUUAUAAUUAGCAAAAACAAAAAAGAAACAUCAGCCAAUAUGUAGUUAAUUCUUAUAAAGAAGAUUAAACACUGUUUGAAGUUUGGCAUUACCUUUAGAUUGCCUGCGUUAAAAAAAAGGAAGAAAAGGAAGAAAAACAAAAAGAAUGCAUUAGUGCAUAUACAUAACUAUAUGCUAACAAUUUAGAGAAAAAGACAGAUAUUGGAAUCUUUACCAUUUGGGAAGUCACAAGAGAGCAAAUGAGGAUCGCCCUCCAGAUCUUUUUCAAUCUUUUGAUUGGUGUAUUCACUUUUGCCACCAAGUAAAUCCCAGAAAUGUUCAGUUUCUGCCCCUUCUUUUUGCACUUUUGGCUGAAUAUUUGGCUGUGAAAUCCAAAAAGGCUACAGGAAAUGAUUAAUCAAGAAAUGCAACAUAUCAUGUAGUGCUUCAGUGAGGCUCAUCACGCACAAAAAAAAAGAGAAAACACUAAAAUGCCGAAAAUUAUUGAUCCAUCCCGUAAAGAACAACUUUAAGCGAAAAAGCCAGUAAAUACUCUUAAAGUAUCAUAAAAUUGUUUAAUCACAUACAAGGUAAGUCUGUUUUAAACCAAAAGUCGCAUAAGAUAGAUAAAGGUAAUAUUGCAUGGGAAUUUGAUAGAUUCACGUUUGUUAGCUUAGUACAAGACAUUAUUUACAAUUUACUAGCUAGAAGGAAGAAUGUGCAAUUGAAACACUAGUCCAAAGUUAUAUGAACAGUAAAGUAAACCCAACUAUCUUUGUUGAACAGCUUCAUUUGGUUCGGGGUUAAGUAAGAACUAGUUAUUUAGGGAUAGGCAUAAGUUCAGGGUCAAGUCUGGAAUAGACUAAUUUUGCGUUUGGAUGAAAACUGAGUUGUUCCCGGGAAUAAGAAAAAUGGUGUUUGGAUAGAUAAGAUAGAAUAAGAUGAAUAGUGGGUAGUUAUAAAUAGAAAAAAUAAUAAUAUUGCCCCUUAUAUUUGAAUUUAAAUUUUUAAAUUUUAUAUUUAAAAUUUUAAAUUUAAAUAUAUAACUUUAAACAUUGAAAAAUUCAAAAUAAAAUUUAAAUUUUUAAAUUUUAAAUCUCAAAUUAAAAAAUUUAAGUCCUAAAUUUUAAAUUUAAGAUUAAUUUAAAAUUUAAAAAAUUAAAAAUAAUAAUUUAAAAUUAAAAAUUAUAAAUAUCAAUUUUAAGCUUACAAAUUUUUAAAUUUUAAAAAUUUUAAUUUAAAAUUUUAAUUUAAAAAUUAAAUUUAAAAUUUAAAAUUUAAAUUAUAAAUUUAAAUUUAAAAUUUAAAUUGGGAUGGGAUUAGUUAAUCCCACCCCAAUUCUAUGGGGGGGUGGGGUUUGUUAACCCUACCCCGAAAGGGUUAUUCGGAAACCCUUUUGGGGUGGGGUUAACAAAUCACGCUCCAACAAAAAAGUGUUUGGGGAUAAGGGGAGGGAUAACCCUUUAUUCCCCCCCCUUUAACCCCGAAUCAAAUGGCCGCUCAAAAGAAUAAUGUUUACCCUCAAAACAUUCUAUAGUCCAUGUACUAUCAGAUGUCAAGUAUACUACCAAAUUACAAUUUAAUAUUUCUUUGUAUAUUUUACAUAGUAAUCGAGCCACCUGAAGAUUUCUUUAACUUGAUUACUGUGAUCUAUAGAUCGUGAGUUGUUCUUUAUCACGCAAUUGAAGUUACACUAAUAGUAAAAAUGAGCAACGCGGGCUGAAUGUUUUGGAAAUUUCUAGCAGCCCCGUCAUCUUUCUUCACCUUCACUUUUAGUUAUUAUUUUUGAAUGAUACAUUAACUAACAAUGGUAAUUAACUAACAAUGGAAGGCAAAGAGAAAGAAGAGAUUGAUAAAAUUGGCAAAAAAAUUAAAAAUAGUCUGCGGUCAUUACAAAUGAACGAGAAAAAAGAAAUGUGAAAUAAGCAAUGUUAAUUUUCAUCAGCAACACAAGAAACUCUAUUAUACACUCAUUACGUGCCUGCAAAAUAAAUUAUUUGCAUGUACAUAUAGUAUCAAGUUCAAAUGUUCAUUAUACUAUUUUAAUUGAAGUAGAUAUUACCUUCAAUCAUGACAUAAUCUGAAAUAACAUACUCAGAAUUAAAAAACACACACCUUAAUGUGAUCAAGUUGUCUCUCCACAAGCUCUUGAUUCUCUGGGCUAGUCUGGCUUCCAUACCAAGUAAAAACAGUAUCGCCAUUAUGCAAUAUAUAACAAUAGGAUGAGUUCAACGACAAACCAACCUGAUGAAAAUAAAACUUAUGAUCAGUAAUGACAGUCCACCGGAACGAAGUGUUGUUACAGUCUUUCUAAACUAGUUAUUGUAAAAAGGAAAUUUAAAAAUACUUUGUCCAAGUUAGCUAGCUAGCUAUGAUGUGUGAGAAGACAACUUGGAAGUAAGCAAUAAGCCACACAAAGCAACAUGCAUAGCAUAAAGCCAUAAAGCAUAUAAUUGUUGUAUUUACACCACUGCAAAAUUAGCUAUUUACAUAUAUAUUCCAACUAAGUCUUGAUCCUCAUAAAUGCCCAUCAAAACUUAUUUCUUUGCUAGUAUACAAUAGUACUAACAGAAGAGCCAGUCUCAAGGGAUAUGUGUGAAAAUAAAGAUAUUCCAGGGUAUACGUGCAAAUAGAUGAUUUCAAGGAAUAUUCUAGGAAUAUGUACAAGGGGCUUUACAAGAUGAACCAAAGAGCAUCACGCUGAUUCAGGUAAGACAUACAGGUUCUACUUGAAUCGCUUGCAUAUUGUCUGGUCCAGAGCCUUGGACUUUGAAAAGUGCAAGCCCAUCUUCUGCAUAUGUCUCAUCAACAAUUUCAUUUUCAGUUAUGAAGUUCUUAUAUCCAGAGCUAAUACCACCCUGCGAAAAUUCAAAUUGCAAACUAAAUCCUUACAAAAAAAAAAAAAAAUCAAUCACAAAAUAAAAGCACCAUAUCAUUUGAUACUAACCUUGUACACAAUAAAGCUCUGAAAGAUUGAAAAAAACUGGAUAGUCUCCUUUCCUUCAUAUAAGCGAGUCUGUGUUUAUACCAUAGAGCAUUGUAAUUCUUGCUAUUUAUGAAGGACAAUAAUGCAAAAAAGUAAACUAAAUAUCUUGGCAAGUUCCUAAGAAAUACCCAGCUUCUUGGCCUAUGAAUAACUACCUGAACAGCCUGCGACUUCAUAGACUCGACCAACUUGUUGGCAAGUAAUGUUGCUUGAACCUUAUCUUCCUGUGUCCAAAUUUAGAUGAGUUAUUUAUACAUCAGUAAUGCAAAGCACUCAAAGAAAAACAUUAGCACAUUCAUUGUCGAUCAUAAAUCUAGUAUGCUUUUUGAAUUUUAGACAUGUAAGACGAAAAAUUGGAAGAGAUAAACUGAAUAGGGAUAGAAAAUAUGUUUCAAUAAUCAAAAUGCCUCUCUCAGCCACUCCAAACCAUGACAGAUUGUGCAGGCACAAUCAUAUGACUUGAUGAGUUCCAACUCAUCAAAAUACGUGUCCGCAACAGGUAAUCUAAAUUCCAUGCUAAUAUCUCUAAAGAGGUUCUAUCUCCAGUUAUUCUCCUUACUGUUAAAUAGGUACUUACUGCGGUAAUCUACAAUGUAAUGUCUCUAAACAAAUAAAGCUUCUUUGUCAAAUAAUCUCUUAUAGAGAAGAAAGAACACCACAUUGAGGCAACUAACAAUGCCAUAACAGACCAUGCUCACUUGUUCUACCCUCCAGAAAUUCAUCACAAGUUAUAGUUUUAUCUAUUCAUAUUUAGUUCUAUUUAUGUCCAUUUUAUGCUAGUGAAGUUUUAUAUACCAUCGCAAAAGGAAAAAUUAAUACAGAACUUCCACAAAGGCCUUCAUCAAUCAGUUCCAAUCAGUUAAAAACAUUUCUACAAAGGACAUAUAUGAAGUUCUCUCCAUUGAGGUUGAAAGAACAUUCUGUGACUAGUUUUUAACAGGAUCAAUCUUCAAAUGACUUCUAUGGAGGAGGAAUUACUCUUAGGAAUCAGCAGAAUUGAUGAAGGAAAAGGACUCUUUUUCCUUGUCCAAAAUCUAAUCCUUUGAUCUUUUCAGUUUAUUGAAGUGGAAUAGGAGUGAACAAUAAACAGAAAUAGAGAUUAGCAUAAGAAACCAGCUGCAAAAUACAUGUAAUUAACUAAUGAUUGGACUAAACAAAUGACAGUGCAACACCAAGCCCAGUCCAAAAUUAACCUUUUACAAUUACAACCAUACAGUGAAAAUAUUGUUCUCAGAUUAAAGAUUAGAAAUGACUCAAACCACAUAAUAUAUUAGCAACUACGGUGUUCUAAGUCUAAUGUAUAAUAAUAAGCUAGAUUAAAGGUGCUUGUUUACCUCAGUGCUCUUCUUCCCAAACCAAGUGCCAACGAGGUGCUCAUCUUUGUUUUCACCAGGAUAUGUAUACUGAAAAAUAUAACAAUCACCGCUGUAGAACUUAGACUGGUCAGAUGAUGAGAGUAGAGUCUUUUGAUCACCGUCCACACGCCAAACCUAUUAUCAUCAUGAAAAGCAAAACUUAGCAUCACAAAACUCAAGUCCACUUAGCAAUCAAAAUCAAGGUAAUUCUAUUACUACAUAUAGAAACUAAAUAAUUAAAAAAAGCUAACCAACUCCUCUCCUGCCCACAAAACCCCCCAACCAAAAACCAACCAAAAAAACACACCUAACUACAGGUGAUUUGCAAAUAGGUCAUUGAACUACAUUUUUUUGGAUUCUAAACCCCCAACUGUCAUGUUGCUUGAUUUUAGUGUAACAAACUUCUUUACAAUAAUUAGAGGAUAGAAACAAUUUAGGAUGAAAAUUUUUGAAACAAAAAAUUAUAAUAAUUGGGGAUCCCAAUCCAAAAAAAAAUGGAGUUACAGGACCUAUUUCCAAAUAAUUCAUAGUUGGCAGGAGUGUGGAUACAUUUUAGUUAGAACAAAAUCUAAGGAGUAGAAAACUGUAGCUAGCAUAAAGGCUGAAUCCAUAUGAGAGCACCUGAAGAUUGCCAGUGCAAUCGAUAUAUGGCUGAGGUUCUUCUUUUAUAGGAUCCGAUUUCACAAGACCCUUCACAUUUAAUCCUUGGCGUUUCAGAAGUGCUACCAAAGUGUACAAUAAUAUUAAAAGAGAGAGAGAGAGAGAGAGAGAGAGAAAAAGAAUGCAAGCCUAUUCAAAAUAUUCAAUAGUGCAUAUAGGGCCCGUUUUGCACCCAAGAUUUGAUUAGAUAAGAUAAUAUGAGAUAGCUGUAUUGGACUAAAAGGAGAAUAUAAUAUAAAUUUUCGAAUCCGAUCCCAUUCUAUCCCAACCUCUAGGGAGGGAUUCCAUAAUCCCAGACCAAAGAUUGUUUGACCCAACUAGCUUUGACAAUUUUAACAUCUUGUAACUUUCUAUGCCUACAAGUCACCAAACCCUCUUUUUCAUGCAACGCCACUCUCUUAUCUUAUUGUAUCCGAUCCAACCUUGGGUGCCAAAAGGAAACAAUAUGUUUAAAACAAAUGAAUUUAUUCUGCAAAUACUGACCUGCCACCUUUCCUCUUCCUUCUUCUGGUGCAGUUACGCCAGCUGGUUGCGGCCAUGAAUCAAACUUAGAGCAAAACAUGACAGUCUCAGACCCUUCAGUUACUCGGAUCACAUGAGCUUUAGGUUGGUCAGUUUUGUUAAGUAAUUCCUGCUUAGAAUUGUAAUACACAUUUAAUAUUGCAUUAAGCAAAACUGCAAAAUGAAGAAAGGAAAGGAACUUCACUUCCGUAAGAAAUGUAUCAGUUAUUACUUCGGCUGCAGUGACUGCACUUUUCCUCUCCUCGAGAGAUGUACUUUUGCCCACCCACACAUAAAUUUCGAUACCACAAUCCAGCAAAUAACACUUGUUCGUCUCUAACAAUUCUCGCGUCAAGGAAUCAGAUUCCACUUGUGUCGUCUCUCCUUUGUCAACACUUAAAAACACAACAUAUUCAUAAAAAAAAUCAUCUGAAAAACUCAAAAGAAAAAUGAUGCAUUCAUGCAUUUUUGACAAUACAUACCAGAGAAGUUUUCCUGGUGAGGCCUCCUCAUUUCUAGCUUCUCCCAAAGCUGCCUUUCUUGGAAGCGGAGCAAAGCCACCAAAAAAGCCCCAAAAUUCUCCAGCCUCGACAUCAGCCAUUAACUUUCCAUCCUCUAAUAAUAAGAUAAGAGUACAAUUGAGAGUAAGUUUAACUUAAUAGAAGCUGUUGGAAUAAAAAGAAGAAACACACUCACCAACCGCUGCAACCUCACAUUUCCCAUCAUGAUAUGCAUCUUUAAUAUACUGGACAACUUCGAGGGCUUUUGCUCGCUCUUGAAUAGAAGAGUUGGAUCCGUUAAAUUGAAAAAUCUUAGACUUGGUAUCCAGUAUGAAUAUGUCAUCAUGGUUAAGCGAUGACCGUGCAAAUGGAACCUAAAGAUAUUGCAAGAUUAAGAAAAUCAUAAUCAAAUUCUGCCUGAGAAACAUUUUUAGGAUUACCUAAAGAUUAAGUCCUCAAAGUUUGACCCUAGUUUUAGUCUCAUCCUCAAAGGUUCGAUUGGAACAAUGGUCCCUAAAAUUUGCCCCUCAUCACAAUUACGUUGACCUAUUAAUCAGCUAUCUUAAGGAAGAUGCAGCAUCAGUCUCAUUACUGGACUAAAAAGGUUUGCCAGUUACAAAGAUCAGUUUAAAUGACUAAAUUGUUACAAUUGAAACUCUCAGGAUGAAACCAAAAUUGAUAUCAAACUUCAAGGGCUUAAUUUUCAUGUAAACUUUGUGUUUUUCCAAUAGAACUAAUUCGCAGAGAUACAAAGCACUUGCCUCUUUUACAUGGACAGCGUGUUUCCCUCUACAAACAUAUAGACGAGUCUCAUGGCUAUUCUCAUUAACUUCAACAUGGUUAAAUCCAGAAGCCAUUCCACCUUGUUGUGGAAUGAUACAAGGUUUAAAAUAAGACAAAAACUUCUCGCUCUCAUGGCCUUGAAUCUCGCGGUAUUGAACAGCACGCCCACCAAGGACAGCAUCAAGUUCCACAGUUUUGAUGGCCGCAGCACCCGCUUCAUCCUAUUUAGUUUGACACAACAGAAAGCGCAGGCUACAAAUUCUGUAUUGCUAUAAAAUGAAAUGAAUGGCAGGGCAUAGAAAGCCAACCUGACUUGUAUCUUUGCCAAGCCAAUAAUGAAUAUCGUGACGCAAAGCACCAUUCUUCGAGGCGGUUGUCUGCAUCAUUAUUGGAAAAUUUUAUCUAAUUAGAUACGAAAAAUGAUGAUUGCUGGAACUUUUCACAAAAAAGUUAACAUUCUACACUGUUGUAAAUAAGAGUAGAAGUUAAAUUUAUAGGUCACAUAUAUCUCCAUGCACGUGUAUAAACAAAAAGGAAUAUCUUGAUAACAUGCUACCAGCAUGAAAAUGAUGGUAAGAUGCUCCGGUGACACUGAAACUACAGGAUGCAUCCCAGUAAUGAACAAACUUCUCUAACAACCAGUCCUCUAAGAGAUAUCUUAUCCUCGAAUUUUGACACCUUACUACUUACUGUAAAAAGUUUAUUUUUUAUAUAAAUUGUAUUAUUUAAUGAUUUUGGUUUGCACACAGCCAUCAAUUCAGCAUUGCCUUUCCCCCAAAAUGGGAGAUAUUUCUGUCAAUUUUGCACUAAAUGACGCAUUAGAAUUAAGGAACCAAUUUGGCAGCAGAGAGGAUUCCAGACAAUAUGAUGCAUCCUAUAUCUAUGAGAUAUAAAUCCUUCUUGGUGGCAUGUUUUAGAGGAAAUUCCAGGUUAUUAAGAGGUAAAAAUAAAAUAUACAUCCUGCCCAAAUCUGUGCCAUCCGAUGCCAUGGCUCAGUCGAUGUGCCAAUUGCAUGCCACUAGCACAACGUUUUUGUCCCAAUAGAUCAUACCAUGGCAAUGUUGUGACACCCCCAAUAAUCUCACAUUAGAUAGGAAAGGAUUAUGAUUGGAAAUAUAAAAACCAAAGAGUCUAAUACUGACAACUAGGCUUAAGCAUUUUCUGCCGGCGGUUUGGGCCUAACAAGUUAUUAGUGGUAGUAAGCUGCGUCGUUAUCUGUAGUAUCCCUAGUGUUUGGUUGCCCGUGAGAUUUCAGCAUCUGAGGCUUGUUGACACAUCUGGAGAGUGCCGGGAUAAGUCGGAGUCGUUUUGGCGCGAAAUGGACGCAAAACGGGAUCGACACGAGGCGAGAGUGGAGUUCUGACACUGAAAUUCGCAAAGUGCAGGAUUUCAGUGUUGAGUACCGGUACGGUAUCGGGCUGGUACCGGUACUCCAGUGUAUUUCCAGAACAGAAUGCUCUCGGGUUGCGCCAAUUGAUGCUGAGUACCAGUACGGCAUCGGACUGGUACCGAUACCCUAUGUGCGAGUUUGCGGGCUGAGGUCGAGUACCGAUAACCAAAUUGGAUACCGGUACUCCAGCUGUAAUUUUGAGUUGGUGAGGGGCCUUUUGGUCAUUUGAAGUGGCGUUAUUAUCAACCUUAUCCCCACCUCUUUAUAUAUGUGUAGAGAGACAGAGGAGGAGGUUUUGGAUUGUUGCUCUCUCUCUCUCUAGUUCUUUAUCGUAUUCGAGGUGGAGGUCGCGACUCGAGCUCGGGAGUUUAUCGCCGUUGAGCCGAAGGGUCAUUCGAGCGUGUGGGCGGCACGGUUGCGCUGUUGGAGGCCAGGCGAGCGUGUGGUUUCCUCUCCUUUUGACCUCUCACCGUGGUUGGGUGAGCUUUACGAGGUGAGUUGAAGUUUACCGAAAUCGUCGGAAUACCUCCGAAGUUCUUAUAUCGUCGACAUGUUUUGUUGGUUUCAUUUUCUUGCUAGUACUCGAAUUUAUGGAUUAGAGUUAAAAUCUGAAUUUGGAGUUAAACUAGUAGUAUAAUUUUACAUGUUGGACUUGGAAUUGACUUAGGAGAAAACAUUUAGAUCCUACACUCUCAUUUCUGAAAAUUACCAGAUUUAGCUUUAGGAGUUGUGGUUCUUUUGUAUCGUUGCUGUUAGUAUGCAAUGGAUACCCAAAUUAGUGUAGGAUGAGGUUACGCUCGUGCUGGGAUGUCGAGUUUAUUUUUAUAGUAGUGCGUAGACUGUUUCGGACUAUCGGGUGCCGUCGCGGUUGACGGUAGACCCAGAUUUCUGUAUUUGCAUCAGAUUGUGCCAAGAGCACGUGAGCUUUGGUUGUUAGACCAAUUAGACCCAUUUGCUUUGAUUAUAGUCUUUGAGAGCCUGAUUGAGCUCGGCAGAGAUAUGUUUGCAUACUCGGUUGGAUAGCGCCCACAAGUGCCACUCCGGAGUCGAGCUUUGUGCGUUCGCGUUGAUGUCGUAGUGUCCGGAUUGGACUUGCUCUCCACCAACAACCCAGCGUGGUGGUGGUUGGUGUAGCUUCGACAGGCGGGACGGGUGUGUUCACAGUCCCUAGUGAGAUUGGGUCAGAGAUUGCUUCUUUCUUAUAUCUACAGAAUAGUGGUUAGCGAUAGUAUAGUGGUAUGUAGCUGUAGAGUUUUUCCAGCUUCCUUAACUAUCCUUGUGCAUAUUUCUUUUCUGUAGUCUUUGUGGGUGAGCCGGUGAGGUCGGUAACGGUACCCACUGAGAACUAUUUAUUUUUACAAUAGUUCUCACACCCAGUUGUUAACCUCUUUUUUUGCAGAGCCUUCGUUUGCGGCUGCUGUUGUCAUCGAUUCUGAUCGUGGAAAGGGAGUCGCGAGCUAGAUCCCUUCCAGCCUUACUGCAGUACUAGAAGAGUACCUUCCACAGGUAGUUUUGGGGUUUUUGUACAUAUGGUCUUGUUGUCUGGGUACUCGCUAGAGCGAGUGAUGUAGUAGACAUUUUGUAUGUACUGGAACCCCGCGAGGUUUUAUAUAUAUGUUUUCAGUUUAGUAGCUCUUUACCUUGUGGUUGUAGCUUGGUUUUGUUUACAGGUACAGCUAUCGCUUCAUACACAGAAAAAAUUCCUAUGUAUACGGCGGGUCUGUUGGCGUGCCCGGGGAAACGUGUAAUCCGGAGCGUGACAUUAUCUUUGGUAUUAGAAUUAGUUUGCCCGCCUGUGAUCUUGAGUUAAGGGAUGGCUAGAGAAUUUAAUCUAACGAAGAGGUCAUAGUCUAAAAAAAAGGAGUUUGUGACACCCCAAUAAUUCCAUAUCGGAUAUAAGAGACUCUAAGGCCAUGUUUGGUUGGGGAUUAAGGGUGGAAUAAAGAAUUUAUUCCACCCUUAUCCCCUAAACACAAAAAAAUUUGGUGGGAACACUAAUUUCCACCUUAACGGGCUAUUCUAGUGUUCCUACCCUAAAGUGGGAACAAGCUGGGAUAACCUAGCUUGUUCCACCCGUGAAGAGAGAGAGAGAGAGAGAGAGAGAGGAUUUUUAAUUUAUCAUAAAAUUUAAAUUUUGUAAGUUAAAAAAUUAAAAUUUAUAAUUUUUAAAAUUACAAAAUUAAAAUUUUAAAUUUUAAAUUAUUUAAUUUUAAAAUUUAAAUUUUGAUAUUUUAAAUUUUUUUAUAUUUAGAAUUUGAUAUUUUGUAUUUUUAAAUUAAAAUUUCAUCUUAAAUUUAAAGUUUAAAAUUUAAAUUUUUAAUUUUUAAAAUUGUAAAUUUGAGAUUUUAAAAUUUUAAAUUUUAAAAGUUUAUAUUUUAAAUUCUAAAAUAUAAAUAUAAAAUAUAAAAAUUAAAAUUCUAAUAUAAAAAAAGGGAUAAUAUCAUUAUUUUUUUAUUUAUAACUACCCACUUUAAUUCUUAUUCCAUCUUACAUAACCAAACACUAUUUUUUUUAUUCCCAGGAAUAACUCAAUUUUCAUCCAAACGCAAAAUUGAUCUAAUCGCCGCUUAUAUCUCAAUUUAUACAUAUUCCUGGAAUAGCCACUUUUUGCUUAUCCCCGAACCAAACGAUAGGCUUAGGCAUUUUGUGCUAGUGUUUGGGCCCAACAAGUUACUUAUUAGUGUAGGCUGGGUCAUUGCAAAUGCCAAACCAAGAUGCCCUAUACCACUGGCACUAGAAUCCUUGGUACUAUAUUAAAAUUAGAAUUUUCUUUUUCUUUUUUGUCCCUUUUUUUCUUUUAGCAUUAGGGAUAAUGGCAUAAAACAAAACACACAUUUUAAACAAGUUAUAUUAUAAAAGAUUAAAUUGCAAAUACUCUAGAAAAAGGUAACUACUACUCAAGUUAGAGAAAUCAUAAGUCUUAAAUAAUUUUCCAGGAAGAUCAAAUCCACCCUUAUAACUCUCAAUUCGAACUUUAGCAUGUGUUUUCAAUAAGUGUUACUGUAGAGUAAGGAAUAGGAUUUUUACUUGAGAAAAGUUCCUUGGUUAUAGAAUAGCACCAUCGUUGAAAGUAAAACAACAUCCUUGUAGAACUUCAUAUAUAACCAUGUUAUCUGAAUUUUAGUAUACGCCCCUCAGAAGUGCAAGCUUCUUACAAGAAUACCCUCAUCUCAAAUCUCAAAGCCAUCCCAUUCAUGGGGAGAAUUGGUUUUGUAUUAGAGAAGAAGAUUCCACAAGGGAAGAUUUUGUAAGCACAAAGGGUACGUAUGUAAGAAAUUAACUUCUUGAAUUGCAUAUAAGAACAUUCAGAUCUUGCAAAAAUAUGUAUGUAGAUUGAUAGCCUUGUAGGGUUCUAUAUGUAAAUACCACGAAUUGAAACAAUGACAACAUCAUAGCAAGUAUACAAGAAUAAAAUAAAUUAACCUCUUGAAUAUAAAUAUUAUAGUUUAAUAAUAUUACCUUUAGAAUCACAUAUGAGUCUCCCAUAAAAAACUUCCCAUGAGAAGAUUUUGGGACAAGCACAGGACAAAAAUUUUCAAUUCGCCAUAUUUCCAUCCCUCUUUAUUUUGUCAAGGAAACAAAUGUAGCUCGAUAUAGAGAAAGCAACACAAACAUUAUGAUAGAGAAUCCACACUAUUUUAACAAAGAUGGUGAUAAGUGCAUUUAGCAUUGAGCUAAAUUUAUAGACGCCUACACAAAUAAUUUAAUGAAAUCUUAGUUCAAGUAAUAAAGAGCAUUAUAUAAAAUUUCAAGAUCCAUGUACAGUUGCCUCUGAUUGACAUAACAUAAGAUUGACAGCUUGUGCGGAAGAAUAAAAUUAAUGGUUCAUAUUCUAAAUCAACAUGGAAAAUUGGGUUGCACCAACUUCUAUCUACCUGUGUUAGAGUAUUUGGCCAACCUUGUCUUGCUUUUUCGUUUCUUUAUGGUGCGAGUAACUUUUCAUUUGCAUAUCUCAAUGACUUUUCAAUAAAAUUUCUCUACCUUCAAAAUGUUUGGCAAAAUUUAUGCCACAAGUAAGGUGACAACUAUAGUUUUUCCAUCUUAACUGCUGAAAGGUAAGUCUUUCACCCAUGUUCACCAACAAACGUGUACUGAAUAAUAUACAAUUUUAAUUAUGUCAAAACAAAAGUUCCUAGCAGAUCAACAGAGCUUAUAGAUAAAGAGCCAGAAGCAAAAUAUUCAACUUAUACUAUAACAUAAAAAUUGACAAAGGAAAGGAUACGCUUUCUGUCCUGCACCAUGGAAAGCAGGAUCGAGAUCCUUCAUUGACACAGCCAUCUUCCGAAACAGAAUCUGCUACGGCUUCAACUUACAAGUCGAUAAGCUCUACAAUAGGAUCACACAGUUCAUUACUCCAGAACAUUCAAAAACAUAACUGACAUUAUCACAAGGAUUGUAAAAGGAAAAAAAAGAAGAAGAAAGAAACAAAUUGGGCUGAACAAAAUGAUUGGCACAGUGCAAAAAAGUUUGUCUUUCAUGCGACAAAAAAAUGUGAAUUGUACAACAUGAAAUGCAGGAUGAUGAUCGAAAAAAGUAUCAUAGUGCAAAAGGCUCUCUCAAAUGCUGGGUUUGUGAUUUGCACAAUCAUCACUAAAUCACACAAUACAACACUCGACCGCAACUUACGGAAUGUCCUCACUACAAAUUUGUUGAUGGUAAGAAUGACACUGAUAACAAUUCCAUUGCAAUGAUACCACAAAAAAAAAAAAAAACAAAGAAAAAACUUCUUAUACAAUAAUUAGUCGAUUCCCGGUUGAAAACGAAUGUCAGGUGAAUUGCCUGAGUGCACAAUUUUAAAAUCAAUGUGCCAAUCUUACACACAAUGGCACUAUCCAACUUUAAAAAAUAAUACUAAUUAAAUAAAAAACAUAUCACAUAAAAACAUAUCACCAAAAAAAAAAAAAAAAAACAACUCCACAAAAUAUCAAUGUGGAUCUAAAGAACCCUGACCCAAUAAUUUUAGUUUCUUUUAUUAUGAAAAAUGAAGUCCGAGACUAAUGGUCGAUCAUGUAUCCCAAUAAUAACGCAUCUGAAUAAGGGCUUGGAAUGUUAUGGAUUCGAGUCCCAGAUGAGAGAGAGACUGAAAAGAUUGCAGGGGCCUAACGGGCAACUUUUUUAUUGUGAAAAUAAGCAUCUAAAAUUUUUAUUUAUAAAACUAGAUCUAAAUGGUGAAUGAUUUGCUGUUUUUAUAAAGCGGUAAUUUAUUCACCGCUUUCUACGAGCAGUAAACCAUUCACCGUAAAAGAUUUUACGUAAUUUAUAUAUUUUCCACGUCCGAACUCUAAAAUUUGUAUAUAUUAAACUGUAAAAAUAAUUUUAGUAUUUUAAGAAAAGCGGUGCACAUUUAGAAACCGAUAAUUCAUUCAACCUACAGGAAUAAUUUUGUAAAUAAUUUAUUUGCAGAACUAUUUUUAUAAUUAUAAUAUUCUUUAAGCCUAUUUAUAAAAGAAAUUCGGGUCUAACAAAACAAAUAGAUUAAAAUAAUCCCUUUUACCCAUAAAACAAAGCAAAAUUACUAUCCCCAAAAACAAAUAAUUAAAAACAAGACAUAGCGAAAGCCAUGCAAAAAACAACAAAAAGAUACAACAACUGGAGAAUAAUCUAAUGGGAGGGCUUGUACCUCUCUUCCAGCUUAGUCCCAACACAAGAACCCUAGAAUUUGGAUGGUGAACACAGGAGAAGGGACAUGAAAAAUGCCCUUAAAAUGGCCGGAAAAGAGGGAGCAAAAAAUUAAAAAAAAAAAAAAAAAAGGGGAAAGAAAACGAAAAGGAGAAACACAGAUUAAGAGAAGGGUAAAUGUCUAAAUGAGGGCCGAGAGAGCUUAUCCUUGGGGUCCAAUGGAUGGUAACUUUCACUUUUCAUUAUUUGAUGAAGCAAACAAAAGGCAAUAAAAAAUAAAAAUAAAAAAAAUAAAAUAAAAUAAAAUAAAGAAGGUCUGAAUAAUAAAUAAAAUUAAAAGUGUGUGAAAAAUGGAGGAUUAAAAUUUGAAAAUAGUGGUAAAUUCGGUUUCAUAUCAAUUGAGAACAUAUUAUUAUAUGGACCCUGUCUGCCACAUCAGCAAACAACAACCCCAUAUAUAUUAAAUUGUUGAACUCUUAUUAAUAGCACAUAAAUAGUGUCUACUAUUGAUUUUUUUUAAGUCAUUUGAUCUAUAAUAGUACCACAAUCUUUUAAUAAUAAAUCCUAUGUAUUCAAUAGCUAAAAAGAUAGUAGUAACUAUUAUUUUCUAGCCGGAUAUAAAUUAUAUGUAAAUAUAAAUGUAAAUUAUUAAAAAUGAGUCAAAAAUUUUAGAUGAUUUAUUUGCUUAUAUAUACUCUUUGAAAAUCUAUUGUCAAGGAAUUAAAUAAUGCGUUAUUGGUUCAUUGCAUGAGAAAUAGAUUUGGAAAAUUUUAGUAUAUGAACUAUUUGGUGAUUGCAAAUCGCAUGUACAGUUCAAAAUUUUGCUUAAAAAAAAUAUUUAAAAGUUUGAAUUAUGCGACGACAACGGUCCAUGAUGGACCAGGUCCAGAUAAUUAUUGGCCGCUCCGAGUGCCAUUUUCGCGGCCCACUAUGUACACGUGGAGAGAUUUGAUAGGCUAUUCCUGUGUUUGGUGUUCUGAAAAGUGGUGGGGAUGGUUGGAGGAAAGGAUCAAACUUGUGUGCGGCGGGGAGGAGGCAACGCUUUCGGUCGUGGACUGGGUGAAAUUAGCGGAUCGCGCAGAGCAGGAAACACCCGCACAAAUGACUCCCUCGUGCGACACGUGUCGUUGUUAAGUAAGUUUACUUUUCUUUGUUUGGGGAAUUUUUUAAGACCAAUUUGCAUUAAAAAAAAAAAAAUCCACAGGUUUUGAAUUUUUACAAAAACGACUCACUUUUUUAAAUUUUAAAAAUUUGAUCUGAAAUUUUAAAAAUUUGACCAAAAUAUUUUUUUUCUUUUUUUCUUUUUUUUUCUUUGGUUAAUCAUUCUUCGCCUAUUUCUUCCUCUCAUUCUCCUCAUGCUUCCUUUUAUUUCAACCUCUACUCCAUUGCCCUGACGUCGAUGCCACGCCCCUCUCUUCUAUCUCAUCCAUAUCUCCAUCAAAACUAGCUCAGAUAUGGCAUAUAUCGCAAAGAUGAGACUAUGGCGAAAGGCGUGGCCAUCGAUGGCGACAACGACAACAAUAAGGGUGCCAUAAGCUUUGAAGACGACGGGAAUGGAGAGCGCAUUGGGGUCAGCGCAGCAGCUACAGCAAAGGGUGAGGGAAAAGAUGCGAUAACAAAAAAGGAUGCAAACGGUAAAAGAAAAGGGAGAGAGAAAAAUAAAAAGAAAAAAAAAUCUCUAGAAAGGCCAUCAUAUGUCAUGUCCUCUGCAGUCUGCAAAAAAAAGUCAACAAGAAAAGAAGAAAGAAUAAGAAAAUAAUUUAGCGCUACUUUUUUUUGAGAGAAAGGUAGCAUGCUACUCGCUUCGUUUAUUUCUUUAAGAAAUAAACUUAGCUGAAAAUAUGAAUCAAUUAGGAUUCAAACUUGGAAUCUCGGGUACCAACCAUCUGUUGGCCUAGUGGCCCUAAUCUUUCAUUAGAUUUUGAUGAUAACAAAUAAUUACGAUUAUUGGACUAAUCUUUUAUCUUGAGUUUUGUGUUUUAGAUCUCUCUAUCUUCAAAAGGACUCAAGAUGGCCAAUCUUCUAGCACCAAGCUUCACCACUUGAAGCUAUGCUUGCUUCCUUUGUCAAAUAGACAAACUCACUCUCUAUAUUCUUAAUUUGAUUAAUAUCUUUAGAGUGAGAAUUUUUUAGCUAAGUUUAAUCUACUCCUCUUAUCACUUUAUAGCUCAUUUGAACAAAUCUCUAACUUGUGAUAAGGUGCAUAGGAUUUUAUUUUAUUCAAAAUCUGCUCAAAAUUAGUUUUCUGUCAAGUUACUAUUUCUGGACUCUGAUCUGGGCGUCCUAAAGUGGAUCCGAAUCUCAUGCGUUUUUGGAUCCUGCCUGUUUACUGUUCGAGUGGUCCAGAUAUUCUUUCACCUAAUGUGGGCGCCCAAAUGUCUGUUUAGGGCAACCGAAUUGUUUGACUUGAUAGGUUGCGUCUUCCGGACAGUACGACGGAUCGGCCCGAAAAGUUCUGACACUGCACGGCGCAGGCAACGCGCGUGCUGGAAAUCUGGGCGCCCACAUCUUCUGGAAGCCAAAAUGAUUCCGCUCAGAGAAUGCGGCGCACGCCGUCUGUCUUUGUCAGAAAAGUCAGCGCGCGUGUCCUAGGCGCCCACAAAUUCUGAUGGCUCGAAUGUACGAAUCCAGAAAAGUAGCGCACGACUGACAGGCAGCUGGAAGCGCAGUGCGCGUGCACAACUUCUGGGUGCCCGAAAUUAGGUUUAGGGCGCCCGAAAGUGUAACGGUCUGGAGCUGGCCGAGGCUAUAAAUAGAUGGCUUUGAGGCCUUUCUCAGCCUUUUUUAGACAGUUGAUUUGAGCUUAAAAAUUUCAGUGUUUCUAAUACUCUUAGCUUUCAAUUCUCUCUCUAAACUUAAGUGCAAUUUGUAGUGAGAUUUAAUCUUGUAAAAAGAGAGAAGAGCAAAGUCUUGGAGCUUGAAAAGAAGAAGGUGUUGGUGUGAAGGCUUGAUGCUUGCCCGCAAAAGCAUCAUCCAGUGGAGAUCCAAUGUUCUCUUGUGUUGAGGAGUUGGCGGGGACAUAGGCAAAGUGCCGAACCUCGAAACAAAUAGAUUGUGUUCGUCUUUGAGUUUGCAUUUCUCUAAACUCUUCCUUUAUUAUUUGUUUCAGGUUUUCAAAUUUCUUGAUUAUUUAGCUUUUUAUUUUAGAAACCUAAUUCACCCCCUCUUAGGUUGCCAUUUUGAUCCUCACCAUCAAACCCUUUGCCACUUGCAUUAGAGAAAGUCGAUACAAUUUAGCACUAUUGGAGACAAAAUUGCAUUGUUUGAGAAUAAGUUGUACUAUUUGAAGUUAAGUUGCACCAUCUAUAACCAUUUAUAACUAUUUUGCCGGUUUAAGAGGUUUCGCUCUAUUAUAUCUUAUAUAUAGGACUUCUAAAUUAUGGGGUCUCACAUUCUCCUCCACUUUAAGUCUUGACAUUCUUGUUAUACUCAAACUGCCAAGUACCAGGUGUGAGACUCGUCUCACUAGCCAUAAUGGCUCGGCCAAGACUCAUUCACACUUUCAGUUGGUAAUUAGCUCUGAUACCAACUAUGACAUCCAACUUUCCAGGGGGUCACCUAUCCUAUAAUUAUUCUAGCCCUAACACUCUUAACUAUCUUAACCUUUUGAGCAUAUCCAUCACCCAAAAUGUUAUAUCCAGGUUAAAAGAUUUCGAUCUAUUAUAUCUUAUACAUAAAACUAUUCCAAAUCUUGGGGUCUCAAUUUGAGACUUAAGUUUACUAUUAAAAGUUUCAACUUAGUCUCAAAUAAUUUUAAAUUGUGCAACUUAAGUCUCAAACAGUGCAAUUUCUAUUUAAUGUUGUGCAAUUUAGUUUCAAAUAAUUAUAAAUAGUGCAGCUUUAUCUCAAACAGUGCAACUUAGAUUCAAAUAGUAUAAUUUUUGCCUUAAAUAAUGCAACUUUAUUUUCUUCUUUUUAUUUUCUACUUCUUGAAGUUUUCUGUAACGGUCAUGACAUAUAAUGACCUUCACUAGAGAAAUUUUUUUAUUUUUCUUAUAUUUUUCUUUUUUAUUAUUUCUCCUUCUUCCUUUUCUUUCACUUUUUGUAUCUUUUUUCAUUACUGCACCUCAUCCCUUGUCCUCUGCCACAACCGUCGCUCCCCCAGUACCAACUUGCUCUCCCUCCCCAUCAUUCUUAAGCUGUGUUUGGUUGGAGUAUAAGUAAGAACUGCUUAUUUCAAGAAUAGGUACAAGUUCAGUUAUAAGCAGAAAUUAGACAAAUUUUAUGUUUGGAUGAAAAUUGAGUUGUUUUUAGGAAUAAGGUAAAUAGUGUUUGGAUAGUUAUAUUGGAACAAAAAGAAUAAGAGUUAUAAUUUUAAAUUAAAAUUAUUUUAUCUAAUUGAUUAACAUCAAAAUAUUACUUAAAAAAUAAAUUAAUAUCAAUAAUUAUAAAUAAUAAAUUAAUUAAAUAAUAAUAAAUUAUAAAUAAUUAUAAAUAAUAAAUUAAUUAAUAAAAAAAUUAAUUAGAUAAUAACUUAUAAAAAAUUUUAAUAAUUGUAAAUUAUAGAUUAAUUAAUUAAUUAAUAAUUAAUAAUUAAUUAAUAAUUAAUACUAAAAAAUUAAAAAUAAUAAAUAUUAAUUAAUAAUAAUUUAUUAAUAAUAAAUUAAUUAGAUAAUAUAGUAUAAAUUAUAAACUAAUAAUAAUUAUAAAUAAUAAAUUAUUACUAAUUAUAAAUUAUAAAUAAAUUAAUUAAUAAUAAAAAUAUUAAUUAAUUAAUUAUUAAUAAUUAUAAAUAAAAUAUUAUUAAUAAUUAUAAAUCAUAAAUUAUUUAAUUAAUAUUAAAUUAAUUAAUUAGAUAAUUAUAAAUAAAAAUAAUUUAAAUAACUUAAUUAAUUAUAGUUAAUUAAUAGUAGAUCAAUUAUUAAUUAAUAAUAAAUAAAUUAAUAAUAAAUUAUUAUAAAUAAAUAAAUAAAUAAAUAAUUUUAUUAUUUAAGCAAUAAAUAAUAAUUUAUAUGCAGUGUUUCUGAACUUUGGAUAGGAUUGGCUUCAGUGUAAGUGACUGGUCGGCGCAUCUAGAGAGUGUCGGACUGAGUUUCUCCGCGAAAUGGAUGAAGAAAUGGACUCGGCGCACUCAAAUAGGAAAACUGGAGUUUUGCCACAUUCGGGCGCCCAGAACUGGUCUUGGGUCGCCCAGAAGUUGAGUGCAGUUUUGAUCAGAACUGGAAGCCAAUUCGGGUCCAUAUUUCGGGCACCCGAAUGAGGGCCCGAAAAUUCACCUCGUGAGUAUCAUUUGCACUGACACGUGGCUGGUGGUUGGUGAAGUCCGCCGGAGCCGGAUAUGGGCACAGCACACCGCGGGCGGAGACUCCGAAGAGGAAGCCUUGUGUAGCCUGGAGGAUUCGGGCACCCAUAAUGUAGGUCCGGGUGCCCGGAAAUGCCAGUUUCUGCAGGGGUACCAGCUUUGCAGCAAUUGUUCCUGAGGGCUAUCUCACCACUCCAGCACCCUAUAAAUACCUGGUAUACGUCCCCUUUGAGCUCUUUUCAUCUAUUCUUCACAGAGAUCCUUUAUCUUGCAUCCUAAUCUCUCCAAACUCCUCCAUUUGCAUCAAAGUACCACAACUCUAAGAUUUCAAGGUGCAGAUUCUGCAGUCUCCCAGCGACGACCUUCAGUGUUUUGGCUCGUGCGCGACGUAGGGAGAUCGGAUUGCGACAAAACUUGGUUUGCUGGAUUUUAGACUUCUAGAGGAAUCCACGAAAUCCUGAAUUGUGGGUUUUGGUUGAGGUUAGCUUGGUCGUUUACCUAUGUUUCUGGACUGUUGGCAACAUUGAGCUAAAAAUGAGAUUUUUGAGCUUUUCUUGAUGCUAUCUUUGUAGGCAGUGGGAUUUUGGACCUGAGACACAUCACCCAUCAGUAUUUGCUGGAUUUGGGACUGUCCUCACCUGAUUUAGAGAUCGUUAGGUGAGUUUUGACAUUGGAGUGGGGAGAAAUCUAAGCUUAAGUGCUGAAAUUGGGAUUUUGGUGGAUUUUAGUGGAAUUGAUGUUCAGAUCUUGAUUGUGGAUCUUUGUUGGCUGAGAGCAUGUGCGGCUGGUUCCGACAGGGUGUCCCGCAGCUGAGUGACCUUCUUGCUGCCAGAAAAUUGAUCUCGAGGUGGGUUUUCAUCGGGUUACUCCUAAGUGCAUAUAUAGUCGAAGUGUAUGAUUUCCGUUUCGUCUACUAUUCAGUUUGAUUGAAUUCAUCGAUUAGCUUUGGGUUGAAAUCUGAAUCGUAAAGCAUGCUGAAUGAGUUAAUAAAUUAUACAUGUUGGACUUAAAAUUUUGACUUAGGAGAAAACCAGCGUUUUGACCCGUCAUAUGAUUCUACUGCCUAAUUUAGCUCUAGGAGCCGUGAUUUGAUUGUAUCACCGCUGUUUCAGCAUGGUGGAUACCCGGGGUAGUUUAGAAUGCAUCUACGCUCAUGCUGGGAUGCCGAGCUUAUUUUUAUAGUAGAGUUUAGGCUGUUUCGGGUUGUCGGGUGCCGUCGGGGUGGACGGUGGACCCAGAUCCUUAUUUUUGGUCUCAGAUUGUGCCGAGGGCACAUGGGUUUGAUUUCUAGACCUAUUUUAACUCUAACUACUUGACUUUGGCUUGUUAGAGCCUAUUUGAGCUCGACAGAGAUACGCUGCAUACUCCGUUUGGUAGCUCCCAUGAGUGCCACUCCGGAGGCGGGCGUUGUGCUUUUGCGUUGGUGUCGUUCGUGCAGGUUGGAGUUGCUCUCCACGGACUUGUUAGUGUGGAUGUAGCUGGUUAGUUGCAACCUGGCGGGACGGGUGUGUUCACAGUCUCAGGGACGGGUAUAAUUACAGUCCCUAUUCGAGAUUGGAUCUGAGUUGACACUGUUCUACAGUUGGUUAGAUUAGAGCAUGAUAGUAUAGAGGUAGAUAGCUGUAGAUACGUUCUAGCUUUCCUUACUAUUUCUUGCUUACCCCUGUAGACUUAGUGGGUGGACCGAUGAGUUUGACAGUGGUACCCACUGAGGACUACUUGUUUUUACAGUAGUUCUCACGCCCAGUUUGUUUCCACUGUUUUGCAGAGCCAUCGUCUGCUGCUGUCGCUGAUAUUGAUCGUGGCAAGGGCGUCGCGAGUUUGAGCCUUUCCAAUCGAGUUGCUUAGCUAGGGGAGGACCGCUGCAGGUAGUGUAGUUUUGGUUUGUACAUACAGAUGUUGUACAGUCGCCAGUGCGAGUGCUUUUGGUAUCUUGGAUCUUAUGUAUGUAUAGAACCAUAGUUUAUAUAUGCAUGUUUUAUUCUUUUCUCCUAGCUGCUCUAUACUACUGUCUAUAGUAUUGUAUGAUUACAGGUACUUUUACUUUUCGCUUCGUAUACAGAAAAAAUACCUAUGUAUACGACAGGUCUGUUAGCGAGCCUGGGGAAACGAGUAAUCCGGGACGUGACAGAUUAAGUUGGUAUCAGAGCUUAGCUGUAGGCCGUUGGGACCUAGGAGCCCUAAGUUUGGCAAACCUUAGGAAGGUAAGACACAAGAGGCGUGAUUUAUCGCGAAAGUCAACGAUUUGUUGUUCUAACUUCUCCUAGAGUGGAGUGAGUGAUUGGAAGAGUUCCUGUUUUGGCCUGAGAAAUUAUGUUUGCUGGAGACGACAUAAUUUUGAGGAGAAACAUGGGCCGCAUUCUAGACUUUCGUUUGAUUGGGUCGAGAGUGUUUUUGUUGUAUCUGACCCCUGUUUUGUUCUUUACAGCUAUGUAUCGUCGCCGAGGUCGACCGUCGCUCAGAGAUCGUGCCGCACCGCCUGAGAUGCCUGAGCAGGCAGAGCCAAGUACGCCACCAGAGGCGAGUGCACCCCCUGUUGUGGAGCAGAGGGCCUGACCGGAGGUGGGUGCACCUCCUGAUUUGAGUGCACAGUUAGCCGCCCUGACUGAGAUGACGAGGCAACAGGGAGGAGUUGUUGGAGAGGUUGUGUGAGAGGGUAGCUCCGUCACCGAGUACAGUAUCGAGAGCACCUGAGCAGGCCAUUCCACCUCCGACUACUCCAGUGACAACACCAGCCGCAGCUAUACCCCCGCCAGUGGAGCUUCCUACAGCGCUAGUUGCGGCUGCUAGGGGGCCAGUACAGUUGACUGAGGCCGAGCAGGAGCGGAUGACAGAGAAGUUGGCUCGUUUUCGCCGUUUUGAUCUACCGACCUUCGACGACAGUUGCACUGAGAUCUGGGUUGUUAAGGGCUGGGUCAGUGCGAUAGAGAAGCUGUUCGAGGAUCUAUUCGUGCCUGAGAGAGAGCAGGUGUCUUUGGGAGUACACUGCUUAGCUGGCGAUGCUCACGCCUGGUGGAGGAGAGUGAGGCGAGACUAUGGAUUAGUGGCGUUGCAGAUGAAGUGGGAUGAGUUCUGUGAAAUGUUCUUUGGGAUGUUUUUUUCCAACAGCAUGAAACAGAAGAUCGAGGAGGAUCUCAAGAGGAUUCAGCAGGGUGAGCGGACAGUUCAGGAGUACAUUCGGGAGUUCACGCGACUCCUGAACUGUGUCCCGUUUGUGGCUCGAGACGAGGUGCAUCGUGUUUAUCUGUUCGAGCAGGGAUUGAGACCCGAGAUCUUUCAAUUGGUGCAGGCGCAGAGGUUGAGGACCUUGGACGCGUCGAUGGAGCAGGCUCUUUGGGUAGAGAGGGGUGAUGCCUCCAUUCUGGAGAAGACUCAGGCUGUGGGGCAGAGGCCGUUGCUACACUUGCGGUCAGCCCGGGCAUAUGAGGUCAGCUUGUCCUCGUGCACCAUCACCAGCACCAUCCAUGGCAUCAGCACAGCCAGCAUCCCAGCAGUCUUCUAGAGGAGCACCGAGUUUUCGCCAGGAGGACAAAUCGUCUAUGCCGCGUAAGACUGAGCGGCAAUAGCAGGCUCCGAGUGGCAGAGUUUACGCAGCUCAGGUGGAGGAUUCUUCAGCAGCCUACCGAGCGGUGGUAGGUAUCAUUUUGAUUUUCGGCAUUCGUACUCGUACUCUUUUUGAUACCGGUGCCUCGCAUUCUUUCGUUAACCGAGCAUUUGUAUUGUUGUAUGGUCUAGAGUUAGGGUCAUUGUCACAGGCACAAGAGGUGCGAUCCCCGACCAUGUUUUACAGGUUGUAGAGUGUUGUUGGUCAUAUCCGGUGCAGUUAGAUUCUUGGAUCAUGCCCGCAGAUCUGUUGGUGUUAGGGCAGCUGCAGGACUUUGACGUAGUGCUCGGUAUGGAUUGGCUGGCGCGGUACUAUGCUACUAUCGACUGUGGAGCGAGAACUGUGACGUUCCGCGAGCCAGGCCAAGAGGAGUUUAGUUUCAGAGGUUGCAGUAGUACUUUGUUUGCCACUUGGAUAUCUUCGGCGAUGGCUUGACAGCUGAUGAGUAGAGGAUGCAUUUCUUUUCCGGCGACUAUGAUAGAGGUGCCUACGGCAGCGCCGGGACUCGAGGAUAUCCCUAUAGUCCGUGAGUUUUCGGACGUGUUUCUCCCAGAGUUGACGACAAUGCCGCCGGAGAGGGAAAUAGAGUUUGUGAUUGAUGUAGUUCCUGGAACUGCACCAAUGUCAAAGGCACCUUACAGGAUUUGAUGGAUAAGGGGUUUGUGAGACCCAGUGUGUCACCUUGGGGAGCGCCGGUGUUGUUUGUAAAGAAGAAGGAUAGUUCGCUCAGAUUGUGUGUAGAUUACAGGGAGCUGAAUAAGGUGACCAUCAAGAAUAAGUAUCCUUUGCCGCGCAUUGAUGAUCUGUUUGAUCACCUGCAAGGAUUUUAUGUCUUCUCGAAGAUUGGCCUCCAGUCAGGUUACUACCAGUUGAGGGUGAGGGCCGAGGAUGUUCCCAAGACGGCUUUUCGGACUCCGUACGGGCAUUAUAAAUUUAUGGUGAUGCCGUUUGGAUUGACGAAUGCCCCUGCCGCAUUCAUGGAUUUGAUAAACAGAGUGUUCAAGCCGUUCUUGGAUAGGUUUGUGGUAGUCUUCAUUGAUGAUAUUCUGAUAUACUCCCGGAGCGAUGCCGAGCAUGAGGAGCACUUGAGGACUAUGCUACAGCUUCUGCGAGAGAAGAAGUUGUAUGCCAAGUUAAAGAAGUGCGAGUUCUGGUUGCGGUAGGUUACUUUCUUGGGCCACGUGAUAUCUGCGGUUGGAGUGACAGUGGACUCGAAGAAGAUUGAUGCUAUUCGGGAUUGGUCCAGACCGACGACGGUGACAGAGGUGAGGAGUUUCCUUGAACUUGCAAGUUAUUACCGUCGAUUUGUGGAAGGCUUUGCGAAGCUUUUCACACCACUCACUCGACUGACUCGUAAAGGAAUUAAGUUUAUCUAGAGUGAGGAUUGCCAGAGGAGCUUCGAUGAGUUAAGACAGAGGUUGACGUUAGCUCCUAUCCUUGCUCUGCCAGUGAUAGGAGAAGGAUUUGUGAUUUACAGUGAUUCAUCGCACAGUGGUUUGGGCUGUGUGUUGAUAUAGCAUGGUAGGAUAAUUACUUAUGCUUCACGGUAAUUAAAGGAUUACGAGGAGAAUUACCCAACGCAUGACUUAGAGCUUGCCGCAGUAGUCUUUGCUUUAAAGUUGUGGCGGCAUUACUUGUAUGGCGAGCACUGCGAAGUUUUCACCGAUCAUAAAAGUCUCAAGUAUCUGUUCACCCAGAGGAAGUUGAAUCUGAGGCAACGCCAGUGAUUGGAGUUACUGAAGGACUAUGACAUUAGUAUUCAGUAUCAUUCCGGCAAGGCGAAUGUGGUGGCAGAUGCGUUGAGCAGGAAGGCAGUGCAGAGCUUGAGCAUGUUGAUCGCUCAGCAGAGGCUGUUACUCGAGGAGCUGCAGCGGCUGAGGCUCGAGAUAGUGUCCCCUGGAUUUACUGCGAGACUGAUGUUUAUGGUCUUACAGCCCACUCUGUUGGAUAGGAUCCGAGAGAAACAGAGUGGAGAUCCACACUUGUUGAGGAUUCGAGAGCGGUUUGAGAGGGGACAGGCAGAGGGCUUUAUUGUGGACAGUUCGGGAGUACUGCGGUACAGGGACCGACUGUGUGUACCUAUGGAUUCAGAGAUCCGAGAGGACAUUUUGAGAGAAGCUCAUUGUUCACCUUAUACAGUUCACCCUGGUGGAACCAAGAUGUAUAAGAACUUAAAAGCCCACUUUUGGUGGAAUGGAAUGAGAGGGACAUUGGCAGAUUUGUGGCUCAGUGUCUGACUUGUCAACAGGUAAAGGCCGAGCAUCAAGUACAUGCUGGCAAGCUUCAGAGUCUGCAAGUGCCCGAGUGGAAAUAGGAGCAGAUCGCGAUGGACUUCGUCGUGGGGUUGCCUAGAGCUCAGGGUGGUAUCGAUGCUAUUUAGGUGAUAGUGGACAGACUGACUGAGUCUGCUCACUUCCUACCAGUUCAAACCACCUGGUCCAGAGAGUGGCUCGCUCAGUUAUAUCUGGACGAGAUAGUGAGGUUGCAUGGUGUGCCUACUACGAUAGUAUCAGAUCGAGACCCGAGGUUCGUCUCGCACUUUUGGAGGAGUCUUCAGACGGCCUUGGGCACUCAGUUGCAGUUCAGUACAGUGUUUCACCCACAGACAGAUGGUCAGUCAGAGCGAACCAUUCAGACUCUUGAGGACAUGCUAAGGGCAUGUGUCCUGGACUUUGGAGGAGGGUGGUAUCGACAUUUGAGACUGGUUCAGUUUCCGUACAACAACUGCUAUCAAGCGAGCAUCCAGAUGGCUCCGUUUGAGGCGUUGUAUGGACGCAGGUGUCGAUCCCCUUUGUUUUGGAGCGAUGUUGGUGAGAGGAAAACGCUUGGGCCUGAGAUUCUGAUUGAGGAUGAGGAAAAGGUGAAGGUGGUGCGACAGCACAUUUUAGCAGCCCAGAGUCGGCAGAGGAGCUAUGCUGAUACCCGGAGGGAGACGAGACUUGGAGUUCCAGGUGGGAGAUCAUGUGUUUCUUAAAGUUUCGCCGCCCAGAGGGAUUCGCCGAUUUGGAGUACGUGGAAAGUUCAGUCCACGUUUUGUCGGCCCUUUUGAGGUUUUGGAGCGAGUCGGGCCAGUGGUUUACAGGAUUGCUCUAACUCCACGACUAGCCGGCAUUCACGAUGUUUUUCACGUCUCGGCUUUGAGGAGAUAUGUGUUCGACCCCUCCCACGUGAUAGACUUCACUCCGCUUGAGAUUGGCGAGGACCUGAGAUACGAAGAGCGACCAGUGCGGAUUCUGGCUCGUGAUUUGAGAGAAUUGCGCAACCGGGUCAUACCCUUUAUAAAAGUGCAGUGGAGUAAUCACGAGAAGCGGGAGGCAACUUGGGAGCCGAAGACGGUGAUGAGAGAAUCCUACCCCUACCUUUUUUAUGCUCAGGAUUGAGAUAUGUUUCAGUUUUGCGGACGAAACUUUUUGUAGUGGGGGAGGAUGUAGUGUUUCUAAACUUUGGAUAGGAUUGGCUUCAGUGUUAGUGACUGGUCGACACAUCUGGAGAGUGUCAGACUGAGUCAGAGUCGUUUCUGCGCGAAAUGGAUGCAGAAAUGGACUCGGCACACUCAAAUAGGAAAACUGGAGUUUUGCGAGAUUCGGGUGCCCAGAACUGGUCUUGGGUCGCCCAGAACUUGAGUGCAGUUUUGAUUAGAACUGGAAGCCAAUUCGGGUCCAUAUUUCGGGCGCCCGAAUGAGGGCCCGAAAGUUCACCUCGUGAGUAUCGUUUGCACUGACACGUGGCUGGUGGUUGGUGAAGUCCGCCGGAGCCGGAUAUGGGCGCAGCACACCGCGGGCGGAGACUCCGAAGAGGAAGCCUUGUGUAGCCUGGAGGAUUCAAGCGCCCAUAAUGUAGGUCCGAGUGCCCGAAAAUGCCCGUUUUUGCAGGGGUACCAGCUUUGCAGCAAUUGUUCCUGAGGGCUAUCUCACCACUCCAGCACCCUAUAAAUACCUGGUAUACGUCCCCUUUGAGCUCUUUUCACCUAUUCUUCACAGAGAUCCUUUAUCUUGCAUCCUAAUCUCUCCAAACUCCUCCAUUUGCAUCAAAGUACCACAACUCCAAGAUUUCAAGGUGCAGAUUCUGCAGUCUCCCAGCAACGACCUUCAGUGUUUUGGCUCGUGCGCGACGUAGGGAGAUCGGAUUGCGACGAAACUUGGUUUACCAGAUUCUAGACUUCUAGAGGAAUCCACGAAGCCCUAAAUUGCGGAUUUUGGUUGAGGUUAGCUUGGUCGUUUACCUAUGUUUCUGGACUGUUGGCAACAUUAAGCUGAAAAUGAGAUUUUUGAGCUUUUUUUGAUGCUAUCUUUGUAGGCAGUGGGAUUUUGGACCUGAGACACAUCACCCAUCAGUAUUUGCUAGAUUCGGUACUGUCCUUACCUGAUUUGGAGAUCGUUAGGUGAGUUUUCACAUUGGAGUGGGGAGAAACCCAAGCUUAAGUGCUGAAAUUGAAAUUUUGGUGAAUUUUAGUGGAAUUGAUGUUCAGAUCUUGAUUGUGGAUCUUUGCUAGCUGAGAGUAGGUGCGGCUGGUUCCGAUAGGGUGUCCUGUAGCUGAGCGACCUUCUUGCUGCCAGGAAAUUGCUCUCGAGGUGGGUUUUCAUCGGGUUACUCCUAAGUGCAUAUAUAGUUGAAGUGUAUGAUUUUCGUUUCGUCUACUAUUCAGUUUGAUUGAAUUCAUCGAUUAGCUUUUCGCUGAAAUCUGAAUCAUAAAGCAUGCUGAAUGAGUUAAUAAAUUAUACAUGUUGGACUUGGAAUUUUGACUUAGGAGAAAACCAGCGUUUUGACCCGUCAUAUGAUUCUACUACCUGAUUUAGCUCUAAGAGCCGUGGUUUGAUUGUAUCACCGCUGUUUCAGCGCGGUGGAUAUCCGGGGUAGUUUAGAAUGCAUCUAUACUCGUGCUGGGACGCCGAGCUUAUUUUUACGGUAGAAUUUAGGCUGUUUCGGGUUGUGGGGUGUCGUCGGGGUGGACGGUGGACCCAGAUCCCUGUUUUUGGUCUCAGAUUGUGCCGAGGGCACGUGGGUUUGAUUUCUAGACCUGCUUUAACUCUAGCUACUUGACUUCGGCUUGUUAGAGCCUAUUUGAGCUCGACAGAGAUACGCUGCAUACUCGGUUGGGUAGCUCCCACAAGUGCCACUCCGGAGGCGGGCGCUGUGCUUUUGCGUUGGUGUCGUUCGUGCAAGUUGGAGUUGCUCUCAACGGACUUGUUAGUGUGGAUGUAGCUAGUUAGUUGCAACCUAGCGGGACGGGUGUGUUCUCAAUCCCAGGGACGGGUAUGAUUACAAUCUCUAUUCGAGAUUGUGUCUGAGUUGACACUGUUCUACAGUUGGUUAGAUUAGAGCAUGAUAGUAUAGAGGUAGAUAGCUGUAGAUACGUUCCAGCUUUCCUUACUAUUUCUUGCUUACCCCUGUAGACUUAGUGGGUGGACCGAUGAGUUUGAGGGUGGUACUCACUGAGGACUACUUGUUUUUACAGUAGUUUUUACGCCCAGUUUGUUUCCACUGUUUUGCAGAGCCAUCGUCUGCUGCUGUCGCUGAUAUUGAUCGUGGCAAGGGCGUCGCGAGUUAGAGCCUUUCCAGUCGAGUUGCUGAGCUAGGGAAGGACCGCUGCAGGUAGUGUAGUUUUGGUUUGUACAUACAGAUGUUGUACUCUCGCCAGUGCGAGUGCUUUUGGUAUCCUGGAUCUUAUGUAUGUAUAGAACCACAGUUUAUAUAUGCAUGUUUUACUCUUUUCUCCUAGCUGCUCUAUAUUACUGUCUGUAGUAUUGUAUGAUUACAGGUACUUUUACUUUUCGCUUCGUAUACAGGAAAAAUACCUAUGUAUACAGCGGGUCUGUUAGCGAGCCCGGGAAAACGAGUAAUCCGGAGCGUGACAUUAUAUAUAUUAAUUAAAUUAAUUAAUUAUUUAAUACUACAAUUAAAAUUAUUUUUAAACUUUAAUUUACCUUGUUCUUAUUCGAGAACAAGCUUGUUUCAGAAAAAAGGUGGAACGACAGUUCCAAUCUUAUACCGGCUUAUUCCAGAAAUCCGAAAACUACUGUUCUCGGGUACCGAACGCACUGUUUGGAAACAAAGGGAAGCAAGAGCUUAUUCCCCCUUGUCCCGAACCAAACACUACCUUAGAGUCUACAGUAUCCUCGUUGUCGUUGCAGUCCACGACCAUGCCCUCCAUUAAGCCUCAUCUCCGCAAUCUAUUCCAUAUCUGAGCCAUCGUUCACAGAAGUGUAGGAGAGGUAAGAGAGAAAAGCGUGGUGUCGACAUUUGGGCGAUAGAGAAGGAGGAGAAAAGAGAGAAAGAGAGAGGAGAAAUAGAAGAAAAAAAUGGCAAGGAGGUAGGAGAUGAAUUAAGUGGAGAAAGAUGUACGAAAAAAAGAGAGAGAAAGAGGAAUAAGAAUAUUUUGGUUGGUUUCUUAAAUAUGCAUCGAAUCUGCAAAAUUCAAAAAAGUAAUCCCUUUAUGCAAAAAUUGAAAACAAGUGGAUUUUUUUAGGCAAAAGGCCAUUUUUAAUUGAAUUAACAAAAAAACAACCUACAAUUUAGCUUGUCACUUACUCCUUUAAAAUUAUAUUAACUUAAUUCCUGUCAUUUUGUUACCAUUUUUAAAAUCUGAAAAAUUGGAUGGUGGUUGAGCUUGGAUGCAAAACUUUCUAAAAACUUUUUAAAUGUGUUUAUACAGAAACAAGUCAGUAAAUGAUAUUUGCAACUAUUCAUAAAGUAAAAUUACAUAAAUUAAAUAAAUUAUCUUACAUAGUGUAAUUUUGGUAGCUUUAGUUAACUCAAUAUAUUUUUUUUCCUUUAUUUAAGAUUUUAAUUAGAUAGAUGUUGAGAAACUUAGUAUUAUGCUAAUUUAAAUUGUUUUGACUUUCAUUAAAAUUAAGACUUUGAUGAGGAUGAUGAAGCUAAUGCUACACUUUAGGAGCUAAAUUGUUAAAAUUAAGAUUUUUGGACUUGAGGAAGAAUUAGAAUUAAGCUUUAAUAAAUUAGAGUUCAAGAUCGAAAAGAUGUUGUGACACCCUAGAGCUUGGAAUGGUUCUAUAUAUAAAAUUAUAAUAGAGCUACAACUUUGAACCCGGUUAUAAUAUUUUGGACGGUGGCUAGGAUUAAGAGGUUAAUAGGUAAUUACACUACUAGAAAAUUAAUCAUUAACGGCUUUUAUUUAUGCUACUAAAAGAUUAGCAGUAUUUAUAAUGAAUGGUGUUAAUAUAAAUCAAUUGGUGUCAUAAAGAACAUACUGCUAAAAAGAUUGUUAAAUUCUAAUUUUAAAUUGUUUAUUACUGGAAUACAAUGGUAUUAAUACAAAUACCAAAUGUUGGAAACUAAUUUUAUUUUAGAUUUAAUUUUUAAAUUUAAAUUUAAAUUUUCUAAGAGGAAAAUAGCAUGCUACCUACUUCGUUUAUUUAUUUUUUUAAAAAAAUAACUUAUAUGUAAGUGUGAAUCAACUAGAAUUAGAACUUAGGAUCUCAGGUACUAACCACCAAGCCGUUUGCCACUCGUGCUAGAGACAGUUGAUUAUAUAUAUUUGAAUUUUUAAAAUUUAAAAUUUUAAUUCUAAAUUUAGAUAAUAAAUUUAAAUUUUUAAUUUUCAAAUAUCAAAUUUUAAGUUUCAAAAUUCACAAUUUGAAAUUUAAAAUUUGAAAUUUGAAAUUUAAGAUAAAAUUAAAAAAUUAAAAAUUUAAAAUUAAAAUUUUAUAAUUUAAAAUUUUAACAUUUUAAAUGCUAAAUUGUAAGUUUAAUUUUUAAAUUAUAAGUUUCAAAUUUUUAAAAUUCAAAUUCUAAAUUUUUAAACUUUUAAAAUUUUCAAUUUUAAGUAUAAAGUGGGAUAUAUUAAUAAUUAUAUAUUGAUUGGUGAGGGUAUUUAACAAUAAGCGCUACUACUUUAUUAUAUUUACUAUCAUUUUUAUAAAAUACUGAAAACUUCAGCGGUAUUCACUAAUUUACGCUGCUAAUUUAUCCUAUUUUAUAACAUUAAUAAUAAAUUGUGCUAAAUUAUUAAAUAUACUAGUGUUGAACCCGCGCUUCGCCGCAGACAGUUUUAACAUCAAUAUUUUGAUGUGAAUUUUAAUAUAUAAUAAUUAUGAAAAGUGAGAAAAAAAUAAAAUUAAAUAUCAAUACAUAUAUAUGUAAGAAAAAGCAAAAGAAUAGUAGCCAAGAAUGAAUUGCUAUGCAAAAAAUAAGAUGGAAUAAUAACAAAAUAUGUAAUUAUGAACUCUGCAAAAUAUAUAUUUAGCUUGAAUGAUUACUAAUUAUUUUAAUACAUAUAUAAGUAUUUUGGAUUGAUAACAAACUAUGUAAUUUUUUUAUUUUUAAAGAAUAGUAGCCUUUUUUUUAUUUUAUUUUAUUUUUUAAAUCUUUUUGUUUGUUUUUUUUUUUAGUGCCCUUCUCUUCUUUUUUCUACCUUCUCUUAACUUUUUUUUUUUUAUGUGUGCAACCUGUGAAGUGUGUGCAAUGGUUUGUUUUCCCGAAAAGUGAACAAAGGAAAAACGAAAAGAUUUAAAUAAAUAAAUAAGAAAGUGUAGGCGUUGGGAAUUUGUUAGGGGUGCAAUUUUUUUAUCUUUUUUUUAUUUUGUAUUUUUUUUUUUUUACUAUAAUUCCUUAACAGCGAGUAAAGAAAUAUAUAGUACAAUAGAUAACAGUUCUCAGAGAUAAAAAUGUUCAUGCUUUCCGGGUACCCUCAGGUACCCGGUUAAUUACGCCAUUUUUAGUACAUGCAGACCACCUCUGAUUAAACUGGUCAUAAAAAAAAACCCCUCUUCUAAACAAUAAUAUUAAUAUAUUUUUUUGUUAAACCGUAAUAAUAAUAAUAAUAGUAUGUGCCAAUCAGGUGUGUAUUAUAUACAUUUAUUUAACACCUAUAUAUAUAUAUAUAUACACUAAUCUAUGAAUCCCCAAUAUUUUGCUGAUGUGGCGUGACCUCCUUCUCCCAAAACCUCUCCCUCCUCAUCUCCCAACCCCCAAGACCCCUCAUCUUUCAAAACCGCUCUCUCCUUAUCUCCCAACCCUCGAGACCCCUCCCCCUCCUUAAUAGAAUCAUUAAUUAGUAAAAUAAUACUUCAUAUUUAAUUAAGAGAUUAAUCAUCAUUAUUAAUCAAAUUGCUCAUAAACUGCUAUAAUACUAAGCACCUAAUUAAUUCAAUAAACUGUCGACCCAUACUUAUGUCUCAUAUGGGGCCACGCAAUUGAACCUAGAUAUACUAUAAGAAUAUGCCUGUAACAUUAAAAUUUUGCCAAUUAAAAGUAACAGUCAUUUAGAGCUCGUGGCUAUUAUUUAUCUAAUUAGUGUUCUUUAUUUUUAUUUGAAUAGGGAUUUGGAUUUAAUUGACUUCUUUUUAAAGCAUCCGAGAGAGCCCCUUUUUAAUUUUUGUAUGCAACGUGCAUAAAUUUGCAAUUACAAUUGCGUUUUACGAGUAGUUAUCUUGGUGUGCAUUAUGCAGGUGAACAUCACUCCUUAAUGCAGAUACAUAUUAUCUUCAUUGUGCCCGUGAGGAGAACCUCUUCUCCCUCGCCCGCCACCUCACUUCCCUCGCCGACCUCGUGUCGAUGCGCACCUAUUCUCUCCUUUGUCGCCCCUCUCCUCUUCUCCUUCCUCCUCAAUCGUCCUUUUACUGAUUUGUGUGCUCUUUUUCAGACUUUUGUUUGCCAAUUAGUUUAAUUUUUUUCGCUUUUAAUGCUCAUUUAAAUUUGUGCUUAUUUUAGCUUUGUCAUUGAGAUAAUAUAUGUCAUAAAAAUUAACUUGGUAUAAGUUUAUUGUAUAAACUUAUUACCAUUAGUAAUAGAUUUGUUUUUUUUUAAAUGCAAAUGACAUUGUAUUCAAAUGAUAUUGUUCUUUUGAGCAUUUUGUCAAAUAAGUGUUCCUNCGCCGCGGAGCUCGUCCUCGGGCUGGAGCACCUCCACGGACUGGGGAUCGUGUACCGCGAUCUCAAGCCCGAGAACGUCCUCAUCCAGGACAACGACCACCUCAUGCUCGUCGACUUCGACCUCUCCACGGAGCUCCCCUCUCCCCCGCCAGCCGCCAAUCGAUCAAAACCCCCUCCUCCUCCUCCUCCUCCUCCUCCGCUCCCCUCUGCCGCGAGCAGGAAGAAGGAUAAGAAGAAUAAGAGGAAGAAGCGCCCCCUCCUCAGUUGCUUCUCCUGCGACGCGAGAGUGUCCCCGGAGGAUCCGUCCCCGUCCCCGUCCGCUUCCUCGUCUCCGUCAAGGCUAAGAUAGAGAGCAGAAGGGAAGAGAGAGAGAGAGUAUGGGUGAGGAGGAAAGAGACAGAAACAGGAGCCAGCUAUUAUCUUGGGAAGAGGCUAAACCUCGGGAAUAAGAAUAUAUCUUGGGAAGGAGAGAGGCCUUGGGAAGAAGGCAAGGUUUCUUGGAAAGGAGAGAGGCCUUGGAAAGGAGAUGAGAGAGAAAGGAAAAACAAAGAAAAAAAAAUGCAAGAAAAAUGCAAGGUUGCCAUGUAUACUUUUAAAGACUGUCAAAUUAUGUAUUGUUAAGGAUAUAACAAUUAUCAAAUAAUACUAUUAAAUAUAUUAAUUAGCAUAAUUUAAAUAAAUAUUGCGGAGUAAAUGUCACUAAAUCAUGAAUUUGUUAUUGUUUGAGAAAAAAUUUAAAUUUAAAUUGAAAAUAUAGAAGGACAAAAAAUAAAUUGUAAUUUGAUUGCUACUUUCCUUAGAAGAUUAGGUAUUAACAAGGAAAGAGAUAACAAAAGUAUUAUUGUCUUAUUCUCAAAAUUUUUGAAUCUAUUAUCAUAUUCUAAAGUAGAACUCUUUAUGAACCCUAUGUGAGAAGCUGACACGUAGCUUUCUAUAUGCUUGUCACGUGUCAAGCUCAAAUAUAGAUUUUCUAUUUUAGGAAAAAUAAAAUUAGAUUUUUUAAGAAAAUAAUAUCAUUUACUAUAUUAUUAAAAAUCACCUAUAAUGAAGGGGAUUUUAUUUCAAAGUCACCUAUAAUUAUGUUGAAUUUCAAAGUCACCAGAUAUUUGAGAAAUUCACGGAUAUUACAUUGGCAAGCAUGAAUAUUACGCGUGAGAAAGAAAAUAUUUAUCUUUAUUUUUAUUUCAAAGUCACUUAAUUAUGUUGAGAUAUUUGAGAAAUUCACGGAUAUUAUGUUGCGAAAGAAUUGGCGGGUGCGGAUAUUACGCGUGAGAAAGAAAAUAUUUAUCUUUAUUUGGGACUAAAUUAUUACAAGCUCAAAUAUAGAUUUUCUACUUUAGGAAAAAUAAAAUUAGAUUUUUUAAGGAAAUAAUAUCUUUUACGAUAUUAUUAAAAAUCACCUAUAGGGGAUUUUAUUUCAAAGUCAUCUAUAAUUAUGUUGAAAUAUUUGGGAAUAAAUUAUUACUUAGUUAAUUAUUUGAAAUGAUUGGUUGAAAAUUACUGGACAUAAAAUAUUAGUAAAAAAGGAUAGAGACAUUUUUCCUAACGUGGCUUUCUAUAUGUUUGUCACGUGUCUUCAUAUUUAUUCUAUUUACUAUGUUAUUAAAUUCAAAUAGUAGGUGGAUUAAUGAGAUAUUUGAGAAAUUCACGGAUAUUACGUUACGAAAGAAUUGGCGGGUGCGAAUAUUACGUGUGAGAAGGAAAAUAUUUGAGAAAAGCGUAGAUAGAAAAUAUGAUAUAAAUGCGAGGGUAAUAUUGUCACAAAAAAUAACAGAUACUUUUAUUUUCAAUCAUUAGAUAAGAUCUAAUGGCAAAAAAUUAAUAUCUUUUAUUAUAUUAUUAAAAAUCACCUAUAAUGAAGGGGAUUUUAUUUCAAAGUCAUCUAUAAUUAUGUUAAGAUAUUUGAAAAAUUCAUGGAUAUUACGUUACGAAAGAAUUGGCGGGUGCAGAUAUUACGCAUAAGAAAGAAAAUAUUUAUCUUUAUUUGGGAAUAAAUUAUUACUUAGUUAAUUAUUUGAAAUGAUUGGUUGAAAAUUACUGAACAUAAAAAUAUUAGUAAAAAGGAUAGAGACAUUUUUGGAAAGCCGAAAAAAUUCAAAACUCACGCUUAAGUAGUAUAGAUAUAGAUAUUGCAUAUCACUUACCUACUAUCACUCCUAUAAUUUUUAUUUCGUAAUUUUUUCCCUACUGUCACUCCUGUAAUUUUUUUCGUUCUUAAAUGUUGAUGCUUUAAAAUAGAACAUAUUAUUUUCAUUUUAUUAUUUAAAUACGAAGCAAGUAUUAAUUUUUUUUCUUGGUUGUCUUAUUGUUCUCAGGAUAUGGGACUUGGGUAUGAUUCUAUACGUGACAUCACUCCUCUUGGAGACAAAUGGAAGAUCAAAGUCAGAGUGAUUUGUCUAUAUACUAUACUUGAAUUUCAUCGUCCAGAGGUGGUGAAUAGCCUAGAGUUAGUUCUUUCUGAUCAAAAUGUAAGUACGACUUUCAUUUUCAAAUUGAACAUACGUUUGCUUUAUUUUUACUAAAAGAUACUAUAUAAUUUGUUUAUUUUCUAUUAUAGGGAGAUAGGAUACAUGCAACGGUAAGAAAAGCUUUCCUGAACAAAUUUAAAGGCCUUUUUAUAGAAGGAAAAAUUUAUAUGAUCAACCAGUUUGGAGUGGGGCAGAGCAGCGACUCAUACAGGACCACUAUACAUCCUUACAAAAUUAAUUUUUAGUAUUCUACGGUUGUACGUGAGAUGGAAAAUAUUUUCACAAUAUCAAAGUAUGGAUUUAUAUUUACCUCUUUUGAUGAAAUACUUGCUAAUNUUGGCAAGCUUUGCUCGAUAACCUCAGGAUACAAGCCUCAGGCUAUACGCGGCUCUCGGUUGAGAUGAGGCACCGAAGAGGCCUUUUGGCCUCAAUGAUAAGUGAAAUUCACUUUUGAUUUUUAGCGCAUUGAAGAGGCAAAAUCGAAUAAAAGAGGACUUUAAACUGUUCACGAAUACAUUAAUUUAAUGUGUGUAUUUGUAGCAGUUGCCUCUCAAAUCAACGUGACAUUUGUAGAGUCAGGAAUAUAAUAGGGGGGGGAAUUUUCUUCAAAGCAGGGGCUUUGAACUGGUGCAUGGGUGGCUUUAUCUUAAGUCUAUUAUGAAGGUGGUGACACCAUGGUGGAAACUCAUGACCAGUUUAUGUAGACUUAUUUAGUUGGAGGCAUCUUCCCCUUUUUAUCCUGACGCCAAGGUGGUCCUGUUUAGCUCCCUUUUGCAUGGUUGGGUUUUAGAUGCCUGGUUUUGAGUGGCCCUAACUGUAAUAGGAUAUUAGACGCCUAUUUUUAUCAGGGCGACAUUCCUAAUAGACUAGGGUUAUAAUGGUUUAGACUCUAUUAUGAAGUAGUGAGUUUUUGAGAUCCAGGUGAGUUGGAACCAGACGUAUCGGCUUUGGCUGAGCUGAUACAGCGUUCAAGUGCAUCUUUUCAGUGCUCUGUUGGUAAAAUUAGAUCUCAGAUAAAUGCAUCUGACUUUGCUUUUUGAGGUUGAUAGGUUGUUGCAGUUGAACGAGUGGUUCUCGCUUAUGCUUUGUAACAAGAUUCUGGGCUCAGUUUUGAGAGUGGAACCUCUGGUGUCAGAGGGUUAUUAUUGGUGUGUUUGACGGUUUUGGAGGUAGUUGCCUAUCAGUGAAUGCUGUUAGAUAUCAGGAUCCGGGUUCUGGAGUGAAAAGUGGACUGGUUGUUCCAGGUUGGCUGUUAUGGUAUAUGCGAUCUGUUAAAACAGAGGAGUUAACAUUGGCUAUGGUAAUUUGGUUGUAUGGGUGGUACAUUCAGGUAAUGAACUACGCGUCCAGCGGUUAGCGUUUUCGCUAUGAUUGGUAGCCACUACGAGUUGUGGACAGAGAUGUUCUGGGACAGCGACGGCAGGAUGUUCCCUGGGAUCGCUAGCUACAAGGGUCGUUGGUGGGCUAAUGAACAGAGUAACUCUGGGUCCGUGUGGAUAGUAGUUUAUUGGUCUGUUCGUUCGAUUGGGUUCCAAACGUGCUAUUCGGUUCAGCGUUUGAAAAUGCGAUAGUAUAUACCACUGUUAGGUUCGGCUGUUGGUCCGAGUUCAGCGAGUUGGUGAUUAAGAUUUGAAGUACUGUUGUCUGGCUCUGAUGGUUGGGUUUGUUUGGAAAAUCAGCACCUUCCGUGUUAAUUUCACGAUGCUUGUAGGUUUGAGCUUGAUCUCAGUUUUUGGGAAAUAGCCACUGCUAUUCAGUUGACACGUUUUGGACGGUUCCUUAUUGGGUUCCGAGCGAUGCACCAGUUUCUACUGAUAGAGAGAUCAAAAAGGGUGUUUUGUCGGAUCUCUUGUGUAGCUGGGUUAGGUAUUCAGGGUUUACCCUUCUACCAUAAAGCAAGGAGAAAGCUGUCAUAUAACAGACGUCGGUUAUAUGAAUAGUUUUCUUUUCGUUUUAUAGGCUUCUAGGUGAUGGUUGUUGGUCAACCUUCAUGUUGCUCUAUUUCAUAGUUCGGUGAACUAUGGAGAGAUGACUUGGUCUUCGAGUGUAGGUAAUGAUAGCUUUGUAGCUGAAAUGUUCAACUGUAAGCUUUAAUCUUGCUGGGACCUUGUAGAGCUUAGAUCUGGUUGAUGUUGAUUGGGUGUUGUGUGGUUAAACCCACAAUCUUAUUGGCGUGUGUUACAUACGGAAUUGCUUUUGAACUGUGGUUUUGACACAGUUAAACUGAGACCCUCCUUCUUACUUGCUCCAUUUCCAGUUUUCUAGUCUUGUCGACUAAGGUUAGUCGUUAGUUCCUCCUAUCCAUCCGUAGUGUUGGGAUGGGUUUCUAGCCGCCUUCGUUGUGAUUGUUACGUCAGCAACUUUGCUGGCGAUAGGUUUGGAACCCGAUGUGGGAUCAUCGGGGUGAUUUCAGCGCUGGCAUUGACCAGAUUCAUGGCAGAGGUAUCUCUGUAAGCGUCUUCGAAAGCACAGGAUUCAUCUCUCUCUCACCGGACCCGCAGUCGUCAAUACUGUGAGCGGAUCCGGGCUUUUAGAGUGAACCGGGAAGUACCGGAGUGGACUGUCCUCACCAUUGUGGACCCCUUAUAGCAGGGUGGUAAGCUACAGGCUUUUUCAUGUGGCGGUGAUUAGGGUUGAAUCUGUGGUCGAACACGCUUGGCAUUGGGUGUGCCCUUAUUGGUACGUGAGGCUCAAAUGGGUUGAGCUUACGUUGGGUCCUGUAUUCGGGUUUAGGGCGUGAGUGCACGGAUGUGUGACAUCAGAAGGAUAACCAGUUGGAUUGGUUACCAAGUCAAAUAAACCAAGUCAAAUAAAUGAAAAGUUUUGUUGGACACUUACCACAACACCAACAUUGGAGCGAGACUAUGGUGAAAUUAGACAGUGCGGGGCCCCAGGGAAAAGUCAAAUUUUGUUUCGCCUUUUCGCAGACUUAAAAAAAAAAACUUUUGGACUGGGGUCUCAUACGGUCUAGGUGGUGUUUAUGUCCCUUAGGUGACAAGUGUGCCUGUCUCAGAGGGGACAUAAACGUGCCGCAGCUAGUUUAUGUGUCAUGUUAGUCCUAUGUUGGUGUUGGUCUACUUAUAUUUCUAUUAAUAUGUAAGUAUGUAAGUGGUAAGUGUAGUGUCAAAAUGUAAGUUCCAAAUUUGUCUUUAGGUGUUUUUAGAAAACAGCUAUUCUGGAACCAAUGGCACUGACGGAUUUUAGAUCUGAUGCAUGAUUUUCGAGAAAAUCUGAAAAUACAUGUUUCUUAUGUAAGUGUGCAUCAUUUUGGCCUAUAUGAUUAGUUGGAGAGAGAUCGGAUUUUGUCGCAAAUCGGCAAGCAAAUCGGGUGAAACGAAAUCGUAGUUUUGAUGCCCCCGACAUGCUGAACGCAAUGGUGCUGUCGGAUCGAAAAUCCGACGGACGGAUCUCCGGGAAUUACGAGAUGUUCGCUGAGGGGUCAAAGUGGCAAAUCGGAUAAAUCGCGAAGAGACCCUAUAUUUUAUGUGCCGAAUUGCGUGAGAUCGGACAUGGAGGUGCAUUUGUGUAAAAUACGCGCGCUGUGAGGGACUUGACUGAGAAUAUUACCCCUGGGAGGAUUAUUUUGCAUAAUGCACAUGUGUGUAUAGUGGUUGCACUGGGGUUUCAUGAGGAAACCCUAACUGUUAGCCUUCUCCUUAGCCAAACUAACCUUAGCCGACCCCUCUGCCAUCACCUGAACCCCUCCCCGACACCACCGCGCGCGUCACGGCCGCCGGUGAGCAGCCCCGGCCGCCGGAAAAGCCAUCCCGACCUUACAUUCACCUUCCUCUCUCUCCAUCUUCCUCCCUCAUCCUCUUUCUCUCGGGUUAGAGCUAGGCCGAGGCUACAUCACCUCCAGACCCUUCGCCGGCAUCGCCCCGUGCCCCGGCGAGCCUUCCCGCCGGCCGUCGCCGCCUUUCUGCGCCGCCGCUGCUGGUUCUGCAGCAUGCGACUACCCCAGCCCGAACCCAGGCCGAGGCAGCCCCAUCUCCCUCUCCUCGCACCACUGCUGCCAUAGCUCGGCAGCGCCGCCAUCUCCGGAGCCCCGGUGACCCCGUGCUUCGUCGCCGUCGUCCUUGCGGGCCGCCGCCGCCUCCUCUGUCAACCGCGGCCGCCCCAGGUCUGCUCGGGCCGAGAUGACCCCGCGCUGCCUCCGUGCGCCGCCGCCGCCUUAGGCCGUGCGCGCCGCCUUCCCCUCGGCCUCCGGCGACGGGUCGUCGCCGUCCCAAGCCUUCCCCGGACGCCGCCGUGGCCGUCGCCACCCUGUGAGCCCGAGCCGAGCCCGUGAGAGCUAGGGUUGCUCCAGCGCCGCCGCCACCGCCAUCCGCCACCGACCGGCGUGAGCACCCCCUCUCCUGGUUGGGCCGCACUCGCCCACCACCGGCGCUCCCGCCGCCGGAACCCUCUACUGGCCGGGCUGGGCCCUUGCUCUCCACGGGUUUGGGAAGCUAGGGCAUCAAGGCCCGCCGUCGUCGCCGCCUCCCGUCGCCUGUUGACGCGAGCCCCGGCCUCCUCUGACCUGGGGCACUUUCCCCUGGCCGGCCUGCCCGCUGUCCGGCCGCCGCCGGCCACCCCGAGCCCUGCCUAGCUCUGUAAGCUGGUUUUCAGCCUUUCUGCACAUGUUUUUCUGUUCUAGUCACUGUUCCGACGACCCGAGGCUGUUCCGAUGCCUCCGGAGGUGAGCACGGUGAUCGUCUAUCAGUGCUGAUAGCAGUGCUCACCUCAUUUAGGGUCAGCGAGCCCCUGGUUAGCGAGAUAAGCAUGAUUUUCAUGUUGUGUGCGCAGUUUACUGAAUUUCGCGUCGCUCGUGCGUUCCCCACAGUGGCCGGAAUUGCUCCAAAAGGUGAGCACGGCCUCCGGCACGCCGAGAUCUGUCAGUAGGUGUCUCGGUUUCACUGAAUGACUCCUAGUUUGUGUAGACGGACCAUAAAAGCGUCGAAAUCGCAUGAAAUAAUGCGAUUUCGGGUAUUCGAAAGGGCUUUUAUGCAAUUCUGGUUGCUACGGCUGCUGUUGGCAGCAUGGGCAGGCUGUGGGUGAUCUCUGGACUGAUUGUCCAAGGCCCCGGACCUUUGCGAAGAUCGAAAAUGUAUUUCCGGUGCGUUUGUCGGCAAAAUCCGCCGACGGAACGCGGUUUUGGUUUAGAAUUAUUCCGACGGUGCUUCGUGAGCNAGUUGGCUUCUUGUGCGUAUCGGACUCCGUUCAUAGCAGUCCAAUAGCUCGUUUCGAAGGAUGCAGCUAUUCUGGAACUAAUGGCGCUGACGGAUUUUGGUUUUGAAGCACGGAUUUCGAGAAAAACUGAAAAUACAUGUUUCUUAUGUAAUUGUGCGUCAUUGUGGCCUUUUGGAAAGAGAAUGGAUUUCGUCGCGAAUCCGUGGUCGAUCGAGAUGAAUCGAAUGUGUAGCUUUGUUGUCUCCGAGGUGCUGAUCGCACUGGUGUGAUCCGUUCGCAAAUCCGAUGGACGGAUCUGCGGAGAUUGCACGUUGAUCGAGAGAGGUCGGUGUUGGCAAAAUUGUAAUUUCGCAAAAGAUGCGAUAUUUUAUGUGCCGUUUUGCGUGGGAUCGUACAUGGAGGGGUAUUCUCGCGUUUUACACGCACUGUGGAGGACUCGUUAUGAAAUUUUGAGUUUUGGAGGACUUACUUGCAAUUUGUCUCUAGUAUAAGGCUAAAAGAGUUAGGGUUUUCAUCUGAAACCCUAACCCUACACCAUUCCGAGAAAACCCUAGCCUCCUAACCGCUUCACCUCCUCCCUGCCCACCCCAUGCGCGCGCCUUGGCCGCCGGCAAGCCGCUGCGGUCGCCGGAGGGACCUCCCCGGCUUCCCUCUCCACUUUCUCUCCCUCUCCAUCUCUAUCCCUCUCUCUUAUCUCGGGUUGUGAGGAAGCCCGAGACUGCCGCCACCUCCAGACCCUCCGCCGGUGUCGCCCCGUGCUCCGGCGAGCAUCCCCGCCGACCGCCGCCGUCGCCAAGCGCCGCCGCGGCCGCUGCUGCACCCGGCUGCUGCCUAGGCCGAGCUUAGGUCGAGGAUGACUCGCGGCCUCCCCGCGCGCAGCCACCGCCUGCACCCGUUCCGGCCGCCAUCCCCGGACCCUCGGCGACCACCCCGGCGGGUCGCCGGCGCUGCUGCGGGCCGCCGCCGCCGCCGCGGCCACCCUGCAGCCAUCCCAGGUCUGCUCGGACCGAGCAGACUUGGUAACUCCACCCCAGCGCCGCAGCCGCCUUGGUCCACACCCGCGGCCUUCUCCUGUGUCCCACCGACUUUCCCGGCCGGUUGCCGCCGCCCUUCGGAUCGCCGCCGCCGCCCUGAACCUUGCGCGCCGCCGCCUAGGCCUGCAGACCGAGCCUAGCUCGAGCGGCAACGCCCGAGCCGCGGGCCGCCGCCGCUGUCGCCAGCCGCCUUACUCCUCCUCCUCCGGCCUCUGUGGACCUGCCGCCGUCGUCCCCGACCUGCCCCGGCCGUCGCCGUGGCCGCAGCAACCCCCGAACCCGUGCCCUAGCUCGUGCAGGCAUGCCUUGCUCCGCCGACGCCGCCGCCGCACCCCGCCGCCAACGGAGGUGAGCAUCGUGUUCCUCACCUCCCCCGCACCCAUCCCUGGCCCCCACGCGCGCCGCCGUGCCGCCGGAGGCCGGCCGGAGCAACCUUGCUCCGGCCAAGCCCGAACUAGGGCUUAGUUUGGGAUGGUUUACUGUUCUGAGCUUCCUGAGCCUCUCCGAUCUCUGCGAAAGGGAGCACGAUGAUCAUAGAAAAUUUCUGAUCAUCGUGCUCACCUUAGAUUCUGCCGGGGAGACUCCGUUCCGCUGUUUCGGCAGUGUCGACCCUGUCGAGCCUGUUUGGCUGCUGUUUUGGGUUUGCGCACGCUUAUCCGGCGAUCCGAAGCUAUCCUGAUGCCUCAGGAGGUGAGCACGGUGAUCGUGGGUCAGUUCCGAUCACAGUGCUCACCUCACUUUGGAUCAACAGUGGCCGGUUAGCCCUGUUUGGAGCAAUCUUUCCCGACUGCGCGCUAUUCGCUGAACCUUCGGGUUGCUCCCGCGCUUCCCACAGUGACCUGUUGCGCUCCAGACCGUGAGCACGGCCUUCGGUACGUCGAGACCUAUCAGUAUGUGUCUCAGCAGAACUUAGAAGUCCUCGGUUUGCGUGUACGGGCUAUGUUAUCGCCCGAUUUACAUAAAAUAUUGGGAUUUUAUGUAAAUUCAGGGGCUUUUGUGCAAUUGUGAGCCUUGGGUCUACUGUGGGUAGUGUGUAGACAUGUGUGGUGUCCUCUGGACUGAUUGUCCAUGAUCCGUUAGCUUUUGCAGAAAUCGAAGAGUCGAUUUCGAUGCGUUUUUCGGCGAAAUUCGCCGAAAGAACGCGGUUUCUGUCACGCCCCGGGGUACCUUUUCAGUUUAAAACAAAGCGGAAAAGUGUCUGAAUUUUUUUUUUUUUAAAUCUGACCCCAGAGUAUGCCAGAUCCGCCACAAAUACAGGGAAUCCACUGUUCACACGGACAGAGUCUCCCCUGUAUUUGCACGGCGUCGAUCAAAUACACAGUACAACCAGGAUACAACCACAAUCAGAUGAAUAUAAAGAUAAUUAUACAUUCAUACAUUCACCAUUCACAUCACAGUUUUACAUUCAAGGUUUAAACAGAAAUCCACAAAAAUCUUUUGAAAACUGUUUCCUACACAGAAACUUUUAUUCUUUUAAAAAGGCUACCACGAGGGGUAGAAAACCUUUUAUUUUACAAAAUCCAGAAAUCCACAUUUUCAAAUGUAAAUAAAUACUGAACCACAUAAACUAACUAAACUAUAUAUCAACAGAAAUACCAAGGAUAAUAACUAACUCGAAAUAACCUGGGUCGGAAGAUCUAACGACCGCUACGUACGUGCCUCACGUCUCGUCUCAAUACCCAUCGCCUGCGAUACCUGAAAAAAUGGUGGGGGAGGUGAGAACAUGUAAACAUGUCUUCCCUCCCAGUGGGUACCGCAAGCCGAUGAAGGCGAGGAGUACUCACCAGAUCAGGAAGAGCUAAACAACAGCACGGGUCAGUGAAAAUACAGUGGGAACAAUAGUAAACGAAAGAGAUAUGUAAGAAGCUGACAAGUAUAGAUGCAGGUAAAUAAAACAGUAGCUACAAUAAACAGAUAAGGAUGUACUGGAAAUAAACACUACAGCUACUGUAUGCAUGCGUCAACUGACGAUAACCUCAAAAAUACCCAAUCUCGAUGCCCUAUUGGUCCGAGGACCUCAGGCCCAUGCCACACUGCUCAACCUGUUCCUGACCCUCGCAAUGAAGCGCCUGGGCCAGAAACAGAUACCUGACCCUCCUGCGGGGAAUAAACCCCCUGGUGUCACAAGCAAAUACACUCGCAAUAAAGCCCCUGGCGAUCAAUGCGGAUAUGAGCAAUAGCCAACCGUCGGCAAUCAGCCGGAAAAGAACUACCCUCUUGCGGGGCAUACAGACCGUGCAGGUCAUCAAGCUAGAAAGAAGCACAAGAACUGACCACUCAGGUCAACUAGGAUGGAACGACUAAACAUCAUCUCAAGUGUAGGCAACUAGCCGACUAAUCAAGCCUCAACAGGGAUGCAACGACCGUAAAGGCCAUCCUACCAAAAGUAUGCCGAUACGUAUGAUCAAGAUAGUCAACUACUGUAUAUAUGCAAGGAUCAACCGAACAAGUCAUAUGAGUAUAAAAUCGAGAACUACCAUCGCCCAUAACCCGACAAUCACACACAUCAGGGUAUACCGAACUCAAAGGUCAUCAAGCAACAAGAAUCCAGAAUAGGUCACAGACUAGGUCAAAAAAGGGCAAACGACCAACCAAAUCACAGACUAUAGUCAUCCGUCGACAACUAGUAGACAAUCCCACCCCUCAGGGUAUACCGACCGAAUAGGUCAUAGAACAACAGAAAUCAAGAGAACCGACCAACCAAAUCACACAUAUACGGAACACCAGAAGUCAACUCGACUCCUAAGUCACUAACAUCACACAUGGUCAAAGAACCGCACUACAAGAAUACAUGAUAUAAUGAACAGAUAGAACCAACUACUACGACCAACAAAAGAACAUGAUAUAAAAAACAGAUAAGUUAACUACACUCCUACACAUGAUACUAAACAUGGAAACAACUGAAUAGAGGAAUGCAGAUAUAAAUGCAACGUGCAAGGCUCAACACUUUAUAUCAAGAGAUAUACAUAUAGUAUAAACAUAGAUGACAGAUAAUAACAGGAGAACAAAGGUAAGAAACCAUCACCGAACGUGCACCACUGUACCGACGUCGGAUCGAAGUACCCACCUGUAAAAAUGUCGCGCAUGUCUCCUGACUCCAAAAGAACGUCAACCGGACCUAAAAAGGGUCCACCGGGUUAGUAUCUAACCCACAACUAAGAACCACAGUAAAACCAUAACCCCACAAACAAACCCACGAAGAUCGGUUUUCCAAAAACCAAAUACCGUAACUCGCCGGAAAUCCCAAAAACCACACCGGGACGCCGCCGGGACCCACUAACUGUCCCGAAACGCACCGACUCAUGCCACGAGUCACCCGCUGCCACAAAACACUCCAAUUUAGAUGUGACAUGGCAGCAAACACAAGCAAACACAACCAAACAACUAUCACCGGAUAAUUGUACGAAUCCGGGUUCCCGAAAAUGUCUAUUUCGACACCGAAACCCACCGUCGCCCACCCGUCAUUUCUGAACUCUCGAAAUGAAGCGAGUGACCAGCCAACAAGGCUCAGCGACUACACAAUAGCUCACGAAGCACCGUCGGAAUAAUUCUAAACCAAAACCGCGUUCCGUCGGCGGAUUUUGCCGACAAACGCACCGAAAAUACAUUUUCGAUCUUCGCAAAGGUCCGGGGCCUUGGACAAUCAGUCCAGAGAUCACCCACAGCCUGCCCAUGCUGCCAACAGCAGCCGUAGCAACCAGAAUUGCAUAAAAGCCCUUUCGAAUACCCGAAAUCGCAUUAUUUCAUGCGAUUUCGGCGCUUUUAUGGUCCGUCUACACAAACUAGGAGUCAAUCAGCGAAACCGAGACACCUACUGACAGAUCUCGGCGUGCCGGAGGCCGUGCUCACCUUUUGGAGCAAUUCCGGCCACUGUGGGGAACGCACGAGCGACGCGAAAUUCAGUAAACUGCGCGCACAACAUGAAAAUCAUGCUUAUCUCGCUAACCAGGGGCUCGCUGACCCUAAAUGAGGUGAGCACUGCUAUCAGCACUGAUAGACGAUCACCGUGCUCACCUCCGGAGGCAUCGGAACAGCCUCGGGUCGCCGGAACAGUGACUAGAACAGAAAAACAUGUGCAGAAAGGCUGAAAACCAGCUUACAGAGCUAGGCAGGGCUCGGGGUGGCCGGCGGCGGCCGGACAGCGGGCAGGCCGGCCAGGGGAAGGAAGCACCAGGUCAGAGAUGGAAGCAGCAGGUCGGGGAGGUCCGGGGAAGGUGCUGGCCGUCGGCGGGAGGUGGCCGGUGGCGCGGCAGCGCAGCUCAAAGCCGCCGAGUUCCUCUCGGGUUCGAGUUUCCCGGCGGCGCGGCGGCGGCCGGAGGGGGUCGGGGCUGCAAGGAUCCGGUGCCGGAGACCGAGGGGAAGGUGGUGUACCCCUCGGUGGGCUGUGGCGGUGCUUGGGAGCCGAGCGGGCCCGACCUCGGCCCGCCCGGGUCUGGGCGGCUACAAGAGCCUCGGGCGGCGGCCGGCGGUGGUCGAGGGUGGCCGGGGACGCGCGCCGGAGGUAGUCGGAGGGUGAGGAAAGACGGCGCGACCGAUCUGGAGUGGCGGCGGCGCGUGGCCCUCGAGCCCACCCGAGCUCGGUCUGGGCUGACCGAGGUGGCCGCAGGGAGCAGAGGCGGCGCCGGCGGCGCACGGGAGCGGCAGGGGCCGGCUGCGGUGGUCGCCGGACGGUCGGCGGAGACCUCCGCGGCCGUCGGGAAGCGACGGCAGGGCUAGGGGGCGGCGCGGCUCCAAGGUUGGCCCGGCUCGGACUGGGCUGACCCGGGCUGGCCGUAGCUUCCCCCAGGCGGCUCCGGCGGCGCGCGCGGGCGGCGACGGCCGGCGGGGAGGCUCGUCAGGGGACAGGGGCAACACCAGCGAUGGCCUGGAGGCAAGGCAGCCUCGGCCUGGCUCCAACCCGAGAGAGGGAGAGAGAGAGAGAGAGAGAGAGAGAAAGAAAAAGGUUCCGGCGGCGGCUGGCCGGCCGGGGCUCAGUCGGCGGCGGCCUGGGCGUGCGCAACAGGGCAGGGAAGAGGGAUGAAUGUGGCAGGGGGGCUAGGGUUAGGGUUUCUAGUAGCAAACCCUAAAACACCUUUGUAUACCUAGCUCCAAAAUGCGGAAAAGCCCCUCGAACUUCAGUAUUUGGUACUAAGUCCCAUACAGCGCGUGUAAAACGCGAGAAUACCCCUCCACGUGCGAUCCCUCGUAAAACGGUACAUAAAAUAUUGCGACUUUUGCGAAAAUACCGUUUUUGCCACUACCGACCUCUCCUCGAACAACGCGCGAUUUCCGCAGAUCCGUCCGUCAGAUUUGCGAACGGAUUGCACCAGUGCGAUCAGCACGACGGAGACAACAAAGCUACGAUUUUGGUUCACCUCGAUCGACCACGGAUUCGCGACGAAAUCCAACCUUCUUCCAAUAGGAGGAAUAACACACAAAUACAUAUAAAACAUGUAUUUUUGGAUUUUCUCGAAAUCCGUGCGUCGAACUCAAAAUCCGUCAGUGCCACUAGUUCCAGAACAGCUGAACCGGUCGAAACGAGCUAUUGGACUGAUAUGAACGGAGUCUGAUACGCACCAGAAGCCAACUCUACUCCGUGGCUUCUCCGGAAAACCGGAGUUACUAUUCACUUAAGUGAAAACUAAUAAUCGCGUAACUUCUCCGUUUUAGCUCAUUUUCUCCUGAAACUUGACGAGUGCUUAUGUAAUUAAAUUACACACAUAAACAUCGUCAACAGAGAGUUUAGUUGCACUGUCAAAAAAUCUCAGUCCUUACAUCAUCCCCCCCUUAAAAGAAGUUUCGUCCUCGAAACUUGACCACGUACCCACCGUAAUCGAACUCUGACAUUGCCCCACCGACACGGUAACACCUUUGGAUACUGGUCAAUCACAAAUCUAGAAUUGGACAGAUCAACCUUAGAAAAGGGGAGAAUAGGACUGCGGUUCCACAAGAACAAGACGAGGGGAACGUACCAAACCAAAGUCUGCGGACCAUAACACACCGGGAUCAACACCAUCCUGUAACCUUGGUCCGAAAAGCCUCAACCGACUCGACCACGUCACUAAGUUCACGAGAAAGAAUCACGAGCCAACACCACCAAACCGGAGUCAAAAAAAUUUCGACUAGCCAACAAUAUCAACUUGCUCACCACGAGCGAAGACGAAACGUUCUCCUAAAACUCGAGUCGGUAGAAACAGAAUCUGAGACUACAGUCUCCCACUAACCGAUCACGCAACUGCCGAAGUCAAGUCCACAUCCACGGAAAGCCGCCUUUGACAUUCGACAGUCUUAGGUCCCACAACCUCACCUUUCACCUGACCGAAAAGGUCGAAGGCUGACAAAACUAAUUGAGCUUGACAAACCGCUUGCUCAAUUAGAACUGGUUCGACUAAACCAAUAAACUCGCCAUGCAAGUCCAAAACUUGGUGCACAGGAUUGCAAAUCGCACUAUACGAUACAAACCAUCGGUGAUGCUCAACACCUGUCUCUACGAGACCCUGUCGCUGCCGUCCUACAAGGGACCCUAGCGAUCGGUGUUUCGAGCAACACCAGAUAACUGUCUCAUUGAGAUCCUGGCGCACCUGUCACCAAUUAACCGGACAAGCAUACAAUUCUAAAGUCGCACAGUAGGCUGAAAUACAAUCCUUACACCAUAUCACCUACUGUGACAAUCAAAGCCAACAACUAGGCUCAAGUCACUCAACCAACAAUUUUGAACCUCAAGACAACAGACCGAAACUACUAACCAACAAACCUUUUUGCGGUGAUGAUAAAUCAACUGCGCAAACCUGCCAAGAGAAUACAAGGCCCCACUAUGUGGUCAAAGAUGACCGAUACCCAAUCAUCCUUACAAGACUAUUUCUCUAGCUUUCACACAAAACAGUCUAGAGAACACAUCGACCCAAUCCAUAAGUCCCAAAUGGGAAGAUGGUAUUUCGUUCCUCUUUCGACAGUAUAUUGUCUGCAGCCAAUAUACUUAUCAAAAGAAAAGCGAAAUAUCCGAAGAUCCACUACCAACAACCAGUUGGAAGUACAACGCGAUAAAGUAUCAAGCCACUUGAUACCUCUCUACUGAACCAGAAGUUCACAACCAAUACUAUCGAAACAUCAACUUUACAAGUCGACAUUCAAAAUUAGAACGACCCUGGAACAUCUUAAAUCUAGACCAACUACAACCAACCCACAACACACCAAUUUGGGUGUUAGAAUAACCGCAUACGAUGUAUGCCUUAACGAAAACAUGACACCAAAACUGUGUCAAUCCGAUUCUAGUAGGAAGAAAGAACGAGUUCAAGGUCAAAAGAUCCGAACCGCUGAUUCGAAUCAACAAUCAAGGAGGAUAGGUAGGCAUCACAACCCUACCCAAAAAAUCUGCGGAAGCAACACUAACAAUGCAGUCGCCUAAACGACCGCUACCAAACCCUGGGCUACACCCUAGUAGCCCCACUGAAGUCGCGACCGUAACUGGUCUAAGCACCGUCUCCGUGGAGACACUCGCAACAGCUCUCGUGUCCUAAGUAAAGAGAGUGGCCUGGGCGUCGGCAGUCAUGACACUCGCCUAGGCCCAGAGAUCACUGGCCUUUCAAGGCCCCACCUGAUAGGAAUGGCUACACCUGGGGGACGUCGCCCCACCACUCGAUGUCCGAAAAAGUACCCCGCCACUACACCCGACUUAGACACCAGCUUGUGCGAACCGUAACACGUACAUAAACACCAUGCACUUCGAGUUUACCAAACUCGAAUGCAACCCAGGACGCAAGUCCAAACCCCGCACUCACGUGCCUAUAUACCGUGGUCUUCCUAUUGGUCAACCUAACCAAUGGUUCAGUUUCAUUUACUUUUCAAAACAACCUGUGAAUGGUGUUGUGGUUGUAACCCUUUGCUCUGAUACCAUUUUAAUCUGUCACGCCCCGGGGUCCCCUUUUUGUUUGAAAUACAGCGGAAAAGCGUUUGAAAAUUUUUUUUGAAAACCUGACCCCAGAGUAUGCCAGAUCCGCCACAAAUACAGGGAAUCCACUGUUCACACGGACAGAGUCUCCCCUGUACUUGCACGGCGUCACACAAGUACAGAAGUACAAACAGUAUACAACCACAAUCAAAUGAAUAUACAGAUAGCUAUACAUUCAUACAUUCUCCAUUCACAUCACAGUGUUACAUUCGAGGUUUAAAGAGAAAUCUACAAAAACCUUUUGAAAGCUGUUUCCUACACAGAAACCUUUAUUCUUUUAAAAACGCUACCACGAGGGGUAGAAAAUCUUUUAUUUUACAAAAUCCAGAAAUCCACCUUUUCAAAUGUAAAUGAUUACUGAACCACAUAAACCAACUAAACUAUAUAUCAACAGAAAUACCGAGGAUAAUAACUAAAUCGAAAUAACCUGGGUCGGAAGCUCUAUCGACCGCUACACACGUACCUCACGUCUCGUCCCACUACUCAUCGCCCGCGAUACCUGAAAAAUGGUGGGGGAGGUGAGAACAUGUAAACAUGUCUCCCCUCCCAGUGGGUACCGCAAGCCGAAGAAGGCGAGGAGUACUCACCGGAUCAGGAAGAGAUGACCAACAGUAUGGGUAAGUAAAAUGCUGUAGCAACGAUAAUGAACGAAUGAGAUAUAUAUAUAUAUGAAAACAUAACUACCGCUACUGUAUGUACAACUGCAAGCAUACAAGGAUAUCAAUACUAUAGUAGCAAGACAACUGUAAAGAAAGAACUAGAAGUACAUAUGCAACAACCGCUACUAUAGCUAUAUGCGUCAACCGGACGAGAAGUCCAAAAGUACCCAAUCUAAACCGCCGUGUCGGUCUAAGGACCUCAGGCAAAAGCCACUAUCUGCUCACACCUGGCAUGUAACCCUAGCACAAAGAGAACACCGCUGGGCUCACGGGUCGGAUGUACGACCACUUUUCCGGAAAAGAACACCCUCCUGCGGGGGAUCAACCCGCUGGUGUACGUGAAAUGCACUCGAGCUGUGGCGAUCAAUGCGGAUAUGAUCAAUAGCCAACCGUCGGCAAUCAGCCGACAAUCACUGCCCCUCUGGGCAUACCGACCGUGUAGGUCAUCAAGCUAUAAAGAAGCACAAGAACUGACCACUCAGGUCAACUAGGAUGGAACGACUCUACAUCCUCUCAAGUGUAUGCAAGUACUGACUAAUCAAGUCAACUGGGAUGGAACGACUCAACAUCCUACCAAAAGUGUGUCGAUACUGAUCAAUAAGUCAACUACUGUAUAUAUGCAAGGAUCAAUCAACAAGUCAUAUGAGUAUAUAAUCUAGAACUACCAUCGGCCAUAACCCGACAAUCCUACCCCUCAGGGUAUACCGACCUCAAAGGUCAUCAAGCAACAAGAAUCCAGAACGGACAGACUAGGUCACAAAAGGUCAAAUGACGGAUCUGUGAAGACUAUAGUCAUCCGUCGACAACUAGUCGACAAUCCCACCCCUCAGGGUAUACCGACCGUAUAGGUCAUCGAACAACAGGAAUCAAGGAACUGAUCAAGUAGGUCACCAUUACGGAAUACCAGAAUCGACCGACUAGGUCACUAACAUCACAGAUGGUCACGGAACCGCUCUACUAUAAACAUGAUAUAAGAUAUGUAGAACCAGCUAGUAGAGCAACAAGAGAACAUGAUAUCAAACACAGAUAGACUACACUCCUACACAUGAUACUAAGCAUGGAAACAUCUGAAUAUAGUAUAAUUAAACAACGUGGAAGCUAGGCUCAACAUAUAGUAUAAGCAUAGAGACAAUAGUAAGAGGGCAAGGGUAAGAAACCAUCACCGAACGUGCACCACUGUACCGACGUCGGAUCGAAGUACCCACCUGUACAACUGUCGCGCAUGUCUCCUGACUGCAAAGGAACGUCAUCCGGACCUAAGGAGGGUUCACUGGGUUAGUGUCUAACCCACAGCUAAGAAACCGUAAAAGCAUAACCCACAAACAAACCCACGGAGAUCGGUUUUCCCAAAACCAAAUACCGUAACUCGCCGGAAGUCCCAAAAAUCACACCGGGACUCCGCCGGGACCCACUAACUGUCCCGAAAGGCACCGACUCAUGUCACGAGUCAUUCGCUGCCACUAAACACUUAUUUUAGUGUGACAUGGCAGCAAACACAAGGAUACACAACCAAACAACUAUUGGUGGGUAAUUGUUGGGAUCCGGGUUCCCGGAAGUGUCUAUUUCGACACCGAAACCCACCGUCGCCCAUCCGUCAUUUCUGAACUCUUGAAAUGACGCGAGUGACCAGCCAAUAAGGCUCAGCGACUACACAAUAGCUCACGAAGCACCGUCGGAAUAAUUCCGAACCAAAACCGCGUUCCGUAGGCAGAUUUUGCCGACAAACGCACCCGAAAAUACAUUUUCGGUCUUCGCAAAGGUCCGGGGCCUUGGACAAUCAGUCCAGAGGUCACCCCCAGCUCACCCAUGCUGCCAACAACAGCCACGACAAAUCACAUUGCAUAAAAGCCCUUUCGAUUCCAAGGAAUCACAUUAUUUCAUGUGUUUUUCGGGCUUUUAUGGUCCGUCUACGCAAACCAGAGGUCAAUCAGCCGAGCUAAGAUACCUAUUUACAGGUUUCGACGUGCCGGAGGCCGUGCUCACCUUUCGGAGCACUGCCGACCACAAGGGAAAGCGCACAAGCAGUGUGAACUUCAGCAAAACAGCGCGCACUGUCACUUAGUCGCGUCAAACACGCAAACCGGGGAACCGUUGACCCCGACGGAGGUGAGCACGAUGUUCAGCACGAAGUAAGGAUCAUCGUGCUCACUUCCCGGAUUAUCGGAGUGUCCUCAGAUCACCAGAAAGGUGACAGGAACUCUAAACUACAGUGCUGUCAACGUAAACAGUGCUUACCGGACCAGUGGGAGCUAGGGCUCGUCGCCGGCGAUCGGGCGGCGGGCACUCCGGCCAGUGAUGGAAGCAGCAGGUCGGGGAGGUCCGGGGAAGGUGCUGGCCGGCGGCGGGAGGUGGCCGGUGGCGCGGCAGCGCAGCUCAAAGCCGCCGAGUUCCUCUCGGGUUCGAGUUUCCCGGCGGCGCGGCGGCGGCCGGAGGGGGUCGGGGCUGCAAGGAUCCGGUGCCGGAGACCGAGGGGAAGGUGGUGUACCCCUCGGUGGGCUGUGGCGGUGCUUGGGAGCCGAGCGGGCCCGACCUCGGCCCGCCCGGGUCUGGGCGGCUACAAGAGCCUCGGGCGGCGGCCGGCGGUGGUCGAGGGUGGCCGGGGACGCGCGCCGGAGGUAGUCGGAGGGUGAGGAAAGACGGCGCGGCCGAUCUGGAGUGGCGGCGGCGCGUGGCCCUCGAGCCCACCCGAGCUCGGUCUGGGCUGACCGAGGUGGCCGCAGGGAGCAGAGGCGGCGCCGGCGGCGCACGGGAGCGGCAGGGGCCGGCUGCGGUGGUCGCCGGACGGUCGGCGGAGACCUCCGCGGCCGUCGGGAAGCGACGGCAGGGCUAGGGGGCGGCGCGGCUCCAAGGUUGGCCCGGCUCGGACUGGGCUGACCCGGGCUGGCCGUAGCUCCCCCCAGGCGGCUCCGGCGGCGCGCGCGGGCGGCGACGGCCGGCGGGGAGGCUCGUCAGGGGACAGGGGCAACACCAGCGAUGGCCUGGAGGCAAGGCAGCCUCGGCCUGGCUCCAACCCGAGAGAGGGAGAGAGAGAGAGAGAGAGAGAGAGAGGCAGAAAAAGGUUCCGGCGGCGGCUGGCCGGCCGGGGCUCAGUCGGCGGCGGCCUGGGCGUGCGCAACAGGGCAGGGAAGAGGGAUGAAUGUGGCAGGGGGGCUAGGGUUAGGGUUUCUAGUAGCAAACCCUAAAACACCUUUGUAUACCUAGCUCCAAAAUGCGGAAAAGCCCCUCGAACUUCAGUAUUUGGUACUAAGUCCCAUACAGCGCGUGUAAAACGCGAGAAUACCCCUCCACGUGCGAUCCCUCGUAAAACGGUACAUAAAAUAUUGCGACUUUUGCGAAAAUACCGUUUUUGCCACUACCGACCUCUCCUCGAACAACGCGCGAUUUCCGCAGAUCCGUCCGUCAGAUUUGCGAACGGAUUGCACCAGUGCGAUCAGCACGACGGAGACAACAAAGCUACGAUUUUGGUUCACCUCGAUCGACCACGGAUUCGCGACGAAAUCCAACCUUCUUCCAAUAGGAGGAAUAACACACAAAUACAUAUAAAACAUGUAUUUUUGGAUUUUCUCGAAAUCCGUGCGUCGAACUCAAAAUCCGUCAGUGCCACUAGUUCCAGAACAGCUGAACCGGUCGAAACGAGCUAUUGGACUGAUAUGAACGGAGUCUGAUACGCACCAGAAGCCAACUCUACUCCGUGGCUUCUCCGGAAAACCGGAGUUACUAUUCACUUAAGUGAAAACUAAUAAUCGCGUAACUUCUCCGUUUUAGCUCAUUUUCUCCUGAAACUUGACGAGUGCUUAUGUAAUUAAAUUACACACAUAAACAUCGUCAACAGAGAGUUUAGUUGCACUGUCAAAAAAUCUCAGUCCUUACAGUGAGCUAUUGUGUAGUCGCUGAGCCUUGUUGGCUGGUCACUCGCGUCAUUUCGAGAGUUCAGAAAUGACGGGUGAGCGACGGUGGGUUCCGGUGUCGAAAUAGACACUUUCGGGAACCCGGAUUCGUAUAAUUAUCCGGUGAUAAUUGUGUAGUGGUGUUAGCUUGGGUUUGCUGCCAAAACAUCCAAAUUGGAGUGUUUUGGGGCAGCAGGUGACUCGUGGCAUGAGUCGAUGAGUUUCGGGACACUUAGUGGGUCCCGACGGCGUCCCGGUGUGGUCUUCGGGAUUUCCGGCGAGUUACGGUAAUCGGUAUUUGGAAACCGAUCUUCGUGAAAUUGUUUGUGGGGUUAUGGAUACUGUGGUUAUUAGUUGUGGGUUAGAUACUAACCCGGUGGACCCUUUAUAGGUCCAGUUGACAUUCUUUUGGAGUCAGGAGACAGACGCGACAUCCUUACAGGUGGGUACUUCGAUCCGACGUCGGUACAGUGGUGCACGCUCGGUGAUGGUUUCUUACCUUUGUUCUCCUGUUAUUAUCUGGCAUAUAUAUAUAUAUAUAUGUAUAUCUCUUGAUAUAAAGUGUUGAGCCUUGCACCUGCAUUUAUAUCUGCAUUCCUCUACUCAGUUAUUUCCAUGUUGAUAUCAUGCCUAGGAGUAGAGUUAACUUAUCUGUUCACUAUAUCUGUGAUUUGGUUGGGCGUAGAGUUGACUUAUCUGUUCAUUAUAUCUGCAUUCCUCUACUCAGUUAUUUCCAUGUUGAUAUCAUGCUUAGGAGUAGAGUUGACUUAUCUGUUCACUAUAUCUGUGAUUUGGUUGGGCGGUUCUCCUAUUUUGAUAUCUAUGACCUAUUCGGUCGAGUUGCUACAGUUCUAUCUAUAUCUGUGAUUUGGUUGGGCGGUUCCCCUAUUUUGAUAUCUGUGACCUAUUCGGUCGAGUUGCUACAGUUCUAUCUAUGUCUGUGAUUUGGUUGGGCGGUUCCCCAUUUGAUAUCUAUAACCUAUUCGGUCGAGUUGCUACAGUUCUAUCUUGACAUACGUAGCCGAUAUUUUGCUGAUGGCCUAUACGGUCGGUGAGCCCUGAGAGGCUGGAUUGUCGGCUAGUUGCCGAUGGAUGAUCUUUGAGCAUACUACAUUGAUCGCCAAUGCAGGUACGCAUUUCACGAACACCAGCAGUCUGAUCCACCGCAAGAGGGUGUUCUUUUCCGGAAAAGUGGUUGGACUGCCAACCCGUGAGCCCAGGGGCUUUAUUGCGAGGGUAUAUGCUUCUGACCCAGGGGCUUUAUUGCGAGGGUCAGGUAUAUGUUUCUGGCCCAGGCGCUUCAUUGCGAGGGUCAGGAACAGGUUGAGCAGUGUGGCAUGGGCCUGAGGUCCUCGGACCAAUAGGGCAUCGAGAUUGGGUAUUUUUGAGGUUAUCGUCAGUUGACGCAUGCAUACAGUAGCUGUAGUGUUUAUUUCCAGUACAUCCUUAUCUGUUUAUUGUAGCUACUGUUUUAUUUACCUGCAUCUAUACUUGUCAGCUUCUUACAUAUCUCUUUCGUUUACUAUUGUUCCCACUGUAUUUUCACUGACCCGUGCUGUUGUUUAGCUCUUCCUGAUCUGGUGAGUACUCCUCGCCUUCAUCGGCUUGCGGUACCCACUGGGAGGGAAGACAUGUUUACAUGUUCUCACCUCCCCCACCAUUUUUUCAGGUAUCGCAGGCGAUGGGUAUUGAGACGAGACGUGAGGCACGUACGUAGCGGUCGUUAGAUCUUCCGACCCAGGUUAUUUCGAGUUAGUUAUUAUCCUUGGUAUUUCUGUUGAUAUAUAGUUUAGUUAGUUUAUGUGGUUCAGUAUUUAUUUACAUUUGAAAAUGUGGAUUUCUGGAUUUUGUAAAAUAAAAGGUUUUCUACCCCUCGUGGUAGCCUUUUUAAAAGAAUAAAAGUUUCUGUGUAGGAAACAGUUUUCAAAAGAUUUUUGUGGAUUUCUGUUUAAACCUUGAAUGUAAAACUGUGAUGUGAAUGGUGAAUGUAUGAAUGUAUAAUUAUCUUUAUAUUCAUCUGAUUGUGGUUGUAUCCUGGUUGUACUGUGUAUUUGAUCGACGCCGUGCAAAUACAGGGGAGACUCUGUCCGUGUGAACAGUGGAUUCCCUGUAUUUGUGGCGGAUCUGGCAUACUCUGGGGUCAGAUUUAAAAAAAAAAAAAUUCAGACACUUUUCCGCUUUGUUUUAAACUGAAAAGGUACCCCGGGGCGUGACAGAAACCGCGUUCUUUCGGCGAAUUUCGCCGAAAAACGCAUCGAAAUCGACUCUUCGAUUUCUGCAAAAGCUAACGGAUCAUGGACAAUCAGUCCAGAGGACACCACACAUGUCUACACACUACCCACAGUAGACCCAAGGCUCACAAUUGCACAAAAGCCCCUGAAUUUACAUAAAAUCCCAAUAUUUUAUGUAAAUCGGGCGAUAACAUAGCCCGUACACGCAAACCGAGGACUUCUAAGUUCUGCUGAGACACAUACUGAUAGGUCUCGACGUACCGAAGGCCGUGCUCACGGUCUGGAGCGCAACAGGUCACUGUGGGAAGCGCGGGAGCAACCCGAAGGUUCAGCGAANNNNNNNNNNNNNNNNNNNNNNNNNUGUACCCAAUCUGUGCCUGCUAUAUUGGUCCGCAGACCUCAAGCGCUGCCUGUCACUAACUGCACCGACCUGAUCCAUCUGCCCCGCAGGACGACCCAUCCGGAUAAGUACACCUCCGAUCGGUGGCCAAACCGAUCCGGUGUCAUGAAUACCCCCAAGUGCCGUGACUAAGUCAUGCUGGUAUGCUCAAACAAAAACAAACCCGGCGAAAGCCGGUGCCUAGGCCGAAGCCAACAACGAGGGCGUACAAUGCCAAACUGAAAUAGAAGCUAGGGCGUACAAUGCCGAACUGAAAUAGAUGCUAGGGCGUACAACGCCGAACCUCGAUCAACCAGAUCGAAACACACGACAAGAGAGUCGAUGUGUUGCCUGGACCCAAGGUCCACAGAAAUACUGAAAUACGAAUGCAGCCUGCUCUACAUGUCUAUCCACAACUAUACAAUGCAAUCAAGGGGUGCGAUAACCAAACGAUAACAAGCAAUGACAUGUAGAGACUAAAUACAAGAAUAGAAAAUUAGGAGAAGGAAGUGAAACGCUCUCACCGACUACCAGCUCGAAGCACCCACCUGUCACUGUCGCGUCGGAACAUCGGGUACGCACAAGUCUACUGGACCUAAGAAGAUCCACCAAGUCAGUAUCCAAACCACUAACCCAAAGCACGAGACUCACAAACCCCUACACAGGAUCCCCGAAUCGGUUUCCCAAAACCGAUCAUCGUAACUCACCGGAAGUCCCGAAAACCACACCGGGACGCCGUCGGGACCCACUAAGUGUCCCGAACUCACCGACUCGUGCCACGAGUCACCCGCUGCCCCAAAGCACUCCAAUUUGGAUGCAUUGGCAGCGAACACGAGGUAACACAACAAUAUGAUCAUCGCCGGAUAAUCGUACGAAUCCGGAUUCCCGGAAGUGUCUAUUUCGACACCGGAACCCUCUGUCGCUCACCUAUCAUCAUCGAACCCACAAAAUGAUGAUGGUGACCAGCCAACAAGGCUCAGCGACAAAACACGAAGCAACCAAACACCGUCGGAAAGAAUCCGAACCGAAACCGCGUUCUUUCGGCGAAUUUCGCCGAAAAACGCACCGAAAUCGACCUACCGAUUUCCGCGAAAGCUAACGGACCAUGGACAAUCAGUCCAGCGGUCAAUACAAACUCCCACACACUGCCCACAGUAGCCGCAAGGAGCACAAAUGCAUAAAAGACCCUCAAUUUACAUAAAAUCCUAUUAUUUCAUGUAAAUUGAGCGAUCAAGUGGCUCAUUCACAAAAACCGAGGACUCCCGAAGUCCGCAGAGACACGUACUGACAGAUCUCGACGUACCGGAGUCCGUGCUCAUGAUCCGGAGCACAGCGGCUCGCUGUGGGAAGCGCGGGAGCAACCCGAAGGUUCAGCGAAUAGCGCGCAGUCAGGGAAGAUCACGCCGAACAGAACUAACCGGACACUUCUGAUCCAAAGUGAGGUGAGCACUGUGAUCAGCACUGACCAACGAUCACCGUGCUCACCUCCGGAGGCAUCAGGACAGCCUCGGAUCGCCGGAUAAGCGUGCGCAAACCCAAAACAGCAGCCAAGAAGGCUGAAACGGAGCGACAUCGCCAAAACAGCGGAACGGGGCCUUCCCGACAGAAACCAAGGUGAGCACGAUGAUCAGCAAUUCGCUACGAUCAUCGUGCUCCCUUCCGCAGAGAUCGGGGAGGCUCGGAAAGCCCAGAACAACAAACAGCCCUAAACUGAGCCCUAUUUCGGGCUUGGCCGGAGCAACCUUGCUCCGGCCGGCCUCCGGCGACACGGCGGCGCGAGCGGGGGCCAGGGUCGAGUGCGGGGGUGGUGAGUAACACAGUGCUCACCUCGGUUGGCGGCGGGGAGCUGCGACGGCGUCGGCGGAGCAAGUUGAGCCCGCACGAGAUCGGGCUCGGGUUCCAGGAGUUGCUGCGGCCACGGCGGCGGCCGGGGAGCUCCGGGAAGGCAGAGGCGGGCUGCAGGAGGUCGGGGGAGGGCGGCACAGGUGGCUCAGGGAGGCGGCGACGCGAGGAAAGGGGCCGCACACAGCUUCGGCUCGGGCUCGGGUUGGGCGGCUGUAGCCGGCCGAGGCGGCGGCGGCGGCGGCGCGCUGGGNAGUCUACCGGACCUAAGAAGAUCCACCAAGUCAGUAUCCAAACCACUAACCCAAAGCACGAGACUCACAAACCCCCACACAGGAUCCCCGUAAUCGAUUUCCCAAAACCGAUUACCGUAACUCACCGGAAGUCCCGAAAACCACACCGGGACGCCGUCGGGAUCCACUAAGUGUCCCGAACUCACCGACUCGUGUCACGAGUCACCCGCUGCCCCAAAGCACUCCAAUUUGGAUGCCUUGGCAGCGAACACAAGGUCACACAACAAUACGAUCAUCGCCGGAUAAUCGUACGGAUCCGGGUUCCCGGAAGUGUCUAUUUCGGCACCGGAACCCUCCGUCGCUCACCUAUCGUCAUCGAACCCACAAAAUGACGAUGGUGACCAGCCAACAAGGCUCAGCGACAAAACACGAAGCGACCAAACACCGUUGGAAAGGAUCCGAACCGAAACCGCGUUCUUUCGGCGAAUUUCGCCGAAAAACGCACCGAAAUCGACCUACCGAUUUCCGCAGAAGUUAACGGACCAUGGACAAUCAGUCCAGCGGUCAAUACAAACUCUUACACACUGCCCACAGUAGCCACGCAAAGCACAAUUGCAUAAAAGACCCUCUAAUUACAUAAAAUAUCGUCAUUUUAUGUAAUUUGAGCGAUCAAGCGGUUCGAUCACGCAAACCGAGGACUUUUGAAGUCCGCAGAGACACGUACUGACAGGUCUCGACGUACCGGAGUCCGUGCUCACGAUCCGGAGCACAGCGGCUCGCUGUGGGAAGCACGGGAGCAACCCGAAGGUUCAGCGAAUAGCGCGCAGUCAGGGAAGAUCGCGCUGCACAGAACUAACCGGACACUUCUGAUCCAAAGUGAGGUGAGCACUGUGAUCAGCACUGACCAACGAUCACCGUGCUCACCUCCGGAGGCAUCAGGACAGCCUCGGAUCGCCGGAUAAACAAGCACAAACCCGAAACAGCAGCCAAAAAGGCUGAAACGGAGCGACAUCGCCAAAACAGCUGAACGGGGUCUCCCCGACAGAAACUAAGGUGAGCACGAUGAUCAGCAACUUGCCAGGAUCAUCGUGCUCCCUUCCGUAGAGAUCGGGGAAGCUCGGGAAGCUCGGAACAUAAACUCAUCCACAAUAAGCCCUAUUUCGGGCUUGGCCGGAGCAACCUUGCUCCGGCCGGCCUCCGGCGGCACGGCGGCGCGCGCGGCGGCCAGGGACGGGUGCGGGGGAGGUGAGGAGUGAGGUGCUCACCUCAGACGGCGGCGAGGAGCGGCGGCGGCGGCGGUGGAACCAACUCAGCCCGCACGAGCUAAAGCUCGAGUUCCGGCGAAGCUACGGCCACGGCGGCGGCCGGGGCUCCUCGGGAACGACGGCGGCAGGUCCCCAACGGCCGGAGGAGGAGGAGGGAGGUGGCGGGCAACAGCGGCGGCGGCCCGCGGCUCGGGUGUGGCUGCCCGAGCUUGGCUCGGGCUGGGCGGCUGCAGCCGGCCGAGGCGGCGGCGGCGGCGCGCUGGGGCGGCGGCGGCCGGCGGGAAGGGGCGCCCGGGCACGGGGGAUGUCGGCGGGAGGGUUUCCAGGCGGUGGCGGCGCGCUGGCAGCAGCUGCAACCCCCCUCGGCCAGGCUCGGCCUGGGUUGCAGCAGGCCACAGGAGCAGCAGCGGCGGCGCCCGGCGACGGCGGCGGUCGGCGGGGAAGGUUGCCGGAGCACUAUGCGGUCCCGGGGGAGGGUCUGCAGAAGGCGCAGCCCGGGCCUUCACACAACCCGAGAGGAGAGUGGGAGAGAGAAAGAGAUGGAGAAAGAUGGAGAGGAGAGCUCCGGCAGCCGGCGGCGCUGCUCAGGUGGCCGGGGCGCGCGCAGGAGGAGCAGGGGAAUGUGGGGGAGGCGGCUAGGGGGCUAGGGCAAGGCUAGGUUAGGGUUAGGUGAAACAAAACCCUAAAGAGCAACUAUAUACAAGGUGCAACAAAGCGAGAAAGCCCCUCAAACGUCGGAAUUUCAAUCCGAGUCCCUCACAGUACGACUAAAACACAUGAACGCCCCUCCACGUGCGAUCCCUCGUGAAACGAUACAUAAAAUAUCGCGACUUUCGCGAAAAUACCGUUUUGCCACUACCGACCUCUCCUCGAUCAACACGCGAUCUCCGCAGAUCCGUCCGUCAGAUUUGCGAACGGAUUGCACCAGUGCAAUCAGCACGACGGAGACAACAAAGCUGCGAUUUCGUUUCGUCUUGAUCGACCACGGAUUCACGACAAAAUCCAACCUUCUUCGAAUAGAAGGAAACACACACAUAAAUACAUAUAAAACAUGUAUUUUUGGAUUUUCUCGAAAUCCGUGCGUCAAACUCAAAAUCCGUCAGCGUCAUUAGUUCCAGAAUAGCUGAACCGAUCGAAACGAGCUAUUGGACUGCUAUGAACAGAGUCCGGUACGAGCCAGAAGCCAACUUCUCACCGCGGCUUCUCCGGAAAAUCAAGUUACUAUUCACUUAAGUGAAACUUGGAAAUCGCGUAGAAUUUCCGUUUUAACUCGUUUUCGCCCGAAACUUGACGAGUGCUUUUGUAAUUAAAUUACACACAAAAACAUCAUCAACUGAGAGUUUAGCUACACUGCAAAAAUCUCAGUCCUUACAUUAUGUAAAAAUAUUAAAGAUUGGUACGGUUCGAUCAAAUUUUUUGGACUCUUUCUAUGAUUAGAUCAUUAUCAUUUUAGUCGUUAUGCAUUUGCUAUGAUUUUUUUGUUUUAUACAACAUUAUCGUCAUAUGAAAAUGCAAGAUAAUAUAUCGUGUAGUUCUGAAAAAUUUAACAGAGAUUAGAAAUGGAUCAUUUGCAAUUAUUGUAUUAUUUAAUAAAUGGGAGAUGAUCAUGAACUAGGCUGGACCUUUGUGAUUUGAUUAUGGAUGUAUCUGAAUGUUUCUGAGAUGAGAUGAUGUGAUGUAUUUAUUUAUGGGUGUAAUUUGCAUAACUAUUUGUUAUUUAGUUUUCGGUAUUUGUAAAUAGGGUAUGCUUGUAUUACACUAAACUUUAGCAUAUUGCGGAGUUCUAGUGUGAGGAUAGCGUUUCAUCCUAUCUUUUGGCUUAAGUUUCAAGAACUUAGGCCUGUUUUCAGAGCUUAAUGAGCACGAGAAUGAAUUUUGAUAUCAAAAUCUGCAAAAUUGUACUUUUUGUGUCGAGUACCGGUACUGAAUUGAGGUUUCGGAACUCAGUUGAGCACAGGUUUGGGCAACUCUCGAGUCUUGCAGAACCCGACUGGGUACUAGUACUGCUGCGAGUUGUACCAGUACUAAUACGCUCGAGUAUCGGAACUCAGUUAAUGCCUGAGGAACCCAAUGUUCGAGUUUUACGGAACUGAGCUCCCGGGUACCGGAACUGCCAAGAGUAUCGGUACUCCAAACUGCGUACCGGUACUCAAUGGUGCUGAAACUAUUUUGUACAGUUUGUAAUUUUUUGAUUGUUGAGGGGUCUAUUAGGAUUUUGUGCAAAUGGGUUUACACCCUUAUCACCCCCUCUACUUCUCUUAGUUGGAGAUAGUGAAGGAGAAAAGAGAAGGUAGGUUUUCUCUCCUUCUGUCUUGGAUUUCUUCCUUUGAAUCACUCUAAUCCUUGAAAUUUCUCUCUUUUCUUCAUCUCCUCCACGGAUGCUUGCAUUUAGGACUUGGAGAGGAGGUCAGGAUUGAAGGAAGGGACUUGUUUGAGACUUGGAUUUCAACCUUAGCAUUUUAUAGCUUGGAUUGGAGCUUAAUUUGAGGUCAGUAACAUUCUUGCACCUUCUAAUUGUGUGAUUUGUAAGAAUUUUUGGUAGGAACCUAGUCUUGAGAAAACUAGGAUUUAUUUUAGGGCUUUCUUAUUGAGGGCUCUUAGAGUUAAAUUGAUGAGUACAAAAUACUCUUGUAAGUUGGAAUUUGACCCUUACUGCUUCGGUUUGGACUUUAGACAAGUUUUAAUUGAUCUAAGAUAAUUUUCACCCAUUUUUUAUAUGAUUUUUGGUGAAUUUCGUGGUAAGCCUUUUAGAAACUUGUAACUCCUUGAAAUUUUUUUUUAGGGCAUAAGAAAUUUAGGGGGCAACUUCGUCGGAUAAACGGAUGAGGUUUCGAUAGUUAUCCAAUGGGUUCGACUUCACCGAAGUGGGUAAACUCCCUUCUUACGGAUUUUAAGUUGGCAUAUUUCGUGAAGUAAGUCGGAGUCUUGAAGGUUUAUGGAAGAAAAGAUGAAGAUUGAAGACUCGAAGACUUAAAACAUGAAUCCACAAUGCUUAAUAAGUUUGAAUAAUAUUGAUAAUGAUUUAUGAUCAUUUACAAGUAUUUGGAAGACAUUAGAAUAGAUAAAAAAUGAUUCACAAUAUAAAAAUUAAGUUUUCCAAGUUUCAAGUUCCGGACCCUGAAAGCAAGGUCCGGAACCCGUAAGCCUUCUUAGCUGGCAAGCUGUCAAGGUCAGGACUUUCAAGGUCCGGACCCUGAAUUCAAGGUCCGGAACCUAAACCCAACACAAAUUUUCUAAACUCAGUUUUUCAAUUCUAAUUUGAUUCUAAUUGCUUCCAAACCUAUAAAUAAGAUGUGGGGGUGUUUCUAAAAGGUGACCAAGCAUAGAAUAUCUUUUUGAAGCCCUAGAAACUUGUUGGGUGCCCUUUUUCUUAUCUCCAACAACAAGUUUCUAUCGGAUCAAUUCUUGAAACCCUAAUUUCUUUUCUUCAUGGAGAAUUGAUCCGACUAUUGCUUAGAAAUAUCUUCUACGGUUCUUUCAUGAUUAUCUAAGCAAUAAAUCAUCACCAACCUUGUUCACCUUGCUCCGAACGGAGUGCGCUCGUGGAUUCAAGUUGGCGUCGUGGAUUCGACGUGUCGAAGCUUCGUGGAUUCGAAGUGUGGACGUUUGGUGGAUUCGGGACGUUGCGUUAGUAGAUUCGAACGUGGGCCGUGGACAACCCGUUGGUGUGCACGAGAUCCAGAGAAGAUAAAAGAGCGGUUUGAGUCCGUGGUUCGGUAAUCACCUUGUAAUCUUUUAUUUCUUAGUGGAUUAUUUUUCACGUGUUGGUCCCGUGGGCUUUUCUCCAAACUAGAGUUUUCCCAUGUAAAUCUUGGUGUGCUAUUUUAUUUUUCACGCAUUUAUUUUUAUCACAUUGAGAUUUGUGUUUUUGGCCUAUUCAUCUAUUCACCCCUCUCUAAGUGUUUGAUAGUAUCUAGAUAGAUCCUAAGAUUUUCCGUAACCUACAAUUGGUAUAAGAGCAGGAUCUAGAUAUUUCUAUUAAUAUGGUGAUGGUGGUCGUAUUAAUAGGCCUCCUCUUUUUGAUGGGAUCAAUUAUUGUUUUUCAAAGUACAUUAGAUGAUUGUUACAUAAAUAGUGCUUUGAACAUCAAUAGGUUCACUUUCAUUCACUCCUAGUUAAUUUUGUACUAAUUAUCAGUUUUACUUUAUUUUCAUUAUUUAUGAAGAUAAUUUAUUAUAGGAUAUCUUAAUUCUUAUAUUCAUCAAAUUUGAGUAAUCAUGUGUAAUCUUUAGACACUUAACCUAUCUCGGUUGUGUGUGUUGAAUUUAAUGAAUGAAAAUUUACUAAUAGACUAAAACUUGUCAAAUUUUUUUUCAAAUAAGAUAUUGCAUAAUUAAGGGAGAGUUAUAUAUAAAUAAAAAAAAAAGAGAAAACACUCCAAGUGCUUAAACUCCAAGUGUUUAAAAGAUGUGGAAAGAGUUACAUCCCAAUGGGAGUGUGAAAACUACUACUACAUGUAGGAAAAAACUACCACCCCGGAUGUCCGGUAAGUGUGCGGAGCUACCACAUGAAAUUCUAAUGCAUAACCGAAAAGAUUGAAAAAGUGUUCAUAUUAUAUAAAAAAAAUUUCGGUGUAAUAAGGUGAUCAGUAAAAGAUGCUCGAGGAGCCACCCCCGGUACAUUGUUGCUUGGUCUCGAAUUUGAACGUUUAUGCGACAAAUUUCUGUCAUUUAGUGAAUCUUUAUAAGUUAUCUUUAUAAUUCGUUACAUCUUGAUAGAUUUUGAGCCUUUAGACUAUUUUUGAUGACUUGAUUUUGGAGUAUAUUUGAAUAAAAAAUUUUUAUUAUAUUUAUCUACAUCUUGAUGAAUUUAUAGUAAAAUUCUUAAUUUCUAUAAAAUUGAUGUGGAUUGAAAGAAGUCUAUGUGAAUUUAUUGUAUUCAUACACUAAGAUUAUUAUUUUCACAAUGCAAUCAUUGAAGAUGAGUUUUUGAAGAGAAAGGGGGAGAGAAAUUGAAGUUGAAUAAGUUAACACUGAUGCAUGAACAAAGGGGGAGAGAUUUUUAAAAAUUUUUUUACUAACUUUGUUGUGGAGGAAGUAAUCUUUUUGCAGAUCAUUGAAGACUUCAAGACUCCUUGUGUCCAAGUCAUAGAGUUUAUUUAGGAGUUGCAAAAUUGUAAUUUUGUGUUUUCUUUGGAUCUUUCACGCGAUAAGUUCAUUGUUUUGGUGAUGGCAAUGAAUUUCAAUUUUGAUUUUUGGAGAGUUGAGCGUUGUGAGUAUUUUGAUGUAAUUUUAAGUUUUGUCACCAAAUUGUCAAAGUGGGAGAUUGUUUCGGAUUUUAAGUUGGUAUAUUUCGUGAAGUAAGUCGGAGUCUUGAAGGUUUAUAGAAGAAAAUAUGAAAAUCGAAGACUCGAAGACUCAAAACAUGAAUCCACAAUGCUUGGUAAGUUUGAAUAAUAUUGAUGAUGAUUUAUGAUCAUUUACAAGUGUUUGGAAGACAUUAGAAUAGCUAAAAAAUAAUUUAAAAUAUAAAAAUUAAGUUUUCCAAGUUUCAGGUUCCGGACCUUGAAAGCAAGGUCCGGAACCCGUAAGCCUUCUUAGUUGGUAGGCUGUCAAGGUCAGGACCUUGCAAGCAAGGCUAGGACUUUCAAAGUUCGGACCCUGAAUUCAAGGUCCGGAACCUAAACCCGACACAGAUUUUCUAAACUCAGUUUUUCAAUUCUAAUUUGAUUCUAAUUGCUUCCAAACCAAUAAAUAAGAUGCGGGGGUGUUUCUAAAAGGUGGUAAGUAUAGAAUAUCUUUCUGAAGCCCUAGGAACUUGUUGGGUGCUCUCUUUCUUAUCUCCAAUAACAAGUUUCUAUCGGAUCAAUUCUUGAAACCCUAAUUUAUUUUUUUCAUAGAGAAUUGAUCCGGUUAUUGCUUAGAAACAUCUUCUACGGUUCUUUCAUGAUUAUCUAAGCAAUAAAUCAUCACCAACCUUGUUCAUCUUGCUUCGAACGGAGUGCGCUCGUGGAUUCUAGUCGGCGUCAUGGUGUGGAAUAUUGAUUUGUUAUCAUCCGGACGCAGUGUACGUUGCCGGUUAACGUGUGGGCACGAAGAUGAAACGAGGUGAAACCGUUUUGGCGCGAAAUUGACGCUAAACGGAUGAAUUGGGCCAAUGUUUCAUUAUAAGGGACCAAAUUGCAAAUAGCAAAAAUAGUGGGCCAAGUUACAAAAUGGCUUGUUCUUAUCCCUUUCUUCUCUUUCUCUUUCUUAGAUUUUUUUGUAAGUAAAGAAAAGCAAAAGAGAAAAGAAAGAAUAAAGAAGAAGAGAAAGAGAAGAAGAAGAAGAAGAAGAAGAUAAGAAGGUUUGAUUUCUAGUUUAUUUUCUAUUCCUCUUCCUUCCUUUUACUUUCCUUUCCCCUUCUUAUCUCUCUCCCUCUCACCCCCUCUCCCUCUUGUUGCUGCGAGCAGAGCAGCAGCAGCAGUCCACUGUUGCUGCUCACUGCAGAGCAGCAGCAGCAGUAACAGCAGCUGCAAGGGCAGUAUGAGAAGAAAACAAAGAAAGAGAGAGAGGGACAAAAAAAGAAAAAAGAGGAAAAGAUAGAAAGAAUGAAAGAAAGAUAGAAAGAAAAGGGGAAGGAAAUGAAAUACUGAAACGGAAGUGACAUUGGCACAAUUCCCCUAUCAUCAAAAUUGGACCUUGCAGGGUAUCAAGGCAUGUGAUCGAGUUUGUGACGCACGUCCGGUUAGUCGAAUUGUAAGUGUUUUCAGGUGAUCGUGAACCGAGGAUGUACGUGAGUAGUGCUUUCCUUGCCGGAGCUGAUGUAGCCGUUGAGGUGGGUUCCGAGUCGUCGAAAAUGACGAAAUUCCUUUUAUGUCUAUUUUCCUCGCAUAUGCAUAUAUAUAUAUAUAUAUGGACUUCAAUAUUGAUAAGGGUCGUGUUAGUAUUAAACUGAGUGGAAGAAUGGCUUUCUAGUGUGCGCAGUCGUGAAUGAUGAUUUAUGCAUUGUUUCAAGUAGCAAGGUCAUAUUUAUUCAUAUUUAUAUCUAUCGCGAGGGAUGAGUCAUUGCAAAAUGGGUAAGGAUUUUCAUUCAAUCGCAUAUUGCUACAACUUGAGGUCAUUCUGUGUGAAUCCUCUACCGAAUAGCCGUGAAUAGUGGUUGUUAGCAGCAUAUCAUUUAGACAUACUAGUAGGUCAUGGAAUGCCAAAUGACACUUUGUGCAUCUUGGUGAGUCAUCUCUUACUCAUUUGUAUUGUGCAUGCCAUUUAUUAUGUGAUAGAGGCCGUGGGUAGCGCGGCUGUAGUAUGCUGAUGUUUUGGUCAUAGCGAGAGCAUAUGCAUUUUAUGAUGUAUUUGGUAGAUACCCUCGAUUAGCGUGGCGAUAAUGGACGGAUUUUGGAUAGUGAGAAGUAUAUGAUCAUGCUAUUGUGAUAUAUGCAUUAUUUGAUAUUCUUUGAUUGUGCCGAGGGUAUCAGAUUGGUUGCUUGUGAUCUUUUGACCAUCACAUAGACCAUAGCCUGUAGAGCCAUACUGAGUUGGACAGAGAUACGUACUAUUAGACUCGGUAGGGUCGUGUAAGGACUGAGAUUUUUAUUGCAGUGUUUAAACUCUCAGUUAGACGAUGUUAUGUGGAAUUUAAUUACAUAGCACCGUCAGUUUCAGAAGAAAAUGAGCUUAAAAUGGAAAGAUACGCGAUUUUUAGUUUUCACUUAAAGUGAAUAGUAACUCCAGUUUUCCGGAGAAGCCACCGGAGUAGAGUUGGCUUCUGGUGUGUUCGAACUCGUCAUCGCAGUCCAAUAGUUCGUUCGACCGGUUCAGCAUUCUGGAACUACUGGUGCUGAUGGGAUUUUGGAGUUUUACGCACGGAUUUCGAGAAAAUCAAAAAACAUGUUUUAAUGUAUUUAUGUGGUGUGUUUCCUUCUAUGUUUCGAAGAAGGUUGAGAUUUUUGUCCGUGAAUCCGUGGUCGAUCAGAUGCAAACGAAAUCGCAGCUUUGUUUCUCCGUCGUGCUGAUCGCACUGGUGACCGUUCGCAAAUCUGACGGACGGCAUCUGGCGGAUAUGAGCGUUGAUCGAGAGAGGUCGUGUUAGCAAAACGGUAUUUUCCAAAAAUAGUCGCGAUAUUUUGAUGUAACCGUUUCGCGUGAGAUCGCACGUGAGGGCUUCAUCGCGUUUAGUCAUACUGUGAGGGACUCGGAUUGAAAUUCGAUGUUUGAGGGGCUUUCUCGCUUAAGAUUGCACCGUAUAUAGUUGUUUUAGGGUUUGACCAUCUACCUAACCUAGCCUUGCCCCUAUCCCCUACCUGCCUCCCCCACAUCCCGACGCCUUCCCCCGCGGCCCCGGCCUCCUGAGCACCCCGCUGCCGAGCUCUCCCUCAUCCACCCCUUCAUCUUUCCUCCAUCUCUUUCUCUCUCUCCCUCUCUCCCUCGGGUUGUGUAAGGCCCGGGCUGCGCCUCCUGCAACUCCCCGGGAUCACCGUGCUCCUCGACGUCCGCGACCGUCGCCCAUCGCCGGUGCCGCGCUGCUGUGCUCCGGUCCUGCUGCAACCAGGCCCGAGCCUGGGCCGAGCGGGUUGCCGACAGCCGCCAGCGCGCCGCACCCGCCUAGAACCUCUGUCGACUCCUCCGUGCCGGCGCCCCUUCCCGCCGGUCGCCGCCGCCCCGACGCGCCGCCGUCGCCGCCUCGGCCAGCCGCGGCCGCCCCAGCCGAGCCCAGGUUGAUUCUUGUUUGCGGUCUCUUUCCCGCGCCGCCGCCGCUCGAGGCUGCCUCCUUCCUGCUCCUCUGGCCUCUGGGGACCCGCAGCCGACGUCCCCGACCUUCCCCGGCCGCCGCCGUGGCCGGAGAAACCCGCCGAGCCCGAGCUUCUCUCUUGCGGGCUCGGGUUGCUCCGCCGACGCCGCCGCCGCUUCUCGUCGCCAACCGAGGUGAGCACGGUGUUCCUCACCUCCCCCGCACCCGCCCCUGGCCCCCGCGUGCGCCGCCGUGCCGUCGGAAGCCGGCCGGAGCAAGGUUGCUCCGGCCAAGCCCGAAAUAGGACUUUGUUUGGGGUGUUUGUUGUUCUGGGCUUUCCGAGCCUCCCCGACCUCUACAGAAGGGAGCACGACGAUUCUGGGAAGUUGCUGAUCAUCGUGCUCACCUUGGUUUCUGUCGGGAAGGCUCCGUUCAGCUGUUUCGGCAUUGUCGACCCUGUAGAGCCUGUUUGGCUGCUGUUUUGGGUUUGCGCACGCUUAUCCGGCGAUCCGAGGCUGUCCUAAUGCCUCCGGAGGUGAGCACGGUGAUCGUUGGUCAGUGCUGAUCACAGUGCUCACCUCACUUUGGAUCAGCAGUGUCCGGUUAGCCCUGUUUAGCGCGAUCUUCCCCGACUGCGCGCUAUUUGCUGAACUUUCGGGUUGCUCCCGCGCUUCCCACAGCGAGCCGUUGUGCUCCGAAUCAUGAGCAUGGCCUCCGGUACGUCGAGACCUGUCAGUACGUGUCUCGGCCAAACUUAGAAGUCCUCAGUUUGUGAGAAUGAGUCAUAGAAGUCGCCAGAUUUAUAUAAAAUAAUGGAUUUUAUGUAAACACGGGGGCUUUUGUGCAAUUGUAUGCCUUGUGGCUACUGAGGGCAAUGUGUAUGAGUGUGUUUGACCUCUGGACUGGUUGUCCAUGACCCGAUAGUCUUUGCGGAAAUUGAAAAGUCGAUUCCGGCGCGUUUUUCGGCGAAAUUUGACGAAAGAACGCAGUUUCGGUUCGGAUUUCUUCCGACGUCGUUUGGUUGCUCUGUUAGUAGUCGCUAAGCCUUGUUGGCUGGUCACCAUCAUCACAUUGUGGGUUCGGUGAUGAUGGGUGAGCGACAGUGGGUUCCGGUGUCGAAAUAGACACUUUCGGGAACCCGGAUUCGUACAAUUAUCCGGCGAUAAUUGUGUAGUGAUGUUAUCUUGUGUUUGCUGCCAAAACAUCCAAAUCGGAGUGUUCUGGAGCAGCAGGUGACUCGUGUCACGAGUCGGUGAGUUUCGGGACACUUAGUAGGUCCCGAUGGUGUCCCGGUGUGGUUUUCGGGACUUCCGGUGAGUUACGAUGAUCGAUUUUGGGAAACCGAUUCGAGGAUCUGUGUGGGGGUUUGUGAGAUAGUGCACUUCAGGUGAGUGGGUUGGUUACUGACCCGUUGGAUCUUCGUAGGUCCGGUCGACUUGUGCGUACCCAGUGUUACGACGCGACAGUGACAGGUGGGUGCUUCGAGCUGGUAGUCGGUGAGAUCGUUUCACCCUUCCUCUGUUCUUUCAUAUCAGUAUCAUAGUCUCUACAUGUCAGUUGAUUGUUAUCGCUUGUUUAUCGUAUUCCGUUGAUUGCAUUUGUAUAGUUGUGGAUAGACAUGUAGAGCAGGCUUGCACUCAUAUAUUGCAUCUCUGUGGACCUUGGGUCCAGGCAACACAUCGACUCUUUUGUCAUGUGUUUCGAUCUGGUUGAUCGUGGUUCGGCGUUGUACGCCCUUGCACCUGGCUUCGGCCAUGGCACCGGUCUCUUUUUGCCGAUUUUCGUUGAGCAUAUCAGCAUGAUUUAGUCACAGCACUGUGUAUUCUAGACACCAGGUUGGUUUGGCCACCAACCAAGGGAUGUACGUAUCCGGAUAGGUCGUUGGUGACGCAUGAAUAAGCUCGCAGUGUCUGCUCUGUGACAGGUAACGCUUGAGGUCUGCGGACCAACAUAGCAGUAUCAGAUUGGGUUUGGUUUUGGACUAUUCACCUUUGAGGCAUCUGAUCAGUUGAGUUUUUGGUUACAGUAGUAGUUUCAUUCUUGCUCAGUUAUUAUCCUGUUUCUAUUACUACUGUAGUUGCUUUUACGUCAUAUCAUGUUCAUAUCUGUUAUAGCUACUGUAGUUCGUUUUCAUAUAUCAGUAUCUAUAUUUGUUUAUCUAUCUCCUUUGGUUUCUGGUGAUUACGGCUUGCCUUCGUGGCUCUGUCGUACCCACUGAGAAAACCAUGGUUGCGGUUUCUCACCCCCCAUCCCCCCCCCAGGUGACAUAGACGAGGAGUUGGAUUUUGGGCUCGACGAGAGGACGAUCUAGCUAGUAUGGUAUAGCGAUUGCCACCCUGGUUGUAUUUCUUUCCUGCCUUUAGUAGUCAUUUAAAUAAUGGUUCAGUUAGCUGAUUUUUAUGAUUGUUUGAAUGUGGUGAUCUGGUUUUGGUAGAUCUGUGGAUGCUUUCAUUAUUUAUGCAUGUGAACUGAGGUUUGUGGAUUUGGAUGUUGAUUCUAUGGAUAUCGGAUUUUCUUGUAUUUACAUAUCGUGGUUUUCUACCCCUCGAGGUAGUUGAUUUUCAAAAUAGAGUUUCCGUGUGGGAAAUAGUUUUAAAAAGAUUUUUGAAUGGUUUUUCAUGAUGAAUGAAUUAGAGUUAAAAAAUAAAAGCUUCCAUGUGGGAAGCACUUUUAAAUAGGAUGAUUGUAGUACUGUGCAUUGCAUCAUCCAGCGCCUAAGGAGUGCUUAGAGGCAUGCAUCAUCUCUAAGGAUUGUUAGCUGUAUGAAAAUGCAUAUCAUUAAUUGGUUGUUGAUUGGUAAUUGUAGGUUGUGGUUGUGAUCCUGUUGUAUAGUUAGUACGCCGUGCAAAUACAAAGGAGACUCUGUCCGAGUGGACAGAUGAACUUUGUAUUUGUGGCGGGUCUGUACGUCACGUGGGCUAGGUUGAAAAAAAAAAAAGUACAUCUUCCGCGACUCUGAGUUUUAAAAAUGGUAAUGGCUUUUAAAUCGGCCCCGGGGCGUGGUAGGUCGCUUCCCUUCGAGUGCCGCUACGGAUGCUGGCCAGUUAUAUCAGAGAUAUGUGUGCCCUUGGAAAGACGACCCACCUGCGGGAGUGGUGUUCGUGCUGGGGUAGAGCCUAGGUGUCGACGGUGCACCUGCGGGAGUGCGAUUCCGGCACUAGGCGGGCGCAGGCUUGACCGGACGUACGAGUCGGUCGUUGUGAUUGGGUACUAUUAUAGCAUUUGUUUAGUAGUAGUUAUAUUGUUGCAUACACUACUCCGUUUCUUUCUUUUCCUCUCGCUAUUUAUACAGGGACAUGAUAGUACAGCAGGUAUAGAGACAUGUAUAGAGACAGGUAUAGAGAGUUGUUUAUAUUACAUGCAAUUAUUCAUUUACUGUUACUACAUUUGCCUAUGAAGGUCAUAGCCAGUUAGUCUUCUACUAUACUUGACAUUCAUUUAUACUGCUUAGAGCCAAUUACCUUGAUUGUUACUUAUGGUCAUUCAUUUAUCUGUUUAGUUAAUUUCCCUGUGUACUUGCAUUCAGCUACUUAUUUACCACAUAUUUUACUGUUCAUUGAUUAAUCUGGCUUCCAGUAGACCUAGUGGGAAGGUCGUGGUUAUCGUUGAUCAUACCCACUGGGAACUACUGUUCAGUAGUUCUCAUACCCUUUGGUGGUUUACUUUUCAGGGGUUCGUAUACUGACGGUUGAUCGAGGUAAGGGGGAUCACGCAGUAGUUAGCAUCUCCUACCAGUUUGCCUUUACAGUAGAGGACCACCAGAGAGAGUGCUAUUUUGUACAACUUGCCUGCUCUGGCGAGGGUCUAGGCUGUUUUUGCGUACUUUACUUUUGAGGUUGAGGUUUAUUUGGUGAUGUUCAUGUUGUACGGCAACUUAGUUUGGAAAUAGCGCUCUGAUACAUGUUAUUUGUUUAUACGAUACUUCUUCUUGAUUCAUGUGUUGUGGAUACCUGUCAUGUUUGACCUCGUGGUUUGUCUUGUAUUGGUCGAUUUUGUGGAUGCUUCGUUCGGACAGGGGAAACUUUGUCCGUUCGGCGGGUCUGUUGACGUCCUCGUGGACUUCCGUUGUAGACUUGGGGCGUGACACAUGGAUUCGAUGUGUCGAAGCUUCGUGGAUUCAAAGUGUGGACGUUUUGUGGAUUCAGGAUGUUGCGUUCGUGGAUUCGAACGUAGGGUGUGGACAACCCAUUGGUGUGCACGAGAUCCAUAGAAGAUAAAAGAGAGGUUUGAGUCCGCGGAUUCGGUAAUCCCCUUGUAAUCUUUUAUUUUUUAGUGGAUUAUUUUUUCGCGUGUUGGUCCCGUGGGUCUUUCUCCAAAUUGGAGUUUUCCUACGUAAAUCUCUGUGUGCUAUUUUAUUUUUCGCGCAUUUAUUUUUAUCGCAUUGAGAUUUGUCAUCUAUUCACCCCCUUCUAGGUGUUUGAUAGUAUCUAGAUAAAUCCUUGGGUUCCCCAUUAGGCAUUACACAUUAGGCAUUGCACAAGCCGGGACUUUACCAUGGGUGGAUCCCCGAUGAUUGGGUAAAAGUUGAUUAAAUCAAUGUUGAACAUUUUAACUAAUUGAAGCAUAUAUAAAAAGUAGAUAUCUUUGCAAGAACUACAUGCAUACCUAUUUGCAUACAUGCUAGUGGUUUCUUCAUAUAGGUUUACCUUCCUACAUGAUAAUGGUAGAAUUAUUUACUUAUGGAAUUAGCAUAAGCUGUAUUAUAGUACACUGAACCUUAGCAAAUUGCAAGGUUCUAGUGUUAGAAUAGCAUUUAGAGCUAUUCCUGGUAUUCUUAAGAGUCGUUGACUGUGUUCCGAUCGAUUACUCGCGUCUUGAGGAGCGAGAGUGGGAACUUAGCACCAAAACCUCCAAACUGCAGGUUUUGGGGUGCUGCGUACCGGUACCAAAGAAGGGUACCGGAACCCCGUAGCACAACCGAAAAGGAUGCUCUCGGGUUUGAGCUCUACGAGGAGAGUACCGAUAUUGCAUCGCCCGAGUACCAGUACCAGGGCCUGGUACCUAUACUGCAUCGCGCGGGUACCGGUACACUGCAAUCCGUCCGCUUGACAGAUGAUUGGGUUUGCGCGUUCGGCUACGGGGUACCGAUACUCCAGCCCGCGUACCAGUACGCAGUGCAGUUGCAGACUGCAGGUUUUUUAGGGGUCUUUUUGAGAUUGUAGCAUCUCUAUAAAUAACCCCACACCCUUUGGAGGGGUUUCCUGUGCUGGAAACCAGAGGAGAAGAGGUAGAGAGCUCAUCCCCUUCUGCUAUUUGAUUUUCCUUCCCUUUUUGCAAGAUUUUUGGUGGUUUGAUCUCUCCUUUUUGCUUCUUUUUGCAUGGUGUUGGCCUUCCACCUUGGAGAAGCUUUGGAGUUGUAGAUUUGAGCUUGUUUGAGGAUUGAUCUCCAACCCUCGCACCAUUCUUGAGAGGUUAGUAGCUUUGAUCUCUCCUUUGAAUCAUGCUUUGUUGGACUUUUGAGAUGAAAACCUAGUUUUGAGAAAACUAGGAUUUUAUUUGGGGGUUUUUGAUUUGUAGCCUUUGGGGCUAAAUUGAUGAGUAUAGAACUCUCUUUUAGGUUGGAUUAGAAGCAUCCUAGCCCUCAUUUGGAUUUUGGAAGAGUUUUCAGCCAUUUAAGGUAUUUUUCUACCUAUUAAUGGGUUGGAUUUUGUAGAUUUUGUGGGGUGUUCGUUCGAAGCCCCUAACCCUCUUAGAAUUUUUGUUAGGGAGCUAGGAGACUUGUGGACAACUCUGUUCGCGCAAACGAAGGGGUUGCGAGGGGUAUCCGGUGGGUUUGACCUCACCGAAAUGGGUGAACUCUCCCUAUGUUAUAUCUUGUGGUUUAAAAUGGAAAAUCAUAUAUAUUCAUGCUAGAUAUGGCAUAAAUGAAUUUUUGAAAGCUUAAGACACAUGUGUUAUAUGUCAUGAUUAUAGCCUCUAUGUAGUAGAGAGGGAAUUGUAUAGUAAAUUUGCAUGUGAAGUGGCAUUCUUAUACUAUGUUGGAAAUCAUGCUAUAUUAAGUAAAAUGACAACUUUUAUAUGCAUAUGAACAAAGGACAUGUGCUAGACAUAGAGAACAUUAAUGUCAUAAAGUGGCAUUUGACUUAGUAAACGAUUAAACCUUUACACUAUGACAUAGAGAUGGACCUUUGGGUUACUAGUACUUGUACCAUAUUUUAGACAUGACGACCGUGUACUUGAGAUAGAUGAUCAUGCCUGCUUGCCAUUAUACUCAUUCGCACAUACUUGUGAGGGUCGCUCCCCACAAGCCGGCACUCCAGAGUUGCCCUACGCGACAUAUGCUCGCCCGUGCGGGAUUCGGUGCCUACUGGGUCGGCGUGGGACAAGCUCAUUCCUAGAGGAGGAAUGUUGGAGUACCACGGGCCAUUAGGCAGCACAAGCCGGACUACACUUGUGUAGGUCCCAAAUUGGAAUUGGAAAAUGACAUUUAAACAAUUAAUGUGACAAUCACUACUUGAUCGUGUAUAGUAGUUGGAUUCCUUGGACAUGCUUAGUGCAUAUUAGCGGAUUUAUUGGACAUUCUUAGUGCAUACUAGUGGACUCUUUGAACAUACUCAAUCAUGAUAGAAUAGCAGUAUCACUUGUUGAACAUCAUGCUAAUUAGAGUCAUAGUAGCUUAGUAAAUUAAUACUUGCUUAUUAUACAUGUUGUUUAUUUCAGUUACAAUAUUCUACUCUUUACCUCUAUAACCUAGUGGUGUAUUUCGCUGAGGUCGGCGGCUUACCCACUAGGAACUAUUAACUAAUAGUUCUCAUUCCCAUUGUGUUGUUGUUUUUGUUUACAGAGCCAUCCACGCCGGAAGAGGCUAGAGAUCACGGCAAGGGAAUCGCCUCUAGCUAGAUAGCUUGGAGUACUUUCACUAGGUGGACAUCUCUCCAUUUGUUUUAAUUAGAGAGAGAUAUUUUGUACCUGAUGUAUAGAGACCACCACUUUUGUACUUAGUUUUAUUUGUGUGGAUCUUGUGUUGUAUACACUACAUUAUGGUUUAUGUUAGUUGUUUAGCUCUUUUAUUAUCUACUUGUCUCCAGAAGUUAGAAGUACUUAUGCUCUGAUAUCAUGCAAGAUGUUUUAUCUAUCCGUUUUAAUUAUCGUAUGGUUGUAGACGCCUUAUAUGUUGUAGGCAUAUAGCGGGUCUGGACACGCACCGGGCGGGCUUCCGCUGGGUCCCGGGGCGUGACAUGUAUAGAGGAAAGACAGAAUUACAUUCAACUUUUAUGCACUAGCUUAUUACUUCAGCUAUCUACUAAUCUUGCCUCAGUUGACCUAGUAGUGUAAUUCACUCUUCUCGGUGUCUUAUCCACUGGAAACUAUUGUUUAAUAGUUCUCACAUCUGUUGUUUGUUUAUUUUUGUUUCAGAGACUUCCACAGCAAGAGAGGCUAGGGAACGAGGAAUGGGGUUAGCGACUAGCUAGAGUUUACGAGUGUCGCUAGAGGUGGACUCGAGAUGUCUUUCUUUAGUUUUUGUCUUGAAAGGCGCAUUAGUUACUUUUGUAUCGUGAUCCUGUUGGUGGUCAUGAGAUGUAUUUUUUGGUUGAUACAUACUAUAUAUCUUGUGAAUGGCCUAUGCAUUUAUCUUGUGUUGUUCAUAGAAUCUCUUGUAUGCUCUGAUUCCCUCAUGUAUGAUGUUUUAACUUUACUAUCUCUUGUUCACAUCAUGCUUCUUAUUGUGUACGCCUUGUGUGCACCGGGGUUACCUAGUGCACACGGCGGGUCUGUGCAUGUACCGGAAUACAUGGAAUCUGUGUGUCAUGCUCGAGCCCCAGUGGAAGCCUACCCAGCACGUGCACAGACCUGCCAUGCACACAAAGCACCCCCGAUGCACACAAGGCAUCUACAUCAAACAAAGCAGAAAAAGAAAUAUAUACACAUCCUAUACAAGGUAAGCAGAGCACGUGAACAUAACACUAAAGAGUAAAUCAAGUCUACUACAACUAACUAUUUACUAGAUAUACAAUAAGUUUCAAACAAAAGUACAUCUUAUGAACAUAAGGUGGCAUCUAUGCAAAAACAAAAAUACAUCUUAUGAACAUAAGGUGGUCUCUAUACAAAAAUAAACUAGUAUAUCUUUCACAACUAAAACCAAAAGAAAGGUACCUCAGAUCCACCUAUAGCAACACUGGAGUAGGAUCUAGCUAGUUGCUAAAUCCUUGCCACGAUCCCUAGCCUCUUCCAUAGUGGAAGGCUCUGUAACAAAAACAAAUAACCAAUGGGGGUAAGAACGAUUAAACAAAAGCGAAAUACACCACUAGAUCAAUUGAGGCAAAAGAUUGUGAUUAGAUGAAAUGAAAAGCUAACAUAUAAGCCGAAAUGAAAAUGUUCUAAUACUAUCAUGCCUCUAUAUAACUAUGCCAACCAACAUAGCUAUUUUUUAUCAUGCCUCUAUAUAACUAUGCCAACCAACAUAGCUAUAGUUUUACUAGUGACAUGCAUAUAAGUGUGUCAUAACUAACAUGUAUAUUCUACUACCAUGUAUGCAUCAACUAGUUAUGAUAUUGUCAUGCCCCGGUACUACCACUUUGGUCAGUUCAGAGACGCGCAUAGACUGCCGAACAGACAGAGCCUCCUCUAUCCGCUUAAGGCAUAAACAAAAUCAUGUAUAUCGAGUUUUACCUAGAAAAUCAGCAACAUAACAUAAAUUGCACGAGGGCAAUUACACAUGAACAAGAGAGAUUACUUAACUAAUAGAACUUAAACAUUUAAGCUUCACAUACAUUCACUCUCUUUACAUAAUUUACACUUAUCAUCUACCAAAAUAAAACCUCUACAAAGUUCUCUCAAAAUGUAAACACAUAUCUCCACUGUUUAGGGUAAACUAGUACUCAAAAGUCCACUCCCUAGGGUGUAACACCCUUGCCGCGAUCCUGUGUCGCCGUGUCGGGCAAAAGUUCUACAAUACAGGGUGUCAGAACUACAUGAAGUUUCUAUUGGGUUUGGCCACCAACACAGGCGUCUUUCCUACUAGGUCUUAUCAGGUCUAAGUAGUAAGGAAGAGUAAACUAUACUAUGCAACUGAAACAACUACUAUGCCUCUAUAAAAUGAAACUAGGUAAAUAAUAAAUGCUACUAUGCUCAUGAUGCUUACUAUUUCUAUCUUUUAACCCAAUCAUACCGGCCACCCAGAGAUCGAGCCCACUCACAAUAUCAGGGCCCACGAGUAUCAAGGCCCACGGGGACAAUCACCAAACCAGGGCCAUCUGUUGUGGAGAUAGCCGCUCAAUCCAUACUUGACAACUCCGGAGCUCACUGCUUGUGGUGUCAUGACAACCACAAGCCGAGCAAACUAUGUGUGAGUAUGAUCUAGCUCUCCAAUUCUGAGAGCACACCAACGACAAUGAUAAUGCUAUCCUGGGAUCUACCAAUCCCUAGCAUCUAUCUCAAUAAGUGCUCUACAACAAUAUACCUCUAAAUGCUAUCAAACAUAACUAAUAAUGAGAUGCCACUAAAUGUCACCAAUGUUCCACUAUAUUUUCUAAGUUCACCAAUGUUCCACUAUAUUUUCUACCAAUGAGAUGCCACUAAAUGAGUUCUCGACCGAAGUUGUCUAACCCUACUUUAGGAAGUAUCCAAUGAAUUAAAAGCACAAACAAGAUAAUAACCCUAAAAUGCGUUAUUUACAUAUAUACAUAUAUGACCAAAACAACGACUUAGACAUAGAAAGAAAUUCAAUUGUUCCGGAUAGCAUCACCUACCUCAAUUCGACGUCCAUUGCAAGGGAAUCCAAGAAAUUUAACUUUCAAUGCCGAUUCGGCAUUUUUGGACGUUAACGAAUGGAAUUCUUUGAUUUCGGCUCGAUUUUCCUCAAUUGGCCACCGAAACGUCGUUACUUUUUGAGUAGAAGCCACUAGGCGUUUUUUUACAACCUUCAAUUAGAGGGUUACCAAAUCAAUUUAGAUUAAAUCACUACAAAUCCAAAAGCUCCUUUCUAAACCCUAGAAACCUAUUUUCUCACAAAAUAACCCAAAAUCUUUGUGAUUUUAUAAUAAUCUAGAUUAGAAUCACGUAUGAUUUCCAACUAUCUCGAUUCCAAAGGAUUUACCAAAAACCCUCACUCAAAAACCUCCUCUCCAAAAACACAAUCCAAGGAAAAAACUUGCCCACUAACCUCUUAUAGGGCUCCAAACCAAACUAGGUAGGUGCUAGGGUUGGAGAUCUUUCCUCAACCAAGCUCAAAUCUUCAAGUCCAAAGCUUCUCCAAGGUGGAAGAACCAUCACCAAGCAAAAUGGAGAAGAAUUUAGAGAUCAAUCCUAAAAAAUCCACCUAUCUAAGUGGAGAAAUCUACCUAUCUAAGUGGAGAAAUCUAGAUAGAGGAAGAGGGGGUGCUCACCUUCUUCUUCUCUAGUUCACAACCCAAAGUGCCCUCAUAGGGGUGUUGGGGAUAUUUAUAGAGAUGUACAAUCCCCAAAAAGUCCCUCAAAAAUAUCCAGUCUGUAAACUGCACUGCAUACCGGUACUCAGGCAGGAGUACCAGUACCCGGCAACCAAACCUACGCAACCUGAGCCUCUAUUAAGCGAACAGCUUGCGGUGUACCGGUACCUGCUCAAUGCAAUACCGGUACCGAGCCCCAGUACCGGUACUCGACUGAAUCAGUACCGGUACUCAGCCUCCCAUAGCUCAAACCCGAGAGCACCUGUCACGCCCUGAGACCGCUACCAAUUUGGUCCGGUUCGGACUCGUCGAACAGACGCCGAACGGACAGCACCUCCCCUGUCCGCCCAAGACUAAGCAACAAGAUCAUGUACAAGAAUUUGCCCAGGAAAAGAAAUUCAUUACAUACACGAUCAACACGGAGCACCACAAGUGCUAACAAGUAAGAGCAAGAACCACAAGUAUACAACAAGUGAAUAAAGAGAGUUAUUCUAGCUAUUACAACCAUUCAACAUUCAUCUUUAAUUACAUUUUCAUCUUCCAAAAUGUAAAUACAAUUUAACCACCAAAAUACAUGAAAAGCUUCCAAAUACAUCACAUGUCUCUAGUACACGAGGGUACUCUAAUGCAAAAUAGGAAGCUACUAAUUAACUCAGGGCGCUAUGCCCUUGCCGCGGUCCUCGCCCGACGAACUCGUACUCGGCCCUGCAACAAAGUGGGGUGAGAACUAUAUAAAUAUAGUUCCCAGUAGGUUCGGCCGCCGACUCCGCCGAUCUUCCCACUAGGUCUAAGCAGGCAUAAGCAGAUAGAUAGAUAGAUAGGUAGAAAUGUAAACUGCAACUAUUCGACCAUGCCUUCAAUGCGAUGCUAUGUAUGAAAUAAUCAUUAUGCAACAGUAUACUAUCAUGCUAGUAUGAUGUCAAGAGUAUGUAUAUGUAACAUAGCAAUGCAAUCUACAACAUACACUAUGUCUACUCAAGGUAAGAAUGCGAUUCUACUAUGCCAUUAUGUUUAUUACCCAAUUUACCUGGCUAACACGUAGGUUAGGCCCUCGACUCACUCUCAAUCUCAUAGGUGAGGAGAAGCUGCACUCGUACACCGAGACCGUUUGCAGGACAACUACGUCUGCCCUUGUUUGAAGUACUCCGGAGACCACUGCUUCGAUAGAGCGACCACCAACAAGCGAAACAGACUAGUGAGUAUGAUCCAAUCCUCACAAGAGGAUACCCUAUCUACUAGGGUCAUAGUGCCUCUGCUGCACAAUCACAAUGCAUAAUCAAAUGCCGGGACUUCUACUAUCCCUAAGUUCAUGUCAUGUUUACUACACUAGACUCGAUGCCACUCGUUCGAUCAUUUGUAGUAAGUUUUCUAACUAGUUGACAUGCCACUUGUUCAUAUUUAGUGUUUCUACUACACUAGUUCAAUGCCACUCAUCUAGGCUAUACAUGUCCAAGUUCACCUCAUUAUGCCACUAUAGGACUCCGUGUCACAAGACCCAAUCCUCAUGCGUCCCUACUCCAUGUGUCAAGCCUUCAAUGCUACACUACUAAGAAAGCAUGCAAGGAGUUAGAAUUGCAACUAUCUACUAACCCUAUAAUGCAUAAUAUAUGUAUAUGAUCGACAUAAGGAAUUUAGACAUAAAAAGAAGCCCGGUUGCUUCGGGAUGGACAGCCCCCACCUUUUGGUGAUGUCUCGAUGCUACGAUUCCGGUUUCGUGAUUUUUGGAAGCUUACGCCGCGUGCUGCGGCAAUCUGUACCGAAAUCGGCUUUUCCUUGAUAUCUUUGCGUACACUCGUCGGAUUGCCGAACCGAGCGCACCGUUGCGUUCGUUGACCUAACAAUUAGGUUAGAGAAGGGUCAAUCGAGAUCAAAACCCUCCAUAAACAAAAUUCCUCUUUUGGAUGCCCUAGAAGCCCAAUAUUGCAAAAAUGUCAUCUACUAACAUUUAAUCAUGCAAUCAAUAAGUUCAUCCACUUCUAGAGAUCCACUAGAGUCCAUCUAGCUAGGUUCUAAGAGAUCAAAGCAAACCCUAAGCUUCUUGCCAUGAGAGGGUUGAAGCUUACCUCUGCUAGCUAGACCAAAGAUAAGAAGAAGAGGUGAGGAAGAUAGUAGCUCUCCUCUUGAUCUUCUUCUUCUCCUUCUCCUCCUUCUUCUUCUUCUUCUUCUCCUUCUUUCCUUCCUAGAGAGAGAAAGAGAGAUGUGUGGGUGUGAGUGUUGGAAGGAAAUGAGAGAAAGAGAGAGGGAAAAUGCCCACUUAACCCCUCUCAUGCAACAAUAGCACUAAGCCCCCUCCACUUUGCUUCCUGUGCACUGCCUAAACUAGGCAGAUUUCGUGUGCGGGGACCGGUCCCUCUACGAGAGGACCAGUCCCCGAGAGCUGCCUCACACGCAGAGCCCUCGGGCUAGCCCUAUCACGCGCACGGAGAUCGGUCUCUCCCGCUAGGGACCGGUCCCCGAGAGUGGAACUCUCGGGACUUAGCCGAUUUUUCCUUCUUUUCGCUCGCUACGCGUACGGGGACCGGUCCUCGCCUGAGGGACUGGUCCUCGGGGGUCCAGUCCCCUGCCAAGAGACCGGUCCCCGAGAGGACAAUUCUGCGCAGAGCCCUCUGCUCUGCCUUGCACGCGUACGGGGACCGAUCUCUCCCGCCAGGGACCUGUCCCCGAGAGCAGAAUUCUGGCAGACAGUAGUCUGCCGACCUCUACGCGUACGGGGACCGGUUUCUCCCACCAGGGACCGGUCCCCGAGAGGACAAAAUCUACAGUUUGGCAAAUUUGCUCCAGCUUGCUCUCGUGACCUCUCCUCAAUGCACUUUUUUGCAUUUUUAACAUCAUCGACCUUUCCGAAGUGCAUCAACCCCUCACAUGGUCGAUUCUAAACGAAGUCCAACUCUCGCAUUUCGAGAAUUCACUUCCUUACAUCCUCCCCUCCUUAAAAGGAGUUUCGCCCUCGAAACUACUCAACUUAACCAAAAACAUACCUCAACUCAAUUCUUCGAAGAGAUGAGGAUGGUGCACUCUCAUCACGUCCUCAAGUUCCUAAGUGACUUCACGAUCAUUGUGACUAGUCCACCGAACCUUGACGCAGGGGAUUUCGCGAUUUCUCAAUUUCCGCACUUCUCGAGCAAUAAUCAUCAUCGGAAACUCCUCAUAGCUCAUAUCUUCUUGCAAUUCCGGUGGUUCAUAUGACAACACAUGCUCGGGAUCGUGGAUGUACUUGCGCAGGUUGGAAACGUGAAAUACGUUAUGCACAUCCGCGAACUUCGGCGGUAAGGCAAGCCGAUAAGCUACCACUCCAAUGCGCUUUAACACUUCAUACAAUCCAAUAUAACGAGGAUUUAGUUUUCCUCGAACUCCGAACCGUUACACACCCCUCAUGGGUGAAACCUUCAAGAAGACACGGUCACCCACCACGAAUUCUAAAUCUCGACGGCGCUUAUUUGCAUAACUCUUUUGUCUUGAUUGCGCCGUAAGCAAUCUUUGGUGAGCAAAGCGGAUUUUCUCUUCCGCUUCUCGCAGCACGUCGGGACCCAAUGCCGAACGUUCACCUACAUCACCCCAGUGUAUAGGAGAUCAACACCUUCGCCCGUAAAGAGCCUCAAACGGUGCCAUCUUUAUACUUGCUUGAUAACUGUUGUUGUAGGCGAACUCAGCCAUCGGUAAGUGGUUUGCCCAACCACCCUUAUAAUCAAUGACACACGCCCGCAGCAUAUCCUCCAAGAUCUGAAUGGUUCUCUCCGAUUGCCCAUCAGUUUGAGGAUGGAAUGCGGUGCUGAAAUCAAGGCGCGUGCCGAGCGCUUCCUGCAGGCUUUUCCAAAAGUGUGAGGUAAAUCGGGGGUCUCGAUCCGACACGAUCGACUUCGGAACCCCAUGCAAUCUCACCACUUCAUCGAGGUACACCUGCGCUAACUUGUCACCUGACCAUGUAGUAUGAAUCAGUAUAAAAUAUGUCGAUUUGGUCAAACGAUCCACAACUAUCCAGAUAGCAUCGUGGCCUUCCACCAACCGGGGUAAUUCGACCACGAAGUCCAUAGAUAUGUUCUCCCAUUUCCAAAUGGGGAUAGGUAGACUUUGAAGCUUUCCCGCUGGAAAUCGGCGCUCCAGUAAUAUACCGAAAAUUCGGAAAGUAAAAAUAUCGAACUUUGGUCAAAUUGACCAAAGUGCGAGGAUGGUACACUUCGGAAAGACCGAAGGUGUUAAAAUGAUCAAAAGUGAGUUGUGGAAGGUUUUCGAGAGCUAAAGAAUCAAAUUCUUGCAAACUGCAGAUGUUUCAGCUCUUCUCGGGAACCGGUCCUGGUGGGAAAGAGACGGCGGUCCCCCAACGCGUUGCAAGAAUGAGACAGCAAAAAAAUCGGCUAAGUCCUGGAAGAUCAGCUCUCCCGGGGGAACCGGUCUCUGGCCUGAGAGAACCCGGAUGCCCCAGAGACCGUCCAUCGGAGAGAGACCGGUCGCAUCGCGCGCAGCGGCUCCUGGCUGGCGCAGGGUGACUUCGGAACCGGGUCCCUGCUCGGCGGAGACCGGUCUCUCCUGCGAAAAACUGCGAGUUUCAGGCAGUGCACAGAGGUGAAAGUUGAAGGGUUUAUAAUGGCAUUUUUGCAACCGCAUUGAGACUAUGUUAGGGCUGAGGGCUUUUCCUCUCAUUUCCACCCCCACACCUUUCUCUCCCUCCUCCCUUCUAGAAGACAAAAGAAGUAAGAAGAAGAAAGAAGAAAAGAGGAGAAGAAGGAAGAAGUGAAGAAGAAGAGUCAAGGAGCAAAGGAGCUUCAUCUCUUCUCUCGCGUAAUCAAAAAAAGAAGCUUACGAAGGUAACUUGACUCCCAAGUAUAGAAAACCCUAGAAUUGAGUUUGAAAUGACCUAGAGAUGGUUUAUAAUGGAAUGUUUAAAAGAGUUUUGCCGNNNNNNNNNNNNNNNNNNNNNNNNNNNNNNNNNNNNNNNNNNNNNNNNNNNNNNNNNNNNNNNNNNNNNNNNNNNNNNNNNNNNNNNNNNNNNNNNNNNNCCUCUACUCAGUUAUUUCCAUGUUGAUAUCAUGCCUAGGAGUAGAGUUAACUUAUCUGUUCACUAUAUCUGUGAUUUGGUUGGGCGUAGAGUUAACUUAUCUGUUCACUAUAUCUGCAUUCCUCUACUCAGUUAUUUCCAUGUUGAUAUCAUGCUUAGGAGUAGAGUUGACUUAUCUGUUCACUAUAUCUAUGAUUUGGUUGGGCGGUUCCCCUAUUUUGAUAUCUGUGACCUAUUCGGUCGAGUUGCUACAGUUCUAUCUAUGUCUGUGAUUUGGUUGGGCGGUUCCCCAUUUGAUAUCUAUAACCUAUUCGGUCGAGUUGCUACAGUUCUAUCUUGACAUACGUAGCCGAUAUUUUGCUGAUGGCCUAUACGGUCGGUGUGCCCUGAGGGGUUGGAUUGUCGGCUAGUUGCCGAUGGAAGAUCUUUGAGCAUACUACAUUGAUCGCCACUGCAGGUACGCAUUUCAAGAACACCAGCGGUCUGAUCCACCGCAAGAGGGUGUUCUUUUCCGGAAAAGUGGUUGGACUGCCAACCCGUGAGCCCAUGGGCUUUAUUGCGAGGGUAUAUGCUUCUGACCCAGGGGCUUUAUUGCGAGGGUCAGGUACAUGUUUCUGACCCAGGGGCUUCAUUGCGAGGGUUAGGAACAGAUUGAGCAGUGUGGCAUGGGCCUGAGGUCCUCGGACCAAUAGGGCAUCGAGAUUGGGUAUUUUUGAGGUUGUCGUCAGUUGACGCAUGCAUACAGUAGCUGUAGUGUUUAUUUCCAGUACAUCCUUAUCUGUUUAAUUGUAGCUACUGUUUUAUUUAACUGCAUCUAUACUUGUCAGCUCCUUACAUAUCUCUUUCGUUUACUAUUGUUCCUACUGUAUUUUCACUGACCCGUGCUGUUGUUUAGCUCUUCCUGAUCUGGUGAGUACUCCUCGCCUUCAUCGGCUUGCGGUACCCACUGGGAGGGGAGACAUGUUUACAUGUUCUCACCUCCCCCCCAUUUUUUUCAAAGUAUCGCAGCGAUUGGGUAUUGAACAACUGAGCACGUACUUAGCGAAUCUUAGAUCUUCCGACCCAGUAUUUUACGAUAGUUAUUAUCCUAGUAUUUCUUUGAUUAUAUACUUCGUUAUUUAUUGUUCAGUAUCUUAUUUCCCAUUUGAACAAUUGGACUUUUGAUUUUAAAAUAAAAUGUUUUCUACCCCUCGUACUUUUAAAAAAUAAAAGUUUCUGUUAAAACACAGUUUUCCAACAGAUUUGGAUUUCUGUAAAGCUGAAUGUAAAAUUGUGAUCGUGAAAUUGUAAUUUAUAAUUAUGAGUGAUAAUUACAUUUAUUCAUCUGGUAUUUGUUCUAUCAUGGUUGUACUCUGCUAUUCUGAAUCGACGCUGUCAAAUACAGGAGAAUGUGCUCCUUGAACAUGGAUCCCGUAUUUGUGGCGGAUCUGUCAUACUCGUCACUGGUCUUUCAAAAUAAAAAAUAUUCAGCACUCUUUCUGCUUUGUUUAAACUAAAACGGGACCCCGCGUUAAACAUGUACACUACUAUAUUGAUUCUUAUAUUUAUUUUUCUCAAUUUAUACUUCAUGGAAGCUUUUUAGAAUUAGGACAAAAAGAUUCAAGACGUAACAACAAAAAAAUUAAUACUAUUUGAAUACCAACUAUGUGCUCAUAAUUAUAAAUAUAUUUUUAAUGAUUUUACUAUAUUUUUUCAUAUAACGCUAUUAAUUAUAAAUUAAUACUAGAUUGGACAUUAUACUUCAAAUACAAAUUAUUAUGUAUUAUAAUCUGAUAACUAUUAUAAUACGACACUGCAUAGUCUACCAUCUUCAAUUAACGACACUUUACGUUCUUACUUUUCUUACUAAUUAUAAAUAUAAUAUAAAAUUACUUAUACAUUUAGUAUAAUUCUUUUAAUUUGUAUUUUGGUCAUUAUUAGUAUUUUUCUGUAAACUUAUAGCUAACAAAAAUGGGUUGCACACUGUGAGGAUUCUGCUGAAAACUUCAUAACUUAUACCAUAGGAUGAAGCCUGUCAAAUUAUGAUCAAUGGCAGAUACAAAUUCAUGGUAUCUCAUUUAUUCAAACUUUGGAUAUUAUUUAUAUUCUUACUAAUUAUACUAAUUAUUGUAUAUCUAUGGGCAACAUAGCUUCACGUAGUAUAUCAAACUCUCUUUAUGCAAUCAAGAUGAUGAUCAAUACUGAUAUAUCAGAAAUAUUGGAGUUCAAAAAUAAGUAAGUUAACCAAUAACCUUAUUAUUUUUUUUAUAUAUAUUGUUCACUUACAUUAAAAUAUAAAAUUUAGGAUUGUAAGCGGAGAACUAAGUCAAUCUAUGGUGCUUAGUGAAAUUUCAACUCAAUCCACUGAACAUAUAUCAUCUUUUCAGCCUUGUGUAUGUGUCACUCUAGCAACUAUUCUAAGUGUUGAGACUGAGCGUGGCUGAUACUACAAUUCUUGCAAAAAAGUGUAGCAAAAAGGUGAUUCCUGAUGGAACUGAAUUCUAUUGUGAAUUUUGUGAUAGAAUGGUAGUGUUGGACUAAGGUGAGAAUUUUUACUUCUGCACUUGACGUGUAUGAUUUAAUGUGAUGUUUUUCUAACAACAAUCUACAAUAUGCAUGCUAUGACAAUAAACAAGAGUCAAAGUCAAUCGUUAUCACAUGUUGGCUUAUAUCUAUCUAGACCGAUAUUCAGUCGUGGUCAGUUAUAUGUUGCAAUAUCUAGAGUUCGAAGCAAGGACGGAUUGAAUAUUCUAAUUUGUGAUAAAGAUGGUUUGUUAUCCAAAACCACAAGCAAUAUGGUUUUUAAAGAAAUGUUUCAGAACUUAAAAUAGGUAAGCGAUUUAUUUUUCUUCAUGUUAUUUCAAAAUUUACUAUUUUUCAACAAUUCAACUCUGUCAUUUUAUUUUUUAAAUAAAUUUAGAUAUUUUUCUGAAAAAAUUAACUAAUAUUAUGAUAUUUAUCAUUUCACUUAUCUAACAAUUUAUCUAUAUUGUUAUUGGAGCAGAUACUUGCCAUCUGCAUGCAACAAAGUUUUUUUUCUUUAUAUUUUGUUGAAGACCAACAUCUAUAUAUUUUUGAAUAUUAAAAGUUUGUAUGUCUCUCAUAUACGUAUGCUUAUUCUAAUUUGUUUCAAAUAUGAAAGUUUAGUUGAUCUUAUUAUAUGCUUAAAUAUUAAUGUCAUUUGUAAUUUUUCAUAUCAAUUUUAAUUAUCAUUUUGUUUGCACAUCAAUAUGUAAACGUAAAUUGUUUUGUAUACCAAUUCAUAGAUAAUAGAGCAGGGUUGAAUUUUGCUUUUUACUUGAGUAUUUACUUUGGUCUAUAAUUUUGUUCUCUACCUUUUGUACUUUAAUAUGUACUAUAAUUAAGAUUGAUAGUAUAUUUCUUUAUUUGUUAAAAAAAUAUAAUAUUAAUUAGAAUAUUUUNGUGGAUAGAGCCCGAUAGUCGCAACGGGGCAGGGACGGGUGUAUUCACAGUCCCGGGGACGGGUAUGCUUACAGUCCCGAUUGGAUUGGGUCAGAUUGGACAUUUUCUACAGUUGAUUAGUGUAGAGCAUGAUAGUGUAGUGUUUGAUAGCGGUAGACUUUAUUCCUGCAUUUACUACUAUUCUUGCUCCCUUCUGUAGACUUAGUGGGUGGACCGAUAUUGUUUUGGGCGGUACCCACUGAGGACUACUUGUUUUUACAGUAGUUCUCACGCCCUGUUGUUACUUCAUCUUUUGCAGAGCCAUCGUCUUUGGCUGCUACUAUUGCUGAUCAGGAUCGAGGCAAGGGCGUCGCGAGUUAGAGCCCUACCCGACGAGCCGAGCUAGAGGUGCUCUACUGCAGGUAGUAGUUUUGUUGGAGUUCUUGUACUUACCUACCUUUAACUCGCCAGUGCGAGUAGCUUUUGUGUAUCUUGGAUUUUGGGGUAUGUAUAUGGAACUCAGUUGGUUUUCUCCGUUUCUCCUAGCAGCUCUAUACUACUGUUUGUAGUAUUGUUUGAUUUACAGAUUCAGCUAUCGCUUCGUAUACAGGGAAAAUUCUUUUGUAUACGGCGGAUUUGUCGGCGCGCUCGGGGAACGAGUAAUCCGGGACGUGACAUAGAGUCAAUCCAUGACUCCACCAUUGACGGUUCCACCUUCUCCCCCUCAAAGGUUGGUGGCUUAAACUUCAUGAACUUGAUAAGAGCCAUCAACGCAUGCUCCCGCUCCACUUCAUCGGCUGUUGUGUCGGGUGUCCCCUAACCCGAAGUCGUUGGAGGUACACUUGUCGGCGGGGGACAUGCCGUCACCGGAACCGCCGCUACGCCCUCACCCUUAGCCGCUCCAAGCGCGCGUGCCAAGGGUGCGGGUGGAUCACGGCUUUCAGUCACUGUCGCGGCCGCCGCCGCCGCCUGCCGCUCCACGAACCCUUAGAGCUGCUCAAACCGAGUCUCCUGGCGCUGCAUCGCGCCCACCAUCGUAGCGCUCGAGAAGAGACGAUCACGCGCGGUCGAGAUCCAUAAGGCUCCUCGUAGGUAUGAACCUGUCACCUUGAACAAGAAUUCAAGGUUUGAGAUAGCGAGGGAGAGAGAGAGAGAAAGAGAGAGAGAGAUAGAGGGGGAGUUGCUCACCAUGAGCCUCCAAAUCCGAUCGAUCGGAGAAUGGAAAAGAGAGAGAGAGAGAGAGAGCCACCAAAUCCGAUCGAUCGAAAAAUGGAAGAGAGAGAGAGAGAGAGAGAGCCUCCAAAUCCGAUCGAUCGAAAAAUGGAAGAGAGAGNNNNNNNNNNNNNNNNNNNNNNNNNNNNNNNNNNNNNNNNNNNNNNNNNNNNNNNNNNNNNNNNNNNNNNNNNNNNNNNNNNNNNNNNNNNNNNNNNNNNNNNNNNNNNNNNNNNNNNNNNNNNNNNNNNNNNNNNNNNNNNNNNNNNNNNNNNNNNNNNNNNNNNNNNNNNNNNNNNNNNNNNNNNNNNNNNNNNNNNNNNNNNNNNNNNNNNNNNNNNNNNNNNNNNNNNNNNNNNNNNNNNNNNNNNNNNNNNNNNNNNNNNNNNNNNNNNNNNNNNNNNNNNNNNNNNNNNNNNNNNNNNNNNNNNNNNNNNNNNNNNNNNNNNNNNNNNNNNNNNNNNNNNNNNNNNNNNNNNNNNNNNNNNNNNNNNNNNNNNNNNNNNNNNNNNNNNNNNNNNNNNNNNNNNNNNNNNNNNNNNNNNNNNNNNNNNNNNNNNNNNNNNNNNNNNNNNNNNNNNNNNNNNNNNNNNNNNNNNNNNNNNNNNNNNNNNNNNNNNNNNNNNNNNNNNNNNNNNNNNNNNNNNNNNNNNNNNNNNNNNNNNNNNNNNNNNNNNNNNNNNNNNNNNNNNNNNNNNNNNNNNNNNNNNNNNNNNNNNNNNNNNNNNNNNNNNNNNNNNNNNNNNNNNNNNNNNNNNNNNNNNNNNNNNNNNNNNNNNNNNNNNNNNNNNNNNNNNNNNNNNNNNNNNNNNNNNNNNNNNNNNNNNNNNNNNNNNNNNNNNNNNNNNNNNNNNNNNNNNNNNNNNNNNNNNNNNNNNNNNNNNNNNNNNNNNNNNNNNNNNNNNNNNNNNNNNNNNNNNNNNNNNNNNNNNNNNNNNNNNNNNNNNNNNNNNNNNNNNNNNNNNNNNNNNNNNNNNNNNNNNNNNNNNNNNNNNNNNNNNNNNNNNNNNNNNNNNNNNNNNNNNNNNNNNNNNNNNNNNNNNNNNNNNNNNNNNNNNNNNNNNNNNNNNNNNNNNNNNNNNNNNNNNNNNNNNNNNNNNNNNNNNNNNNNNNNNNNNNNNNNNNNNNNNNNNNNNNNNNNNNNNNNNNNNNNNNNNNNNNNNNNNNNNNNNNNNNNNNNNNNNNNNNNNNNNNNNNNNNNNNNNNNNNNNNNNNNNNNNNNNNNNNNNNNNNNNNNNNNNNNNNNNNNNNNNNNNNNNNNNNNNNNNNNNNNNNNNNNNNNNNNNNNNNNNNNNNNNNNNNNNNNNNNNNNNNNNNNNNNNNNNNNNNNNNNNNNNNNNNNNNNNNNNNNNNNNNNNNNNNNNNNNNNNNNNNNNNNNNNNNNNNNNNNNNNNNNNNNNNNNNNNNNNNNNNNNNNNNNNNNNNNNNNNNNNNNNNNNNNNNNNNNNNNNNNNNNNNNNNNNNNNNNNNNNNNNNNNNNNNNNNNNNNNNNNNNNNNNNNNNNNNNNNNNNNNNNNNNNNNNNNNNNNNNNNNNNNNNNNNNNNNNNNNNNNNNNNNNNNNNNNNNNNNNNNNNNNNNNNNNNNNNNNNNNNNNNNNNNNNNNNNNNNNNNNNNNNNNNNNNNNNNNNNNNNNNNNNNNNNNNNNNNNNNNNNNNNNNNNNNNNNNNNNNNNNNNNNNNNNNNNNNNNNNNNNNNNNNNNNNNNNNNNNNNNNNNNNNNNNNNNNNNNNNNNNNNNNNNNNNNNNNNNNNNNNNNNNNNNNNNNNNNNNNNNNNNNNNNNNNNNNNNNNNNNNNNNNNNNNNNNNNNNNNNNNNNNNNNNNNNNNNNNNNNNNNNNNNNNNNNNNNNNNNNNNNNNNNNNNNNNNNNNNNNNNNNNNNNNNNNNNNNNNNNNNNNNNNNNNNNNNNNNNNNNNNNNNNNNNNNNNNNNNNNNNNNNNNNNNNNNNNNNNNNNNNNNNNNNNNNNNNNNNNNNNNNNNNNNNNNNNNNNNNNNNNNNNNNNNNNNNNNNNNNNNNNNNNNNNNNNNNNNNNNNNNNNNNNNNNNNNNNNNNNNNNNNNNNNNNNNNNNNNNNNNNNNNNNNNNNNNNNNNNNNNNNNNNNNNNNNNNNNNNNNNNNNNNNNNNNNNNNNNNNNNNNNNNNNNNNNNNNNNNNNNNNNNNNNNNNNNNNNNNNNNNNNNNNNNNNNNNNNNNNNNNNNNNNNNNNNNNNNNNNNNNNNNNNNNNNNNNNNNNNNNNNNNNNNNNNNNNNNNNNNNNNNNNNNNNNNNNNNNNNNNNNNNNNNNNNNNNNNNNNNNNNNNNNNNNNNNNNNNNNNNNNNNNNNNNNNNNNNNNNNNNNNNNNNNNNNNNNNNNNNNNNNNNNNNNNNNNNNNNNNNNNNNNNNNNNNNNNNNNNNNNNNNNNNNNNNNNNNNNNNNNNNNNNNNNNNNNNNNNNNNNNNNNNNNNNNNNNNNNNNNNNNNNNNNNNNNNNNNNNNNNNNNNNNNNNNNNNNNNNNNNNNNNNNNNNNNNNNNNNNNNNNNNNNNNNNNNNNNNNNNNNNNNNNNNNNNNNNNNNNNNNNNNNNNNNNNNNNNNNNNNNNNNNNNNNNNNNNNNNNNNNNNNNNNNNNNNNNNNNNNNNNNNNNNNNNNNNNNNNNNNNNNNNNNNNNNNNNNNNNNNNNNNNNNNNNNNNNNNNNNNNNNNNNNNNNNNNNNNNNNNNNNNNNNNNNNNNNNNNNNNNNNNNNNNNNNNNNNNNNNNNNNNNNNNNNNNNNNNNNNNNNNNNNNNNNNNNNNNNNNNNNNNNNNNNNNNNNNNNNNNNNNNNNNNNNNNNNNNNNNNNNNNNNNNNNNNNNNNNNNNNNNNNNNNNNNNNNNNNNNNNNNNNNNNNNNNNNNNNNNNNNNNNNNNNNNNNNNNNNNNNNNNNNNNNNNNNNNNNNNNNNNNNNNNNNNNNNNNNNNNNNNNNNNNNNNNNNNNNNNNNNNNNNNNNNNNNNNNNNNNNNNNNNNNNNNNNNNNNNNNNNNNNNNNNNNNNNNNNNNNNNNNNNNNNNNNNNNNNNNNNNNNNNNNNNNNNNNNNNNNNNNNNNNNNNNNNNNNNNNNNNNNNNNNNNNNNNNNNNNNNNNNNNNNNNNNNNNNNNNNNNNNNNNNNNNNNNNNNNNNNNNNNNNNNNNNNNNNNNNNNNNNNNNNNNNNNNNNNNNNNNNNNNNNNNNNNNNNNNNNNNNNNNNNNNNNNNNNNNNNNNNNNNNNNNNNNNNNNNNNNNNNNNNNNNNNNNNNNNNNNNNNNNNNNNNNNNNNNNNNNNNNNNNNNNNNNNNNNNNNNNNNNNNNNNNNNNNNNNNNNNNNNNNNNNNNNNNNNNNNNNNNNNNNNNNNNNNNNNNNNNNNNNNNNNNNNNNNNNNNNNNNNNNNNNNNNNNNNNNNNNNNNNNNNNNNNNNNNNNNNNNNNNNNNNNNNNNNNNNNNNNNNNNNNNNNNNNNNNNNNNNNNNNNNNNNNNNNNNNNNNNNNNNNNNNNNNNNNNNNNNNNNNNNNNNNNNNNNNNNNNNNNNNNNNNNNNNNNNNNNNNNNNNNNNNNNNNNNNNNNNNNNNNNNNNNNNNNNNNNNNNNNNNNNNNNNNNNNNNNNNNNNNNNNNNNNNNNNNNNNNNNNNNNNNNNNNNNNNNNNNNNNNNNNNNNNNNNNNNNNNNNNNNNNNNNNNNNNNNNNNNNNNNNNNNNNNNNNNNNNNNNNNNNNNNNNNNNNNNNNNNNNNNNNNNNNNNNNNNNNNNNNNNNNNNNNNNNNNNNNNNNNNNNNNNNNNNNNNNNNNNNNNNNNNNNNNNNNNNNNNNNNNNNNNNNNNNNNNNNNNNNNNNNNNNNNNNNNNNNNNNNNNNNNNNNNNNNNCCGCCGGCGAGCUCCUCCGGCCGCCGGAAAUCCCUGCAUCACCUCUCUUUCUCUCCCUUUUGGCCAACCCCUUCACCGCAUUGUGGUUUGCGGACCCUGGUAGCCACCUAGCUCGAGCACCGUUGUCCCCUGGCCGUGGCCCAGCCUUCGGCGACUCCCCUCGUCGCCGCCGUCGUCCCUGCGCACCGCCGCCGCCGCCCAGACAGGCUGCGGCCAGAUCUUGGCAGAUCUGGCCCAGGAGCUUUAGCUCCCUGCUAGCACUGCCGCCGCCACCUUGGGACGGCCGAGACACCCUUCCUCGGAGCCCCGGCGACCUCCGCCGCCGGCCCCACCGUCAGCGCACGCCGCCGGAGCCGCCCCAGCUCUCUGCGGCCACCUGCAUGCACCCAGGCCGAGCUCGGGUCACCCUUGCAUCUGCGUGCCGCCACCGCUCCCUAUCGGCCGCGCCGCCCUCUGGCGACCUCCGGCGACCUCGCGCGCGCCUCCCCGCCGUCCCCGCACGCCGCCGGCCGCCGCCCGAGCUCUCUGCGGCCGUCCCGAGCGCGUGCGGGCGCUGCUUGGACCAGUACGGCCUUCGAGGGCCGCCGCAGCCCACCGAGGGGUGCACCACCUUCCCCUCGGUCUCCGGCACCGGAUCCUUGCCGCCCCGACCCCCUCCGGCCGCCGCCGCGCCGCCGGGAAGCUCGAACCCGAGAGGAACUUGGCGGCUUUGAGCUGCGCUGCCGCGCCACCGGCCACCUUCCGCCGCCGGCCAGCACCUUCCCCGGACCUCCCCGACCUGCUGCUCCCAUCACUGGCCGGAGCGCCCGCCACCCGACCGCCGGCGACGAGCCCUAGCUCCCACUGGUCCGGUAAGCACUGUUUACAUUGACAUCACUGUAGUUUAGAGUUCCUGUCACCUUUCUGGUGAUCCGAGGAUACUUUGACACUCCGGGAAGUGAGCACGAUGAUCUCAGAUUCGUGCUGAACAUCGUACUCACCUCCGACAGGGUCAACGAUGCCCUAGUUAGCGAAUUAGAGGCGAUCUUAGCGCUGUGCGCGCAAUUUCACUAAUUUUGCGUGGCCCGUGCGCGUGCCACAGUGGCCGGCAGUGCUCCGAAAGGUGAGCACGGCCUCCGGCACGCCGAGACCAGUCAGCGGGAGUCUCGUCUUGGCUGUUUGACUUCUGGUUUGCGUUGUCGGACCAUAAAAGCGCCGAAAUCGCAUGAAAUAAUGCGAUUUCAGGUAUUCAGGAGGGCUUUUAUGCAUUUUGGUUCGUCGUAGCUGUUGUUGGCAGCAAGUGUUGGUUGAGGAUAACCUCUAGACUGAUUGUCCAAGGCCCCAGACCCUUACGAAGAUCGAAAAUGCUUCUCCGGUGCGUUUUUCGGCGAAAUCCGCCGACGGAACGCGGGUUCGGUUCGGAAUUAUUCCGACGGUGCUUCGUGAGCUUUUGCGUAGUCGCUGAGCCUUGUUGGCUGGUCACUUGCGUCAUUUCGAGAGUUCGGAAAUGACGGGUGAGCGACGGUGGGUUCCGGUGUCGAAUUAGACACUUCCGGGAACCUGAAUCGAAACGAUUAUCGGACGAUAAUUGUUUCGACACGAGGAGUUGUGUUCGCUGCCAUGAUGCAUGAUUAUUUAUGUUUAGUGGCAGCUAGUGACUCGUAGCUCGAGUCGGUAUGUUCCGGGACAGUUCGUGGCUCCCGGCGGAGUCCCCGUGCGAUUACGGGACUUCCGGCGUAUUACGGCGAUCGGUUUGGGAAACCGAUCUCCAUGGGUUUGCUUGUAGGUUGUGGAUCUAGUGAUUAUUAGCUGUGGGUUAGACACUAACCCGGUGGACCUUCCUUAGGUCCGGUUGACGUCCUUUUGCAGUCAGGAGACAGGCGCAGCAUUUAUACAGGUGGGUACUUCGAUCCGACGUCGGUACAGUAGUGCACGCUCGGUGAUGGUUUCCUACCUCUGUUCUCUCGUUAUUAUCUGGCAUUUAUAUAUAUAUCUUGAUAUAUAGUAUUGAGCUUGCAUCCCCGUUAUUUCUAUUAUACUCUACUCAUAUGUUUCUAUGCUUAGUAUCAUGUGUAGAAGUAGAGUAGUUUAUCCAUUGUGAUCCCGGUGACCUGAUUGGUCGGUUCUCGUACUUUGUUUCGGUGACCUGAUUGGUCGGUUCUCGUACCUCGUUCGGUGACCUGAUUGGUCGGUUCUCGUACUUAUAUCGGUGACCUGGUUGGUCGGUUGUUGCAUUAUGUAUUGGGUUGGUCUGUUUCUUGACUUCUGUCGUUCGAUGACCUUUGAGGUCGGUGUACCCUGAGGGGUAGGAUUGUCGGCUGGCGCUGACGGUAGUUCUGGACUAUAUCGAAUACACUCCUGUGACCUAUCGGUCGGUUCUUGCGUUCGUACUUUUAGUUGACAUCGAGCAGUAUCUACAUACUAUCUUUAUUUACUCUGCCUGGUUGUUCUAUGUGUAGUAUCCUGUAUAGGGGUAGAGUAGAUGGCAUUCGUAUAUACUAUACUUGUGACCUGGUUGGUCGGUUCUCCUAUUUGCAUCGGUGACCUGUUUGGUCGUUCGUUACUUUCCGUACAUUGACCUAUCUCGGUCGGUUCACGUUGUUACUUGAUGACCUACACGGUCGGUAUGCCCAGAGGGGCAGUGAUUGUCGGCUGAUUGCCGACGGUUGGCUAUUGAUCAUAUCCGCAUUGAUCGCCACAGCUCGAGUGCAUUUCACGUACACCAGCGGGUUGAUCCCCCGCAGGAGGGUGUUCUUUUCCGGAAAAGUGGUCGUACAUCCGACCCGUGAGCCCAGCGGUGUUCUCUUUGUGCUAGGGUUACAUGCCAGGUGUGAGCAGGUAGUGGCUUUUGCCUGAGGUCCUGAGACCGACACGGCGGUUUAGAUUGGGUACUUUUGGACUUCUCGUCCGGUUGACGCAUAUAGCUAUAGUAGCGGUUGUUGCAUAUAUACUUCUAGUUCUUUCUUUACAGUUGUCUUGCUACUAUAGUUUUGAUAUCCUUGUAUGCUUGCAGUUGUACAUUACAGUAGCGGUAGUUGUGCUUUCAUAUAUAUAUCUCAUUCGUUCAUUAUCGUUGCUACUGUAUUUUACUUACCCAUACUGUUGUUUAUCUCUUCCUGAUCCGGUGAGUACUCCUCGCCUUCCUCGGCUUGCGGUACCCACUGGGAGGGAGACAUGUUUACAUGUUCUCACCUCCCCCACUAUUUUUCAGGUAUUACAGGCGUUGAGUUUUGGGACGAGACGUGAGGUACGUUCGUAGCGGUCGAUAGAGCUUCUGACACAGGUUAUCGGUUUAGUUUUAUCCCUACUAUUCUGUUGUUAUAGCUUAGUCAGUUUAUAUGGUUCAGUAUUUUUAUUACAUUGGAAUAUGUGGACUUUCAUGAAUGUAAUAAAAGGAUUUCUGGAUUUGGUAAAAUAAAAGGUUUUCUACCCCUCGUGGUAGCUUUUAUAAAAGAUAAAGGUUUUCGCGUAUGGAACAGUUUUCAAAAGAUUUUUCGUGGACUUUUGUUUAAACAUCGAAUGUAAAACUAUGGUGUGAAUGGUGAAUGUAUGAAGGUAUAGCUAUCUGUUUAUUCAUUUAGUUGUGGUUGUAUACUGUUUGUACUUUUGUACUUGUGCGACGCCGUGCAAAUACAGGGGAGACUCUAUCCGUGUGAACAGUGGAUUCCCUGUAUUUGUGGCGGAUCUGGCAUACUCUGGGGUCAGGUUUUCAAAAAAAAAAUUUAAACGCUUUUUCGCUGUGUUUCAAUCAAAAAGGGGACCCCGGGGCGUGACAAUAUUAUUAUAUUAUCCGUGCAUCGCACGAGUCAAAUACUAGUUAUUUUUCAAAAUAAAAUCACUAUAAAUCGGACCAUGAGAUUCAAGAAGGGAGUUUUUUUGGAACUUUUUUUUAAAAAAAAAAGUGAGAAGGUUGAAAAAAAAAGAAAAAGAAAGUAAAAAAAAAAAGAGCCUUAGGAGGAGGUGGUCCCGCACCUCCCUCUCUCUGGAUCGGACAGAGAAAGAGAGGCGUGAGUCCCUCCCUUUCUCAGACCAGCAAAAAAAUAAAAAAAAAAGCAAAAAAAAAAGAAAAAAAAGAGUGAAGGCACAACGACAACGACGGUGGCUGCGACGACUUCGACGACGACAACGGCGCACGAGGAGGCUGCUUGGCCUCUUCUUUCUUCUUCUUUUGCUCCAACGACGACAAAUUGGUGUAUACGUGCAAACGGUAUAGUAGUGAUCCUUUUAUUGGUUUGAUCAACACAACCGUCUUCGCGAUAGAUCAACCCGAUCAAAUCCGACAUUGGAUCGGUACUAUAUUGUGCGCGCGUAUUCACUAAGCAUCCGUCUCUCAAACAUUGAUGAAAGAUCUAUAUGAACGUGCGAAUGACGUGACGGCGAACCUCCAACCGAUUUGAUUGUGUGGCAGUCUUCGUGUUAGGCUCGACACGCUCAAAUCGCUACAAAAAAAUAAUAAUGAUAAUAAAAUAAAAUAAAUAUUUAUCUUGGAUCGCCGUCUUCGUGGUAGGCUAGAUCCAAUUUGGCUCUUCGUGAUAGGCUUGACCUGAAUUCGGUUCAUUUGCCACGGGUCACCGUCAUCGUGAUAGGCGUGACCCGGGUCCAGUUCGAUUAAACUGGGUCGCCAUCCUCGUGAUAGGCUUGACCCGGGUCCGGUUUAAUAAAUUGGGUAGCCGUCUUCGUGAUAGGCUUGACCCGAGUUCGGUUUAUUAAACCGGGUCGCCGUCUUCGUGAUAGGCUUAACUCAGAUUUGGUUCAGUAAACGGGGUCGCCAUCUUCGUGAUAGGUUUUACCCAGAUUUGGUUCAGUAACUGGGUCACCGUCUUAGUGAUAGGCUUGACCCAGGUCUGAUUUAUUAAGUCGGGUCGCUGUCUUCGUAAUAGGCUUGACCAGGGUCCGGUUCAAUAAGUCGGGACGCCGUCUUCAUGAUAGGCUUGACCCGAGUCCGGUUCAUUAAGCUGGGUCGCCGUCUUCAUGAUAGGCUUGACCCAGGUCCGGUUCAUUAAGUCGAGUCGAUGUUUUCGUGAUAGGCUUGACCUCAAUUUGGUUCAGUAAACCGGGUCACCGUCUUCGUGAUAGGCUUGACCCGGGUCCGGUUUAUUAAGCCGGGUUGCCAUCUCAUGAUAGGCUUGACCCGGGUUCAGUUCAUUAAACCGGGUCGUCGUCUUUGCGAUAGGCUUGACUCAUGUUCGAUUCAGUUAAACCGAAUCGAUUGCAUAAAUAUUUGGUUUGAACUGAACCCAAUAUGAUUGUGAGUUCAAUUUGAAUUUAAUUAAAAAAAGGACGAGCUGAACCUAAGUCAAACUGGCUUGGAUAUAAACUCAAAUUCAACCAACCCAAGUUAAUGUCGGUGCACGCCAGUGAUGGAUCAAAAGUAAGUUAAAGCCCAAGUUGGUGAAUCAUAUAUGACAUUGAGCCAAACUCACAACAGUGAACCGAAUCCAAUUGGGUUGAACUGAACCUAAGGAGGUGAACCGAACCUAAAACGAUGAACCAAAUCGACUAAUAAGCCAGUUCAAUUCAAAUCAUACUAAGAUUCAAGAGGUUUGAAUCAAACCAAAUAAUGAACCAGUUCGAGCCGAUUCGAACUACAAGCUGGCUCAACUUGAACUAAACCACAUGAGAUUUAAGCUAAGCCGAUCGAACUCACAACUUGUGUGACUCAAAUAGAACCAUAAAGGAUUCGACUUGAACCUAAGUGGAUCCGAUCUGAACUGAACCAUAAAGAAUUCGACUUGAACUUAAGUGGAUCCGAUCUGAACCAAACCAUAAAGGAUUCGACUUGAACUUAAGUGAAUUCGAUCUAAACCAAACUGUAAGGACUGAGAUUUUGACAGUGCAUCUAAACUUUCUGUUGACGAUGUUUAUGUGUAUAAUUUAAUUACAUAAGCACUCGUCAAGUUUCAGGAGAAAAUGAGCUAGAAUGAAGAAGUUACGCGAUUAUUAGUUUUCACUUAAAGUGAAUAGUAACCCGUUUUUUUCGGUGAAGCCACGGAGUAGAGUUGGCUUUCGGCGCAUAUCGAACUCCGUUCAUAGUGAUCCAAUAGCUCGUUUCGACCGGUUCAGUUAUUCUGGAACCAAUGGCACUGACGGAUUUUAGAUCUGACGCACGAUUUUCGAGAAAAAGAGAUUUUAUCGAAAAGAGGAUUUUCGCUCUUUGUUGUUCUUGCAUAAUGAGACUCCUCGUGCUCUGUGUAUGCGACCUAGAGUAAGGUGAGGAAUGUUACAUGUACCUACUAGUGGUAGGAGAUUCAAAUUUGAAUUUGAAUCUAGGAUUUAGCGGGAUUACACAUUGGUAUAUGUGUGUGGUUUUUGGAAAUUGGAGAGCGGGCGAGUUUCGUCGCGAAUCCGUGAUCGAUCGAUGUGAACCAAAAUUGUAUGUUUAUGGUCCCCGUCGUGCUGAACGCGAUUGCGCAAUCCGUUCGGAAUUCUGAUGAACGGAUUGCCGGAUAUCGCAUGAUGUUCAAAAAGGGGUCUAAAGUGACUAAUUGGAAUUCUCGCAAAAGUCCGCAUAUUUUAUGUACCGAAUCACACGAGAUCGAAUAUGGAGGUGCGAAUACGCGAUUGUUACCCACUAUGAAGGGCUGGGUAAGAAAUACCAAGCUUCGGUGGACGUUUGUGCAAAAUUGCACCUUGUAUACAAUGUGCAUCUAGGGUUUCCAUGCACGAAACCCUAGAUCUACUCGACCCAGCGCCCCAUCUGUGCCCUAGCCGCCAUCUGCAGGUCCAUGCCCUAGCAGUGCGUGCACCCCGGCCGUCGGCGAGCUUCCCCGACCGCCGGAAUUGCUUGGUCAACCUCUUUCCUCCACCUUGCCACCACCCCCUCGGCCUUCAACAUCAGAGAAUGUCCAAGACACCCUAGGAAGCCUUUCCCUCGGCCGAGACCCUUUCCCGGUGCAGUCCCCGCCGACCUCCGCCGUCCCUGCGCCCCGCCGGAGCUGCCCGAACUCCCUGCGGCCAGCAGCAGUCGCCCAGGUCGAGCCUGGGUGAUCCCUGCCACCGCGCGCCACCGUCGUUCCCCAUCGGUCGCGCCGCCCUCCGGUGACCUCCGGCGUGCCCCCGCGCGCCAUCGCCGCCGCUCCCGACGCCGCCGGCCGCCGCUCUCCCUCUCUGCGGCCGCCCAAACCUUGAACGGGCCGAGACCUGGCCUUCUCGACCAUCGCGCGUCGCCGCCACCCGCAGCAUGGCGCGCCGACCUUCCGCGACCUCCGGCGACGUGCCGCCGUCGCCCCGACAUUCCUUCGGCCGCCGCCAUGGUCGUCGCUACCUUUGGAGCCCGUGGUGAACCCGCGCGGGCUCGGUUUGGUCCAGCAUCGCCGCCGCCGUCUUCCGCCGCCGUCCGGCGUGAGCACCGGCUCCGCCUGGCCAGCCGCACUCAUGCGCCGCUGGCGCCCCCGCCCUCGGAGCUUCCUGUCGGCCGAACUAGGCAUGUGCCCUCCUCGGGUUUGGGUGACUAGGGCAUCAAUGCCUGCCGUCGCCACCGCCUCCCGACGCCGGCCGACGCAUCCCUUGGCCUCCCUGCAUCACCUGAACCCUCCUGCCGCCGGCUCUCCCGCCGUCCGGCCGCCGCCGGGCAGCCCUAGCUCUCCCCUGGCCGGUAAGCUUGAUUUCAACCUUUCUGCGCAUAGUCUCCUGUUUAGAUCACUGUUUCGGUGACCCGGGGCUGUUCCGAUACCCCCGGAGGUGAGCACAGUGAUUUUCAGUCAGUUCUGAUCACAAUGCUCACCUCACUUAGGGUCAGCGAGCUCCGGAUGAGUUAGUUACAUGUGUUUUAGUUUCAGUGCGUGCUGUUUCAUUGAACUUCAUGUCGCUCGUGCGCGUCCCACGGUGGCCGAAAUUGCUCCGAAAGGUGAGCAUGGCCUCCGGCACGUCGAAACCUGUCAGUGGGUAUCUUGGCUCGGCUGAUUGACCUCUGGUUUGCGUGGACGGACCAUAAAAGCGCCGAAAUCGCAUGAAAUAAUGCGAUUUCGGGUAAUCGGGAGGGCUUUUAUGUAUUUUGGGUUGUUGCGGCUGCUGUGGGCAGCAUGGAUGAGCUGUGGGUGACCUCUGGACUGAUUGUCCAAGGCCCCAAACCUUUGCGAAGAUCGAAAAUGCAUUUCCGGUGCGUUUGUUGGCAAAAUCCGCCGACGGAACACGGUUUUAGUUCAGAAUUCUUCCGACGGUGCCUCGUGAGCACUUGUUGAGUCGCUGAGCCUUGUUGGCUGGUCACUUGCGUCAUUUCAAGGGUUCAGAAAUGACGGGUGAGCGACGGUUGGUUCCGAUGUCGAAAUAGACACUUUCUGGAACCCGGAUCCGAACGAUUAUCUGACGAUAAUUGUUUGGAGGCAAGAUUUUGGGUUUGCUGCCAAGACAUCUUAUUUGAUGUGUUUUGUGGCAGCGGGUGACUCGUAGCAUGAGUCGGUGCGUUCCGGGACAUUUCAGUGGUCCCGACAGAGUCCCGGUACGAUUUUCGGGACUUCCAGCGAGUUACGGUAGUCGGUUUUGGGAAACUGAUCUCCGUGGGUUUGUUAGUGGGAUUAUGAUGUAGUAUUUCUUAGUUGUGGGUUCGACACUAACCCGGUGGACCUUCCUUAGGUCCGGUUGAUGUUCUUUCGCAGUCAGGAGACAGGCGCGACAUUCGUACAUAUAGGUACUUCGAUCCGAAGUCGGUACAGUGGUGCACUCUCGGUGAUAUCCUUGUAUCCCUGUUCUUCUGUUAUUACUAUUGCGUAGUAUAGCACAUUGAGCCUUGCACCCCUAUUGUUUACAUCGUACUCUACUCGCUAUUUGCAUGAUUAGUAUCCUGAGUAGGAGUAGAGUAGUUAUACCAUGUUUCCUUGUUGCUCUACUUAGCUAUUCUGCAUAUCCUGUAUCAUGUUUAGAGUAGAGCGGUUUCGUGAUUUCUAGUGAGAUCGGUGACCUAGUCGGUCGGUUCCUUGACUCCUGUCGUUCGAUGACCUAUGAGGUCGGUGUACCCUGAGGGGUAGGAUUGUCGGCUUGUGGCUGACGAUAGUUUCAGAUUAUAUUGAUACACUCUUGAGACCUAUUGGUCAAUUCUUGCAUUUAUAGUUUAGUUGACCCAUUGAGCAGUAUUUGCAUAUCUUUGAGAGGAUGUUGAGUUGUUCCAUCCUAGUUGACCUGAGUGGUCGGUUCUUAUACUUCCUUACAGUUGGAUGACCUUUUGGUCGGUUAGCCCUGAGAGGCGGUGAUUGUCGGCUGGUUGCCGACGGUUGGCUAUUGAUCAUAUCUGCAUUGAUCGCCACAGCUCGAGUGCAUUUCACGUACACCAGCGGGUUGAUCCCCCGCAGGAGGGUGUUCUUUUCCGGAAAAGUGGUCGUACAUCCGACCCGUGAGCCCAGCGGUGUUCUCUUUGUGCUAGGGUUACAUGCCAGGUGUGAGCAGGUAGUGGCUUUUGCCUGAGGUCCUUAGACCGACACGGCGGUUUAGAUUGGGUACUUUUGGACUUCUCGUCCGGUUGACGCAUAUAGCUAUAGUAGCGGUUAGUUGAUUAUAUACUUACAGUUCUUUCUUUACAGUUGUCUUGUACUAUAGUUUGAUAUCCUUGUAUGCUUGCAGUUGUACAUACAAGUUAGCGUAGUUGUGCUUUAUAUAUAUAUAUAUAUAUAUAUAUAUAUAUAUAUAUAUAUAUAUAUUAUUAUUAUAUACUAAUAUAUAUAUAUAUAUAUAUAUCUCAUUCGUUCAUUAUUGUUGCUACUGUAUUUCACUUACCCAUACUGUUGUUUAUCUCUUCCUAAUCCGGUGAGUACUCCUCGCCUUUUUCGGCUUGCGGUACUCACUGGGAGGGGAGACAUGUUUACAUGUUCUCACCUCCCCCACUAUUUUUCAGGUAUCGCGGGCGGUGAGGGUUGAGACGAGACGUGAGAUACGUAGCGGUCGAUAGAGCUUCCGACCCAGGUUAUUCGGUUUAGUUCUACCCUUACUAUUAUGUUGAUAUAGCUUAGAUAGUUUAUAUGGUUCAGUAUAUUUUAUUACAUUUGAAAAUAUGGGUUUUCAUGAAUGUAAUAAAUGGAUUUGUGGAUUUUGUGAAAUGAAAAGGUUUUCUACCCCUCGUGGUAGCGUUUUUAAAGAAUAAAGGUUUCCAUGUAGGAAACAGUUUUCAAAAGAAUUUUCUGUGAAUUUAUGUUAAAUAUUAAAUGCAAAUCUGUGAUGUGAAUGGUGAAUGUAUGAAUGUAUGAAUGUAUAGUUAUUUCUAUAUUCAUUUAGUUGUGGUUGUAUCCUGUUUGUACUGUUGUACUUGUGCGACGCCGUGCAAAUACAGGAGAAACUCUGUCCGUGUGAACAGUGAAAUCCCCGUAUUUGUGGCGGAUCUGGCAUAUUCUGGGGUCAGGUUUUCAAAAAAAAAAAAAUAGACGCUUUUUUCGCUGUGUUCAAACAAAAAGGGACCCCGGGGCGUGACACAAACCAUAAAGGAUUCGACUUGAACCUAAGUGGAUCCUAUCUGAACCGAACCAUAAAGGAUUCAACUUGAACCUAAGUGGAUCCGGUUUGAACUGAACCAUAAAGGAUUCGACUUGAACCUAAGUAGAUCCGGUUUGAAUCGAACCAUAAAAGAUUCUACUUGAACCUAAGUGAUCUGAUCUAAACCGAACCAUAAAGGAUUCAACUUGAACCUAAGUGAUCUGAUCUAAACCGAACCAUAAAGGAUUCAACUUGAACCGAAGUGGUUUCAAUCCGAACAGAAGCACAGGAGGUUCGAGCCAAGUUGAACCGAACUACAAGUCAGUUUGAUUUGAACCAAAUCAUAAAGGACUCAAUUUGAACGGAAGUGGUUUCAAUCUAAACAGACUCAAUUUGAACCGAAGUGGUUUCAAUCUAAACAGAAGCACAGGAGGUUCGAGCCAAGUUGAACUGAACUACAAGCCAGUUUGACUUGAACCAAAUCAUAAAGGAUUCAACUUGAACGGAAGUGGUUUUAAUUUGAACAGAAGCACAGAAGGCUCGAGCCAAGCCAAGUCGAACCAAUUAUGAGCCGAUUCAACCCAAACUAAACCAUAAAAAGAUUCAACUUGAACCGAAGUGGUUUCAAUCUGAACAGAAGCAUAGGAGGUUCGAGCCAAGUUGAACCGAACUACAAGCCGAUUUGACUUGAACCAAAUAAUAAAGAAUUUAACUUGAACUGAAACCAAUUCAACCUGAAUGGCACCACAUGAGAUCUGAGCCGAGCCAACCAUGAACCAGUCAACUCAAACUGAAAGACGAAAAGGUUGCAAGUCAAGCCGAACCAAAUCAUAAGCCGAGUUCAACUCAAACAGAAGCACGGGAGGUUCAAGUUGAGUCAAGUUGAACCAUACAUGCUGGUUCAACCUAAACAGAACCAUAAUAGGAUUUAACUCAAACCAAGUGGUUUCAAUUUGAACUAAAUCACAGAGGAGGUCCGACCCAAGUUGAACCGAACUACAAGCUGAUUUGACCUAAACCAAAUCAUAAAGAAUUUAACUUGAACCAAAGUUGGUUCAACUCAAAUAGAACUAAGAUAGUUCCAAAUCGAGAAAAAUAGAGCUGCAAGCUAGCUCAAUCUGAACUGAAUAAUGGAAUGUCUGAGCUAAGCCGAACCAAACUAUAAGUUGGUUCAACCCGAGCGGAACCACAAGAGGAUCGAGCCAAAUCAAACCGAGCAUAAACCAGUUCAAUUUAAAGCAAACUUGGAGAGAGUAAUAAGUCGAUUCGGCCCAAACCAAAUGCAAAAGGGUUCCAACCCAAGGCGAACCACAAGAUCUCAACUCGAAUAAAAAACAGACCAAUCUCGAACCAAAUCAUAAAGAUUCAAUCCGAAUCAAACUAAAGUAUAAGAAGGGCUAAGUUGAGCCGAACCAUAAGGACUUGACCUAAUUAAAUUCAAAUGAAUCUCGAACUACAUCAUAAAGGUUCGACCUAGACCCAAACCAAACUCAAAAGGGAUAAACCAAGUGAAAAACCUAAGGCGGCUCAGCCCAAAUCAAAUACAAAAUGAUCAAGCCAACUCGACCUAAAUCCAACCUAAGCAAAAGUCCAAUUUAUUUCGGGCUAUAAAUAAAAUCCAAAAUUCACAAAUAAAAUCCCAAAACCCAAGGUCCACAAAUAAAAUCCAAAACCCAAAGUCCACAAGUAAAAACUCAAAACAUAAAGUCCACAAAUAAAACCCAAAAUUCAAAGUCCACAAAUAAAACCCACAAUUGCAAAGUCGCUAAACUAACCCAUCAAAUGAAACGACUGUAAAGUCGCUAAACUAAACAACCAAACGACCGCAAAGUUGCUAAACUAAACAACCAAUCCAAACAACCACAAAGUCGUUAAACUAAACUAAACCCAAAUUCAUACGACCAUAAAGUCGUUAAACUAACAUGACCGCAAAGUCGCUAAACUAAACAAUCCAAACUCAAACCGACUGCCAUGUCGUUAAACUGAGCAACUCAACUCAAACUGACUGUCAUGUCAUUAAAUUGAGCAACUCAGCUCAAACUAACCGCUAUAUCCUUAAAUUGAGUAACUCAACUCAAACCAAUCGCUAUAUCGUUAAACUGAACAACUAAACUUCAAUCCGACCGCCAUUUUGUUAAACUGAGUGCCUCAGCCUAAAGCCGACCGUCAUGUCGUUAAACUGAGUGCCUCAGCUUAAAGCCGACCACUAUGUCGUUAAACUGAGCGCCUCAACUCCAAGCCUACCGUCAUGUCGUUAAACUGAGCACCUCAACUUCAAGUCGACUGUCAUGUCAUUAAAUUGAGUACCUCAACCUAAAGCCGACCGUCAUGUCGUUAAACUGAGCACCUCAACCUCAAGCCGGCUAUUAUGUCGUUAAACUAGGCAUCUCAACUUCAAAUCACUAAGUCGCUAAACUGAGCAAAUUAAAUUUAGACUCAACCCAAUCUGACCGUCAAGUCGUUAAACUGAGAAAAUCAAGUUUAAAUCAUUUAACCGCCAAAUCACUAAAUUGAGUAAAUCUGACUGCCAAGUCGUUUAACUGAGCAACUUAAUUCUAAAUGACCGCCAAGUUCAUAAACUGAGCUUUUCACCAAUAUACAGUAGGGGUAUGCCCCUGUUUAAGCCAUGUACUUGAAAAUUAUAUAAAUACAAGUUCAUCUCUAUACUAUAGUCUUUUUCUAUUAUCGAUAUUAAAUUUGGUCUCUUAAUCGAGGGCUCCUUAACACUGAAAGUGUGGGGUAAUUCAGUAAUUCUUGAGUCUGUUGGAAGCCAUGAACCUAUAAUCUUGAUUUUAAAAUAAAACAUAAAUAGAUAUAAUCUCUACUAUAGAUGAACACUUGCCGGAGAAAAGCUUGCAGCGGGGCCAGUUCGUUCGUGGCAGUAGACAGUUAUAGUGAUGCUAGGGCUAGAGUAGUUCUAUGAUGGAUAUACCCCCCCUAGGAACGAGGCCUCACAAUUGAUAUUAGAGUUAAUCACUAGCCAGAAAUAUAAAAUAAGUCUUGGUUCGGCUAGGUCAUACAGCAGGUAGAGCGCGACUCCUUAGCUAACAACCGUUAUAGAUGGAGCACGCUCCUCAUAAGGUCGGCUAAGACUAGCGAAACGAGUCUCAUAGGGCAUAGUACUUGUGAAUGUCUUGAACCUAAUGAGAACGUCAUCAUUAAAAGGGGAUAAAAAAAUGACAUCAUAGGAUUUGGAAUAGUCACAUGUACCAUUUUAAUUGGGCGAAAUAGAAGAGGCACUUUUAUACAUAAUCUAAGAAAAUUGGGUGUGAAGUGGAUCGUUUCUUCUCUCCUCACCUACACACAUGACCUGUCACAACGCGCGGACUGUAUACUAAUAAGACAUAAUAAGGCUCCCAACUGGAAAAAAAAAAUCAAACUACACUACACUCUCGGCUGUAUGUUAUAUGAUCUGGCUUGAGAGAAAUAACGUGAUGUUUAGAAACACUAGCUCAGAACAGAUUCAAGUUUUUACGCAGAACCACCAUCUUGGAAUCUCUUCUCACCAUCUUUCUUCUUUUCUUUUUUUUGGUCACUCCUGUUAGCCUUUUGUAACUUUUUUUUUAAUUCCCUAAUAAUGGCUUUAGUUACCCCACUUCUAUCGUUAAGCUUAUUAACCUUGAUGAAUGUAGCGAGCACCUUUCUAUAUUUUUUUCAAAAAAGCCCAUAAUUAUUAAGUUCGAAACAGGAAAACGUGGAAAGAAGGAAACCGAUAAAAAAGCUCCAUUGAGACAAAAUCAAUAGCCUAGUUGGUUCAAAUCCAUAACAGCUAUGAUCCCUAACUUCAUCUCAAAGCCCGAUUACGAUGGACCACCUGUGCUUUGAGCAUUGAUGUUGAUAAUUAUAGUGUAAAGUAAUUGGAAAGGAGAGAACAGAUAAAUGAAAAUGAAAACUACAAGAUUUUUUUUUUUUUUUGAGAGACGUGCUACGCGCUUCAUUUAUUUCAUUUAGAAAUAAACUUAGCUGGAAAUGUGAAUCAACUAGGAUUCGAACUUGGGAUAUCGAGUACCAACCACCAAGUCCUUUGCCACUUGCUCUAGAAACGGUCGGUGGCAAAAGGGCUUGGUGGUGGAUACCUGACCUAAGUUCGAAUCCUAGUUGAUUCACAUUUUCAGCUAAAUUUAUUUUUAAAUAAAAUAAAUGAAGCGGGUAGCAUGCUACAUUUCUCUUUAAAAAAAAGAAAAAAAAGAAAACUACAAGAAAAAUGAAUUUGCGAGUAAAAUUCUACUUGAGUUAGAGCUUCUCUACAUUACUAAAUCGAAUGGCAAAGAAGAAAUUGAAAUACUAACUAGAAAUUGAAAUACUAGCUAUAUUUUCUUUGAAGGGUGUGAAUUAUAUACUCAUCUAUUUUGAAAUGGUAUAUAUAAUUCACACUUAUUUUGCAUGUAAGGUUUUGUUUGGGAUUGGAGGAAGAUUGCGUUACGUGCGGUGAAAAAGUAUGUUGGAAAAAUAUUCUGUUUGUUUUCGUACAUAAUAUUGUGUUCCGCAUAUCGCGAUAAGUCGGUUACGAUAUAUUUUCUGCAGCCCCAUUGGAGAACGCAAAAACAUAUCUCUAUAUGCUUUUUUUUUUUAAUUUUAUUUUAUCUAAUAACGUUUGAUAGACCUUAAUACCAAACUAAGCCUAAGUAGGUCUCCGAGUAAAUUUGUUUCAAAUUAAAUUUCUUGACUUUGACCCAAUCAGUUUGACAUUGCCGGUAGUACAGAUCAACUUAGUGUUUGUUGACGCAUAACAGACUGGGCACUUUUUAGGAAACAAAUAGCAAUUUUACAGGCAAGAUGCACAUAUAUAUUUUCUAGUUAUAAUUUAAAUUGGAAAAUGCCUGCAAUUCUUCACAAUAGUUUUAAAAAAAUAUUAUUAAUAAAUUGACAACUAUGAUAUAUAGGCUUAUAAUUGGCUUACAAUAUACUCUAAACUAUAAGAUAAAUUAUUAUAUAUAUUUCUAAUUAAAGUAUAUUAUAAAAUAGUUAAUUAUAAUAAAUUAGGAUUCAUAUUUAAAAAAAAUUAAAAAUAGGACAAUGCGGAAAUUGGCGAGCAUAUUUCUAUACCAAAUUAGAGGAAUAAUAACAAGUGAACGGCUCGGCUCGGAAGAGGUAUCGUCACUCCUAUGAAUCCGCUCCUCCGCUCACUAGUCACUACUCCGUUCGAUCAAGCGCCUGUAGGGUUUUGAACUUUCUACUAAUUUAUCUCCGCUCCUUCCUCCUCCCCCCCCGCCCCCAACGCCUUCCUCCUCUCCUCCCCCCCGGCCCAGUCCGACCUCGCCGCCCGCUUCUUCUCCGCCUUCCUCCUCACCCUCCGCCGUGAGUGGCCCGGCAUCGACUUUCUCCGCCUCGACAAGUUCUACCUCCUCAACCGUCGCUUCCUCCACCACCUCUUCCUCCUCCUCCGCACCCGCCGCUGGGACCCCGACCUCUCCUCCCGCAUGAUCUCCGUCCUCUCCGACACCUCCCUCCUCCCCGUCGAUAACCACCCCGCCAAUGGCGUCGGCUACCACAUCGCCGAGGCCUUCCUCGAGGAGCUCGGCGACUUCCUCCCCGUCGCCCCCGAAACCCUCGAUUUGCUCCUCAAGCCCUUCUUCUCCGUCUUCCAGAAGUCUUCCGAUAAGGUCCUGGUGAACAAGAUCAAGCUGAACUUGUUCGAGAGAUUGCUUCAGAACGGCGCGAAGCUGCUGAGUCUCGCGACGGCCGGGGAGCAGGCGGAGCCCAAGAGCGAUGUUGAAAGGUUUGGUAGGAUAGCUCUGUCGGUGGGCUUCUCGAAGAGGUUCUUCGAAUUGGGGUCGGCUCCGGAGACUCUGCAGGCGAACAGGAAGGUCCUGUUCGGUUUGCACGAGAGCUUUCUAAAAUUGGAAAAAGAUCUGGAAAAAUCUGGGGUUUGCAUUUCGAUUGAGAUUCCAGAGAAUGGUGAUUCGGAGAAGGUGCCUGAGUCAUCGGCCGCAAAGAACGGUGGUGAAGGAUCAGAUGAGAAGCCAUCCAAGAAGAGGAAGAAGUUGAAGAAAGCAUCUGAUGGUGACGAUAAGAAGUUAAAUGCCAAGAAGAAGAAGAAGAAGAAGAGUAAGAGCCUGAAUUCGAUGGAUUUUGUUGCUGACGAUAGUGUUGCUGAACAGAGUAAUAACGAAGCUGCUAACAUUGAAGCUAGCGGUACUGAAAAUAAUGAAAAACCUAACGAAGAUCCAAUGGAGGGUGCUAAUCUGAUAACUUUUGAUGAAGCUGUGAUCUCUAAUCUUCAGAAGCAGUUCGAGAAAGCUGCUGCAGAAGCUGGAAUGGUGAAUGGAAAUGUGAAACCGAGCACUCCACAGACCACACCGGUAAAUGGAGCUGUGGUGAAGAAGAGAAAAAGAGCAAAAAGUGCUGAUGGAAAGGCCAUCGCUAAUGGCACUGAUGCUAGUGGUGGAAACACUGUUGGAAAAAGCGGGGAUAAGAGUGUUAAGAAGGUUAGGUUUUCGAUGAAGAGCAAUUUGGUGUGGAAGCCACACAGCCCUUUGCCACCUCAAAGUUUGAGGUUGCCGCCAUCCGCUACUCCGAGAGGUAGUGCCCUCAAGAAAGGGGUUGCGCCAGGACCCAUUAAAGAAACCCCUUCAGUUUCGAAGAUGAAAAAGGGUAAGGCGAAGGCUAGCUCUGCGAAGAAGAACAGGAUGGGCUCAAAGAGUCCCUCUUCAGCGGUGAAGCGCCUUCGGAAGUUGCAAAGCCUUUCUGCGUGAACUCGCAUACUUGUGAUGGUUGUAUUUCAUAUUUCCACCUUUUUUUAUAGUCUGUGUUCUUUUCACCUUUAUUGUUUCCGAUGACUUUAAACUUUCCCCCAUUUCCUUGCUUUUCGAUUGUCUUAUGCUUCUAUUAGUAUAUGCAUGUUUUCUCCUUUGAUGAAUCAUGGUAUGUUCUUUGCGGUACAUACCAUAAUCCUUUUUUUCCAAGUUAUGGAGUAAAAUUGUUCUUGAUUGUUUAAGCACCUAUGCUUAUUCUAACUUCUAUGUUGAACAUGCCAUCCUGUUCCUUAAUUAUCUGUUAUAUUUUUCGUGGAUAUCGAGAUUUUAAAUGAUUUUGGCAUUUUCAUUUUUUGUUUUACUAUGAAAAUUUAGGAAGAAACUCAGUUGUUACUGAGAAGGUCAAUUCAUUUUGAGAAAAGAAUGAUAGAGAUUUAGGGUACUUUCUUCAUUAAGUUUAUGCUUAGUAGUAUUUAUUUCCUCAGAAUUAUUUGCUUCUUGUCUAGCGAUCAUUUGAGACAUGAUUGCAGGACAGGCAUGUUAACCACUGCUUAGAAUAGGUCAAUUCAGCUGAUACUCAAUUUCAAGCUGGAGCUAAUUGCAGCUCUAUUGGUUAUCUUAGUUGUACUUGUUGAAAUUGGUGUACUUGUAGAGCUUAGAUUAUUCCAACAAAUUAUAGCCAAAAGUAAGUUCACAAUUACCAUAAAGAUGCUAAACAAGAGAGAGUUUUGGCAUAAAUCUUAUAUAGUUGAUUAAAGUAGUAUUACUUUAAUUUGGUCCAAUUUCUAUGGUAUUAACUAUAGAAAUUUUGAUUAGAAGGAAAGUCUUAUAUGUACAGGAUCUAAAUACAUAUGCAAAUUCAAAGUGCUAUUUUAGGCACUGGUUUGGGCAAUAACAGAGUGAUAACUUGUCCUGCAUAUUCUGCCAAACUCAACCAGAAGCAAAAAAUGAAGAAGAGAAAAACAAGGAGAACUGCUUUUAGUUAAACUGUUUUAUUGUAGGAUAUCUUGGGAACAACUGUUAUGGUCGGCCCCUUUAGUAACACUACCCUCACUUUAUCCUAGUUACCUUGAAAGAAUCACAAUUCUCAAUGUUCGUUAUGGAUAUACCGGUGAUCAUUGCAAAUUUAAAGUGCUGCAAUAUAAUAUCAAACACCAAGUUGACUUAGUUUCUAGUAAUCAACUGAUAGCAUGACAAUCCAGUAUAGAAAGAGUAAGCUGUUAUGCUUUAUAAAAGACUAGGCCAAAUUAUGCCCCGUAUUUUUGAUAAUCUGUUAAAUUGUCGAGUACUCAUUUACAAGGGGACAUUGAAGUUAUAAGGCUAAUAUCAAACACAAAGUUGCUAUGGAGGGUUCAUCAUUAGAGUUUAAACUAGAAAGUUUAGCGACGUCAUGUCAAACUUCAUUAUCCUUGAGAUUGAUUAUGUUGGUUUUAGCAAAAUACCGAAAAGCAAGGAGGGGGAAAUAAGGUUUUAAAGUCUCAUGCUUAUGGUCGACUGGCUUCUUGACGGGCAGUAUUUUGUUAUUUUUUCUGAUUUCUUGUGAUUUUCUUGGGAUUGUAAGGUGAUUUUGUGGGAAACUUCUUGGGACAUUAUGCGGACCAUUUAUAAGGAUAUUGAUUUUGCUUAAGAUUCAGUGCUAUUGAUGAUUCUUCUUGUGGGUUGGAGGAUUGUUGAGGCUUUUAGUGUAGAUUUUCUAACAUAGGCAUAUUACAUGUGUUAUGAUCUCCGUAUGCUGUAUGCUGUUCAUUCUUAGAAUAACUGCUAUGUUUAUUUGUAAUUAGGCCUGUGAUCAUCCAGAAAGCUUGCUUUACCUUUUUCAUGCAUUGAUGAUAUAUGCUUUCCGUAUGGCAUUCACUCUCAAAAUAACUGCUUUGUUUAUUUGCAAAUAGAUCUGUGAUUAGUUGCAGUUUCUUAGACUUUAUACCUGUCCCUAAACACUGUUUGUCUUCUCCGAUCAGUUGUGAGAAUUUUUGAUAUGCAAAUUCUAUUCUAGCUUCUAUUCGCAAUGAUGACCCUCUUGUGAAUGUGUUUAAACUUUUAAUACAACUUCUUCAUAAUUGAACUUGUCUUCAUGAAAUUGAUCCAACCAUUCAUUAUUUUGAAAGUCUCUAAUUGCUGCCGCAUCUGUUUAUGUUCAGAUAAUGCAUUUAUAGGUUCAUAUCAGUUAAUGCAUAUGGUUGUACUUUAUAGCUUUACAUGUUCUCUUGAUUAUGAUUACAAAGCAUGUUGUAUAAAUGCAUUGGAGCAUGAUGUAGUUUUGGUAAAAAAAUAUACAAACCCAAGCUAAACUAUCAGCCAUUGGCCAAAAGGGUAGUUAAAUUGUAAUUGUUUGGAUACCUGGAAUAUCCUUUUUGAAAUUCUGCUAUAGUAGUUCACCAGCAGGAAACUGGGGUUGCUGUUGGAAAUACGGGCCACUGAUUACGCGAGUUCAUGUAAAAACUGUGUGAUCAGAGAUUUAAGUCAUGUGAGAACCGUGUUUAUGUGACACACAUUAUCAAAUGUGCUGUUAUCUCUGAUCUCCUGCCCUAAGUUUUCACCCCUAAGCUCUGAACGUUGACAGCCAAGGCCUUGUUUCGUGUUGUGUCUGUUUUUUAUUUCUGUAAAUAGAAUUUUGUAUAUAAAAUUGUGUUAGAGUGGUAGGUGGAUUGUUUGCAAUCCUCUCAUCCAAUAUAUUUAUUUGGCAAUAAAAAAUAAAAACUUAAAAUAACUUAUUAUUAUUAUUAUUAUUUUUUAGACAAGUUGUCACCUAUCACAUAGCCAGAUGUAUUUUAAGCUAACCAAUUGUAACAACAAUAGAAAAUUUUCUUCUAAUGCAUCAAAUUAUAUAGAAUUAGUGUUUUAAAAAAAUAAAAAAAGUGAUAAUGAUACCAAACGAGGCCUAAGGUUCCUGUUUACAAAUAGCUCUGUAUUUGAGGCAGCCUUCAUCCUGUUUAACCAUUAAUUUGUUCUUACUGUUUAGCUUAAUCUUGUCAUUUGUUACAAUUUAGAGUUCUAUUACUUUGAUCGUGAUUAGUGCUAUCUACUAUGAUUCUAUAUGUUUCCUUAUAAUUUGCACUUGAUGGUUAUGAUGUUACUUUUGUUCACGUAAUUGAGGUUACAGAAAAUCACAUUGAUGAUCUGCUCCCUAUUGUUAUUGUUUAUCAGCUGUUGGUUAUAUUUAUACAACUGUGAUGCAAAUUCGAGGCAAUGAAUUUAUUGCCGAGCUCUAUCGUAGGUAGAUAGUUGUCAAUUAGUCAUAUAAGGGACUCAUAUGAGGCCCUAUAACUCGUCACUUCUUAGGAAGAUGCGCUUGCGUGCUACUUUUAUGUUAGUCUUUUUUGCUAGUGAGUGUCUGUUUAGGCUUGCUUGUGUGUUUCUCACCUCUAACAGAGCAUUUGGCAAACAGAAUAGUCUGGAGCUUGUUGUGGCCAGAAGCUAAAACAAGAUUCUAGACUCUAAAAAGAAGCCGUGCCUAUUUGGAGUCUGUACUCCAGCUGUACAGAGUUUCGUUGUUGGGGGGAAUUUAAUUUUUUCUUCUGCAGUGGUCAUGGACUUGGCAAAUAUUCAAUUCGCUAGCUGAGUAUGAAAUUUCCCCAUCUAUUAUUAAAAAGUUUGGUAAAAUUAUAUAUGAGUGCUUGAUUGAUUCAUAAAGUAGUUUGUUUGAGAUGCGUACCACAUCUGAUGUGUUUCCUCAUCUUGCCAUUCGCUUGCUUUGCUUGUCUAUCAAACGUCCUGGCAUUCUGAAUUUUGUGUUUUUUCUACGAGUUAGUUGGUUAGCUGUAAUGAAUAUGUAAGAACAAACUGCUAAAGAUUAGCUUAUUAGAAACUUCACCCCCUUCCGAAAAUGUUCCAAAUUGCUUGUCUCUGAUCGUAUGUACUUACUCUCAAAUGCUUUGCACUGGAGAAGGUUAAUUUAGAAAAGAUGAUGAAAAAGAAAUGCAGAAGUUGAAGAAAGUUACCAAUUCCAUCAGCUAAAAUGUGGAAACUUUGGAAUAAGUAGGAAAGAAUGUCAGCAUGUUUCUGUCUCCAUUGAAUAUUGAUGACAAAUAUUUUUGCUCUGUUUAAAAAUGUUAGAUUUUUUUUCAUUCAUGCAUCUUACCUUUGAGUCCUUAAUCUACCUAUUAUUAUUAUUACUAUAGACUAAAGGGUGUGGAGUGGGUCUUCAUUUGUGGACAUGUGUUCCGACCAUUUUCGGUGCGUCUGCUGUACCAUAGACCCAAUAAAAAAAAAAUCAUUUUUGUGUCAAUAAAUAUGUUUAAAACUUAUAGUUUUAAUCCAUAAAUAUUUGAAAUGUUAUACAACACACUUAAUAAAUUAAAAAUUGAUUUAAAGUUUCUUAUAAUUGAUUUUUGGAAGUAUCAUGUCACUUGGUACACCAUGAACUGCCCCAUGGAGGUUUUUUUGGUCGGCUCAUGUCACUCUUUCAGUUCCAAUGCACCCAAUGCAUGGAAGAUCUAACAAGAAACUCAUUAGUUUUACUUCAAUAAAUACUAGUUAAGGCACCCAUGCUAUGCAACGGGUUCAUUUACCUUCUUUAUAAAUAAUUAAUAAAUAAUAUAUUAGCAACGGGUUCAUUUAUCUUUUUUAUAAAUAAUUAAUAAAUAAUUAAAUAUAUUUUUUAUAAAGUAAAUAAUAAUAAGGAAGUUUUAGAAACAUUUUCACAUGCGUUCAAUUGUAUCAGAUAUGCAAAUUUUGAUUACAAACAAUAAUACUGGUCUUAACAUCCGUUCGGGUUCAGAUCGUAAAUUCAUAAGUUUGUGUUUUAAUUAUAAUAAAAUUUUAAAAUAUAUAAUUAUUUAUGCCUAGUUUUUAAAUAUGUUAGAUGGUAUGUAUUAAAUAUUAAUUUUUUUUUUGAGAGAUAAGUAGCACGCUACCCACUUCGUUUAUUUCAUUUAGAAAUAAACUUAGCUGGAAAUGUGAAUCAACUAGGAUUCGAACUUGCGAACUUGGGUACCAACCACCAAGCCCUUUGCCACUUGCUGUAGGGACGGUGGGUGUAUUAAAUAUUAAUUUUAAUUUUAUAAUUAUUUAGAUAUAAAUAAUCUACUUUUAUAAAAAACACUACAAUUAAGUUUUUUUUAAAAUAUAUUUAAUUACAACAAUUACAUAAAAUAUAUUAACUAAAUAUAUAAAGCUAAGCAAAACAUUCAAAAAUCAUUAAUAAUAAAUUUAAAUUUAAAUUUAUUUUUUGUAUGUGGCCAAUAAUACUCUAAAAUAAGAAGAGUUAGAAAAGGAAAAAAAAAUCAAAAAAGAGAGAGAGAUAGGAUGGGUCCCACAGGAAAAAGCAAAAAAAAAAAAAAAAAGGGCUUUUUUUGACUGACAAAUUUUAUUUGUAAAAAUAGCCCCGUCCAAAAAUUAUUUGCAAAAAUGGCCCUGCCCCUGCCACGCCAGCGCCACGUCAGCGUCACGCGGGCAGGGCGGGCCAGCGUGUUUAAGUUGAACACGGUGAACCAUUCACCGUGUUCAAUACAAAAUUUUUGUAUUGGAUACGGUGAAUGGUUCACCGUGUCCAAUACAAAUACCCAACAAUGACUAAGUUGGAGAUAUUUGUAUUAGACACGGUGAAUCAUUCACCGUGUCAAUUAUUUGUAUUGGAACACGGUGAAUGGUUCACCAUGUCCAAUACAAAUAUUUCGACCUUAGCUAUUUUGUAUUGGACACGGUGAAUGUUCACCGUGUCCAAUACAAAACUUUGUAUUGAACACGGUGAAUGGUUUACCAUGUUCAACUUAACCAUCUGGCCCAGCCCCCCCGCGUGGCGCUGACGUGGCGCUUGCGUAGCAGGACCAGGGCUAUUUUUGUAAAAUAAAUUUUUGACAGGGGCCAAUUUUAAAAAAAAAUUUUGUAAGGGGGCUAUUUGCCAAAAAAGCCCAAAAAAAAAAACCCGUGCAUGCUAGCGCCGGCGCCAGCUCGCGCCCUGCCCACGCCCGCUCGCCUGCCCGCGCCGCUAGCGCCCACCCCGGCCCGCGGACCUGCCGCGCCCACCCCGCGCUCGCGCCUGCGCGGCCGCCCGCUCGCCCUUCGCUCGCGCCCGUGCCCCGCUCGCGCCCGCCAGCCACGUGGCGGGCCAGGUUCUUGAUUCAUAAGUUAUAUAAAUGCCUAAAGCUUAUGAAUUUUAAUAUAUAGACUAGUGUAAUGACCCGCGUGAUGUCGUGGAUAGAUAUAUAUUCUUUUAAAAUUUAAACCCUAAAGUUUAGAUCCUUAUAUUUCUAUAAGUUAUUUUGUAGAGAUUAGAACACAUUUACUUUAAAAGUUUUAGUAAUUUUAAAGUAUAUUGAAAAGUAUAAAGAUUUUUUUUGAAUAUUCUAAUUUUUAACACUGAAGCAUCACGAUAGAUAUCAAACCACAUUUAUUUCCGACAACUUUAUAUAAAUGUCUUAUUAUAAAGAUAGUAACGUGUAGGUUUAAUUAGAAACAACAAGAAAUAUAUUUAGCAAAUAAAUUCCAUCGUAUCCAUUAGAUUGCGCUAAGUAUGGCGUUGGGCUGCAUAAUAAUUAAUCAUUUUAAAAAUUCUAAAUCCUAAUAUAAACAAAUCCAUCAAAAUUUCCAACACAAUCAAAUCAUUAUACAAUGGAGACAAUAUGAUUUGUAAACAAAAAUAAAUAUAAAAAUUUAUAACAUAGUAAUCAAAAUACCGAAAACAAAUAUUAAAAAAAUAUAAAAAUUCUAAAAAAAUUUACCUCAAAUUGGAAAAGUCGAAUCUCACGUAAUUUAAAAUAUACUGUACAGUGAAAAAAUCUGAGUAAACAAAUAAAGCAUCAAAUUCAAAUAAAAAAAAACCUAUCAAAUAUAGUUAAUCGUUACAGACAGAUGCGAUCAAUUUUCUGAAGACAAAGAAAAUAGUAUUUAGUAUAUCAUUUCAUCCAAAAUGAAUAUGAGUACAGCUCUUUAUAUAUACUCUAAUAUGACUUUUUAUAUUCUAAGAUGACUUUUCAUUUUCUUCCAUUAAUAUAUAUGACUGUUUAAAUUUCUAGCUUUUUAAAUUCUUAGAUAUAUUAAGUUACCCAAAUUUUCAACUUCAGUGACCUUCCAACUUUCUUAACAUUUGACAACGUACAAUUUGGAUACUUCUAGAUAAAGUUAUGAUCAAAAUAUUGAACAAUGCGUAGGUUGACUGGGUUAAUCCAAAAAAAACCGGUUUAAUGAGAAAAACGUACGAAGAAGAACCACAUCAAUGAAACAAAAUGAAUAGGAAAACCGCAGGCGGGUCCCAUGCAGAGGCAUAAGAUAACUCGAGAUUGCCACGUGGAUUCUCAAAUAUGGAGAAUUAAUAAGACUAGUGAAUGCCCGCGCUACGCCGCGAAAAAUUUAUAUAAAUUUAGUAUAAUAAACAAAAUAAUGUGAAUCAUGAAUAUAUGUCGUAUUAAAAUAUGAAUCAGAAUUCAGAAUUCAUAUAAAAGGUAACUUAUAUGAAUUUUGAAUGUCUAGUCUUCAGAAUUCAGAGUUCCUAUUUUUUGACCUACUCUUACUUUUACGGUCCAAUUCAGAUUUCCAAAAUUUGAAUUUUGAAGUCAGGUAGGCAAUCCGGAAUUCUGCUAGGUAAUUUGGAAUUUAGCUAGGCAAUUCAGAGAAGGCAUACGAAAGGAGUUUGAUGUAAUUUUUAUGUAUUUCCCUCUUCUAUGCCUUACACUCAUGUUAUAAACUACUGUUUCCUUCUGAGUUUAUUUGAUUCGUUUGGAAAAAAAGAGACUGCAACCUAAGAGGCCUAGGAAAAAGAGGCCUAUUUUUGAACCUCGCAAAAAUUCAAGGGUACUGUAAGUUUAUGAGGAAAGGACUGACUGACAGAUUUGUUAUGGAAAAAGAAAUGUUUGACGCCUAAGAAUUACAUAAUUGAUAACAGACAUGAAGCUAAAGCUUGUUAUGAAAAAAGGACUGCUCGAUAAUUGAACAGUCUAUAACAGGUGCAACUGUUUGUUGCUAAAGUAAUAAAGGUGGAAUUCUCUAGUACUAAAAAAUUUUGUUGAGAUAAUAGAAUUAUUUAGUAGUGGAAAAUGUUGGAUUAUCGCUGUGGUGAAAUGAUCUGAUAAUCUCGGCUUUGCACUAACCUGUGAGUUCUAUUGUGAAAUGGCACUCAAAUAAGUCCAUAUUGUCAAUUAAGGAAAUGCUAGAACCAAUGUAAAUUUACAUGAUUGUUACAUAAUUUUUUUUUUACAUGAUUUUUUUUUGCCAGCAGUAAUCUUAGUAGAUAGAGUGUUCAACAAAGAUAAAGAGAAAACUAAAACUCUUGAUUCAACACAAAGCAGAAAAAAAUUUUGACAAAAAGAGAAGGAAAGAAGAGUAAGACCACAUACUGCACCCCCCUCAUCAUCUGCCUCUCAUUUUGAUUUUGGUAAUACAAAAUCAUCACUGCCUUUCUAACCAGAAUUUCAUUUUGUUCAGAGAAAAUCAUCAUUGCCUCUCCCACAUAAUUCACACCAACCAGAGGAUCAACCAAACAAAUGACACAAUAAUAAGGUAAAUCAAAAGUUGUAAGUAAAGAAUGAACAAAAUCAGAGCAUGGUGGAUAUCAGUUUUUUCCCUCGAAAAAUUAUAGUGGAAAUUUAUCAGAUGACAAAAAAAAUUAGAAAAUACUGGAGCAACACCUGAGAAAAUAAACUCCAAUAAAGUAAAUAUCCAUAAGAGUAAGAGUAAACAAACAAAAAAAAAAGGAUUUUUGAGUUCUAAGUAAGCAACGUUUGAAUUUAUAUAAAACGUUGAGGCAACAUCUAAAGUCCUUGCACAACAGCAAAUCCUAAGCCACCAGUAAUCAACUUCGAAGAAUUCAGUUCAUAAAAUAUCUUACAAACUUCCCAUUAAACAAUUAAGCUUAUACAUCCGGCUCUAUCCUACCAUAAAAUCCAUCCUUACAAUAAAUUAGACCCUAAAAUAUGAACAAUCAAUAGCCAAGUACCAAUUGGAUUCUCGAGAGCUUUCGCUUUUACAAAAGAUGCAGUUUAAAGCUUUCACUUUUACAAAAGAUGUAAUUUCGGUCAAUAAGCAUAAAUAUUUUUUACUUCUCAACGAAUGUGUAAAAAGAAUAUUGUUUUAGACAUUAAGAAGACAACAAAAUAUAUAUAUUAUUCUCAUUCUAACUUUUGUAUACGUAUGAAACAACCCGAUGCAGUUCAAAUCAGAAUUCUGAAUUCUAAACUUUCAUAUGUACCAAUUCAGCUAGGCAAUUCCGCAUUCCAUGAAGAAUUUAGAACUCACCUACACAAUUAAGUAACAUUUUAUGCCCAUCAGAUAUCUUAAUGCAAUUCAGAUCAGAAUUCUCCCAAGAUUCUUCCAGGCAACACAACAUUCAGCUAGGUAAUAUAGAUUCCAGGUAGGUAAUGUAGAAUUUAGUUAGGGAAUUCAGAACUCAGCUGGCCGAUUCAUGGUCCCAUGAAGAAUUCAGAAUCAAGAUCAAGGGAAAAAAACAGAGCUCCAUAAGAACACAAAUGAGACCCACCAAUUGCCCGCUAAGCAAGCCAUCCAUAGUGCUUUCAUGGCCAAUUAAUUACCAAAACCAUCAAUAUUAAACUAUGUGAAAAUAAGCCCAAGUUAAUGUAAAGCAACGGAUAUCAAAAAUAAAUUUUGACAAAAACAAAGUAGAAUUCUGUUAGGCAAUUCAGGAUUCGGCUGGUUAUUUCAGGACUCUAUGAAGAAUUCAGAGCCCAGGUAAAAAAAAAAACAAAUCUGCGUAAGGGCACAAAUGAAAUCCACUGGUUGCCCGCUAAGCGGGCCCUCCAUAGUGCUUCCAUGGCCAAUUAAUUACCGAAACCAUCAAUAUUAAACUAUGUGAAAAUAACAUCAAGGUAAAUAUGAAUUCGAAAAAUACUUAAAAGAGAAGAUAGAAUCCAAAAACAAUCUCAACUAAGAGAAUUGGACGAAAAGUUAACGAAAAAUCAAUAUAAUGCAAAAUUCAGCUUAAGGCUCCAAACUGACUCAAAUUCAAACCUUCUAACCUACAAUUUAGUGAAAGGAUAUGAUCCUCGAGCUCUCCUCCACCAAAUAAUCCUCGACUAAGACCCAAUUCAGGGAUUAUAAGCUCCAAAUUUCCACAAUUCCUGCAGUAGAUGCUGCCACUGCAGCUAUUGCAGAGGCUGCUGCUGUUGUUGCAGCCUGCUGCUGGUGAUUUGUUGGUUUAAAUUAGAGGUUUUCAGUGUUCUGAAGCCAAGGAUCACUGUGGUUACAUUCCCCUUUCCUCUUUUGGGCUGUACUCCUUCCUGCGAGUCCUAGGAAUUGCAGCAACAUCAACAUCAACCUCAACAUUCUACAGGAGCAUAAUUUCAGCAGCCUAUAGCUGAGUUGAAGAUAGAAUUUUGAGAGAUUUCGAAAUCCAAAUUGCUGGAGAAUUGAUUGCUCGCAUUCUUGGUGAAGAGGUGAACAUGAGGAGUGUUUUAAUUCAGCAAAUGACUUGGUAAGUUGUGUUUAAUUGCCAAAAUGGUGAAGGUCGCUGAAAUAGAAGUUUUAUACUGAUUUUGAGCAAGCUGAAUUCUUGAUGGAAUUUCUUUUAAUUUGCCUAUGUAGCUAAGAUUUUGAAAGGUUGCUAGUGAUCUUACCUUUAUCUAGAGUUGGUACGAACUUUGCUUGGACUGUUUUGAAGGUUAGGCUUUUCUGAAUUUUAGUUUUCAUUCAGGCCUUCAACUAAAAAUCAGAUUUUUUGUUGAAGCUGAUUUCUUGAGUCUUACUCCAUCUUCGAGAUGAAAUUUUGUGGUAAUUAAUAGGAUUUUCCUGUAGUUUAGGGAUCAGAGAAUACCCUUGAACUUGUCCCAACAUCUCUCUUUGGCUUGGAUCUUCUCUGUGGAUCAGGAACAACAGUAACAAAAUCCAACUAUUUCUAAAAUUUCAGCACAAAAUCAAUUUCAGCAAUUAAGCUUCAACUAACUUGAAAUUCCAGUCAGUAGUACAUAUAAACUGAGCUCCACUACUAUUCCUUCACUACCACCAGUCCGAAUUAAUAGGAAAGUGAGAAAAAAUCGAACAAACCCCUGCUAGAUUUAAUCGAAUCAAAAAAUAAUUCGAAAAUCUAAUGAAAACCAAUUUGGUUUGAAGAAAGGUGAAAUUCAGCGAUGAUCGCCUCAAAUCAGCUGACAAUACUUAAUUCAUAGGUUCCUCAUUUCCUCAAGAACACCAUGAGCCAUUCCAAUUGCAGUAGUUAACUCCACACAAACCAAAUCCCAAAUUAAAAUAAAUAAAUACCAGUAAAAUCUACAAUCCAAAAUAAAUUACAAAUAUAGCAUUGCUCACUGUAAAUGUUGGUAAAAAUGUAUAUGUCACGCCCCGGAUUACUCGUUUCCCCGGGCUCGCUAACAGACCUGCCAUAUAUAAAGGUAUUUCCUCUGUAUACAAAGCGAAAAGUAAAAGUACCUGUAAUCAUACAAUACUACAGACAGUAGUAUAGAGCAGCAGGGAGAAGAGAAUACAACAUGCAUAUAUAAACUGUGGUUCUAUAUAUACAUAAGAUCUAAGAUACAAAAGCACUCGCACUGGCGAGAGUACAACAUCUGUAUGUAUAAACCAGAACUACACUACCUGCAGCGGUCCUCCACUAGCUCAGCAACUCGACUGGAAGGGUUCUAACUCGCGACACCCUUGCCACGAUCAAUAUCAGCGACAGCAGCAGCCGAAGAUGAUGGCUCUGCAAAAUAGUAGAAACAAACUGGGCGUGAGAACUACUACAAAAAGAAGUAGUUCUCAGUGGGUACCGCCCUCAAUACAUCGGUCCACCCACUAAGUCUACAGAGGUAAGCAAGAAAUAAUAAGGAAAGCUGGAACAUAUCUACAGCUAUCUGCCUCAAUACUAUCAUGCUCUAAUCUAACCAACUGUAGAAUAGUGUCAACUCAGACCCAAUCUCGAAUAGGGACUGUAAUCAUACCCGUCCCUGGGACUAUGAACAUACCCGUCCCGCCCGGUCGCGACUAUACAACUACAUCCACACUAAUAAGUCCGUGGAGAGCAAGUCCAACCUGCACGAACGACACGAACGCAAAAGUACAGCGCCCGCCUCGGGAGUGGCAGUCGUGGGAGCUACCCAACCGAGUAUGCAGCGUAUCUCUGUCGAGCUCAAUCAGGCGCUAAUAAGCCAAAGUUAAGAAGCUAGGGUCAAAACUGGUCUAGAAAUCAAAUCCACGUGCCCUCGACAUAAUUUGAGACCAAAAACAGGACUCUAGGUCCACCGUCCACCCCGACGGUACCCAACAACCCGAAACAGCCUAGACUCUGCUGUAAAAAUAAGCUCGGCGCCCCAGCACGAGUGUAAAUGUAUUUUAAACUACCCCGGGUAUCCACCGCGCUGAAACAGCGGUAAUACAAUCAAACCACGGCUCCUAGAGCUAAAUCAGGUAGCAGAAUUAUAUGACGGGUCAAAAUGCGGGUUUUCUCCUAAGUCAAUUUCCAAGUCCAAUAUGUAUAUUUUGCAAAUUAAGAAUCAUGCUCCAAAUUCAGAUUUCAUACAUUAUACUAUUCGAUGAAUUUGAGCUACAACAUGUUAUACCGAAGUCGAACUAUACAUGUUUACUUUACACAUGCUUAGGAGCAAAACCGAUAAGAAACCCACCUUAAUUGCUAAUCCCUGGCAGCAAGGAAGUCUCAAAGGUGCAAGAUCUCGCAGCUAAACCUCAUCUCAGCCAGCAACGAUCCACAAUUCCGAUCUAAGCACCAAAAAUCACUGAUUCCAUCAUUACAACUAUAAUAUCAGCACUUAAGCUUAAUUAACCACACUCCAAUGUCAAAACUCACCUAAUAACCUCCAAUUCAGGUGAGGACAGUCCCAAAUCCAAUGGAGUAUACUGGAGAAUAAUUCUCAAGUCCCAAAUUCUCCUGCUUCCAAAGAUAGCAUCAAGAAAAGCUCAAAAUCUACAAUUCUGUCCAAAUACAAUAACAGCAGAGUAAAACUUGAGUUCGACCAAGCUAACCUCAACCAAAUUCUGCAAUUCAGGGCUUCGUGGAUUCCUCUGGCAGUCUAGAAUCCAGCAAACUAAGUUUCACCGCGAUCCGACCUUUCUACGUCGCACACGAACCAAAACACUGGAGGUCGUCGCUGAAAAACUGCAGAAUCUGCACCUAUCAAGCUUGGAGUUGUGGAUCUUGAAGCAAUUUGAGUGAUUUGGAGGGGUUGGAAUGCAAAAUAGAGGAUCACUGUGAAGAAGAGAGGAAAAGAGCUCACCAAGGACGCUCCUCAGCUAUUUAUAGGGUGAACAUAUGGUCAGAUGAACCUCAGGAACAAAGGCUGCAAUCUGCUACACUUGCAGAAAUAGCCACUUUCGGGCGCCCAAAAUCCAUUUCUGGGCAUCCGAAACCUCCAGGCUGCACAUUUGCUCCCCUUUGGUUCCAUCGCCCGUGGUGUGCUGCGCCCGUAAACGGCUCCGGCGGACCUCACCUACUACCAGCCACAUGUCAACACAAUCGAUACUCACGAGGUGAACUUUCGGACCCUCAUCCGGGCGCCCGAAACAUGGACCCGAAUUCGCUUCCAGUUAUGAUCAAUUCUGCAUUGAACUUCUGGGCGACCCAAGACCAGUUCUGGGCGUCCGAAUCUAGCAAAAUUCCAGUUUUGCUUAAUUAAGUGCACCGAGUCCAUUUCUGCAUCCAUUUCGUGCAGAAACAACUCUGACUCAGUCCGACACUCUCCAGAUGUGUCGACCAGUCACUAACACUGAAACCAAUCCUAUCCAAAGUGUAGAAACAGUACAGUAUAGAAUUUAUCUGAAACAUGAGCCAUUUCGCGAAGCGCCCUGCGAUCGCCUCGGCAUUUCGUUGAACAGGGCGCGAGCUCUCAAAGCAUAAAAUUUUAAUUAAGCAAUAGAUUGCAAGAGCAAGCAUAGCAAAAUCAAAAAAAUUUGAUAGUGGAGAGAGAAUCAGAGAAAAGACUCUAGUAGGUAUUGCAUCAAACAUAUGAGGGGCGCAGCAAAACGGACAAUUUUUGGAGCUCCCCUUGCUCCACUCAGUAGAGAGAGAUAGAGAGAGAGAGAGAGGCGACAGAAAGCAAGCCAUAGAAUUGGGCGAGGAAGUUUCGGCGGCGGCGGGGAUGGGGAGGGGUGGAAGGAGGCAUACCGUAGCAGGGGGACAAAGGUUCGGGGUUUGCAGGAGCUGCGGGGAGAAGCGCGACCCUCCGCGUUGGACGCAGGAGGAGGUCAGGGUAGGGCCCGACAAACACCCGACAUGGGGGGGCCCGGAUCGGAGAGAGGAGGAGGUGGGGGCCCGGGUCGGAGAGGCUUGCCAUCUGCGGGCGACCCGCACCACCCGCGCGCAGAGAGAGAGAGAGAGAGAGAGAGAGAGAGAGAGAGAGCCGGGGGGGCCCUGCCAUGUGAGCAGCGCUUCGCGCGCCCGCGCCCGCUCGAGGAGAAACGACAGAGAGGAGGGGGCGCUGCGGAGGCGACACGUAGGCGCCCGCCCCGCGCCGGACGCCAGCCGCUGCCGCCCGCUGUGGGGUCCUGCACAUGUGACUGCCGCUGCCGCCCACCCCGCCGUGGGGGCCACCGAAGCCCCCGCCAAACGCGGGGAUGCUUCGAAGGGGCGAGAGAGGAGCGGGGGGCUGAGGAGGUGACAUGUAGGGCACAGUAGAACUCAAGAAUUAUUAUUUCUAUAGAUUACGUAGACACAUCAAACAAUGUGUAAUUUGGAUAACUCUGAAAAAAACUGAUUUAAUGGGAAAAACAUAUGAAGAAGGACAUAUGAAGAAGGACCAGUUCAAUAGAAAUGAGUUUGCAGAGGCAUAAGAUAACAAGAGAUCGCCACGGGGAUUCUCAAACAUGGGGAUUAAUAAGGCUACUAUUAUUAUAUAUAGAUUAUAAAGAUAGAUAUAUAGAUAUAGAUAUUUAGAAUAUUUUUAGCCCUUGUUUGGUUGGGGGUUAAGGGGUGGAAUAACCCCUUAACCCCCAUUUUAUCCCCAAACAUCCCAAAAUAUAGGUGGGGUUAGCUAACCCCACUUAACCCCACCUCAAAUAAAUUAUUCCGGAUUAGCUAACCCCACCUAACCCCACCAAACUCCAACCAAACACUAUUUUCUAUUCAUAAUAACCCACUAUCUUUUUUAUCACACCUACUCCAAUCAAUCAUUAUCUUCUUAUCCCACCUACCCAACCAAACACUAUUUUUCAUUAUUCUAAACUAACUCCAACCCCAACCAAACACAAAAAAACUUUAACCCCGCUUUAACCCUAAACUUAACUCUAUUCCUGGAAUAGCUACUUUUUUCUUAACUCCGAACCAAACGGCGGCUUAGAGCUUACAUUUUACUUGGUACACCAUUAAUCGCCCUUCGAAGGAUGUGUUUUUUUGGUCAACGCACAUCACUCUUUCAUUUCUGAUGCACCUAAUGCACUAAAGCUCAUGAAUUUUGAUAUACAGAGGGAGGAUAUAAUAAAUAAAUAAAUAAAUAAAUAAAAUUUUAUAGCAUAGUGCUUCAAGAAAGUAGCCAUUACGCCGGACUAUUUUGACGCUUUGGCCCCCAACGACUUUUCAUCCCACUCUUCGCUCGGAGGGAACAGAAGUCUUACUCGCUCCGUCUCUCCACUCCAUGGCUACCUCAGGUUCCUCCUCCGCCUCCUCCUCCUCCUCCUCUCCUAUGACGUCCUCGGUAAGCGUGAACGAGGUCGUGAGCGGGUCCCACCUGUUCAAGAUCACCGGCUACUCCCUUACCAAGGGGAUCGGCGUCGGCGAGCCCAUCGCCUCCGCCGUCUUCACCGUCGGCGGCUACGACUGGGCCAUCGAGUACUACCCCGACGGCUGCAAGGCCGACGACGCCGACUACAUCUCCUUUUUUCUCGCCCUCCAAAGCUACCACACCGACGUCCAGAUCUACUGGGCGAUCAAAUUGCUCGACCCCGCGGAGAUGCCGCCGUCCGCAGUCCCGGUGGGCGGAAGCUUGUACACAUUCGACUCAAGCGGCAGAAACUGGGGCUACGGGCGCUUCUUCAAGAGAGCCGAGUUGGAGGAAUCGCGUUAUCUGAAAGACGAUUGCUUCGCAGUUAUGUGCACCAUUCACAUCAAGAUGUCGCGGGUCGAGCGGGUGCCUUAUGCUCACCCGUCGGCCGCGGCGGCGGCGCCGCCGAUCGAGUUGCACGACCACCUCGGCCGGCUCUUGGAGAGGGGAGAGGGGGCCGACGUAACCUUCGAAGUCGGCGGGGAGACUUUCGCCGCCCACCGCUGCGUGCUCGCCGCCCGCUCCCCUGUUUUCAGUGCUCAAUUUUUCGGCCCCUUGAGCGAAAAGAGCACGCAGUGCGUAAAGAUCGAAGAUAUGGAAGCUGCGGCUUUUAGGGCUUUGCUUCACUUCAUAUACCGGGACUCGUUGCCGGAGGAUGGUGAGGAGCCUAAGAAGGCUUCGACUGCAAUGGCGCAGCAUUUGCUCGCGGCCGCAGACCGGUAUGGGUUGGAGAGGCUGAAGCUAAUAUGUGAAGAUAGGUUAUGCAAUAGCAUCGAUGCCGACACGGCGGCUACCAGUUUGGCCUUGGCGGAGCAGCACGGCUGUCUCCGGCUUAAGAAAGUGUGCCUUGAAUUUGCAGUCGUGCCGGAAAAUCUGAUAAGUAUGGUGCUAACUGAAGGGUUUGAGCAUCUGAGGAUGAGUUGUCCCUCGGUUUUGGAGGAUCUCAGAAUGAAGACGACCCGGCACUCUGGUAAGUUUUAAAUUAGCAAAGACAAGAUCCGUUAUAUGUUGUUUUCAUUUCUUUCAAUUAUUGUCCUCAAUGAUAUACUGAUAUAUUUUGGAAGAUAAAUAAGACGAAAUGUCGAUUUAGAGCCAAUUUAUGCAAAUAUAAAUUUAAUCAGUUGGCUCCUUGUAAUAAAAAGAAGUAAAAGGUCUUGGUUGUUUGUGUUAACAUUCCGCUAAUGAAAAACUGGAAUCCUAGGAAGACGUUAAAAGGGUAUGCUUCAUUCAUGAUUCCAAUAGGAAUGGGAAGUGGGAUUAGAUUGUAUUGGAAUGGAAAAUGGAAUGAUGAAUUAUCCAAAAAUAUUUGGUUUAUUAUUGGAAUGGAAAUCAUAAUGAACAUUCAGGAUUUUGGGAGAGGGUGUUGGUUAAAAAAGAUGAGAGUGAUGACUGAUGAAGGGAGAGAAAGGGGAAGUGUUUGUGAGAGAGGGCUUUGAGUGGUUUACUUUUGAAUGGGCUAAUCUGGAAUUCAAAGCUAGAUUGGACCAUAAAUGCAUUAAGGCUAUUCCCAUUCCAGAGUAGAAUGGGAAUCAAAGUCCGAUUCAUGUAAAACAAACAACAACUAUUAGAAUCAAUGAAUCUCAUUCCGAUUCUAUAACCUAAAAUAGGUGGACCAAACGAGCCUUGAAACUGCAAGAUUGUUACCAUAGUUUGAAAAGGGCACGCGCCUCGGCGCCUAGCGUGGGCCUCAGCGCCACAGCAAUAGGGAGGCGCAGCGCUAUUGUUGAGGCGCGCGCCUAGGGCCUGAGGCACGCGCCUCAUGCGAGUUGCGAGGCGCUCCUGAGGCACGCGCCUCGCAAUAUUUAAGUUUACAAGAAUUUUUUAUUCAAGUUUUCGAGUUGUCGGGUUUUGAAUUUGCAUCUUAUACUUUACCCCGAUAAGAUACUUAAAAAAUCUUAAAAGAAAUUUUAAAAAAUUCAAGUUUUCGGAUUGUCGGGUUUUGAAUUUGCAUUUUAUACUUUAAACUCGAUAAGAUACUUAAAAAUCUUGAAAGAUACCCAAAAUACCACUAAAAAAAUCAGCCGCUUGCCCCUUCUCCGUCUCUUAUUCUCUCACAUCCUCUCCCUGUCGAGCAUCCAGCAGCAGCUGUGCUGUCAGCAGGAAGCAGCGGCAGGAAACCGGCGGUGGCUAGAACAAGCAACCAGCAGCAGUGGCAGCAGGAAAACAAGUAGUAGCAGCGAAAACAACAGCAGUGUCAGCAAGUACAUCAAAUUAAACUAUAUGCAUGUGUUUUCUUUACUUUUUGAUGGUUAUUUUGGGGUUUUUUAAUAUAUAACAUCAAAUUAAAUUAACUUUAGUAAAUGUGCGCCUCGCCUUCUUGAGGUGCCCGCCUUGCAGUGCGCCUCUCCGCGCCUCGCGUCUAUGCAAACACUGAUUGUUACACAAGUAUAUAUUUGUUGUGGCAAGAUAAGGAUAAAAGUAGAAUUAGUGAGGAUGGAGGUAUUGUAAACAAUGGAAGUAUUUUUAUGGUGUAUAAUUUGUUAGCAAUGUAACCCACAAGAUUACAGAGAAAUCUUUUCAGAACAACUUGAAUCACACAUAUCAUGCUUUUGAAGUGAACUUGUACUCAUGUUUUUUAUAUGCUGUUUCUAAUUUUGUGAACUUGUGUAUAGCCAAUUAGCAACUAGGUUAUUUAUUUACAAAGCUAUGAUGCAUAGAUACUCUAGAUGCAUCCUUACCAGAUACUGUAUCCAGUAUGAUACUUACUAAAAUACUUCAUAGAUAGCCUCAGAUAUGUGUCUGUAUUAAAGGAGUGUAGCAAUAGUAAUAUUGCUUUGAUAUAGAAGAAGGUAGGAUGGUCCAGACUCUAUACUAGGAGGAUGUCAUCUUUUCAUCAAUUCAAAGUAAAAAUAUGAUCGUGUUAAGCAUCAAAACUAAUUUAAUUUAUUUAAAGACGGAACAAAUAUUAUCUAAUUAAUAGAGCUUGGUCUUAUCUAGGAGUUAGUUAUAGGCUCCCGGUUAUACUAUAAAUUAUAUCCAUUCAUAGUAUGAGUAAGGUAAAAUGGAAGAUAGUUUUACAAAGUAUAGCUUCCUAAAAGAGCCAAUAGUUGAUGUUGAGAUGCUGGCGACAACAACUUUCUUGUACAGGUCAGUAUUUGAAGAUAGAGUAAGGAAUCUGACUUGUGUAACCUAAAAUAUCUAUCAAAAUCUUGAUUUAAUUCCUAUAUGUGGGGUUCAUAGUUGUUCCCAACAGCCUACGUCUAUUAGGCUAUGAGUUACAUAUUCCUGAGAGUUUACAGUAAAAACUUUUAUGUAUUCAGUCAACAUUUGCAUGGUAUGAAGUAUAGGAUGAAUGCCUUUAAAGUGCUUAUACUAUUUUGGAGAAGAAUUUAUGUUAUCUUUUGGAUCUAACUGCAGCUUUCAAAAUCUCUCACCGGUUUAUAUGCACUUCUCAAGUUUGAUGUACAGAGUCUGUUGCAUAAAAGAUGUUUCUUGAACUUCUGAUAAUAUUUAAGUAUCCUGAAUUGUUGAAUCUUCAUCGCUAGAGAGAAUUAAGUGCUGUGGAAUUUGUCACAGAGGACUAGUCUAACCUUGUUUGAUAUCUAACUAUUACUAAUUCUCAAUGAGGAUGGAUUGAUUUGGUUCACAAUUUGCUAAAUUAUAUUCUUGUCCAUAAUUUUCGUAUGAACAUGAAUUAGUUUCUGGGUAGUUAGUGAAUAUAUAUCUUGUUGCUAUAUUUGCUAAAAGUGGUAUCUAACAGAUUCUUACCAGAUUUAGACGGAUUUGAAUAUGAAUAGACUUCAAGUCUGCAGGGGUAUUGCUCAAUAAGAUGCACGCAUAGUAUAAAGUAGUCAUCUAUAAAUAUUUGUUAAAUGUUAGUAAUUUAGUGAUAAGUCUUUAUGUCCUUUAACAAAUAUUCUUAGAAAUGUUCCUUCUUUUGUUUGGUUAGUUGUGGAUUCAUAUUCAGUUUAACCGUUUAUGUUUGGGUCAUUAGCGAUUAUUGCUAUCCUGACACAUUUGAUGUGGACAUUGUAUUAAUAACUACGCAAUUUGAUGAAACUUGUGAUUGCACCUAUGUUCUUUUGUUAUUAAAAAUUGUAUUAUGACGUAACAAGUUUAUGAAAGGAGUUUGUUAUUUGUGGCUACCAUAUAGUGGAUGUUGACUUCUUGUGUACCUUUUCAUGCAAUUAGUAAUUUAUCUUAGGCGGUGUUUGGUUGUCUGUAAAAACACUCCGAAAAUUUUUUUUCGCUUGAAAAGUGGUUUUCCCUUGUUUGGUUGCUCGUAAAAGAAGUUGCCGGAAAAUUUUUUUUACGGAAUCUACGUAAAAAACCAAGUUUUGGUUUUCCGCCCACCGCGGGCGAAAAACGAAAAACUUGAUCCCAAAACGCGCGGCUCACAGCGCUGAAAAAAACGCGGUCCACGAGAAAGCCUGAUUCUCGUGGACUGCGUGAGUGGUCCAACUGCGUGAGUGGUCCAACUGUGGACCACUCACCAACUCUUUCUCUCUUAUNUGGUAAAAAAUUAUUAUACAUAUUUAUAAAUAUAUAUAUUUAUUAUAUAUAUAGUAUUUUAUUUUUAUAUAGAAAUAUUAUUAUAUAUUAUUUUAUUUAUAAAUUUGUAAUUAUUUAUUAAUAUCUCUAAAUAUAUAAUUCUUAUAUAUAUAUGAUGUAAUAUGUUCAUUAUAAUUUUAAAUAUAUUUAAUUUGUAUAUAUAGAUUAUAAUAAUAAUUUAUAAUAUUAUGUUCAUUAUAAUUUUACAUACUAUGAUGUAAUAUGUAAUUAUAUAUAUUUAUUAUAUAUAUAAUAUUUUAUUUAUAAAUUUGUAAUUAUUUAUUAAUAUUUUUAAAUAUAUUAUAUAUGAUGUAACAUAUUUAUUAUAAUUUUAAAUAUAUUUAAUCUGUAUAUAAAAAUUAUAAUAAUAUAUAAAAUAUAUUAAUUAUUAUAUAUUAAUAAUAUAUAAUAAAAAAUAUUAAAUAGUUUUUCAUCUAUUCUUUUUUCUUCCAACCAAACAACCGUCAUGGAAAACUAUUUUUCUUUUCCUACAAAUCAAACACUAACGACGUAAAACCAUUUUUCCACCGAAAAUUUUUUUUCCACAGUUUUACGUGGAACCAAACACACCCUUAGCAAUUAUUGUGGAUGUUGAAUUCUUGCGUACCUUUUCAUACAAUUAGUAAUUUGUUUUACAAUUAAUUGUCACUUGCAUGACCUUCACAUUUACAGACCAUCUUCUUUCAGCACAACAAAAUGUGAAAAAACCUACUUCUCUGACAACUCAAGCUGUUACAGAGCUAUGCUUAAUAUAAUGGGAGCUACAAAUUUAGUUUCUGACAAUUUUAGUUGUCCUCAGAUCUUCAAUUUUAAUAAUUUAAUCCUCGAAGCUUUUUCCAUGUAGCUAUCAAGUGCGUCACGUAAUCUAAGGGCUUAGAAAACAACAAAGCUGCAUUAUUGUUGCAGUUUAAAUGUUAAAAAACCACCAUACAUAUCAACAGAGCUAACAAUGGAGUUAUGAGACACCUUUUUUGGAGGGCAACGUAAUGAAAGGACUUGUUAUAUAGGACAAUUUAUAGGGACUUUAUUGUCAGAAACAUAAUAGAAGUGGGUAAUUAAGAUUGCAGCAUCUUAUAGUCAACACUUUGAUGUCUAGGCUCUCAAAUUUAUUAUGUCCAAAAGUUUGGGUAUGAAUUAAAUAGUUUGAAGUUUAUAUUGUUCUCUCUCUCUCUCUCUCUUUGAGGUUUAUAUUGUUCUCUCUCUCUCUCUCUCUCUCUCUCUGUUUUAUUUUUGAAUGGAUGUUGUUCUCAAUCUAACGGCAGUAGCUCAGAGGGGUUUGGGCUUAGGACAUUUUCUUGCACCUAUUAAUCUAUUAUGUGCAAUGUGAAAUAAGAGGGUGAAGUUUUUCUGUUGGCAAAAUAAAAGGCCUCAUGUGAUUGAAAACUCUGGAGCCUUUGUUUUUAUUCCAUGUGAAAACAUUUGUUGUCUAAAACUCGACUAUUCUUUUUGUUGUCGUAGGAAUACAUUGGUCAUUUCAGGCAUUGUUAUCCCGCAGUGAUAAUGUUUGCAAUCAGUUUGCAUCGAUAUAAUUCUUUUUCAACUCAUUUUCUUUUCUAUUCUGAUAAUAGUAAUGUUGAAUACUAAAUUUUUAUGGAUCCAGGAAACCAUGAUAACAUCAAAUAACUAAUGGAAGGAAGUGUGCGGAUGGCAAAGUUAGAGCAGUGAAGCAAAUUCGGUAUAGUUGUUGUUUUAGAAGUAUACUAACAUGACUUAUAUUGUUCGUAGAAAAAAUGUGGAAUAUUGCAUAUAUAUUUGUAAUUGUAAUUACUAGUUUCUAUUUCUAUAAAUAAAUAAUUGCUUGCUCUAUAAGCCAGAAACUUUCAUUGAAUAUUUAACUAUGUUUUGAGUUUUAAUUGGUGGCCCUCUAGAUAUUUGUUUAGCAUGUGCCUUCUGUUAAGCUCUGGUUUGCAAGAAUGAAGCAAUUUUUGUUGCAAAGAUUUCUGUAACGGUGCAGUUCUUUUUAUCCGUAUUGCAAAGAAGACUUGAUUAGCUUGCUAUUUAAACUGGCCGUCUAUUUUUCUUCUUGUAGUAUGUAAUAUAAAUUAGUUCUCAUUGUAAAUUUUGUAUGCUAUUGGAGUGGCUUCUAAAUAGAUACUGUAGGUAGUUGAGAACAUAUGGUUUUAUGAUGGAUUGGACUCUUUUUAAUUAUUAAAUAGCCUUUUGGUUUGCUUUAUGAGUAUUUGUAGUUUAGUCACUUGUUUUAUUUAUAUUCUUCAGUUUCAGUGCUAAAUUGUAUUCUUUAUGUGAAACUGACUCUAGUAAUGCUAUUUUACAUCCAAAAGUUGAGUGUAAAUUUUAUACCCUACCCAUCGAAGGGUGGGAACAAUCUUUUUUGUAUUUAAAAAAUAGGAUGGUGAUAUGACUAGUGGGAUAGAAUUAACCCGCUCAUUUUGAUGAAAAAAAAUAAAACAUUUAUAAGUGGCAGAAAAAAUGGUUAAAAACGAAUGGAUCUUUUACCUCUGCCAAGAUGGACUGCUCUUUAUGUUCUCCGAUCAGUGACUCCUUUAAGUGUAGUGUGGUAAAAAAUUGUCGAUCUCGAACUGUUGAUCUAUCUAUCUAGAGAGAGAGAGAGAGAGAGAGAGAGAGAGAGUUGGGCUAGAAUACUCUUAAUAGUAUUUGGGCUCUGAUACUAUUAAGUCAUUUUUGAUGAUAGGAUAUCCAAAUCGUCGAUCCAUAUCGUUCAAGUUGAUCUAGAGUGUUUGAACCUUAUAAAAAUUAAGUUUCAUAAUUUUUCGAAAUCAUUUUCUAGUUCAUCAAGUGACUGCAGAAUGCACAGUUGAAAAUGAACAAGCUACUUAAAAUCGAUAAUAGAACUCUCAAAUUCAAGAUCAAGGUUAUUCAUUUGAUCAAGAUAGUUAAAGAAAUUUCGAUUGAAAAUUGAACUAAUUUAGAACGUGCUACACCGUUAAACGAGAAAAUGCAUCAUAUAGACGGUUAAAAUUAUUUAAUUUUGAGAUUACUUGAUCACAAGUAGUUAAUGUCGAAAAAUUACAAAAUUAAAUUUCUAAAAGGUUUAAAUGCUGUAGAUUUACUUGAACGGUAUGGUUCGUCUAUUCGGAUGUCCCAUUAUCCAAAGUGAUGCGAUGGUACCGGAGCCCAAAUACUCUUAAGAGCAUUCUAGUCCAACAUGACAAACAUGACAAUCUUGAAAUAGUCAUUUUCUCUAAAUGUUUAAAGUUAUUAGCUAGAGAGUUGUGUCUUAAAUAUUGGGUUUGAGUUCAAUUUCAAUUAUGUCUUCAGAGCUUUAAUUUGAAAAAUUUAGCCAUUGGAAUUUGUCCCACACAAUCAUUACAUUCUUCACUUAAGAAAACAUCACGUUUGCAUUGUCAUUAUAAUUGAAAGCACAUGAAAAUAUUAGUAGGAUGUUAGGAAGCGCUACUUAGGUUGGUGAGAUAGUGGCAUGGAUUUAAGUGCCAGUUGGCAUGUGUCUUGUCAACUGUGCUGACAAAGCAUUGGCACAACACAACUUUUGUGCCAAUGGCACGAUUCGAAAUCCUUCUUUUGUAAUUUUUUUCAACCAAAUAGGUUUAGCAUUGGUUUCAAAUGAUCUAAUUUUGAUGGAAUGAAGGUGCAGGAAAUUUGAUUUGCAUCAUGCAUACACAAAAUUGAAAUCUCAAUAAAUUUAGCAUUAGUUUUUUAGGGAAUAUAAUUUUCUUCAACUUUUACUCCUUAAUCUAAUGAAUACUUGCACAUUUUAACAUACUUCUCAAAAUUAUUAAUAGUAAAAAAGAAUUCGAUAAUAGCAUAUUUAAGAACAAAUGUGAUAUAUAUUUGUUGAACAAAUAAAAAUCUCAUAUGAAUUUGUGUCGGCACAUGGGUACUGUACCAGCAGCACCGAGGCUAUGCAAAUUUUGUCAUCCUAGCCAGCGCUCAGGCAUGGUCCCGUGUCUCGACACUUAAAACCUUGUAGGGACAUCUUCUUUCAAAUAGAAAAGUUAUGAAAGGAUUCAAUUACUAUGGAGGACAAAUUUCAGGGACUAAAAUUUUUAAAACUCCUGGGGCAUAAUUGUUGUUAUUGAUGUUUUGUAUUAAUUAAUUAGCUUCAAGAAUAUUGUAGGUUUUAGAUGCUAGAUGGUUUUACAAUGUGAGAGUUUUUCUAAUGACUAAAUAGUUGAUGAGCCUGAUUUGGAUCUUUGCUACCACGUGAAACUACCAUAAUCUCUUUUAGGUGUUAUAUGCGUAUUUAGUAUUACUACCAUCAUGCACAUUAACUGAGGUGUUAAGAAUAAUCGUGGUCAUUUCUGAUUGAUUGGUUAUGCAAACGAUGUAUUCUCACAAUAAUAUUACUUGCAAGCAUUUUAUUUGCAUGAUAUAUUUUCAACUUGAUGACUUCUCAUAACUAUUCCAACUGUAGUGGACUUUAUACAUUGGUCAGAGAAAGCUUAUAACUUGCUUAAAUUUUUUUCUGCCGAUCCAGAAAACAGUAGUCACUUCAAAUGGCCAGUGGACUUGCCUGUGUUGAAAAGUUAGAGAGGAGAGAUAUGUUUAGCAGCAGCUGUUGUCUUAAAAGGUAAUGUGGAUAGAACCUAAGCUUUUUGAAUUUUGAAUAGUGAAAGCUUGUCUAUAUAUAUAUGCCCUGCAAUUUUUUGAUCUUCAGGUUAUAUUUUGUUCCAACAUGCAAAUAUUUAGUUGCCCUAUAUAGCCAUGGCCGAAAAUUCAUUAGAUAUCUGAACAAUGUUAUUCGGCAUGUUCUCAUGUCACCUUUGUUUUUUAUGGUUUUGAGGGAUGAUGAAAAUUGGGCAAUUUUUAUUGCAAUCAUAAGUAUGGAAACAACAAACUUCUUUUCUUCUUUACAGACAUUCCGUAAGAUAUAUAAUAGUGUGCUAAAGAGCUUGACAAACUGAUUUUUCUAGAACUAGCCUUUUCUCUUUUUCCUAUUUUUGCUUAAUAGUUUAAUAUAAUUCUAUUCUUAUUGUAAAUUUCUUAUAAUAUUUUAGUGAUUUCUAAGUAAAUACCGUAAAUUGUUGCUGAUAGUUGGUUUAAUGAUUGGAUUCUUGUAUAUUUAGGUCUUGUUUCACAUCACUGCUAAUUUUUUUUAAAUUUUUUGUAAACAUAAGGUUUAUAUAGGGGAAUUAGAUAUAUGUGGAUGUUAUUUUCUAUUCGCGUUAUGAUUAGUUAGAUUGACGUUCAUCUCUUCUAGGUGAUGAUUACUUCCAAGAUUUUAUCUUCUAUAGCCAAAUAAUAUUUUACUUUGAAUGCAAUGAUUGCAAACAAUCGAUCAUUCAUUUAAACAUUCUUUAAUGUGGAACUUUUUUUUUUUUUAAAAUGGUAAUAAUGCCAAAUAAGAUCUUAGUAAAUAUCUUUUGGUUUUGUUUUGUUGGUAUUCUGGAAUUUGCUAAAACAGAUCUGUAAGUUUAGCUAUGGUUCCUCAUGUUCUGUUGUCCACUUACGACAAAUUUUAAAAUCGACAACUAAUAUAUACUCUUUUAGAAAUUGUAUUUCCAUCUAAUCAAUCUUACAUAUAAUGAAAGCCUAUGGAUGUGCUUCUCAAAAGCCAAAAAAAAAAAAAAGUGGAACGUAACAGUGCAUUAUCCCUAUUUUCACUAUGUCAGGUUGCCUAUAAUUUUUUUUUAUAUAUUAUUAAUAAGUUGACAAUGAUAAUACAUAUGGCUUUAAUUGUCUUGUUAGUCUAAAAUACUCACGUAGCACAUACUGUAUGAACCAAUUAAAUUUCUUUAUAUUAUGAAGUCAAGAUUCUCUUGGAUCGAGUUACAGUACACUUUUUUAUGGAAGCAGAUUCCUCCAUUCUUUUUUCACUGUUCAGAAUGAAAAAUUUCCAAACAAAAUGUUUUCUCCUUUUGUAUUGUUUAUUUUAGGUGGCAAUCGCCUAUUUGUACCAACAAAUUUUCACCUUUCAUAUCUACCCAUCAAAAUAUAUGUUCUCAAACAUACCCUGGGAAAAAUCCAAAUCCUUUAUUAUAAACCUUCCAAAUACAGAAAUCUUUCAAUGGUUUAUUUGAGACGAAGGGUAAGUUUCACAAGUUUAUAAUAGUCUCUUAUUUCUUUAAUUAUACUAUACUAAAAUGUACUUAAUGAUUUUGUUUUUUUUGGUAGAUUGAAUUAAAAUUUCCAACCUUUAAAAGAUUUGAUUUUAAUAUCUAACUUUUCAAUUUGUUUGAUUUAAGCUAUUUAAUGGUUCUUCCAGUUUGAAAUUUAGGUAAUCAUUUUGAUGAAUUCUAACCACAUAACCUACAAGAAUAUUAAACUCUAUAUUAAAGUUGAAACCAAAUGCCGUUCCUCCAUCGAGCCACGUAGCCUGAACAUUAAAUACAAUGUGCAUGAACAUUAAAUACAAUGUGCCACGUGUCUCUCUCUCCCUCACAUUCUCUCCCUGUGCAUGAACCAAAACAAUUCAUAUCACAUAGAAUAUUGCCAUGUACUAUUGCUAUCUUGCUAAUCAUUAGGGUGCAUGCAUCCACCUCCCAGCUUUUUCUAUAUAUCUAGCAUUGUUCGCUAUCAAACAAGUGUAUGAAUGUGUAUACUUGUCUCUGCUUAUUUGUUCCUCCCAGCUUUAUCAGUAGUGUUAGAGCAUAUUCUCAACCUUGCUAUAUUUGUUUUGGAAUUAUUUGGGAUAUAUAUCUUCUACUGUUGUUAGGUGAGGUAAAACUAUGUUGCUUUAAACUCUCAUAGAGUGUACUCCUUGAUAGUAUAGGAAUACAAAAUAAAUAAUAUAAAUUUAACAGUAAAUAAUUUUUUAGUAUAUUCCUUGAUAGUAUAGGAAUACGAAACAAAUAAUAUAACUUAACAUUAAACAGAUUGUUUUUUCCAGCAUACUGGAACAAUAACCUUACAUAAACGCUAUACUAAAACUUAAACCAAAUGUCGUCCCUCCAUCGAGCCACGUGAUCUUUCUUUUAUAUGGUUUUCUCUCUCUCCCUCACUUGUUCUCCCUCCCUUUACAUAAAAUAUAUGGUGCAUGAUGGGAAAAAAAUAUAGUACAGAGAAUAUUGCAUUGUACUUUUGCUAUCUAUGUAAUCACGUGGGUUCAUGCAUCCUCCCCCCACUCCAGCAUUCCCUAUAUAUAUGCUGUUCACUACCAAACAUGCGAAUAAAUGUUAAUAUUUGUCUCUACUUACUUGUCUUCCAGCAUCAAUAGUGUUAGAGCAUCUUCUCCAGCUUUCUAUAUAUAUAAACGUUCAGCUUCUAACAUAGUUAUUGGGCCCACCACCCAUUUACUUCCUUAAGGAGUAAGAUUUUUUUUUGGCUGUAUCUACAGAUACAACCAGCUAUAUCCAUCUGUUUGUUUUAGAAUUAUUUGGGUUACAUAUCUGCUACUUUCCUAAGGUAGGGUAAAACUAUGUUGUUGUAUACUCUCAUAGAGUGUAUUCCUUGAUAGUGUAGGAUUACAAAAAAAAAUAAUAGUUAAUUAUUUACAUUCACUAAACAUCUUUAUCUUAAUUGGUUAAAUGAAAGAACAAUAAGCUAACAUAAAUCAAAAUAAAAAAUGUGUGCCUAAUUAUCUUACCGUGCUUUUUAUAUGUCGUUACUUCUUUAUGGAAUGAUAACAUAAACGCUUAAAAAGUAAAUAAUUAAUUGGCUUAUUUGUUUUAACGAUAUGUUGGUGAUGUUGGGUCCCUGGAUUUUUUGAAUUUAAUACUGGACAUAUAUAAAUUUUCAGUCUUUACAGGUGUAUUUUUAAACUAUUUAAUAAUGUGUGUAAUUAAUUACAGGCUUCUCGUCUUUGUUCGUUAGAUGCAUCCUAUUUUUCUUUACUCCCUUAAUUAAAAUUAAUUAGUAAUUGUUUAUGAAAAUUACGAUUGCCUCCAGAGUUUUUUUUCCCUUGCUUCAUAUUUCUAUUUCGAUGACUUUCUUUAAAACUAUAAGGAAGUGUCUUAUUAUUUUUAUCAAUAUAUGUUUCAUGUGGGGAAAAAAAAACCAGGACUUUAAUGUAUUUGGAAUUAUGAUUUUCAUUACUCUUCGUCUUUUUUUUUUUGAUUCCUAUCUUUCUUGAGCAUGUAUACAUGCAGAUUCUUUACUAGUUAAUUAUUUACCUCCUCUAGGCACCUUUAUUUUAAUUGGCUAAAUUAAAGAUCAGUUCUAACAAUUUCAUACUAAGUUUCUUUAUCUUACCGUACUUUUUAUAUUUCGUUAGUUCAUUAUGGAGUGAUAACAUAAAUUGUUAAAAAGUAAAUAAUUAAAUGACUUAUUUGUUUUAAGGAUAUGUUGGUGAUGUUGGGUUCCUUACUUUUUUUUAUUAAUGGUGGACAUAUAUAGAGAUUUGUCUCAGUACUUAAAUUUUUAAUCUACGGCUAUUGAGCAAUGCAUGUAAAGAUGUUAGAAAGUUUCUCUAGACAAUAGCAUUGGAGGGCUGGGAUUAAAAAAACUAAUGCAUUAAUUAUACUAGAUUCAUAACAUAAGUCUUAUGUUUUAUCAUACAUUAAUUAUUUUGCAUUUGGUCAUUCUAUACCUUAGCUUAAAAUGAUUAUCUCGUCUUUUUUAUAUCAUUCUUGAACGUUUAAAGGACAAUGGCGGCCCUACCAGUAUAAUAUAAGCAAUUGUUUACCGACAUACUUGGGGUUCUUGCCUUUCCUCUUCCUAAUUACGGCGCAAUGUUCGGUUCUGAUAGCUUGUAUGUGGGAUGUGCUGAAAUAAAAGUUGAAAAUAUUGAUGGAAUUGAAGAGGUUUUUAAGUGGUUUGGUCAGAAAUGCAUUAAUGUUGAGUUAGCAGAGGAAAAAGCCGCUCAUGAAGCAAUUAUGUGCUUGAAGAAAGCACUUAAUUUCGAUAUUGCUGAUAUUAACUAUGAUGACUUAAUGGUUUAUAAAUCUUUAUACGAACAGUUGUGUGCCAACCACAACCAACUCCAGUCCGACUACUAUUUUCUAAAAGAAUGUUACAGUUAUACUCUCAGCGAGGUUAGGUGCCUUCAAAAUGAGAAUACGUGGCUGGGACAACAAGCCGACCACGCUGCAGAGUUGCUGUGGCCCACUACAAUUAAUAAUCAUCUGCAUCCUUCAGUUGUAAUCUUUAAAGUCUUUUGUAGCAUGAAUUUCGCAGUCUCCCUUUAGUUGUAUAAAAAUGUCAUGACGUUUCGUUUCCUUCUUUCAAUGUCUUGUAUUUUGUUGUUUUUGAUACUGUAGUAUAAUUUGUCUGUCUGAUAGUGCCGUGACGUGUCGUUUCCUUCCUUCAACGUCUUGUAUUUUGUUGUUUCUAGUACUGUAUUGUAAUUUGUCUGUCUGAUACUCUGAGUUUUCUAAUAGUCAUUAAGAUUUGUGCGCUUGAGGGUAGGAGACUGUAUAACGGUANNNNNNNNNNNNNNNNNNNNNNNNNNNNNNNNNNNNNNNNNNNNNNNNNNNNNNNNNNNNNNNNNNNNNNNNNNNNNNNNNNNNNNNNNNNNNNNNNNNNNNNNNNNNNNNNNNNNNNNNNNNNNNNNNNNNNNNNNNNNNNNNNNNNNNNNNNNNNNNNNNNNNNNNNNNNNNNNNNNNNNNNNNNNNNNNNNNNNNNNNNNNNNNNNNNNNNNNNNNNNNNNNNNNNNNNNNNNNNNNNNNNNNNNNNNNNNNNNNNNNNNNNNNNNNNNNNNNNNNNNNNNNNNNNNNNNNNNNNNNNNNNNNNNNNNNNNNNNNNNNNNNNNNNNNNNNNNNNNNNNNNNNNNNNNNNNNNNNNNNNNNNNNNNNNNNNNNNNNNNNNNNNNNNNNNNNNNNNNNNNNNNNNNNNNNNNNNNNNNNNNNNNNNNNNNNNNNNNNNNNNNNNNNNNNNNNNNNNNNNNNNNNNNNNNNNNNNNNNNNNNNNNNNNNNNNNNNNNNNNNNNNNNNNNNNNNNNNNNNNNNNNNNNNNNNNNNNNNNNNNNNNNNNNNNNNNNNNNNNNNNNNNNNNNNNNNNNNNNNNNNNNNNNNNNNNNNNNNNNNNNNNNNNNNNNNNNNNNNNNNNNNNNNNNNNNNNNNNNUCUUAAAAUACACAGUUGGAAAGGUUAUGGUGUAUUAUUUACGUUACUUUAAAUUAUUCAACACCAACCAUUUUUUUUAUAGUUAAUAGUAGAAUGAUUUAAUUUUUACUAUAUAUGUACUAAUUAUCAAAUUUAGGAGACUAUAUAUACAUAUGCAUGAAGUGUGCCAGAAGCAAUUACUUCUCCACUUGGAGCUCUUUUAACGGGCAAAAAUUUAGUGGACACAGUGUCGCAACAAUGCUAUUUGGGGACUCUCCGGAUGGGCGCUGCGUGGCGAGCACGCACCGAUCUCGAAGUCUUUUUUUUUUUUUUAGGCAUUUACAAACAGGCCGUUUCGGAGAUUUCGGAUUUGGAUGCGAACCGUUAAAAGGCGUAAACGGGAAGACAGGGGAGACCCCAGUUGGGGGAGUAGGGCAUUCUCAGGCUUGGAUUUGACUUAACUGGACGCUGGUGCUGUUCAUCGUGUUGUUUCGCGGAUUCCUCAGGUCUUCAGCCUCGGCCGUUCUGUAGUACUGCCCUGCCGAUCUCGAGUCUACGACGACUGCGGCCGGCAGAUUCGUGGGGUGGAAUCAAGAUUUGGAAAAGGAGAGUUCCGGAAAGAUGAAGUGGGUGCAGAAGAAGUAAUGGAUUUGCUACAACUGCAACGAUGGAAAACGGUUUCUCCACGGAUCGCCACCGGAGUGCACAUUACAUUACAUUAAAGUGAUCAACUAAUUAAUUAGAGUCAGAAGCUCAAGCUCACGUUAUUGGAAAUGAUUUUUUUUUUCAGCUUUUUUUUUAAAAUUCUUUUUUUUUUUUCUGGAGCAGUGUUGAUCAAAGUUUACAGUUGUAAGUGCAGCUUUUGUUGAUCAAAGUUUACAGUUGUAAGUACAGCUUUUAGCGCUACAACAUUGAUUGAAUUCUUUAUUUUUUUUUAUUUAUAAUAUUCUGGUCAACACUGAUCACUCAUAUAUAUAUAUAUAUAUAUAUAUAUAUAUAUAUAUAUAUAUAUAUAUAUAUAUAUAUAUAUGGUUAUUUAAAUGUGGAAGUACACAUGGGGAUCGAUGUAUGAUUACGUGGACCUGACCAGUCAAUGAGCUCCUGUACAUAGGAAUUGUUUAAGUGGACCAUCUUCGCCACGUCAGCUGUGGACUGCCAGAGGGGGGACAUGAUACUAUAUGGUACCAUUUGGUUCGGGAACAAGGAGGAGAAUAAGCCCUUAUCCCCCCUUUGUUCCCAAACGCAGCGUUUGGUAACCGAGAACAGUAGCUCCCGGAUUUCUGAAACUAGCUGGUAUAACACUGGAACUAGCUGGAACUGCUGUUCUACCUUUUUCUUGGAACAAGCUUGUUCCUGAAUGAGAACAAGGUUAAUUAAAUAUAAAUUUAAAAUUUAAUGAUAGUAAAUUAUUAAUUAAUCUAACUAAUAUAUUUGAAUUAUUAUCUAUUGCUUAAAUAAUAAAAUAAAUAAAUAAAUAAUCAAUUAUAAUUAAUUAUUUAUAAUUAGAUAAUAAUAAUUAUUAAUUUAAUAAUUAUUAUUUAUUAAUAAUUAUUAAUUAAAUAAUUAUUAUUAAUAAUUAUUAUUCUUAAGAAAUAGAUAAUCGAUAUUAUUAAUAAUUUAUUAUUUAUAAUUAAUUAUUAAUAAUUAGAUAAUUAUUAUUAAUUAAUUUAUUACUUAUAAUUAAUUAUUAAUAUUAUUAUUUAAUUAUUAAUUAAUAAUAAAAUAAAAUAAUUAUUCUUAUUAAUUAGAUAAUCGAUAUUAUUAGUAAUUUAUUAUUAAUAAUUAAUAAUUAAAUAAUUAUUAUUAUUUAUUAAUAAUGAUUUAUAAUUAAUUAUUAAUAAUUAGAUAAUUAUUAUUAAUUAAUUUAUUACUUAUAAAUAAUUAUUANNNNNNNNNNNNNNNNNNNNNNNNNCGCGCCGCGACUUUUUUUUUUUUGCUUUUUUUCUUUUCUUUUCUUCUCCGACUCUUCUCCACCGUCUCCGACGACGACGCCUCUCGUCCUUCCCCGCCCUUCUCAUCUCUCCCUUUCCCCCAUUUUCUGCCGCCUCCAACGACGAUUUAUCUUCGCCGGCGCCGACAUCGACACCGUAGAGGUCACUGCGGCACUACAACCUCGGAGCGGGGGGUCCUUAGCGGCGUUGUCACCGGCGCCGUAGCUGUUGGCAGAGAAGGUGAUAAAAAAAAUUAUAGAAAAAACAGAAAAAAAGUAAAGAUAAAAAAUUAUAUAAAAAGAAGGAUGAAAAUGAAAUUGCAUCGUUAAUUACAAAAAAAAUUAUAAGUUGCACUAUUUAAGAUGUAAACUGCUGCUUUAAGAUAAAAAUUAUACUCUUUGAACAAAAAUUACGCUCUUUGGGAGAUGUUUACACUGUUUCUAUUCUUAUUGCACUCUUUCAGAUGUAAACUGUAAUCAUUAAGAUGAAAAUUACACUCUUGAAACGAAAGUUGCACUGUUUUUCUCUUGUUGUACUAUUUUUUAUCUUAAACUGCAUCCUUUUAAGUGAUAUUUAUACUGUUUCUCCUCUUGUUGCACUGUUUUUCCUUUUGUUGCACUAUUUCUCCUCUUGUUUUUACAGAAAAUGGUGCAACAAGAGGAGAAACAGUAUAAAUAUCUCUUAAAAGGGUGCAGUUUAAGAUAAAAAAUAGUGUAACAAGAGGAGAAAUGGUGCAACAAGAGGAGAAACAGUGCAACUUUUGUUUAAAGAGUGUAACUUUCAUCUUAAUGGAUGCAGUUUACAUCUGAAAGAGUGUAAUAAGAAGAGAAACAGUGUAAAUAUUUCUCAAAGAGUGUAAUUUUCGUUUAAAGAGUGUAGUUUUCAUCUUAAAGCUGCAGUUUACAUCUUAAAUAGUGCAACUUAUAAUUUUUUUUGCAGUUAACGAUACAAUUUGAUGUUCAUCCUUCUUUUUAUAUAAUUUUUUAUCUUUAUUUUUUUUUCUGUUUUUUCUAUAAUUUUUUUUUGUCACCUUCUCUGCCAACAGCCACGGUGCCGGCGACGACACCGCUAAGGACCCCCGCUCCGAGCCUGUAGCGCCGCAGUGACCUCCACGGUGUCGACGUCGGCGCCGGCGAAGAUGCAUCGUCGUCGGAGGCGGCAGAGAAUGAGGAAGAGGGAGAGAUGAGAAGGGCGGGAAAGGACGAGAAAGACGAGAGAGGCAUCGUCGUAAGAGACGGUGGAGAAGAGUCGGAGAAGAAAAGAAAAGAAAAAAGCAAAAAAAAACAAAAAAAAAGUCGUGGCGCGGCCUUAGCGGGGUUGGAGGCGAGGAAGGUGGGGGGUGCGUGGACGAGGGCAAGGGCGAGGGCGAGGGCGAGAGAAUGAGAGUGAGAGGCGAGACAGACCGUUUCUGCCUCCGCUCUGCCGGCGAGAAAAAAAAAAAGAACGAGAGGAAUGAAGAGGAGAGAGAAAGAGGAAAGAGAAAAAAUAAAAAGGAUAUUUUGGUCAGUUUGCUGAAAAAGCGGACCGAGUCUGGAAAAACGAAAAAAUGGCCAAAUUUUGCAAAAGCCCAAAAUAAGUGGAUUUUUUAUGCAAAUUGGCCAUAAAUAAAAGCACGUAUUUUAAAUUUCGCGACAGAUCCAUUUUUUGGCGGGAUAAAAAUUAAUUCAUCUUUCCUUACGUAAAAUAAAUAACAAAAUUAAACAAACUUUUAUUUCCUCUUUAUUUCUAUAACAGAAAAAAAUUUAUAUUUAUCCAAAUUUUUGCCAAUCGGAGAAUAUCUACUGUGAAUUUUUAUUUAAUUCUUCUUUAUCUCUAUCUGUAAUAUAAUAUCUAUACUUAUAUUAUCUAUCUAUAUCUAUAUCAUCUAUACUAUUUAAAAUAAAUUAAAAUAAUUAUUACGUACAUUUACACGUACGCUCAACUAAUAUAUAUAUAUAUAUAUAUAUAUAUAUAUAUAUACAUGCACACCUAGAGAGUAUGUAUCCAAUAAAGCCUUGAAAAUUAAUUUAAAGUUAUGGGGUUAGAAUAAUAGCGGUUCCCUACCUAGGGUUUAGUGGUGGUUGGUUGAAUAGUAUAAUCUAAAGGGUUGAUGAUGUAUUAUAGACUAACAAAUUAUAGUAAGAAAAAAAAGUUUUUUUUUCCAGUGUAAUAAUUUAUAUUAAAUUAUUGGUUAAAAAAUUAAAGAUGGCAAUGAUAUCAAAUGUGAUCUUAAUUUUUAGAUUUGUGCGGUCUCUUUUUAUCUGGAUGUAUUCAAUUUGAUCACCGUACCUUCAACUAGAUUUGGAGAGCCCNAUAUAUAUAUAUAUAUAUAUAGAGAGAGAGAGAGAGAGAGAGAGAGAGAGUAUGUAGCUGUAGUAUUUUUAAAAACACUAAAUACUUGGUACUUACAAAUUUUUCAUCACUUAACUUAUCCCUUUGAUUAAUUAUAUCCCUUAGAUUAUGUUAUUUCAUAAACCUAUUUUUAUCUAAAAGUCGAAAAAUCUUGAAGCACCAAUAAUUUAUUUAUUUAUUUUUUUGAGAGAUAGAUAACACGCUACCCGCUUCGUUUAUUUCAUUCAGAAAUAAACUUAGCUAGAAAUGUGAAGCAGCUAGGAUUCGAACUUGAGACAUCGAGUACCAACCACCAAACCCUUUACCACUUGCUCUAGGGACGGUCGGUAAUAAUUUAAUAUUUUUAAAAGCAUAUGAACUCAAUUACAUACAUAUGAAAAUUAGUAGCUCUGUUCCAAAUUAGUCUUAGUGUUGGGAAUCUGGUACUCACCUUGAUACCAGAUUUUAUACCAGAUUUUGAAAAUCGGUAAUCCGCUCCGAUAUCGAAUGCUGUAAAUUUGAUAUCAUUUAUUGAGAUUCCGCAACGAAAGCAUAAAAUUAAAUUUUUAACGUAAAUCCUACUCCUUGGCAAAAAUCUAGCACAACCACAAAAGAAAGAAAAACCAAAAAUAAAGAAUACAGAUAAAAUAAGAUUCACUAAAUAAGAGAAGAAUUACAUCUAAGUAUCUAACUACUCUUUUAUAUAAAAUAGUUUCAACUCGAGCCCUCUUUCUGAAUCUCUCUCACCCUCUUCUCGUCUUCUAUAAUUCAAAAGAAGACUUCUCUCCCAUCUUAUUCACCCAUGUAUAAGAUAUACUAAUGAUCCACAACCACGAAAAUUGCACACGUCCUCUCCUCUUACACCAAUGUACUAGAUGCAUCCAAAUCAUGACCACUUUGGCCAUGCUAUAUGGAUGUGGCUAAGUCGUACACUCGUACUGCCACCGCCACCGCCACCAAAAUAAAAGCACUCAUGUUAUAUUUACAGCUUACAUCAAAAGUUAUUCAAAUAUUCGUCUAAUUAGAUUUCUACUUUUGUUAAUACUUAAAUCUUAAUUAAUUUAUCUUUAACAGAUUUAAAUAUUAUUCUAAAUCCAACAAAGAUUCAAUUUCAAAUCUAACUAAAUUCUAAUAUAUAAUAUGCUAGCGCUUCUUAACCUUUUUGUUUAAGCUUUUGAAUUGACUCAAACCCUUGGGAAAAAAAAGAAAAGGUUAUUAACAUUAUAGCUUGUACCAGCUUAGAAAGUAACUCAAAAUAAAUCGUGAAAGGCUACGACCAACGAAAAAAUGAACUAAGAAAAAACUCCAUCAUAAGUUAAAAAAAGUUAAUACAUUUAUAAGUUAUGUUAAAUAAGUACUCUUAAUAAUACGGCCAAUUUGCAUAAAAAAUCCACUUAUUUUGGAGUUUUGCAAAACGGGGUCACCUUUUUCGUUUUUGCAGAUUCGGUCCGCUUUUUCCGCCGCCUUACCAAAAUGCCCCUCCUAUACAAUAUCCUCCCGCGUAUUUCUUGACAUACGUAUACUAUCCUACUACCCUGCCGUACGGUCUGGCGCGCAUUAAAUGAGCCGCUUCCGCCUUACGCAAUCUCGCUCAUUUCUCGGAACCCGGACCACAUCCGCCCCCGCUAUUCGCCGGCCCCGCUGUUUCCUGUUCGGCUUUAAAACUUUACGAAAUUUUCUAAAGCUAUUAAGAAAUACUGCGCGCCCCGCAACAGGGAUAAUAGUGCAACGCGAAGGAGCUACGAAAGGAGAAAUGGUGCAACCCCCUCUAUAACAGUGCAUCCGUAGCCUCGUGCCAGUGCAACCAAUCCAUAACAGUCAAAAUCUUACUUAUUUUAUUUCUUAAUGUAAUCUUAAGCUAAUAGUGCAAAUGAAAGGGCAUGGUGACGUCGAAUAUAGCGGUGUGGAGUAGUCGGAGGCUCCACCACCUUUUUAUUGCCGCCGCCACCGUGGCGCUAUCCGCCCCCGCUAUUCGCCGGCCCCGCUGUUUCUUGUUCGGCUUUAAGACUUUACGAAAUUUUCUAAAGCUAUUGAGAAAUACUGCGCGCCUCGCAACAGGGAUAAUAGUACAACGCGAAGGAGUUACGAAAGGAGAAAUGGUGCAACCCCAUCUAUAACAGUUCAUCCGUAGCCUCGUGCCAGUGCAACAAAUCCAUAACAGUCAAAAUUUUUCUUAUUUUAUUUCUUAAUGUAAUCUUAAGCUAAUAGUGUAAAUAAAAGGGCAUGGUGACGUCGAAUAUAGCGGUGUGGAGUAGGAGGAGGCUCCACCACCUCUUAUUGCCGCCGCCGCCGUGGCGCUAUACCUCCGCGCGCCAGGGAUAAUAGUGCAAGGCGAAGGCUCUACGGCAGGAGUAAUGGUGGAACGAACCUUCUAACAUGCAACCGUAGUCUCGUUCCAGUGCAACCUCUCCAUAAGCAGGCAAAAUUUUACUUAUUUUAUUUCAUAAUGUAAUGUUAAUCUAAUAGUGCAAAUGAAAGGACAUGGGGGCCGUCGAUAAUACCGGGCAACCUAGCUAGCAUGUGAAGGCUAGCUCGGAGGAGGAGGAGGAUCGUCAGAGGAAGCCGUCAGAGGAAGCCGGUUAUGGACAAACGCAACCGAUACACUAGCACCUUAACGUCUAUUUGAAGCUAUUAAUGUAUUAGUUAGAAUACUUCUCUAACAAUAUCAACUACAUUAUCUUCCAACGUAACACUAUUUUAGGACAAACAUAAAAUAAUUCAUGAUAUUUUAGCACAUUAGCCGAAUUGUCUAUUACAUUAAGAACAAGUGUCUAAUUACAUGAGGAAUGCUUAAACAAGGUGAUAAAUGUUCAAUGAGAAAAAAUAGUUUGUAACAACGUGACAAAUGAAGUAUAAUAUUAUAAUUAAAGUCUGAUAAAACGUGAUAAUACAAGUACUAUAGUGGAUCGGAUCCUUUGCAAUUAUUCCUUAACGUGAUAAUAAAAACCGCGCGCCUCCAUAUCGCGGUGCCGCCGCCUCCGUUAUUUCUCCACCACCUCGGCGGGGGAUGAGGUGUGGCGAUAUAAGCUGCAGUGGUAUAGGAAAGUAAACGUGAUAAUCGAAUUCUAAUGUAAUUCUUUAUUUUAUUCAUUUUAAAACUGACAAUACCUAACCAACGUGACCUUGGUCCGAUGCCUACGUGACAAUAUCUCCCGCCAACGUGGUAAAGAGGAAAGCAUCGAGGAAGCGCAACGUGAUAAUAUCCUUUUGAGGUAACAUCCAAACUGAUAUAAUUGAGGAAAGCAUCGAGGAUAUUUUCUUGCGGGCUAACUAAGCAUCGAGGAAGCGCAACGUGACAAAUGAAGUAUAAUAUUAUAAUUAAAGUCUGAAAAAACGUGAAAAUACAAGUACAAUAGUGGAACGGACCCUUUGUAAUUUCUCCAGCACCUCGGAGGAGGGUGAGGCGNAAACCUUCUAACAUGCAACCGUAGCGUCGUUCCAGUGCAAGGAGAAUGCUAGGAGGAGGAGGGUCGAUCGGAGGUUAAGAUCCAGCAACGAGGCGAUCAGAAAAAACGAUCCAGCAACGAGGCGUUAAGGUUGAUUCGCACUAUCUGGAAUGUUUCAUUUGCUUUGGGCAAUUUGGAGCUCCGCUCUACCAUGAAACAGACAGUACAGACGGAAAAUAUUAGAAUCCAACGAUAAGAAUAAAUAUCUGCAAGAAAUUAAGAAACUGUAUGACAGGAGGGCCAAUGGGCUCCUAGCAAAUAAAACACUCCAGAUAAUGCGAAUCUUCUCUACGUAAAGGCGAGGAGGUUAAAGCAAGACCAAUAUUUGAGAACGAGUCGAAGGCGACGAACGGCCUUCCUCGUAAGAGGGGAAGCGCUGCUGCAGAGGGGAAGCGCUGCGCUUCCUCUUACCGGGAAUGCCGUUGUCGUCUUCACUUCUUUCACGAACACCACUGUCUCCGUAAUGGGGAAUGCAUCUGAAGAACCGAUAUUUAAACAAAACGAAUCGUCACCUCACCAACCCACCGGUGCCUCUUCGGCUGACCUAAUAAAUUAUAAACCUGAUAGCAAACACUAACGUGUACAUUAUAGCGUCUCUUCGGUGCUCGAAGAGACACCGGUGGGUAUAUCGAAACUGUCUCGAGAAGAUAAACCCACUAUUCAGAAGCCGUGUUGAAUUAGCCUCUGUGCGCCGGUGAUAAUAGUGCAACGGAAAUGUUAUACUGCAGUAGAAUGGUGCAAUUAUCUCUAUAACAGUGCAUCCUUUGUUUGGUUUUAGUACAACCACACUAAACCAGUAAAAAUUUUGAGAUCCUCGUUACACUAUUUUUUAAAUAUGUUGAACUGUUAUCCUCUAUUUUAUACUAUUACAAAAAUUUACAUAUUCAAAUUAUCUAUAUGUUCACUAUUAACAUUAGCCUUGAAUUAUUAUAAUAAGACGUAUGGAUUUUCCGAUAUUUCCUGCGGUGUGCCCGCGGAUGUCGUCGUGGAUGGCUAGUUUGCUCUAGGCACAGGAGGGUUUUUGCAUGACCUUUUGUUGUGCCCCCAUCUCUGGCAAUUCCGGCACCGCUUCUUUAUUAAGCUGUUAGCAAUAGACUCUCGUCGCGAAACCUUUCUUCUGCCCGGUUGUAUGCGGACGUUUGGCGGCCGCAGCGGAACAACGUUACUUGGUAUUGCAGGCCAUUGCUCUUUGCCUCUGGUGGGGGGGACGCAAUCGUUGUAGGUUGCACGAUAAGUCGAGGUCUUAAGCCAGUCCUCGACAAAAUCAUACUGUCACGCCCCGGAUUACACGUUCCCCGGGCACGCCGACAAAUCCGCCGUAUACAAAGAAAUUUUCCCUGUAUACGAAGCGAUAGCUGUACCUGUAAAUCAAACACUACUACGAACAGUAGUAGAGAGCUGCUAGAGAAAACAGAAGCUAAAUAAAACAGAGUUUCAUAUACAUAGUUCAGAUCCAAAAUACAGAGCUACUCGCACUGGCGAGUUAAGUCAACUAUGUACAUAAACUCGAAACAAAACAUCUACCUGCAGUAGGGCACCUCUAGCUCAGCACGUCGGGUAGGGCUCUAACUCGCGACGCCCUUGCCUCGAUCCUGAUCCACGGACGGUGCAGCAGCCGGAACCUGUGGCUAUGCAAAAACAUAGGUAACAACUGGGCGUGAGAACUACUGUAAAAACAAAUAAUCCUCAGUGGGUACCGCCCAAAACAACAUCGGUCACCCACUAAGUCUACAGAAGGGAGCAAGGAUAGUAGGAAAAGCAGGAAGUACACUCUACCGCUAUCAAUCACUACACUAUCAUGCUCUACACUAACCAACUGUAGGAAAAGUCAAGUCUGACCCAAUCCAAAUCGGGACUGUAAGCAUACCCGUCCCCGGGACUGUGAAUACACCCGUCCCUGCCCCGUUACGACUAUCGGGCUCUAUCCACUCUAACUGGUCCGUGGAGAGCAAGUCCAACUGGCAUGAGCGACACCAACGCAAAAGCACAAGCCUGACUCC